GGGUGCUGAUAUAAUGUAUGAUCGAUCAUGCUUCCCUGAUCUUGUUAGAAUACUAGCCAUUCUAUUGAAUCGAAGGAAAUCAGAUUCCUCUUCACGGAAAGAGUGUUCCAAGGGCUUUAUGCUGGAUACUAAAUGUAAUACUAAUGACCUUAAUGAUUUAACUGCUGUAACAAGCAAAGGCCCAGUGGCAUAUAUUGCAACUGUCAUUCGGAACAUCGACACCUUCAGUUAUUUCCUUUCACUGGUAGAGCAGGCUAAUCUCUCAAUCACAGAUCUAACGGAAGCCAAAAUGCCCUUCAAUUUGCUUCCUUAUAUGCGGUCAUACGACCGAUCAAACAUGAGAUUGUUUACUGUGUCGUCCAAGGCUUGAUUGUAUUCUUCUCCUUCCUCCAAAAUAGUCUCUUGCAGUCGCUCACUCAACCCAUAGAUGAGCAGUUCUUGGCUUCUAGUUCUGUUAUCUAUUCUAUUGAGCUGUUGUUCGUAACUGUAACUUUCAUUGCUGUUGUACGAUUCUAAUAUCAUAAAGUAUUGAGUUAUGAGGUGAAGGUUUUUUAUUUUUUUUUUCUUGUUUUAUUUUAAGGAAAUGUAGCUUAUUGAAUUUCAAACAUUCCUGUCAUACGCAAACCAAAUGUGCGAUUUCAUUGGGUGACAAAUAAUCUUUCAUUUAUACAACCAUAUCCAACUACAUAGUAGCUUCUAAUGGAAAGAUGAAUCUUUUAAGCUAACAUAUGACUAGAAAGAGAAUCUUCAUCAAUGGUUUAAUAUAUAUAUGAGUACCAAUAAAUAACUUUUACAGUCAAUAUCGCACUAGUUUUAUAAAAAUCACAUCUUUUUAUUAAGAGGUUGGUGAGUGGGCGAAGUUGCGGUACAAAAUUUAUAUAAUCAAUUACUAAUACAGACUAAUUAAGUGUAAUAAUAUAUAUCUUAUGGUAGAUCUAGUUUGAAAAAUUGAAAAAAAUGAUUUUAAAAAAAUUACGAACAAACAAGAUAAUGCUGACGUGACCUUAGGAGCUUGUCAGAACAGUAAAAAAGUAUAAUAUGUUCUUACCAGCAGGUAAGGUUUUGUUAUGACUCGCACUUUGACAAGUGAUCUCUGAACUCUGAAGGUCAUAAAAUGGUCAUUUUGUCCAGUGUUUUCGACUUAGAAAAUGCCUGACUUUCAAGUCUUUCUAUGGCCGUCAUAGUUGAGAGAGAAUAUCACUGAUUAGUUAUUGGCCUCUUAAACCAUUUACAGGCAAUAACGGAAAUUGGGGAGGUCAUACAAUUUUAUGAUUCUGAUAGACAUUUGAUGGCGCUGUAUCACAUUGUUUUAACUUGAAUGGAAGAGCAGGUGGCUUUGAGGUAGGGGUAGCUGGAGAUUCGCAACUUUGCUAUAAUCCUUAUUUGGUUGGCUUGUCUCCCAUAACUUUUCAUUUUUAAUAACAAACAUUAUAAUAUGUUUCUACAUUUUCUGAAAAUUUCCUUGGAAUUUUAUCCUAAGAGAUGUAUAUUUUAUCCUCUUCCAUUUUUUUAUUAACUGCUGGUUUCUUUGUUUAAUAGGUAGAUGGAGUUGAAGGCAUUAUGGCUGCUUAUGCAAGCGCUCUAAACAAUGUUUCUUUGGCAGGACCGACUCUGUUUGGUCAAGUGAUCAACACAGCUGCACGAAUUGCUGGACAGUCCCUCUCAUACAACAGAAGCAAGUAUUUCGUCUUACUCAUUAUAACGGUGAUUACAAUGAUUCUAUAUAUUCACAGUUUUCUCUUUCUAUCAUUCUUUUUGGGUGAUUUGUAAAUUUGCAUUGUCUAUCUAGGAUGGAGUUCUGACAGAUCUCCAAGAAACGAAAGAUGCUUUGGUAAGGGCUUCUGAUCUUCCCCUGUCAAUUCUAAUUGUGGGUGUGGGAGGUGCGGAUUUUACACAAAUGGAGGUACACAAUGUUUUCCAACUGGAAUAUCUUCUUACUAGCAUUGAACUUCUUUUUUCUAUAGUUUGAUAGAUUCAAUUUAGAGUAUAUAUGCAGUGUGGUAUUAUCCCACUUUUGUUGCAGAUUCCUGAUGCUGAUAACUUUGUUGGCAGAUUCUUGAUGCUGAUAAUGGCCGUAGAUUAGAGAGCUCUACCGAUCGGGUAGCUACCAGAGAUAUAGUACAAUUUGUUCCAAUGCGAGAAGUUCAUAGUGGUGCAUAUGAUUCUUUGAAAAAAUUAGUUCAAACUAUUGAAUUUGGGAGUUAAUUCACAGAAGUUUCUGAAUUUUUUCAUGCCUGAACAAAGGAACCCAUUGUUUUCUGAACAGGUGGGCAAAUUUCUGUUGUACAAGCACUUUUGGAGGAGCUGCCUGGUCAGUUUUUGACCUACAUGCGCUGCAGAGAUAUCAAACCACUCAAUGUUCAAAUGGCCCAAACAUGCGCUUGAGUAAAUAUUCAUAUAUUUGGAAAGGAUACAAAACCAAGCCAAAUAUAUUAGACAAGACCAAGCCAAACAUAUUAGGCUAUACAAACAUAACAUAGCAGAAAUUGAUAAUGGUACAUUACAUAUGUUAGGAUAUAGCGGUUUUAGAUGAUGGUAAAUUACAUAUGCUAAGAUAGAGUGGUUUGUAACUAACUUUUGAUGGCUUAAUGAAUUGAUUGAAUUUGUAUUUAGAUUCUAUCAAUGAUCUCAUAUUCUUCCUAUCCAUGUCUUUCGAUUUUUAUUAUUCCCUCUACCCACUUGUUUCACAAUUGUUUGUGUCUGAUGGCCUAAAACUCCAAUUUUUGUUGCUGUAUUAUCAUCGUUGUUGAAGAUCUACUACAAUGAACAUGUGCUGAAUGUCAACUUUUACUACUACACCAGCAAUCUAACACAUGGCUCACGUGCACACUAGACAAGUCUGAUUCACACAUCUUUAAAGUGUUGUAUUAUAACUCUCUGAAACUGGGUUUGAGUAAUCAAGAAAAGCCAAAAUGUAGAACAGUGACAAUAAAAAAUGAAGACCCUCUUACAGUCUUUAACUUGAUAGAAAAAACACGAGCUGCAUACCAUGUCUCACAAAUUUCAAAGAAAAUUGGCUUCAUUCCUGAUGCUGCACAGAAGGUUGCCCUGAUCAUCUUUAAGAAAGCUCAUUUAUUACAUUAAUACAUUACAUCAGUGAGAUGAUGCUACUUUAAUGAAACUCAUGUCUCAAGUUAGGAACAGCUACAUGGGCAUUUCAUCGAACAGUUGAUAUGCUUGGCAGAUAAUUGAAGUUUCCUGGAAGUUGCAAGUGCUGCCGGCAUUUUCAAAAUUGGAAGACCAUUCAAAGGUUUUCAAUAGUUAGUUUGAUAUUACACGUGUUAUAAUCUUGUGAUGAUGAUGAUUUUAUGUAUCUGAUUGUUUGGGGGAUAUACUUCGACGAGACCAGCCGUGACGAGCAGAUACCUGGUAGCAGAGUGUACUUCGGCGAAGACCAACCGUGAUGAGCAGAUAUCUGGUAGCAGGGUCUCGCGAGCAAGUAUAUAUUGUAAGAAUCUGGCAGCAGGGGAGCAGGAGCAGGAAUAUUCUGCUCGUCCACGAAUGCACUAUCCGCGAGGCCGAUCCUCUGUUAGAAGCAUAAAGUCAUUCUAGAUAAGGCUUGAGUCGAGGAGACCCGGUCAACGACAGUUUGCGAGACGUGCUCUCCAACCCGAGAAUCAAGGCACGAAGGCUAUACAACCACCCACGAUUACAGAAGUGGAACAUCCACUUUCGAGAGGUGGGAGGAUAACGGGCGCGAAUGGAGGGAAGGUCUGAGUUCAGGAGAGGCCUAUAAAAAAGUAGCCAACGAAGGUAAAAGGGUUAAAAUUUUUGACAUUAUAAUAGAGAAAGAAAGCUCUAAAGAACGGAGACUAAAGAAAAGUCAUAAGAUUUGUGGCUAGCGUUCCUAGAACCUUCAUUUCUGACUUGAGCGUCAGAGGGUUUACGCCAGGGAAACAACCGGCGUACUCUGACCUGCUUCUGUGUACACAAGAAUUUCUGGAGAAGAAGCCUUACGAGGAGAGAUCCUGAUCGAGGUGAAGUUGAUCGAGCAGAUAUCUUGGUCGUAGAAAGAGGGCAACCAGAAUCUCACAUCAAUAUUUUGGCGCCGUCUGUAGGGAGCUGAUCAAAAAGCUUCUGUUGACAGCAAGAAGAGGAGUAAAGCAAGUGGAAAAACAAUGGAGGCAGGAGGAAGUAGUGCACAAGGGGGUGAUAUAAGGCUUAACGAUUUCGUGAUGCUGAGGGAGAUAGCCAGUGAAGCACGAGAAAAAGCCAUGUUUGACCGGAUGGAACGGAUGGAAAAGCAUAUGGAGACCCUGACAACCAUCCUACACGAGCUGCGGAGUGAACGAAGGGGAACCCUCGAGGAAAGGGUGAGAGGUGGUGGAGUGGCACCAGGUCACGAUAGUACGAGGAGAAGUCAAACCACCAGGAGAUUUGGUGGUGAGAGAGGUAAUUUAUCUCUGCGGGGAGAAAUUCAUAGAGAGGAAGAGCAAUCCCCAGCAAGACAGAUUUUUGAUGAGGACGACGGGGUGGCGAAUGCAGAGGAAACAGAGCUCAGGCAACACUUACAUGACGUAGAGCAAGAGCGUGAUCAAGUUGCAGCACGUGACCCUGGUCGUGCAGUGCAGCUGGAGGAGGAAGUGCGCAGACUAGUGCAGGUAAUUGAUGACAUGCAAGGAAGGAGCAGAGCUCCUGGUUGGAGGAUAAUGCUGGACGGAGAAUCACCGCUCGUGGCAGAGAUCAUGAGGGCAACCAUUCCAAGAGAUUUUCGCCUCCCAGACCUUAGAUAUUCGGGACGAACUGAUCCGUUGGUGCUCAUAGAGCGCUUCAACGACAUAACCGGAGUGUAAGGAUUAUCUCAAGCCCAAAGGUGCAAGGUGUUCCCACUAUCCCUAAAGGGACGUGCACGCGAGUGGUACAAGAAACUUCCUCGGGGGAGCAUUAAAACUUUCGAGCAGAUGUGCCAGGAAUUUGCAGAGCAGUUUCGUGGGGCAAUGGCACCAGAAGAUAAUAUGAUGGAGUUGAAAAACAUGAAGCAGGGGGAGCAAGAAAUCUUUCGGGAAUUCAUCAAGAGGUUUCAUCGUGUUGUCCUCGAUUUGGGAGCCUUCAACCAUCCUCAGGCAUUAAGGGGAUUGAAAGAAGGGGUGAAGAUAGGAAGGCUAUGGUACAACUUCAGAAGCCCAGUUAUUCAGACGUAUGCAGCCGUAUACGAGCAGGCUAAGAGGGACAUAGAGAUUGAGGAAGAAAAGGCAGCACGGAUUAAGACAGACCAGCUAGAAGGGUUGGGAAAGAAAGAGAAGAAAGCAUUACCAGGGAAUGGGUCGAUCAGGAGGAGGGAUCACCAGGCCUCAGGUAAUGGUGCAGGAGGUCGGGUAACCGCUUACUAGCCUCACCAGAGGCUACCACAGUAUCAGCGCAGCAGGGCGCAACCUCCUCGCUCACCAGCUAGGGAGCCUUGGAGAAGGUAUGACUCGGCAUAUGGUGGUCAUCAUCCACACUCCCACGGUAGUAGAGGGAGCAGACCAGAAGCGCUGCCACCGCCUCCAACUCAGAACGGUGCAAAUAAAGAAAGGGCAGUGCACAUGAUCGACCAGAACCAGGACUAUGGGCGGUAUACUUCCUUGAAGAUACCCCUGGACGAGGUGUACGAGGCCAUAAAGGACCGGGGACUAUUGUACCUCCCUACCCCAAUAACAAAGCUCCUCAGCAGGAGGGAUAGGGGACGCUAUUGUAAGUUCCAUGACACUCAUGGCCAUACCACUACAAAAUGCAAAGAUCUCAAGACCCAGGUUGAAGAUUUGGUGAGAAAUCGGUACCUGGACGAGUUUAUAGAUGGGACUUUUCCGAUGGUGGCCUUGACAUGUGAAGGGGAGCAGAGUGACAGAAAUUUGAGGCGCGAGCAGCCUACAGUAAGGGUGAUAGCUGGGGGCCCAACAUUGGCCAGAGAUUUCAACAGAUCGAGGAAGAAUUAUGCUAGAUACGCCAUGACUAGUAAAGAUGUAUUCUUCAACACCCCAGCAGCCAAACGAGCAAGAGUCAGGCAAGUGCCAAUCAUGUGGACAGAUGAAGAUGAAGAAGGGAUUCUAUACCCCCACUGUUGCUAGCAAGAAGUUUGAACGGAUACUGGUUGCCACAUGGAGCUCAGUUGAUGUGUUGUUUAAGUCAACUCUGGAGGAGAUGAGAAUAACAGACCUGAAGUUGGAGUACACCAAUACCUCCUUGAAGGGGUUUGGAGGAGGAAAGCUGGUUUCUCUGGGCGUGGUCAAGCUGCCUAUCACGAUUGGGAGCUCCCCAACAGAAAGGACUAUGAUACUGGACUUUGUGGUAGUGGAUGAAGAAGGUCCUUACCAGAUAAUCCUAGGUCGGCCAUUUCUGAGGAUGAGCAAAGCGGUACUGUCCAACCAUUAUCUAGCUCUCAAGUACCGGGUGAAUGGGGUAGUUGGAGUGGUACGAGGAGACCAGAGAAUCGCACGAAAGUGUUACUCCUCGGCAGCAAGGGAAACAAUGCAGAUAACAUCCCUUGAUACCCGAGUGGAAAACAAGAAUGGCAGACAAGAAUCUGUAAAGGAGCUGGAGACAGUAAGCCUGGGACCAGAGAAUCUGGGAAAAACGAUCAGAAUUGGGUCAAGACUUAAAGAAGAGCAGAAGCAGGAGUUGGUACAAUGCUUGCGGGCUCAUACAUAUGUGUUUGCUUGGACACAUGAAGACAUGCCAGGGAUUGAUCAUGAGGUCGCAUGUCAUAAGCUGGCAGUAAAGAAAGGUGCUCGAGCAGUAAGGUAGAAAAUGAGGUGCUUCAACCAGGAGAGGUAUAAGGCUAUAAAUGACGAGGUGGAAAAGCUCUUGAAAGCAGGGUUCAUUCGGGAAGUCAAUUAUCCUGAGUGGAUAUCGAAUGUGGUGUUGGUAAAAAAGGCUAAUGGCAAGUGGAGGAUGUGUGUGGAUUUCACGGACCUCAACAAGGCAUGCCCGAAAGACAGCUUUCCCUUACCAAAGAUUGACCAGCUUGUAGACUCGACAGCUGGACAUGGCCUGCUCAGCUUCAUGGACGCAUUCUCGGGAUACAACCAAAUCCCGAUGUUCGAGCAGAAUGAGAAGAGCACGGCAUUUAUUACUAACUAGGGUCUGUUCUGUUAUAGGGUAAUACCGUUCGGUCUUAAAAAUGCGGGGGCCACGUACCAGAGGCUGGUGAACAAAGUCUUUAAGCCGUUGAUUAGGAGAACAAUGGAGGUGUACGUGGACGACAUGAUAACUAAGUCGAAAAUCCCGAAAGAACAUGUCGAGCACCUCGAGGAGACAUUCGCACUUUUGAGGAAGUACAAGAUGAAGCUCAACCAGGAAAAGUGUGCUUUUGGGGUCGAGUCAGGAAAAUUCCUCGGAUUCAUGGUGAGUCAUAGGGGGAUCGAGGCAAAUCCCGAGAAGAUCCAGGCGAUCUUUCAGAUGAGGUCUCCUCGUAACCUGAAGGAGAUGCAGAGCCUUACGGGAAGGCUGGCGGCAUUGAGCCGAUUCAUAUCCAAGGCUACAGAUAAGUGUCAGCCAUUCUUUCAAGUGAUAAGGAGAGGGAAGAAAACAUAAUGGACCCCAGAAUGCGAAGAGGACUUUCAGAGCUUGAAGCAAUACUUGCAGUAAGCACUCCUGCUGUCCACACCAAGGGAUGGGGACAAGUUAUCUUUGUAUUUAGCGGUAUCAGAUCGUGCCACAAGUUCUGUUCUGGUGAGAGAGGAAGAAGGGGUUCAGUAUCCGAUAUACUACACCAGCAAGGCCCUGCUCGACGCUGAGACCCGAUACCCACCGUUGGAGAAAUGGGCACUCGCUCUUGUGGUCGCUGCUCGGAAGCUGAGACCGUACUUUCAAGCAUUCCCCGUCUCGGUAAUAACAAACCAGCCGUUACGUCAAACCCUACACAAGCCGGAUGCCUUUGGUCGGCUCGUGAAGUGGGCUAUAGAGCUGAGCGAGUUCGACAUUGAUUACAAACCCCGAGCAACGAUAAAAGGCGCAAGCAAUGGCCGAUUUCAUAGCAGAGUUUGCAGAGCCUAAAAUAUGUUUGGACCAGCUAGAUAUUGCUACAGAUAGCAGCGAAGCCCGAGUAUGGCAAAUGUCUGUAGAUGGGUCAUCAGGGGAUCAGGGAUCAGGAGCAAGAAUUGUCUUGGAAGGCCCAGAGGGGGAGGAGAUCUCUUAUGCUGUAAAGAUGAGACCAGAAGCCAAAUAAAUAAAUAAACCAAAACUCAAAUACGAGAAGGCAAAUAAGAAUAAUUUUAUUAAGCUUCUAAUAAUCUGCAAAGCUGCUACAUAGAAUGUUCAAAAAGCAAUUACAGCACAAGACAAAUUUAGGAGGACGGCGGAUCAGUAAGCCGGGCCACCUCGAUUGGCUAGUCCACUUCAGGCGCAGGGGGGGUAUCACCAGUUGCGUCCGGGGGGAUACUCGCCUCACCAACAUCAGCAGGGAUUGCACGAGGAGGAGAGUCUUCCUCCUCAACCACAAUUGGCACCACCUCUUCGGCAUCCUCUUUUGCGGCCUCCUCGUCCAUAUGUUGGGCAACACCAGCUGCAAGGUCAUCCAUCUUUAGAUCAGGAUGCUGCUUCUCGAGGACGGCCAUGAUGCAACAAUAGGAAUGCCGAAGUCCCUGGUCGUACUGGUUGUCAGCUUCCUUUUCCAAGUUCUCGACCUGAACCCGGUGGGAAUCACGAAAAGACUCAAGUUGAGCCUCAUACAUAGCCUUCUGCCUUUGCAGAUCCUCCUUGACCUUGGCCAGCUCUUCCUCGAGGGUAAUGGCCUUUGCUUGAGCAAGAGAUUCUCGCUCAAUUAACUUCAGAUUCUCGAGAUUCAGGUCUCCUGCUUUCUUCUCGGCAUUGUCAGCUCUGGUCAUCGCUGACUGAAUGUCCUCCUUCAUCUUCCGGUCGUAACGGCCUACCUUGGCCUUAUAGUAAGUGGUCAUGCAGCUGAGAUGGAAAGCGCUAUACUGCAUGGCCCCCACUAGCUCACCUAGGGUGCAGCCAUCAAAGUCCUCCAGGUCUUUCUUGCUCACGAGUUUAGAUAGCUCGUUGAGAUAAGGGACCAAGUGCUCUGGUCGGUUGUCAGAUAAACGAGAUCUAGGCCCGACAGGAGGAGAAGAGGAAGCAGGAUUAGUGGCUGCUCCACUAGUUUCUCCGACUUUGGCAGGAGGAGGAGAUAGAGUCUUCAAGGGGAGAACCUGCUGCACAAUGUUCACCCGUUUCGUAGUAGGAGCGCUCUUGUUCUGGUCUCUCUUCGCAGUUUGAGGUCGAAGACGUUUCCGAGUCAGAGCCCCGAUCACAGCGUCCUCCAUCCCAGAGUCAGUGGUCACCAAACGAGACUCGAGCAGGUUAUAAGUAGUUAGCAGCUCUCGGCUCGAGCAGGAAUUGGCCAGUACAACUUCGACCCAUUUGAGCUGGUCGGGUUUGAGUGGGAAGUGAACACCCCAAGAACCUGCAAUACGAACAGACAUUUGGUUAGAGACAAACCAGUAAAGUAAGAACAACUAUAGAGACAAGACAUCGAAAGCGAGCAGGCAACCUGGGACCACGAAACGGGGUGGGAUGCGACAAUCCUUCCCGUCAAUCUGUGCAACUUGACCCGAGGGACCCCCAGCAAAAAAGAAAUUUUUCUUCCAAUUCCCACCACCACCAGUUGGAAGAUCGGUUAUGGGUUUCCUGGUUUUAGUAGUUGAUUGGAAGUAAUACCAGCCGGCAUCUUUGGGGCUACUUUUCAGCUGGUACAGGUACUUCACCUCAUCAACUGUGGGCUCGCUUUGGCAACAUCUGUCCCACAAGAUGAACAGACCAGAGAGUACUCUCCACCCGUUGGGGUUCAGCUGACCAGGAGCUAAAUUUAGCCCGUUGAGUAUUCGGGCAAAGUAGGGUUGCAGGGGACACCUCAACCCAUACUUAAAACUCUCUAGAAACAGGGUAACAUAUCCCCUAGGAGGCCGGCUAAGAGUAUCCUUCUUUCCUGAGACCUUAAGAGGAAUUUCAUUUGGAAUAUCAUACCUAACCCGAAGAUCAUAGAGCUCGUCAAAUGUGGUCAUACACGUGAUGAAAUCAAUGGCGUAAUCCUGUGAAUGGGCUCUACCUCCUACUGUACUCCUCACUUCUGGUCGCGAUAUUUCUGGUGAGGGCAUCUCACCAGAAUCACCUCCCUGGUCCUCACUCAGGGUGUCUUCCGAGCCAGAUGAUCCCUCGUCACCGCUAUUUCGGCUCGAGAAGGUUGUUUGGGGGACAUUCUCCUAGCACUAGUCCCAACACUAGAUCUAAUGGGUUCUAAGGGGAUCCCAGGGUCAAAGGCAGCAUCGGCGAGUAGAUUAGGUAGGAAGUCUAACUCGUCGUCAUCAACCUCAAUGAUUUUCUCUUUACCUUUCGACAUUCCCUAAGCUAUAACCCGAGCACCACCACCACUAACUAGUACCCAAGCAAAACAGAGAGAAAAGAGAUAUCAACAACUAUCCAAGACCGAGGAAAUAGGAGUAAUACCUGAAGUAGUGGCUCAGUCGAAGGGAGACAGGGAUGGAUGCUUUUAUGCCGAAACUCGUUCGCUGGAGAGAUAAACGUGGAGUAAACGACGAGUUUCUAGUUUGGGGGUUUUGAAUGUUCCUAAUGAGGAACAAACCCAUGGGCUGCCAGCAUUUAACGGCACCAAAUCCCAAGGGUUUCGUAACCCUUGGUUUGAAAUUCAAAUGGAGGGAUAGAUUUCUGCCACAUCACCUCAUCCGUAAUUAAAUGCGACACGACUCUUGGCAGCCUUUUCGUGCCCUACGCAAGCCAAAACCGUUGAGUUUCUACUGUCGGCUCACUAUGUUACCCAACACCAGAAACUGGGGGACCGGUGUUUGGGGGAUAUACUUCGACGAGACCAGCCGUGACGAGCAGAUACCUGGCAGCAGAGUGUACUUCGGCGAAGACCAGCAGUAAUGAGCAGACAUUUGGUAGUAGGGUCUCGCGAGCAAGUAUAUACUGUAAGAAUCUGGCAGCAGGGGAGCAGGAGCAGGAAUAUUCUGCUCGUCCAUGAAUGCACCAUCCGCGAGGCCGAUCCUCUAUUAGAAGCAUAAAGCCAUUCCAGCUAAGGCUUGAGUCGAGGAGACCCGGUCAACGACAGUUGGCGAGACGUGCUCUCCAACCCGAGAAUCAAGGCACGAAGGCCAUACAACCACCUACGAUUACAGAAGUGGAACAUCCACUUUCGAGAGGUAGGAGGAUAACAGGCGCGAAUGGAGGGAAGGUCUGAGUUCAGGAGAGGCCUAUAAAAAGGUAGCCAACGAAGGUAAAAGGGUUAGAAUUUUUGACAUUAUAAUAGAGAAAAGAAAGCUCUAAAGAACGGAGACUAAAGAAAAGUCAUUAGAUUUGUGGCUAGCGAUCCCAGAACCUUCAUUUCUGACUUGAGCGUCGGAGAGUUUACGCCGGGGAAACAACCGGCGUACUCUGACCUGCUUCUGUGUACGCAGGAACUUCUGGAGAAGAAGCCUUACGAGGAGAGAUCCUGAUCAAGGUGAAGUUGAUCGAGCAGAUAUCCUGGUCGUAGAAAGAGGGCAACCAGAAUCUCGCAUCAACACUGAUUAUAAGCUAAGCUCAAUAGAUUUGUAAGUAAGCACACGGCAAAGUAUUUAAUCUUCUUAUUGUCGCAUUCUUCUAAUCAAUUAGCUUUCACCAACAAAAAUAAUUAAUAAUAAUGUAAAUGGAGGAACUUGGGAUCAUUAAUACCAGUAAACUACAACUUCACCUAAGCUCCUAGGAGGUUCCACAUGUUGUCUACAGUGAGCAAUUGACCAGUAAACUUUCAUUUUUCCAUAAUUUUCUAUAUAAAAUCUUGAUAUUUUCAUGAAAUUACAUAAUUUAAGAAACUGUCUCCAAAAAAUACCAAUAGGUGCACGAACACAAAUAUGAUGCACACAUCUCUUUAAUUAAUUUAGGGCUUAAAGAGAUUUUAAGAUGCCUACAAAUUGAAUAUGGCAGAUCUUGGACACCAUCCAUAAGAAAUAAAACUAGCCUCAAAUUGGAUUUCUGAGUACUCAAACAAAGCUAAAAGCAUAAUAACGAAUGAAAACUGAAACAAAAAAUCGUCUCACCAACACCAUCUGACUCUUAAUAUGUACAAAGAACUCGAGCUCGAGCCUUAUCCAAAAUGCUGCACAAGUCGCGGAAAUCGUCUUUGUAAGUUUGGAGACUCUGUAGACAAAGAGUAAAAACACAUUGAAGGUGCAGUUUUCACAUAAUUAAAUUGCACAAAUUAGACACAGAAAUCCUUCAAUUCUCUCUGUGAGCAAUUAAUUUCAUUUUUUUUUUUCGCUAUGUCUGUCUAACAACUAAUCCUCAACAUAACAACAGAGCAGAGUAGUUAUAUUUUAAAAAGAUGUACCAAUAUGAUUUAACAAAAAAUUCAACAUAAAUAAAACAUUUUUAAUCAGUAAAAUAGAAUCAAAUCAAAACCUCCCAAAUUAUAUAGAUUUUAUCUUACCACUGUUUUUCGCAUCUUUCUCCUUUUCAUUCGCCUUGGCGGACUUCUCUUUCUCUUUUUCCUCCUCUUCCUAAUCAGAUUUAAAAUGAAUUUAUAAAAAAAUUAAUAUGUACUUUUUUCUUUUUACUUUUUUAUAUAUAUCUGUUAUUAAAUCAGUAAUUUUUAGAAAAAAAUAAAUAAAUCAACAUCUUAUAGUGAAUGAAUACUUACCUUUUUUCUUUUAAGAUAUACGUAUUGAAUGGUUGUAUUAAGGUCCCGAUCCCAAGCCCAAAGUUCAUUAUCAAACACGCUCAGCUGCACUUUCUGUAACUUGGGUGUGCUUAAUUCCCCUUCUGAGAAAAUCUUCAUAUUGGGGCAACGAUCCACCACUAAUGUUCCCAGAGAUGGGAAUUUGAAGGCGCAAUUAUUCCCAGAGCAGCUGAAACUUGUCAGACUUUCUAAGUCCCAAAGCUUCAAUUCCUUUAAUUCGCUGAAAACAAUUUCAUCUUUUGCUGCAUAAUUAUCUCCCUCAUCAUCCUCAUCUGCCACUAUUUCUGUUAUCAUCACGCAUGAGUAUAUCAUCAUUUGUCUCAGUCGCACCAGACUCCUUGCCGUUGAGGAUGUUAGAACGUUGAUCAUUCCACGGCAACCACAUACCGUCAAAGUUGUUAGGUUCUGAAAGGAUGUCGAGGAUGGUUGAAUAUCUCCAGCUGUUCCAAAUUGUUAGUAUUGGUUGAUUCUUGUUUGAAAAUCUGCUUCAGUUCACGACGCUGGUUUAUCCCUCUCAUCAUUGCUGCCAUCCCAUUUUCAACGUUUUUAAAUGAUGUGUACAAAGCCUCAUUGUUCCCUCCUAUAGAGAGAAUUUUGAUGGUGUGAAAUCUCUGGAGGAAGUCGUCAAGUGAUAAAAUAGUACUUGACUCAUCAAGCCGGACAUCAAGACACUUAAGUUUGCAAAGCCAGUCUUCUGGAAAUAGGCGUAUGUGCUUUUCAUCAACACUCAAUUUCUCCAAAUUGCGGAACACCUGGGUGAUCAUCAAUCACGAAAAAAGCAAGAUGGAGUUAACACUUCUUUCUUACGAUUUCACAAAUUAAAGUAAAUACAAAGCAUUCCAAUGAUGCAUAUUGAUGGCCAAACAAAUUUAUAGAUAUGCGGAGAGAGUAAGAUUUUCAGCUGUAAAUACAAAGUAAAAACAAAGCAUUCCAUUUAAGUAAUGUGUAUUUUCAGCUGUAUAUUAUUUAUGUUACCACGAGAUGACCAAUUUCCAGUUCAACAUCAAAAUUGAUAAUCAUUUUGUAUGUAACAAUACUGUACUAAGGAGUACUAAUUUGGAAAUAGCUCUUGAACGAUUUUCAGGGAAUUAACUAUGGCUUGAAAAACUCUAAAUCUUAUGAGUAUUUUCUUUGUUUGGCUAAUCAAAUGCCCUGUCUCUUCCGUGUAUUUAACUAAACAUGUAGAUAUAAAAUAAAAAGUACAGGAAGAAGAAAAACUCUGAUAAUUAAGAGAAAAAAAAUUGAAUAAGAAGAAAAAAAAUUAUUUACUAAAUAUCUUUUUUUUUUUCAUUCGGUCUAACUGACAUCCAAAAAAAAAAUAAUUAUGUUUGUAAGGAUAUUAUAAAGUAUAAAUAAACUGAUUUAUAUAACUAACAUUUUGUCACUAAAAGACGAAGUGAUGAGGGCGAUGACGCCAAUAAAAUUCUGAACUCUCAAAGUAGAAAUACUUUUCUGUACGUGAGAAUUGAAAAAUAAUUACAAAAAUCUUGCACGCGUACCUUUUCAAAAUGCAGAUCACCUGUGCAGAAGCUUGUAAGCUGCGGAAGAGAACGAAGCUCAAGUGUCCUAAAUUGAGUGAGUUCAAUCACUUCAGUACCGUUAUUAUUGCUGGAUUCAUCUCCUCUCUCGGCAGCAAAAAUCACUUCCAUAUUUUGGCAACUACUCACUUCAAUGGACUGAAGUUGUUGAAGGCCUCCGCCAAUGACCAAUGGAAAUACAUUUUUCAACUUAUCACACCCUUCCACCUCUAUGUUCUUUAAUUUGCAAAAAGACUCUGCUGUGGGUGGACCACGACAUAUUUCCUCAAGGUUCCUUAAAUCUCUCAGAAAUAAUGACUCCAAAAGAGGGAAUGCAGUCGUCGGAGCUGGCGUACAAUCCAUCGUGUCAACAAGACGAACAAGGUUGCCAUUACGUCGGAUUUCGAGACGAUUCAGCUGUGGAAAACCUUCUCUGCCUGGUUCACAAAGAACAUUCUUCAUGUCCGGCAAUCCAUCUAAAGUUAGGUCUUCAAUACCCUUCAAUUGCAUGAUAUGCCCCUCGUUCAAGCAAAUGUUGGCACCAUUUGUGAGCUUCAGUCUGAAGAUUCUAGAAAUCCCAUCCCAUGCGCCAUAUUCCCUACAAUUUCCUAUCAAUAUCCUGUACCUUUGCAGCAUUUUGAAGAACGACAAGUCUCUUGGUAGAGCCUUUUCAUCUUGGAUGAAUAUUUCUAAAGAGGUCAAUUUAGAUAAAUUAUUCAACUCAUCAAGGCUGGCAUUUCUUCUUACACUGUCGAUCCCUACCCUCCCCCACUGAAUGUGACUCUUACCAAUAUACAGUUCUUCUAAUCGUGAUAAGCUUGAUAUGACAUUUGGUGGAAUAACUUUUAGAAAGAAACAUUUGCUCAGAUCCAACAACCUCAACUGAGUCAGCCGGCCUAUCUCUUCAACCAGUUCCUCCAUAUCAGAACCUCGAAGCGUAAGGAUAACUAAUGUCUUUAGGUCUCCGAUAAUAGCUAUGUCUCCUAGUUGGCAAUCAUCGAGAGACAAUGUUUGAAGGUUUUGUAAGAGACCAAGCGAUGGAGGCAAAGGCAACAAAUGCAUCGUAGUGAAAUCUAAAACUCUAAGCUCUGUCAUAUCAGUAAAAAUGUUAUCUGGAAUUCUCAAAGAAGGAUCAUUGCGAAUACGAAAGUAUUUAAGUUGCGGACAGUCGAACCCUUGAGGAAGCCCACUAAUAUUAGUAUUAAAUAAGGAGAUUGCGGUGCAAACCUUCAGUGUAUCCUUAUCUGGCCAGCAGGUCAGCGGAACAUUCUCAUUUUCCACCGCAAACACAUAUUGGUCUCUAGAUGCAAUUGAUAUGGCUACAUCACGAACAACAUCAUGCAUAGAAAACCUUUCACUAGUAUCGCCAUCAAGCAGCAAGCAAGAGUUCUUGAGUUUAUCAACCAAUGUAUGUGCUCUAUCCCGUGCCUCAUCCACCGUGUUGAUGUUUUGAAACAGACCCAAACCCAUGCCACGAUAAAGCAAGUCUUUAACGUUACAUAUGUAGGAGUAUCCUAUUAGCAAAAGCGUUUUCCUGAGUUCCUCACCUCCUAACUGAUUGUAACUCAACUCGAUAGUUGAAUAAGCGGCCACCGCUUGUGUCCCAGAGAAACUUCUCAAAAAAGGCCUUUCUAAUUGUCGUAAAGCAUUCCUCCAUUCAUACGGACUCUUAUUUUUCAAUGCCUUCGCUAUGGGUACAAUGGCAAUGGGCAAGCCCGCACAUUCCUUGACUAUCUCUGCUGCUACAGAUUUCAGUUCACCAUUUUCUAUGCAAUCACCUGUCAUCUUCUCGAAAAGACUCCAAGCUUCUUUUUCAUUCAGAACAUCAACAAAAAAUUUUUGUUGACAAUCCAUCUCACAAGACAACACAUCUUGACUUCUUGCUGUGAGCAGAACUUUACAUCCGCCCUUAUCAUCUGCCAAUGGAAUUCCAAUGGCCUCCAAAUCAAGACUCCCCCAAAUAUCAUCCAAGAUUAUAAGGAUCUUCGUCUCUUUCUUCAAUCGUUCAAGCAGCCUCCCUGCUCUUACAGUUUCAUGACUCUGUUCAGCCAAUUCUAAGCCUAUCUUCUCUGCGAUUUCUCCUUGUAUAUUUUUUAUUUGCGGUGUUUGGGAAACACGUGAAGAAAUGACCUUCUCAAAGAGAUUAUUUUCCUUGACCUGCCUGCCAACUUCUUUCACCAGCGUUGUCUUUCCAAUCCCACCCAUCCCGUACACUCCAAUCAUGUUGAAGUUACGGUUGCUCAGUGCAUCUAGUAUCUCCUUCAAGGUGGACUUUCUCGAUUCAAAGUGCAUGAAAUCCCAGGUAGACUUAAGCCAUGUCUCCUCUGGAAUGGUACGGAAGGAAACACUGUCGAAGUUCCCUUUUUCACGGAGUCUAACAAGAGCAUUCGCCUCUCUUUCUGCUUUCUUGCUAAGCUGGUACCGAGUCCUCAAAUUUGGACACAACCCUUUCAGACACCGGUUGUUUGACUUCUCUUUGUCUUCAAUAAGUGUUUCGACUUCAUUGAUGAGCUUGUCCACACUAAUCAGCCACUUCUCAACGCGCUGUUGAAUUCCGUCCCCUUUAAUUCGGGAAUCAUCAACCUCAUACUGCACACUUUCUCUAGCAUUCUUUAGCUUAUCGACUUCAUUAUUCAGCUUCUCGAAGUUGGUCUUGUAGGUGCAGCAGUAAGUAAAUGGAUGAAUUAUGGGAGCAACCAAGUACUCUGCAACUUUUGCAGCAACGGAGAUAACAAUUUCCAUUAUCCCUUUCUUUUUUAUUUUUUGCUUUCAGAAAACAGGGGAAAGCAAAACUAAUCAAACUAAGCAGAAGUAAUCAAUCGGGUGGGAAGAGGGAAAUAAGAGGUUUGGAUAAAUUGCUAAAAUAAGAGGUUGAAUAGAUUUAAGGGAGGAAGGGAGGAAAAGAGUGAAAAGUCUAGAGAUGAAACAAAGGGGGACCUUUCUCUGAUAAGACAAAUUGAAAAGCGAGUGCAAUGAAAGAUUUGCAAAGAAGGUGUAGGAUCGAGGACAAGAACGAUUCAGAAAAGGGAGACAGAAAAUGAAGAAGAGAUUUCGGAGAACUCUAGAGAUUAGAGAAGAGGGAUGAUUAGGAUAAUGCAGAGGCAGACGGUUGUGAUCUCAAGUCUCAAGGGUAAUCUGAAUACUGCAAAAUGCCAAACUAAAUUCAUACGAGGAGAAGACUCGUGCUUCCAAGUCAACUAGAUUCUUAAUAUCUGAGAUAGAUGAUUUUUUUUAUAAUUGCAUGUAAAUAGUGUUAAAGUUAUAGGUUAAUUGGACAGCGGAAGGUGGCAUUUUGGCAUUUCAUUGAAUUUUCUUGUUACCAGUAAGUGCUAUGCUGCCGUUGCCGGACUUUAUGAUUUUUUUUUUUUUGAAUUUUCAUUGAAUUUUCUUGCGCUUUUCUAAUAACUCUGCUGUAAAGCCCAAGUUUCGGGACUUUAUGACUUUUUUUUUUAUAAAAAAUUUUCAUUGAAUUUUCUUGCGCUUUUCUAAUAACUCUGCUGUAAAGCCCAAGUUUCCGGAUAUAUGUGAUUAAAAGCUAAGCCAGUGGAUUUGUAAGCGAGCCCACGGCGAAGAAUUUGAGCAAGUAUUUUUAUCUUCUUAUUGUCACAUUCUUCUAAUUAAUUUGCUUUCACCAACAAGUAUAAUUAAUAAUUUGUAAAUAGUUGGAUCUUAAGCUCAAAUUUUGACAAUACAUGAAUGGUAAUGUAUACAUAUUUUUCAAGUGUAAACUCUAUUUAAGAGAGGAUCUCAAUUUUUAAGUUGAGAAGACUCGUGCUUCCAAGAUUCUAUCGUGUAUAAUGGGCAAGACAAUCUUUUUACUUCAAAAAUUUUACAUAAAUUUUUGUGGUUUGAUGGCGUCAAAUUCAAUGGAAACGAAAUAAGUGACUUGAAAAGAUCAAUUGAUCAGUGAUUUGUCAAAAGUUUACUGAUAUUAUUACCCUCCGACACGAUUUUAAGCUUUAUAUCCAGACUAGGGUGACAAAUAUCGUAGCACUACAAUCAUCAAUCUUACUUAGAUAUAAUUAUUUUUAUCUUCUUAUUGUCAUAUUCUUCUAAUCAAUUUUUUUCUUGUUUAUCAACAGAUAUAAUUAAAAAUGUGAAUGUUGGAUCUUGGACUGAAAUCUUUAAAUUUAAAAUCAUGAUCAUUUUAUCAGUAAACUGCAACUCUAUCUUGAUCAAAGUUUUCACCGAAGCAAACAAAGAUUAGUGAUUAGAUGUUAAUAAACAUUAAAAAAAAAUGCUAAUACACGAAUAAUAAGGUAUGCUAAGCGAUUAGACUAAAAAAAAAUGCAGGGGCACAUGUUUGAUCUCAAGACUCAAUGGGUAAUCUGAAUAAUGCAAAAAUGCCAAACUAAAUUUAUAUGAGGAGAAGACUCGUACUUCCAAGUCAACUAGAUUCUCAAUGAUUGAGAUAGAUAGUUAUAAGGGUUAUUAUGGUUUCAAUUUUUUUAAAAACAAUUAUAAGAUAUAAAAUAACUAUAAGAAGUAUUGGUGUUAUCAUUUUAUUAGUAUAUCUUUAAAAAAAACCUUUUAUUUUAUAAUAUUUUUGUUAAAAUUGUGAGUCCAAAACUAACGUCAUACUAAUAUGAAAGGGCUAAAAGUGUCUUUACAUUCAAAACUAUGAUAAAAUUGUAUGCAAAUUAACAUUACAAGGGCAGCAUAUUUAUUAUUGGUUAAGAAAGAGGGAAAAAAAAUUGGAAUCUCAAAUAUCUAGCGUCAUCGUUAUCUUUUUUUCUUCAUUUUUUUUUCUUUUUUCAGACAGUGGUCCGCCAUCUUUGAAAAAUUAUUGGCACUUUCGAAUGGGCAUUAAGCCGUGCAUUGGCAUUGAUGGUCUCAUCUGAAAGAGGAAUUAGAGGAAUUUUGGUAGCAGCAGUGGCUGUGCAAUUUUUUUUAAAAUGAUUUAUCUCUAGGAAUGCGUGAUCAAUUUGAAAGUGGAUUUUAUAUCAAAUUUCUUUGAGAUUGCUUUUCGAUUGAUCAGUUUGAUUUGGCUAUGGAAUGAUGGUUUUAUUACUAUGAGUUUGAAGGAUUUAUGAAAUAGAAAUUAAGAUUGAUAGAAAACAUAUUGAUCUCCGAGUUUUAAUGGCAGUUUCAACUUGUUAUCUUCAAGCCUCACCGGUGGUUUCAAUUUGAUACUUUGAUGAGAGCAAAAUUAGCAAUUUAGCACUAGAGGAAGAUAUUUAAUCACAAGUAUAAGAAGUUUUGACAGCGAAGAGAGGUAUUCUUCAACUAGGUUUAAUUUUUUAUUUUUGUUUUCUUAUGUUUUUAUUCAAAAUUUAAUUAAAUUUUAAAAUAAGGCCAUACUUGAUAUUUUAUUAGUUAACUAACAAUGAUAAACAGAAAUAUAGUAAAAUGAAAGAUUUUACAAAGAUACAAUAACAAAAUGCUAAACAUUAAUUUUUUUUUAUGGUAGUUUUUGAUAAUUUUAAGUGUUUAUUAAAUAUUUUACUAUUGUAAUUUAAAAAUUACAUUUGAUAAGCAAUAAUAGGAGAGAGAGAGAGAAUUAGGCUGCGUUUAUUUUUUGGAUUGGAUUGGGAAUCCUGAGGAGUGGGAACCCUAGGAUUGGGAGUGUGGAGUGGGAGUGGGAGUGAGAGUAGGUUGUUUACUUACACUGGAAUGGAAGCAUGGAAUAGAGAUCAGAAUUCAAUUUAUGUGUUUACUUUGUCUUGAAUUGUGAGUAAAUAGUUUCAAAUUAUAAUUUUAUACUUAUUUAAAGAAUUAUAGUUUUUAAUUACAAAACUAAUAAAAAAUAUAUUUAAUGAAUAAUAUUUAUUUUAUUAUAUUUGUAAAUUUAUUAUAAUUAUUAAUAUUCUUAAUUAUGAACAAUAAAUUAUUAAUUUUAAUAUAAAAUGAAACCUUAUUUUAUUUUAUUUAAUAUAAUUAUAUUAAAUUUAUUAUUAUAUAAAAUAAUAAUAUAAUAUUAUUUAGUACAAAAUUAAUAUUUUCUUAGAAUAAACUAUUUAUUAUUAUUAUUAAAUAAAUAUAGUACUAUUAUUUUUAAAAUAAAUAUAAUAAUAUUAUAUUUAUUAAUUCUCUAUUAAUAUAAUAUUAUUAUUUUAAAACAAUUUUAACUUAGAAUCAAUGCAAAUUAUUAUUUAGUUAAAUAUAAUAUUAUUAUUCAAAUAAAUAUAAUAAUAUUAUUCAAAUAAAUAUAAUAUUAUUUAUUUUAUUUUAUUAAUUAUUAUAUUAAAUUAAAUUAAAUUAAAAAUAAAAGGGUAAAAAAGGCAGAGGUGGAAGUGGAUUCCCACUCCCACCUCCCCCAAUGGGAGUCCCACUCCCACUCCCCACUCCAAAAAUGGGUGGAGCCCACGGAAUGAGAUUCUCAAUCUCUUCCCAUUUUGAGGAAGUAAACGCUGGAGUGGGAGGAAUCCACACUCCUCACUCCCACUCCAGCAAGUAAACACAACCUAAAUAGAUUGAGAAUGAUUUUUGAUUCAGGGCGAGUUUUCGAGUGCUUUACGAACAAUCAAAAUGCUAAUCCUAUUAGCCAAUAAACACAAGUGUUUUGUAAAGAACAUUACGGGAAAAACCCUCUAUAUAAAUAACAAUCGUGUAAUUACGGAGGGCGUGUCUUAAUUACAUGGCAGUUACAUUCAAUAACAACAAUAUUACAGUUGUCUUGUACCAACAAAGUGUUAGCUCCACUGGCAAUGGAGUCCCCUUAAGUGGCUUGAUUGGGUUUGCUCCCAAGUUUGAGUCGCAGGGAAGUCGCCUUUGUUGGGAGAACAUGUGCCUCCCGGUUCGAGUGGGGACUUCUAGUCUGAGUUGUGGUACGGACUUAAAAGUGUCUCCCACAGUUGGGGCCCUUCCCAGAAUACCUCAUGAUUAUAUCAAAAAAAAAAAUAUCACAGUUGUCUUGUUCUUUCACUGUUGAUAAUUAGAAUGAGCUGAUGAAGGCCAAGAGACCCAAAGUGAAGUGACCCAUGUGCUUUCCUAAUUACCCUGCUACAAACUAUAAAGCCGAAGUUUGCGGACUUUAUUAUCAUUUAAAAAAAAAAAUAGAUAUACAAAUAAAAAGACAAAAGAUGAGACUUAUAGUACUAGUGGGGGGCCCCCUGGGUCCUCAACUUCUUCAAAUCAAAUGGGCAUUUUAUCGAACAGUGGAUAUACUCGGCAUCUGCACUUGGAAGACGCGUUAAAAAAUUCUACAUCAUGUUAAAGUCAACUAGAAAGACAAAACAUAGAAAGCGACAAUCCAACAACUCAGUUAAAAUAUUCGCUGUAACAAAUGGUUGCGAUGACGUGUAUAUUUGGGAACAUCAAAUAUAAACAAAGACCAUGUGAAAAAGAAAAGCAAAAAGCUAGAAAUGAAAAAAGGGAGUACAGUGAAAGAUCUGCAAAGAAGGUUUAGGACAACGAUUAUUAUGAAAACGGGACCAGAAGAUGUAUAAGGGAUUUCAGAGAAUUUGAGAGAAGUGGGAUGAUUAAGAAAAUGCAGGAGCAGGACAUUUAUGACCUCUAUUAGUAAUUUGAUUUCGUGAAUCAUUUUCAGAAACAAAAUAAUGCAAACAAUUGGAGACUAGGUGAUGAUAAUGAAAGAUCACAUAACCUACUGGAUAAUUUAUGGAAAAUUUAUACUAAUAACCAUAAACAUUUUAGUUUUUUUCAUCUUAAUCCCCCAAACAAAUUUCUAUCAACAUUAGCCAUAAAAGACUCUUUGAGACCAAAAUAUCAUUCUCCCUCAUCUCCCUUUCACGCAUCUCUCCCAAACCAAACAAACACCCAUCAUCGGCACACCCAUCAUCGGCGGCAACAUCACCCAUCAUCGGCGGCAACAUCACCCGUCCAUUUAACAAAACUUAAGUUAGCCAUUUAACUUAUUUUCAUUAAUUUAAAAUGAAAUUUGAGAUUAAUAAUGGUUAUAAUUUGAGAAUAAUGGUGAUGGUGAUAGUGGUGGUGGUGUUUGUGGUGGUGAUUGUUAUUAUUUUGGGAGUAUAUUGAUUUGAGAGUAUAUUGAAUUGGGAAAUGAUUUGGGGAAUUUUAGGGGGGAUGGGGGUGGCAGUGCGCGCGCGCACUCGCGCGGCCCGCUACUGCACCAAUUUGGUGCGACAGCACGGCUCUGUUGCACCAUUUUUGGUGUGACAGGCACAUUUUUGCCUGUCGCACCAAAAAUUACAGUGGUAUUUUUUUUUUACAAGUCAAGUUUUUUUUUUUUUUUUGCUGUAAAUGUAAUGUAAUAAUUUUAUAAAUAUUACAGAUACAUGGCGAAAUCAGAAUCACCGGAUAUCGAAGUAGGCAAGAUGUAUUUUGGUUAUGCUGAUCACUUUCCUAGUCGAAUUUCGAGCAUGUGUAAGUUAUCUUCGGUCGUAAAAGUCAUCGAGGAAAAAUUAACAAAGCGGCAGUUGAAUAUGUUCAAGAAGGAUAUAUUUGGGAAUUUCUUGGAGUGUCGAAGUUUUCCAUUUAGUGGGGUAAUUUUGCACAAUCUUUUACUAAGGCAAGUGGCCCAUGAAGAAGAUAGCCGUGAGGAUCAGUUAUGGUUUCAAAUUGGUGAGCAUUUGAUUCGCUUGUCAAUUGUAGAAUGGUGCUUGGUUACUGGACUUUCAUAUAGUGUUGAUACCCAACUAAGUGAUGACAAAAAGUGGAUAGGCUACGGAAAACAUAAUUUGGUGGUGCGCAUCACAAGAUCAAUGUUAAGGAAUUCGAUGCAUUAUUUAAGGAGUUGAAAUUCGAGGAAAUGGACGAUAUGGACGCAUUAAAGAUUGUGCUCUUUUAUUUUGCGGACAGAGUACUAAAUGCAAAAAAAAGUCACUGUCAAAUCAAUUUCGAUUGGUUUAAUGAAGUUGAUGAUAUACAGUACUUCCGAAACCGUCCAUGGGGUCUUGUGUCGUGGGAAAUGGUAUAUGUUAGUCUUGAUGAUGCACUAUUCGAGAAAGACGAGAAAUUUAAGACGACUCAGUUGAAAAACCCAGAUCAUAACAUUGAAAAGUACAAUCUUUACGGCUUUACGUCUGGUGUUCAGGUGCGUUGUUUUUUUGUUUAUUAAUAAGUUUUAUAGUAUUAAAUAUUUGAUAGAUGUGUUAAUAGAUUUUUCACUUUGGUUGUUGCAGGCUUGGAUUUACGAAGCGAUCGGAGGUUUGCCGUCAACAUGGGUCGUGAAAACGAAGAACAAGAUUCCUCGCAUCGUGUAAUGGAAGUGUUGUGCAAAUUUUAAUGUACUCGCAAGCGCACGAAUCUAUUGUAGUAUAGAUCAAUGGUGACGAGUGUCGAUCCCACGAGGAGGUGGAUUUUAAUUGUGUAUAGAAUUAAUUUUGCAAAUGGUUGAUUGGAUUUGUGGUGGAAAUGAUUUGGAAUAUGCUAAAACUUAAAUUAAAAUGGCGAGAAUAAAUUCUGAAAUUGGAAUUGAAAUGGCGAGAAUAAAUUGAAGAGAAUUCUAUUGAAAUGACGUACUUGGGUAUCUAGAUCCGUAUCAACAUGCAUCAUGGGCUAAAUAAUCCGUAUUAAUGCCAAUUAAAUCAUGAGGGGGGAAUCCACACCUCAUGAACCACGCUCUAAUCAAUAUGGUGCUAAGGGCUUAUCGUGCCAAAUAAUAAUAACCUUAUACUAGAGAGCCGAUGUAACCAAGGCGGUAUCUAGACAAGAUCAGUAUUAUUUGUCGACGAUAAGUCAAAUCAUCCACAAAAACUAGAGGGGAAAAGAAAAUAAAUUUACCAAAUAAAGCCCAUGACACAUGUUGAGACUUCACCUUCAACCCAAGCUUGAAAAGAAAUUAGCUACUCAUAAUUGAACUGGGGGCAAAAUGGGAAUUUAUUAAAAUAUAAAGAAAAUACAAGAUGGAGAAGGAAUUACAGAAAAUGGAUCCCAAAAAUGGAUUCAGAGAUAUCAAAUUAGGGGGGAGAGGCCCCCUUUUUAUAGAUACAUGGAGUAAAUCAUGGCCAUCGGAUUAAAAACAGUUUGGACGCUCAGGAUUGCGCCACGUCAUCAGUCAACAGUCCACGGUUUGACCACGCGGAUGAACAGUAACAUGGUUUGACCCGGAUGAACAGUAACGCGGUUUGACCCGGAUGAACAGUAACACGGUUUGGUUGAAAAUAAUCCUGUGUGAUGCAUGCACCGUACGCGAGAUUUUUUGUCCACUGAUAUGCUGCCACGUCACCAUCAACAGUACAUAAGAAUUUUAGUCCAACAGGAUCGUGACACCUCAUCAGUCAAUGCCACAUCAUCGGUCAAUGCCACGUCAUCAUCCAUCUAUGUGAACAGUAUCGUGAACAAUAACGUAUACAGUACCGUACACGUGAAUAGUUCCGUACAUGUGAAUAGUGCCAUUUUUUCUUUUAUGCCCCUCCUAAGGUUUUCGACUGUCCUGAGUUGAAAAGUGAUGUCCGUUUUGCCGUCUGAUCUCUCCUUUAUUGUGAAAUGACUAUAAUGCCCCUAAAAUACAUAAAAUACUUAAUUAAAAUAACAUACGCGUAAUUACAUCACAAGAAGGUUAAAUACAUAAAAGUAAGAGUUGUUAGUAAGACUUGAAAUGUAAAAUGAUGGUUUUCUCCUUUAUAAAUAUGCAUUUUCUAACACUCAACACACCCCCCAACCAGCUUAUUGCUAGUCCCUAGCAAAUAAAGCGAAAACAAAAUUCAAAUUCAAAAUGAUUUAUUUUUUAUUUUUUAUUUUUAUUUUUUAUUUUUAGAAACACUCGUGUUUAUUCAAUCAGAUUAAUGAUAGCAAUCAAAUAAAAGUAUAAGCAUUAUCUCCAGUCUAAAGUAACAUCACACCCACAUCAACCAUCCACAUGAAUUAGCCCAGUAGACUUUGUUAUAGCUACUUUCAAGAAUGACAUGUCAAACCCCAAAAUCUCACUGGAAGUAGUGACACUCUCACAAAGAAAUUAAAACCCAAUAAACAUAGUCACUUCAAUGAAUGGUAUUUGAGAGAGAAAAUAAUAAAGAAAUGAUAUCACAUGCUCUCACCAAGAUGAAAUAAAUAUGCCCUCAACUUAGAAAUAAUACGAUCUCAAGUCAAAUAAAAUGUUAGUCAACCCACUUUAUUUAUCUUUUUUUUUUCUUUUUUUUCUUUUAUUAUGCAUCACUACAUCUUUUUAGCCCAUAUAACUAGCUUCUACUUCAAACUAUAGUUCCCUAAAAUCAAGAAGGACUUUUAUUAGGACGUAACGUAGGCUAGGGAUAUGGCUAACAAAGAAAGGAAAUAAGGAAAACAAAGUGUAUGUUUGAGAAAAAUGCAGAUUUUUUUUUUUUUUUGGAACUUGCAAGGUGGAUUUCACCUAUUAUUGUUAUUUUUAUUCUUUUGAAACAACAACUUUUGUUUUUGUUUUUGUUUUUGUUUUUUUUUUUGCUUUUAUUUGGCAUAACUUCUCUGAACAACAUAAUUAUUUACAUUUUCUCAAACAUAAAUAGGUGAUGGAACUUAAAAGAUAUUGGGUAAUACUCCAAAUCGGAGUGGGUCAAGAUGAUAAGUUGACAAAGAAAAGGUUUUUGUUCUUUUUUUUUUUUUUUAAAGGCUCAAAAGGGGUAACUAUGGAUAUUUAAUAAAAGGGAUGGCUAGAAAGGCUCAAACGGAUCAAAGAUGGCCUUUCCAUUGUCUUUUAGGGCUCUAAAUAAUUAUCCAUAUCUACUAGUUAGAUGGGCCUCCCAAUGUAGCAACACACAUUUUUUUCUUUUUUUUAAUUUUACCAUAUUAUUUUUUUUUAAAGGGUUAACUUAAAAGAAAUCUAGAGAUCGUGUAUAAAAUAAUAAACUGCUAAGCUGUAUAGAGAAUGGGCAAAAGGGUUACUCUCCAAGAAAAUGAUAGGCUCAACAACUCACUUGGCACUUAUUUAUGACAUGUUCAUUCCUUCAAGCAACUCAUAUUUGUCUCCGACAUCAACAUGUAAAGUAGCAAACAUAGCGUAACAUCACUUAAGACCAAAGAUAAUACAAAUACUAAAAUUUGAAAUUAAUCAUGUUAUCCAAUGUUAAAACAAAUAACACAAUUUUUUUUUUUUAAACAACAUUCUACCCCCCAACCUAUUCUAAACAUGAAAGGACAAUAUGCAUGCAGAAAUGUGAAAAUGAUGUAGAAAAAAUUAAUUAGAAAAAGAAAUUUUUUUUUUUUAACUAAGAAGAUGCGUUUCUAGAGGCACUACACUCCAUAUUCAGCCAUCUUCGACUCAAAAAUUUGAAAAUAUAUAUUUAUAAAGGAGAAAGAGGAAGAAAACGAUUUUUUUUUGUUUUUUUUUUGUUUUUUAAACGAUGAAGAUGCGUUUCUAGAGUAACUACACUCCAUAUUCAGCCAUCUUAAACACAAAAUGUUAGCAACAGUUAGUUUCUACAACAAAAAAUCAGUAAAAACUUAACCAAGAUUCCACAAUUGUCGACUAUUCCCUCCCCCCAACCAGAACGAAACAUUGUCCUCAAUGUUUUAAAGGAAAGAAGUAGAGUUUAGAAUACAUCACCUGGGUGGUGCAACACAGAAGAAAAUAUUUACAGGCGGAGAGUUAUAUCUAAUUUGUACUUCUUACUGCGGCUACUGUUACCAUCAUUAUUUGGUCGCUCCAACACAAAGGUCCAGGGGUCUGGCUCCGGUUUAUAAGCUUGUAACAUAUCAAGUAGCUCAUUAGCAGUGUGAGCACAAAUAAAGAGUUUUUUCACAUUAGAAGGAAUGAAAUAGUUUUUUAUUGCAUGGUUAAGAAAUGCGAUAAAGCCAUCAUAAAAGUUAUUGACAUUUAACAAACCGAUGGGUUUAUGGUGGAUGUGCAGAUGGGCCCAAGAUGCUAGUGUGAUAAGUGCCUCUAGUGUUGCAAGAUCUCCUGGAAGGAAAAUAAAAGCAUCAGCAUGAUUAAGCAUUUCAGUUAUUCUUUCUUGCAUACCUGAGACGACUAACUCUUCUCCAGUUGAUGAGUCAGACGAACUACCCAAUGGUUUUAGGACUCUUGGGAUGAUGCCUAACACUUGACUUCCUCUGAUAAAAGCUGCUUCUGAGACCAUUUUUGAUAACCCUCGGUUACCUCCUCCAUACACCAAAUGUAAUUUUCUCGCUGCUAUGCUUCGACCAAGAUCUAUGGCUGCCUCCACGAACUCUUUAUGUUUGCCAUAGGUAAAUCCAGAAAGCACACAAAUGUUCUUGAAUUGUCUAUUGGGAGUAGCUGCCAUUGUGAUACUUCUCAAAAACAAUUUGUGAGUGCUUGACAAAAGAUAAAUUACAUUUAAGAAUCUUGGUGACAGUGGAUCACAGCUGUGAAUGAGGUAACAUGUCAGUGUCAAAUAACGCGUAAAGCACGUGGCUCGCGAGUCAAAAAGGAAACAGUAAAAAGGAAAAAGCAAACAGUAACAAAAUUAUUAAAGACAAUAAUGCAAACAAUAAAACAACAUUGAAAUGAAAUAAAAUAAUAGUAAAGUAAAAGGAUAUUUACAUGUAGUUGCGACUGUGGCUCACAUCUUCCUCUGGUUUUACGUCCAGAAACGGCUUGAACGCCCUCUAUGGGUCGAGGAUCGGCUUCCCAUCCAGUUUUCUUAUAAACUGACAAACAGGGUCGUUUAUAGUCAGAUUCCCGAGACUAUAUCGUGCAUGCUCUUUCUGGAAUAAUGGCCAUAACCGGAGAAUCGCUCCUUGCACAUAUCCACUGGGAUGCGUUUCAAGAGACAAAAGGAUAUCAUCCAAUGACUCCUUAUUCAAGCCAUCCCUAAUGAAUUGAAUCUUAUCUUCCCUGUUAUCAGACACCAUUCCUAAAGAACAUGGGUUUCUAUCGCAACUCAUUCUGGCACACUUAUGACAAGCAACAGAAAUUCUUCGAGCUCGUCGUUUUCUUGCAUAAUUUCCUUUACCACAACCAGGCAUGUAUGCAAUAAAUUUUGGAGGUAACUCACCUGCCGAUCGUACUUUAGCCUCGAUUAACCAACGGAUGUCAGCAGGUAUGUUAUUCUUCAUGAGUAAUCGCAUGCGUUCGGACCGAGCUUUAUAGAUCGUAAGGAGGGCAUUCUGAGGAAGUGAAGGGAAUCGCUUGUGAAGCUUCGUUAGAAUCUCGUUUCUGUCCAUACUUUCGCCUCAGAAUGUCAGUUAUUGUGGGAAACUGAAGUAACCGACUUGAUUGUCACGGAGUACCGUUAUCCGCCAUUUCACCGGGGUAACAAACUAAAGCACACAAACAGAAAAACAAAUUAAAACACACAAAGAAAAUUAAAAUCGUCCUCUUAUUGAAUUUACCUCAAGCUCCAACUGGAUGUCGUAAACACUUCUCUCAAUGUCUCUGAGUUGGCGUUCUAAACCCUCAACAUAGGUUACUAACUCUGGUGGUUGUAGAGCCCAAAUACGUUGUGUUUUACAAAAUUGAAUCUGCUUUUUGAGAUGAGUUUUGACACGUUGAAGUGGUUUAAGAAUGUUCAGGAGGAACGGUCUAAGUAUGGUACUCAUGAUUAACAAUGAUAAGAAAAAAAAAACUUAAUGGUAAAACAAACACACUUAUGCAAAAAUAAUUUCAAUUAGCAAAAGAAUAAUAAAAAGAAAGAAAGAAAAAUCAAAUCAACAAAAAGAAAAAAAAUCAAUUCAAAUCUGGUGGGUCACUCAAAUUUAUUUCGGUGUCUUCUCCAUGUGGUUGGUACUCAAGAUAUGGCUUUAAUCUUUGACCAUUAACUUUAAACGUGACACCGUUCUUUGGGUCCUUAAUUUCAAUUGCCCCAUGUGGAAAAACAGUAUGAACAAUAAAGGGACCAGACCAUUCUAGAGCGUAACUUACCUGGGAAUAGAUGCAAACGAGAAUUGAAUAAAAGCACUUUCUGACCUGGAGUGAACAAUUUUCUCAUAAUGUGCUUGUCAUGAAAGACUUUCAUUCGUUGCUUGUAAAUUUUGGCAUUUUCGUAUGCAUCAUUGCGAAUUUCUUCAAGUUCUGCCAGUUGUAAUCUUCUUUCUGAGCUGGCUUGCUGCAUGUCAAAGUUGAAUUUCUUGAUGGCCCAAUACGCACGAUGCUCGAGUUCUACAGGUAGGUGGCAAGCUUUUCCAUACACUAGCCUAUAGGGUGACAUCCCAAUUGGGGUCUUGAAAGCUGUUCUAUAUGCCCAUAAUGCAUCAUCAAGUCUUAAUGACCAAUCUUUUCUGUCUGGCCUCACCGUCUUUUCUAAUAUGUGCUUUAUUUCUCGAUUGGAGAUCUCAACUUGGCCACUGGUUUGCGGAUGAUACGGGGUUGCCACUUUGUGUGUGAUUGAAUACUUUGUCAAAAGAGCUUUGAAUGCUUUGUUACAAAAGUGGGCACCACCAUCACUGAUUAUUGCUCGAGGGAAUCCAAAGCGUGAGACAAUGUUGCUUUUCAAAAAUCCUAUCACCACUUUGUGAUCAUUGGUUCUACAUGGAAUUGCUUCUACCCAUUUUGAGACGUAGUCAACACCAACCAAUAUGUAUUGAUGGCCAAAAGAAGAGGGAAAGGGUCCCAUGAAGUCGAUACCCCAUACGUCAAAAAUCUCAACCACUAAAAUUGGAUUUAGUGGCAUCAUGUUCCUUCGUGUAAUACUCCCCAUUCGUUGACACCUAUCACAUGAAGAACAGAAAGUGUAAGCAUCUCGAAAUAUAGUUGGCCAAUAAAAACCACAUUGUAAAACUUUAGUCGCUGUUUUCUUAGCACUGAAAUGGCCUCCACAAGCUUGUUCAUGGCAGAAUGAAAGGAUAUUCUGAAUUUCACUUUCUGGGACACAUCGUCUAACAAUUUGGUCUGCACAAUACUUGAACAAAUACGGGUCAUCCCAAAAGAAAUUCUUUAUUUCUGCAAAGAAUUUAGCCUUGUCUUGCUUGGUCCAAUGCUCUGGAAGUUUACCUGUAACAAGAUAAUUAACUAUAUCAGCAUACCAAGGUAAUACUUCCACAUUCAUUAAUUGUUCAUCUGGGAAUGACUCAUUCAAUAUUAAUGGCUCUGUAAUUGUGUCAAAAUGGAGACGAGAGAGAUGGUCCGCCACAACAUUUUCUGUCCCUUUCUUAUCUUUGAAUUCCAAGUCAAAUUCCUGCAAAAGUAACACCCAACGAAUUAGUCUAGCUUUUGCAUCUUUCUUUGUGAGAAGAUAUUUAAGAGCAGCAUGAUCUGUGAAUAUAAUUAUUUUACAACCAAUGAGAUAAGAUCGAAAUUUUUCCAAUGCAAACACUACUGCUAGCAUUUCUUUUUCAGUAGUUGAAUAGUUCAACUGUGCAUCAUUCAAUGUCAUACUAGCAUAGUAAAUAACAUGGGGAACUCGAUCAACUCUUUGUCCUAAUACUGCUCCUACUGCAUAAUCAGAUGCAUCACACAUGAGCUCAAAUGGUAAGCUCCAGUUUGGGGGCUGAAUGAUGGGUGAUGAUGUCAACAAAUGCUUUAAUUUUUCAAACGCAACAAGACAUGAAUCAUUAAAGAUAAAAGGUACAUCCUUAGCAAGUAAAUUGCAUAAGGGUCUAGAAACUUUGCUAAAAUCUUUAAUGAAACGUCUAUAGAAACCAGCAUGUCCAAGGAAAGAUCUUACUUCUCUGACUGUUUUAGGUGGAGGAAGAUUAGAAAUGAGAUCCACCUUAGCUUUGUCAACCUCAAUACCUUUGCUCGAAAUGAUGUGACCGAGAACAAUACCAUGUUUUACCAUAAAAUGGCACUUCUCCCAAUUCAAGACUAAGUUCUUCUCGAUACAUCUCUGCAGAACUAGUGUUAGAUGAUGUAAACAUUGAUCAAACGAGUCACCAAAGACAGAAAAAUCAUCCAUAAAGACUUCAAGGAAUCGUUCCACCAUAUCAGAAAAAAUGCUCAACAUGCAUCGUUGAAAUGUAGCAGGUGCAUUACAUAAUCCAAAUGGCAUUCUCCUAUAUGCAAAAGUGCCAAAAGGGCAAGUGAAAGUAGUUUUCUCCUGAUCUUUUGGUGCUAUGGGAAUCUGAUUAUAUCCUGAGUAGCCAUCUAGGAAGCAAUAAAAUUCAUGGCCUGCUAAUCUAUCAAGCAUUUGAUCGAUAUUUGAUCGAUAAAUGGUAAAAGAAAAUGGUCUUUACGUGUGACAGAAUUCAACUUUCUAUAAUCAAUGCAUACACGCCAUCCUGUAGUUACUCUAGUUGGUAUCAAUUCAUUAUCGGCAUUCGUAACUACUGUGACUCCUGACUUUUUGGGGACAACUUGUACAGGACUGACCCAUGAACUAUCAGAAAUUGGGUAAAUGAUACCUGCGUCUAAUAGCUUAAGGACUUCUGUUCUAACAACUUCUUUCAUAUUAGGAUUUAACCGACGUUGCAUUUCCCUAGUAGAUUUAGCAUUUUCAUCAAGAUGAAUGUAAUGCAUGCAAUCUGCAGGGUUUAUACCUUUUAUGUCUGCUAUGGUCCAUCCUAAUGCUCCUUUGUGCUCUUUUAAAACAUCCAACAACUUACAUUUUUGUUCGUCAUUUAGGGAUGAUGAGAUGAUUACUGGUAGAGUGCUUUCUUCUCCCAAAAAUGCAUAUUCCAAUGUGUUGGGCAAUGGUUUGAGCUCGAGUUUCGGUGGUGAUUCUGAUGAUGGGAUGAGUUUCUUCUCUGAUGGUGCUAGUUGUUCAACUCUUGACUUCCAUUUAUUAGUGUCCAUGGAUGGUGCUGAGUCAAGUAGGGCGUUGACCUCUUCGAUCGAUCUAUCAAUAUCAAAAUCAAAACUAAAGUGAGUUAAGCAUGUCUGUAAAGGAUCAUCACUAAGGUUUGAAAGAAAAGUGUCAUCAAUUAAUGCUUCAAUUAAAUCCACAUCAACAACUUCAUCAUCUGCAUUAUGAGGUUGUUUGGCAAUGUUGAAAAUGUUUAGUUCCAUAGUCAUGUUGCCGAAGGACAACUGCAUAUUUCCAGUCCUGCAUUGAAUGUGAGCAUCCGCAGUUGCCAAGAAAGGUCGGCCUAGGAUAAUGGGGAUGUGCUUCCUUGAAUCCUGUAUUGGUUGAGUGUCAAUUACAAUGAAAUCAACAGGAAAAUAAAACUUGUCUACCUGGAUAAGCACGUCCUCCACAAUACCACGAGGUAUUUUCGUGGACCGAUCUGCAAGCUGUAACACCACUGGAGUUGGGUGUAAUUCUCCCAGUCCAAGUUUCACGAAUACAGAGUAAGGCAAAAGAUUUACACUAGCUCCUAAAUCCAACAAAGCAUUCUCAAUUGUGUGGUUCCCUAUACUACAUGAGAUAGUAGGGGAGCUUGGGUCUUUGCAUUUUAGAGGAAUUUUAUGUUGGAGUAUAGAACUAACGUUUUCUGUUAAAAAGGCCUUCUUUUGAACAUGCAUAUUUCUCUUUUUAGUACAAAGGUCUUUAAGAAACUUGGCAUAAGAUGGAAUUUGUUUUAUAGCAUCAAGCAAAGGGAUAUUGACACUUACCUGUUUGAAGAAUUCGAGAAUCUCACCUGUGGAUUUUCCCUUCUUUCCUUUAGCUAACCUCUGAGGAAAUGGAGCUUUGGGAACGUAUUCUCGUGGGUUGGUUUCUUCUUUUUCCUCCGGUGGUGAGUCCUCAGCAUUCACAGGUACAAUUUGAUUUUCUUUUGUCACUGGCAUCUCCACUUUGUUGUCGACUUCCUUUCCUUUUCGCAAGGUCAUGACUGCUUUGACCUCUCCAUGCUGUUGUGGUGAACUGGUACUUGCUUCAUGUACUCCUUUAGGAUUAGGCACUGGUUGACUUGGAAAUUUACCUUUCUCAACAGUAAUUGCCAAGGUCUGAACUGAAGAAGCAAGUUGUCCCACCAUCUUCUCGAGGCUUGAAACUGAUUGGGCUUGUGAGUUGAAGCCCGCUCUCAACUCAUUUCGUAGUCCAUCAAUGGUGCGAUUCUGUUGCUCAAUCGUAGAGUGAGUAACAUUCUUGAAAUUCUGGAAUGCAUCCUCCCAUGGUCUGGGUUGAGAGUAGUUCUGGUUCUGAUUGUAUGUUCUAAAUGGGGGCUGAGAGGCUUGAGGAACUUGAGGAAUUUGUUGCAUUGGUGGAGCUAGAGCUGCUGGUCCAUUUUGUUGGAAUCCUUGAGACCAUGAAAAAUUGGGGUGGUCUCUCCAUCCAGGGUUAUAUGUGUUGGAGUAUGGGUUGUAAUUUGAUGGCUUUCUCAUUACACCUAUGGCAUUGGCUUGAUCUGGGUAUGAGUCAUGGUCAUGUGGUUCUGUUGAUUUAGCAGUCGAUAACGAUGCUAUUUGUCGAGAGAGACCUUCAAUUAUCGCUUUGACUUCUUUAAUUUCUGAACUUGACUCGCCAAUGUGAACCUCAUUUACUCCCUUAAUUCUUCUAGUAUUCCUGAGUGAUCGACUCCGUUGUUGGGAAUUAUCCGCUUGUCGCUGGAAGAAUUCCCAAAUCUCUGAUGCACUUUUUGACAUUAGCUCUCCUCCACUUGUUGCCAUUAGCCAUUCUUGCACAUUCGGCAAUAAUCCCUCCAAAAAGUAUUGGCAUUGGUGCCAUUUCUCGUACCCAUGAUGUGGACACUUCAAGAGUAGCCCAUUGAAUCGCUCCCACGUUUCGAAAAACUGCUCGUCAUCUCUCUGGGUAAACUCUGAGAUUUCCCUGCGAAUAGCAUUGGUUUUAUGCACUGGGAAAUAUUUAUUUAAAAAUUUCGUUACCAUUUGUUCCCAUGAUGAAAUGCUAUUAGCAGGUAAAGUAUUUAACCAUGAACGAGCUCUAUCUUUUAAAGAAAAUGGGAAUAGUCUAAGUUUAACAUCAUCGUCUGAAAAAUUUUCAUAUUUAAAAGUUUGACAAAUGGCAUGAAAAUCAUUCAGAUGAUUAUAUGGAUCCUCAUUUUCUAGGCCAUAGAAUGUGGGGAGACAAUUUAGCACACUAGGUUUUAAUUCAAAACUCCUAGCAGCUACAUUUGGGUAUCUUAUGCAUGAUGUGCUCAAAUUAGCUAAGGGACUAAAAUAGUCCUUAAAUGGCCUCUCCUGUGGUGCUUGUAAAUCCAUUCCAAAUUUAUUUUUAAUGUGCUUGUGUGUGCGAAGUGUUUUCUCAAGUUCAAGGUCUAUAGGUUCAAGAUUAGGUAAUAAAGACCUACGACCAUGCAUACAAGGAACACAAAGAUAAAUCGGAACAAAACGAAUAAAAAUAAAGAAAAAGAAGAAAUUACGAUACUAACCUUAUUGCGCUGUUACAACUUUUCUAUAAAAAUACACUAAAACAAAUACGUGAAAUAAAUUAACUAAAAAUAAAUUAAUAAAAAAAAUUACAAAGAAAAAUAACUUAAAAAUUAAAUUGCAGAAUUGUAAAGAAUAGAGAAAGAAAAGAAAUUAUUACCUCUAAUUGCAUAUUCACUUUUUUUUUCUCUUUUUUUUUGUUUAUAAAAAAAAAUACAAGAAAACAAAUAAAAGAAAUUAUUCACAAAAAUUAAUUCUAUGAAUUAAAAUUACUUACCUCCCCGGCAACGGCGCCAAAAACUUGUUGUGCAAAUUUUAAUGUACUCGCAAGCGCACGAAUCUAUUGUAGUAUAGAUCAAUGGUGACGAGUGUCGAUCCCACGAGGAGGUGGAUUUUAAUUGUGUAUAGAAUUAAUUUUGCAAAUGGUUGAUUGGAUUUGUGGUGGAAAUGAUUUAGAAUAUGCUAAAACUUAAAUUAAAAUGGCGAGAAUAAAUUCUGAAAUUGGAAUUGAAAUGGCGAGAAUAAAUUGAAGAGAAUUCUAUUGAAAUGAUGUACUUGGGUAUCUGGAUCCGUAUCAACAUGCAUCAUGGGCUAAAUAAUCCGUAUUAAUGCCAAUUAAAUCAUGAGGGGGGAAUCCACACCUCAUGAACCACGCUCUAAUCAAUAUGGUGCUAAGGGCUUAUCGUGCCAAAUAAUAAUAACCUUAUACUAGAGAGCCGGUGUAACCAAGGCGGUAUCUAGACAAGAUCAGUAUUAUUUGUCGACGAUAAGUCAAAUCAUCCACAAAAACUAGAGGGGAAAAGAAAAUAAAUUUACCAAAUAAAGCCCAUGACAUAUGUUGAGACUUCACCUUCAACCCAAGCUUGAAAAGAAAUUAGCUACUCAUAAUUGAACUAGGGGUAAAAUGGGAAUUUAUUAAAAUACAAAGAAAAUACAAGAUGGAGAAGGAAUUACAGAAAAUGGAUCCCAAAAAUGGAUUCAGAGAUAUCAAAUUAGGGGGGAGAGGCCCCCUUUUUAUAGAUACAUGGAGUAAAUCAUGGUCAUCGGAUUAAAAACAGUUUGGACGCUCAGGAUUGCGCCACGUCAUCAGUCAACAGUCCACGGUUUGACCACGCGGAUGAACAGUAACAUGGUUUGACCCGGAUGAACAGUAACGCGGUUUGACCCGGAUAAACAGUAACACGGUUUGGUUGAAAAUAAUCCUGUGUGAUGCAUGCACCGUACGCGAGAUUUUUUGUCCACUGAUAUGCUGCCACGUCACCAUCAACAGUACAUAAGAAUUUUAGUCCAACAGGAUCGUGACACCUCAUCAGUCAAUGCCACAUCAUCGGUCAAUGCCACGUCAUCAUCCAUCUAUGUGAACAGUACGUGAACAAUAACGUAUACAGUACCGUACACGUGAAUAGUUCCGUACAUGUGAAUAGUGUCAUUUUUCCUUUUAUGCCCCUCCUAAGGUUUUCGACUGUCCUGAGUUCAAAAGUGAUGUCCGUUUUGCCGUCUGAUCUCUCCUUUAUUGUGAAAUGACUAUAAUGCCCCUAAAAUACAUAAAAUACUUAAUUAAAAUAACAUACGCGUAAUUACAUCACAAGAAGGUUAAAUACAUAAAAGUAAGAGUUGUUAGUAAGACUUGAAAUGUAAAAUGAUGGUUUUCUCCUUUAUAAAUAUGCAUUUUCUAACACUCAACAGGAAGCCCAUGGCGUCUUCGAGAAUCAACUUUGCUGAGGUUUAUUCAUUCUUCAACGACGAAUCUCGUAUUGUAAGUAAUAUGUAUUAGUUAUUUUUUUAACUUUACUAAAUUUAAGUUAUGUAUACGUAAAAUUUUCAAUUGAAUUUAUGGCAGGGGGACGUUUUACAAACCCUUGAGCCAAAUUCAAAGGAGAGUAGCAGAAAAUAUUAGCUCACUGUGAAGGAUUACAUGCCAAGCAUUCCAGACUGGGUUCAUAAGGUCGGUUAUAAAUCUAAGUACUAUAAAUUAUAUUUAAUCGAAAUUUUUGACUUUUCAUUUAUUAAUUUUAAACGAUACUUGAUACAACACCAACCCUCAAUCAAUGCGAUGCCAUCGGUUUCAAGGCAAUCAGACGAGCAUGACGAGCAUGACGACAUACCAAACCCAACACCAGAGCAGCGUCAUGACACUUCUGAGGAUGAGGUGGCUGUUGAUGACCACCAGGAGCAGACACAUGCCAACUCUGAUGACGCACAUGAUUCUGAGGUUAUAAAUAAUAUACGAUAUUCUUCUUUUAUUAAUCAUUAUUGUUUUACUGUUAUUGUAAAGAUUUACUUAUUUUCUUUUGUAAUAGUCGAGGACAAAGCAGUUUAAUGAUUAUGUGCGACGACGGCUUGAUAAGAUUGCUCGUAACGUGUAUGAAUUGAAGUCGGAAUUAAAAGAUUUUAAAGAAACCGUGGUUGGCUUUAUCGACACCUUUUCUACACGUCCAAAUAAGGAUUCUCCCACAGGACGCUCGUAUGCGGUGAGCAUAAUUAAAUUUAAUAAUUAUGUUCGUUUAACUUUUAAUUUAAUAGUUGUUUAAUAUGUUCAUCUUGGAGAAUGGAUAGGCCCCGGAUGACUAUGGAGUGUAUACUGACGUGGGCAAUCAAAAUUUGUCUACGCCCACGUCAUUGUAUAGUUUCUACGGGGAUGUUAGUGGGGAGAGCGUGCAGGUGUUCUCUGAGGUGCCUCCAGGCGUUAGUAAGUUCGGCCGCGCGUACAUACUGUCGUAUGUUUAUAACAGUCCUUACAUGAUUCCUCCACUCAGGCGAGGAAAGAACGCCCGGCUUAUACCUCGAUCCCAAAUCAUGGACCAUGCCCAAGACAUGAAUACGAGUGUAGAUAUAAAUCCACUGAGAGGAUUGGAGGAUUCUAGUCUGUUUACUGAGUUUGAUCGAUGGUUCGCUGGUAAUAUGACAGUGGUUCGGAGAGUCCAGCACCCGCGGUCAUUUUUUCAAAUACUUUUGGGUUUAACUUCGAUGGGAUGGCUAGGCGAUGAGGUAAUUAUAUCUUCGAAGUUCUUUGAGUGUUGUGGAUUUGUGUAUAAAUUUUAUUUUUUAAAUCGUAAUGUUUCUGUUUCUCAACAGCAUAUUCACGAGUAUCUUCGCUUGAUUAGCGAGAAACAACGGCAGUAUCUGAAUGCCUUAGUUCAACGUGUCACACAUACUGACACAUUUUUUUGGGUAACGUGCCGACAAAACUUAUAAAUACUAUUUAUGUUUUUUUAAUUAUUGCCUUUAAGUUUUGUUAAUUUAUGCAUUUCUUGGUUAUCUGUGUACUAGGUGUUCUUGAAUCAGUUAUGGAACAACGGGGAUUGUGCGGUCGAUUCAUUAGUAUUCGACGACUGCUUGAAUAGUUAUCUUUGUGGGCAACAGCACACAAUGUCCAAAUCAAUGACGGAUAUCGAUAUGGUAUGUAUUUUAUUGCAUUUCACAUACUCCAUAAUGAAAAUAUCCAAGUUGUCGUUUUUUCUUGGUUGUAUUUCAAUUUCAUAUAUAACGGGCAUGUUUUUCAAUUUUUAUAUACAGUUACUUAUCCCUGUUAACUUGGACGGUGCGCAUUGGGUAGUAGCACGAGUUGACCUUCGGAAAAACAAAGUAUGAAUUUAUGACUCAUUACUCACAUUUCGCGACGACAAAGGUACUAGUUGAAAUUCAAGCCACUUGAAGUUAUAUUCCCUCGAUGGUUGGAAUAUGUUGGCUUCUACAACAUCCGACCUGAGUUGCGGAGUGCAGACCCCUGGAAAGUUAUGGCAAUUAAGAGCGCGCCACAACAAGAGCCCGGAACUGGCGAUUACGGUGUUUUUGUAUUGAUGGUUAUGAUGUAUUUAAUGUUCGGGCUUAGAUUGGAGUUUAACGCUAGUCAUGUCGAGUACUUUAGAAAGAAGAUUGCGGUUGACAUAUUUAAUGACGAUAUUGUAUUGUAAACUGUUGUAGUAAUUUGAAUGUUGAAACUUUAAUUUUUAUUUUAAUUUGCGCACUUAAGUUUAUAUAAUUUUAAUGUUCACGUAUAAGUGUACAAUACACAAAAAACAAUAACAGUUAUAACCAACGAAACACAAAAACAAUAACAAUUUUAACCAACAAAUCAUUGAAAUAAUACAACUAACUUCGAGUCGACGCAAUGGGAUUCUUACAUCACUUACGAUUAUGGCCCAGUUCAUGACACCGCCCGCAUCUUACAGUCCGUCGGUUAACGUCCUCACCAGCCGAGGGUAUUCUGAGCUCUUUACGACGGCCAAGUGGUGGUGCCUUAACUGGUGGGUAUACUUGCAUCUCCUGAAUUUCAUCUGGAACUUUCCAAUCAGCCACAUCACCAACUAGCUCCACUGGUUGUGCAUAAGCCAUCGUCAACGAUUCUGUAGUGUAAACGUCCGAGCAAAGGUUAAUAAAAUCCACCUGGUGUGUUAGAAACGCCGCAAUUGCAUGAACACAUACAAGCUGAUCAAGCUGAAAUACUCUGCAGGAGCAAGUUUUCUUUUGCAAGUCAACCAAACCUUCCUUAAGCCCACCAUCUAUAACUUGAAAUCGAUGCGGAGACACUGGCCGAACUAUCAUUUUUUCAGCUAUAGUUCUCCUCUCAGUGACUAUUUCAUCCGCCCAUGUUGUUAGCCGAGUACUCAUUGAUUUAGCCACAAUUUUUCUAUCAUAAAACCAUUGCUGCAACGUUUUCCUAAAGUGAUCAACAAGAUGAGUAACAAGAAAUUUUCGCGGUUCCCUCAUGAAAGAGUUAACACUCUCCGCGAUGUUGGUGGUAAGUAUACUGUACCUCCUACCUUCAAACUGAGACCUUGCCCAAUUACACGUACCGACAUUAUUUUCUAGGUAGUCAGCCGCACCCGAGUGGAUCAUCCACAACCCUUCAAGUUGUCUCUUAAAUUCCUCGUGGCCAUAUGCUUUUGCUGCAUUAAUAAAGGCAGGCUCAAAUUGAUCCCAAAGAGCUUUUGACAUUCUAAAUUGUGACUUAAUGUUAUAUUUCAUGUGGUAAAAACAAACGCCGUGAGUUGCAUUGUGAAAUACUUUAAGAAUGGCUCUCCUUAUGGCAGUGCAUCGAUCAGAUAUAAUUACCAACUCAAGUCUAUCGCCAAUCACUCCGUGUAACUUCAUCAUAAACCAUUCCCAAGCAUCAUUGUUUUCUGAAUCCAUGAUCCCAAUGGCUAACGGAUACAAUUGAUUGUUACCAUCAAGACAUGUUGCCACGAACAUGCUUCCACGAUAUAGCCCCUUGAGAUGAGUACCAUCUACAGCAAUGACAGGCCGAAUGUACUGCAUAAAACCCUUGAUGGAAGAUUCGAGUGCUACAAAAUAGUACAAGAAAUUACCAUCUCCAUCCUGCUCUAGGUGAGUGACUGUACCCUCAUUCGCUGUAGUUAGUACGUAAGAGUAUUUAGGGAGCAAGUUAUAUGACUCUGCAGGGUUGCCUCGAACAAUUUCAAGACUAACUUCUCUCGCCCGAUAUGCCUGCUGGUAUGUUAACUGAACACCGUAUUCUUGUUGCAUAUCUGCUCUUAUGUCAUUCGGAGUAUAAAUUCUCUUGUCUUGAAUAUAUUUAUCUGCGAUAAUAUGACCGACAACCCAGCUCCUAACUUGAUGACGUCCAUCAACCAAUACCUCAUUAUGACAAGUGUGUACAUUAUCAAUUCUCCGCACCACCCAAGGAACAUUUUGCUCGUUCGAACAUCUAGUUGCUCGAAUACACCAUUUACAUGAUUCUGAACAACAAUGAGCCUCGAAACGUGUCGUAGUAGACCGUGCAAUCUUGAAAUCAAACUUAUCCCGAAAGGCAACUUUGCGUAGUUGUAAUAUAAACUCAUUCUUCUCAGCAAGUAGCUUACCCACACUGAUAUCAUCUGAGUCACAACUGCUAUCAAAGCUUGGAGCAACCAUGUUCGAAGGCAAAGUUGGAGCAAGACUUGUGAAGGGGUCAAUUCUCCUUCUCGAUCAAACCAUAGAAGGAAUAGGUCUAUUGUCUAUGUUAUUCACACGAGUAUUGUCUUCACACUCAUCCUCAUGCUGAAACGACGGAACAUUCAAAGGACUGACUCCUCCAUCAUCACCAUCAUUAUUGAAAUGAGUGCCCCUCAUAUUAUUAGAAGGUUCUGCACAAACAUUAUCCCCCUCUGUCUCAUCAUGAAAAUCAUCAUUGUCCCGAAAAUCAUUGUUGUGAUACGGAGAAUACCAUUGCUCCAACGACGUCGUUAUUGGAAAUACCGUUGCUCCAACAUCCUGUAACGUAACGUCGUUAUCAUCAAUGUUGUCAUAAUUGUCGUGGAUUGGAGAGUAAUAUUGCUGCAGCGAUAUUGUCCUUGGCAACACCUCUUCUUCAUUAUCGGGGCCAGACAUAUUUGCUCUAAACGAAGUUUCUGUAUCGACAUGUGGCUCAAUACCUUCGCUCGGAACUCGAGGUGAUGUGGUCACAAAUAUAGGAAUGCAUCCAAAAUUAGCUACGUCGGAUGCCAUAUGUAACACAACUCUCACAAUUUCAUCAUCAAAUAUAUCCAUAGGCAGUGCACAUACACGAUAUAAUGUGUUACUAGACCUCAAAGUUGUCUUCAUUGUGAUACUAUAUUCAUUAGGAUUAAUUUGUAACACAUCGUAUACUCUUGCCAAUAACUGAUCAAAAAGAUAAUUUUUCCCAACCAAAAAAGCUCUAUUUUUACCAUUGACAUACUCCAUACGCCCAUCCUCUAAUGUCUCCCACCAACCAUCGUAACACAAUUUAAGUACAACUGAAUCCAUUAAGCCUGAAAUUAUAAAAAAAAUAAAUUAUUUCAGCCCUAUCAAAUUAAUAGUUAAUUACAAUGAACCUGUCGCCAGAUUCACCCACGAAACCAUCCGCAGUUCAGUCAAACUCACGACCAAGUUUAGAAAAUAACGCAUACCACUAUGUGAUGCCGAUUAGUGUUGGAUCCGGAUAAAUUAUGAUCGGAUUUCACUUUUUAUCGUUGCCUUUUGCCGUUGCCGUUGCCGUUGGUUGAUGAUUCAAGAGUGGGAAGUUGCCUUUGGUUUGACGAAAGGGGAGAAAGAAAGCUGCUUUUGGUUUGUAAAGAAGGGUAAUUUGGGGAGAAAAGCGUGAGUUUGGCUAAUGUUGAUAGAAAAAAGUUGAGAGGGUUAAUUGUGAAAAUAACAAAAGUUUUAUGGUUAUUUUUGUAAAUUUCCCAUAAUUUAUACGCAUUAAUGUGGAAUCGACAAUUCUGAAUCAUGUUAAAGUCAACAAAAAGACAAAACAUGGAAAGCGGCAAUUGCUAUAUUGCGUUGCAUGUAUUUUGGGUUCAUCAAAUACAAACAACGACCACGUUAAAAGAAAGCGUUCUGCUUGGACGACAAAGGGACGACAGAAACAUGAGUCCCUUUGUCUGUUGCUUCAACUCCAUUCAUUAUCUUUUGUCUGUUAUUUUUUUUAUUUAAAAAAUAAAAAAAAUAUUAAAAUAAUGAAAAAAAACCACAAAAGUAACGAACAGAGAUUCAAAUAGCAGCACGUUUUUUACAAUCAAUUUUUCUUGUUAUCCUCUCUCUCUCUCCAUCUCUCACCUCUCAUUUAACGUGAGCCAUCUGCAUUUAACAAGGAAAAACCAGUUCCCUCUCUGCAUAAUGGAAUGUGUUUUAUAUAUGUUAGGAUUUUUUUUUAAUUUAAAUGGCUGGAAAUAAUGGAAUAAAUUAUAACAAUUUCUGAAUGUGUUUUACAUAUGUUAGGAUUUUUCUUAAUUUAAAUGGCUGGAAAUAAUGGAAUAAAUUAUAACAAUUUGUAAAUGUGUUUUAUAUAUGUUAGGAUUUUUUUUAAAUUUAAAUUGUUGAAAAUAAUGGAAUAAAUUAUAACAAUUUCCGGAUGUAUUUUAUAUAUUUAAGUUAUUAGGAUUUUAUAAUUUAAAUUGCUGGAGAUAAUGAAAUAAAUUAUAAAAAUUUGUGGAUGUGUUUUAUAUAUUUAAAUUGUUAGGAUUUUUCAGCAAUUUAACGAAGUGCUACCGUUUCCAAACGAGGAAAAUGAGUGGAGGGGCUAUGGAGAUGAAUGCGCGUAGAUCGAGGCUGAGCUGGUGGCCAAUGAGAAUCGUACUUUGCUAACCAAGCUUGUGAAAGGGAGGGAAAAGCACCAACCGCCCAGGAAUGAUGACCAAUUGCUGGGGGUUGAUUUCCUCUUCCUUCUAGAUGAACGGAAAGGGAAGAACGAAGGAGGGGAGUAAACUAAGGACUGGAAAAUCUGGCUGGGGAGGGAGGAGAUAAAAAGCUGAAAUUUGACCUGCUUUCCAUUUCUAAAUUCUUUAUUUUAUUAUUUAUUAUAGACCCACAUAAAACUAAAAGAAGAUUAAAAAAACGCGUGAAACGACAGUGGGAGCUUGCGUUUCUGUCGUCUUUUUAUUUUCUUUGAGUUCGUUUAUCAUUUUUCUAAAAGAGUUAAAAGAAAAGCAAAAGCUGACGAGAUUGGUAAAGACAUAUCAAAAGAAAGACUAAUAGAGCUUUCCCAGCAGCAUUAAUCAUGCUUAAUUGAUAAUAUAGAGGUAAUAAAUGAUUAUAUUUUUGGUGGAAAACAGAAGAGAGCACGUUACAAGAGCCGAUUGCUUUCUUUAUUUUUUGUCAAUAUUAAACCAAAAAUACAGGUCAAUGAAAAAAAUUGAAAAUAACGCACCAUCAAGUCAACCUUGGUGCAGAAAAAUAUUAACAUUUAAUGAACUUAGAGGGAUGAGUUGGGCCAAGUCUUUAAAUCAGCUCUGUCGUGGAAUAUAACAGGAAGAUUAAAAGAAAAAUCAAUCAACUACAACUAGUAUCUAAUAUAAUGUUUUCACGCAUCUUUUAUAAAUUUAUUGGGACACACUAUUUCUGCUAAUUGAAGAAAAUCAAGAAAUGCUGAUUCCGUCAUGGCUUAGUUUCAUGUUAAUGAAAGUUUAAAGCGAUCAGAUUCAUAUUCAUUAAUAUGAUUUUAUACGAAUCCCUGUGUUUGAAUAUAAUAAUGGUUUCAGAAAUGCAUACCUGUUAGUUCUCCAUUUCUUGACUCCGAGGAAAAUUUGACUUGACAGAUGAAGCAAUGUUAUAAGAGGUUUGAUUAUGGGUCAAUUUGUUGCAAGCAUUUCAACAGACGGGUGAUAUGCGUACACAGCUUCUACGCUACCAAUACCAUGCUUACCCCAUAGCUGCUUCCUGUUGUAAAACGUUGCUGACAUGUCAUCAUACUGGACAGACCUUCCGAGGUUAUUCUUCGAAGCGUUUCAUGAUGCCACGUGUACUUGAUUAUUUGACUAAUCACGGUUCACAAGUUGAGUGAGCUACUCACCAGUCACCAAACCACCUUCCUGCUGCAAAGAAUCUUAACUGAACUUUGACUUGGUCAGAAACUCAGAAUUAGUGGUGCACGUGAUGCUUACACGUGAGGACCCAAAUGACGAAUUCCAAAAGCUGAAUGAUGUAUGUGUGAAUUAAAUAUAACUAUUACGCUCUAGUACGUGUAUGUCAUAUGUACACUAAGUGGGUGUAGUGCAACGAAGGUGCUCUAUAAUUUUUCAGUGAACACAAUAUAAUCAUCAAAGUGAAAGAAAAACUUUUGAGGUUUUGGUGUAUUCAUUAGUGAAAUUUGAGCCGAAAAGAAAAAUUUUUAUUUGUAAACAUCAAAACCAAAAUCAUUUGGAUGUAGUUACCGAAAUUGAUUAGGUCAUUAAUCAUUGCAUGAAUGUUUUGAUUUUAAUACCAGUGGCAAUCACGUACAUGUUUAAUGAUUUGAUUAAAUUUGUGUUUAGUUCUAUAAAUGAUUUAACUAAAAAAUUCAAAAAUGUUUAAAUAACAAUUUAACUAAAAACUUAUUAUUAAUUAUUGUUAAUAGAUUAAUUAAUUACAAUACUUUUUAUUAUUCUUAUUAAUAGUAAUUACAAUAAACUAGUAAUUAUAAUUAUAAUUAUAAUCCAUUUAAUAAUUAUUAUAUUUUAUUUAAAUGGAGGGUAGUUUGGGAAUUUUAAAAAUAUAGGGGAUGAAUUUGAUACGUUAAGGGUUUUAAUGAAAUAAAAUAGAGUACAAGGGGCUGAACGAAAUGUUACAAUACAGAAACUUUCAUAUACUUAUUGAUAAAUUGUAAAUACUAUAACGUAAAAGGGGCUGAAAAAUAUUUUACAGUAAGAAUUCAAAAAGACAAAAGCAGCUGUAACUGUAACUUAGAGGAUGCUUAAAGUUUUUAAUGAAAAUCUUUAGUUGUUUAAUUAUCAAAAAAAGCUUUUAAAAAAAAGUUGUAAAUUAAACUUACUUUAGUAACAGGUUUAUUAAACCUAGACUCAUCUACCUUGCAACGGCUGCAAGGUACAACUAAUUUUUUUUUUUUUUUUAUUUUCAUUCCUUUACCUUUGGAUUUAAUGAAAAGUUAAUUUCAAUGGUAGAGAUUUGUCCAUUUGAAUACUAACAUUAUACUCUUGAUAAGUAUUAAAAACACAAAAAAAUGAAAGAGUUAAAAUUUUUAGCACAUAAGUCUUUAUUGUUUCCAAUUUGUAUUGUUUAAUUAGUAGUAAGUCUUAAAAAAAUAUUUUAAUUUUAAUAUUAUAUAUUUGAUUUAAAGAAUGAAUUUUUAAUGUUAUUUAUUUUAUUAAAAAUAAAUAUUAUUUAAUAUUAUUUAUUUUCAUUUUAUUUAAUUUUAUUUAGUGUAUGCUUAUUAUUAUAUUUAUUCCUCAAAAAACUAAAUAAUAUUAAAUAAAAUAAAAUAAUCAAUAGUGAAUCAUAAAAAAUAGAUAUAAUUUUUAAUUAAUAUUAUUUAUUUUAUUUUAUUUAACGUUUUAUAGUCAUAAACUUAUCAUUAUAUUUAUUCUUUCAUAAAACCAAAUAAUGUUAAAUAAAAUAAAAUAAUAGUAAUGUGUCUUAAAAAUUAAUAUUAUUUUUAAUAUUAUUAACUUUAUGUUAUUUAAUAUUAUUUAUCCAUAGGCUUAUAAUUGUAUUUAUUCUUUUAAAAAACUAAAUAAUAUUAAAUAAAAAAUAAUCAAUCGUGAACCUUAAAAAAUAAAUAUUAUUUUUAAUAUUAUUAACUUUAUUUAAAAAAUUAAUAUUAUUUAAUUUAAUUUAAUAUUAUUUAUUCAUAGGCUUAUUAUUAUAUUUAUUUUUUAAAAAGUUAAAUAAUAUUAAAUAAAAUAAAAAAACAAUAUUGAGUCCUAGAAAAUAAAUAUUAUUUAGUUAUAGACUUAUUAUUAUAUUUAUUCUUUUUAAAAAGAUAAAUAAUAUUAAAUAAAAUAAAAUUACAUUUUAAAAAGUCACCAGCCAAAGUAUAUAUAAACUUAUAAAUAAAUAUAAAAAAAUAAUAUUAAAUAAAAUAAAAUUACAUUUUCAAAGGUCACCAGCUAAAGUAUAUAAACUUAUAAAAAAAGGGUAAAUAAGAAGGAUAAUAAGAGGUUAAAUAAAAUUUAACAUACAUAACAUAAGACAAAAAAUAGUGGCACCUUGCAACUGUUGCAAGGUAGCUGGAUCCUAUUAAACCUAUAUGUUAUAAAACAAAUGACAUAGGAUUAUGAUGCAGUGAAAUAGGUGUAUUUUAGAAAAUCUAAUUCUUUUAAAGAGCUCUACAACCUAUCCUCCUAAAAGUCCAAAAUUUAAACUUCUCCUAAUAAAGACAAAAUAAUAUUUUUAAUAAACUCUAUUCAAUUUAUAGCCAAACGAUGCCAAAAAAUAUUCAAAAGAAAAAAGUUACUCUCUUGAUCCAUUAGUAGAGAAAUCAUACAAAAUGGACACUUAAUGGUCAGUUUUUUUUUCCCCCUUUCUUUUUGUAGUUUUACUUUUCCUAUAAACAUUAUUGUUUAGGAAAUAAUAAUAACACUACAUACUCUCCACUAACACAUUAAUUAAUUAAGAGUAUUUCCUCACUAGCACGCAUUUAAUUAUCAAAUGAUUAUCAAAAGUAUGGCUAAACUUUGGUAAUUAAGAAAACAAGUGAUAUUGGUGGCAAACUGGCAAUGACAAGAAAAUUCUAAUACCACAAAAAAAAAUUAUCAGUUACGUAACAACUGAAUAAUUAAUUAUAAAAGUGUUGUACGUACCUUAUCUGUCAAGUCAUUGGCCGUACUUUUAAGUUCAACACCAAUUUAGGACAUCUCACUAUUUGUAAUUCUUUUAAAAAUGGAAAUUCAAAGUGCAGAUCUCCUGUACAGCAGAAGCUUGUGAGAUUUCCAAGAUCUGUUAUCUUUAGAUAUAGUAGCUGAGGGAACAUUACAAUACUAUUAAUCUUGAAUAGGCCACCGCUUAUGAAAUUAGCCUCUGUUUGUAAAAUUAUAAAUUCUUUAAGUUCCCUACCUUCUAAAUGAUUGUAACUCAACUCUACAGUUGAAUAGGCCACCGCUUGUGUCCCAGAGAAGCUUCUCAAAAAAGGCCUUUGUAAUUGUCGUAAAGCAUUCCUCCAUUCAUAGAGACUCUUAUUUUUCAACGCCUUUGCUACGGGUACAAUGGCAAUGGGCAAACCAGCACAUUCCUUGACUAUAUCUGUCGCUACAGAUUUUAGUUCACUAUUUUCUAUGCAAUCACCUGCCAUCUUCUUAAAAAGACUCCAAGCUUUCUUUCUUAUUCAAAAUAUCGACAAAAGAAUUAUGUUGACAAUCCAUCUUACAAGACAACACAUCUAGACUUCUUGCUGUCAGCAGAACUUUACAUCUGCUGUUAUCAUCUGCUAAUGGAAUUCCAACAGCCUCCAAGUCAAGACUCCCCCAAAUAUCAUCCAAGAUUAUAAGGAUCUUCUUCUCUACUUUCAAUCUUUCAUAUAGCCUCCCUGCUCUAACAGUUUCAAUCUCUUCAACUAAUCCCAAACCUAUAUUCUCUGCAAUUUAUUCUUGUAUCUUCUUUAUUUGUGGUGUUUGGGAUACUUGCGCAGAAAUGACCUUCUCAAAGAGAUUAUUUCCCUUGGCUUGCCCAGCGACUUCCUUCACCAACAUUGUCUUUCCAAUGCCACCCAUCCCGUAUACCCCAAUCAUGUUGAAGUUAUGAUUGCUUAAUGAGCCUAGUAUUUCCUUCAAAGUGGAUUUUCUUGAUUCAAAGUGAAUGAAACCUUCGGUAGACUUAAGCCAUAUCUCCUCUGGAAUUGUACGGAAAGAAACGCUGUCAAAUUUCCUUUUUUCAUGGAGUCCAACAAUGGCAUUCACCUCCCUUUCUGCUUUCUUGCUAAGCUGGUAGUGGGUCUUCAAAUUGGGACACAACCCAUUAAAACACCGGUUGUUUGAUUUUUCUUCAACUUCUGUAAGCUUCCUAACUUCACUGAUGACCUUGUCCACACUAAUCAGCCACUCCUCAACGUGCUGUUGAAUUCCGUCCCCUUUGAUUUUGGAAUCAUCUACUUUAUACUGUACACUGUCUCUAGCAUUCUUUAGUUUAUCAACAUCAUUCUUUAGUUUAUAAACCAGAGGUAAUAAAUGAUUAUAUUUUUAGUGGAAAACAGAGUACGUUACAUGAGCUGAUUGCUUUUGUCAAUAUUCAGCCAAAAAUACAAGUUAAUCAGAAUAACCUACCAUCAAGUCAACCUUGGGGCAGAAAAACUAGUAACAUUAAAUGAACAUAGAGGGAUGAGUUGGGCCAAGUCUUUAAAUCAGCUAUGUCAUGGAAAAUAGCAAGAAGAUUAAAAAAAAAAAAAAAGAAUCAAUCAACUAGUAUAUACGGGAUAUCUCGGUGCAAAACAGAGUGCUAAGAGAUAAAAAUUAACCUGGCAUCUUUGCCAGGUGUUUAUAAUUGCUAAGCUUGCUACAUUCCAUUGCCAACUUUGGCCGUCUGGUAGUUGCUUAUUGAAGAAAACAAAGGAAUGCUGAUUCGAUCAUGCAUAGUUUAAUGUUAAUUAAACUUAAAAGCGAUCAGAUUCAUAUUCAUUAAUAUGCUUUUAACGACUUAGUUAAAUUUAUAGCAACUAAUAAGUAUCCAACUUUGCAACCGUAUUUAUUUCUCAUGAUUUGAUUAAACUGAGCACUCCGAAAACAUCAGUUCCUUCCAUUGUUGUAAGCUGAGUGAUACAUGUAUGAUUUGAUUAAACCGUAUUUAUUUAUAUAUUGAAUGCUACUUCAAUGAAUUUUACUGCCGCAAUAAUACUAAAUGAUUUUUCAUUACAAAAAAAUUCAAUAAUUAGAAUGAUUAUAAGUUAAUUUAAUGCUGAAUUUCAUCAUUAACUGCUGAAAUACUCCAGAAAUCCAAAUACAUUUAACUAAACAAAAAUUUAAUCAAAUCAUUAAACACACAAUCUGAAAGCGGAUUCAAAAUAACUUUAAUAAAAAAGCCAAAAGCAGAACAAUCAACAAAGAAACAGAAGAACCUCUCACCAAUGCCAUCUGACCCUUGAUAGAAAGAAAGAGGUCAAGCUCCAUGUAAUAUAACGCCUCACAAAUUACACAAAAAAAUGGCCGCAUUCCAUAUGAUGCAUAGAACGUGGCCUGAAUCCUCUUCGUAAGUUUGGAAUUUCUGGAGAAAAAUACACAAUGAAGGUGAAAUCAGGAAAAUAAGGAUAGUGAUAUUUCGUGCAAUUUUCAUGUAAAUUGCAGGAAUUAGCUUCUAUUUGGUAAGCAGCACAGGAUGCCUAACUGUUAUUAUUACUAUUACUAUUAUUUACACGGAUUGGGUUGGGUGAGACAGGUUGACUAUAAUUAACCCAACCCAACCCAAUUAUUAAUUGGAUUAGAAAAAUUUUACCUAAUUAAGUUCAUAAUAAUUCACUCAAUCCAUAAAAAUUUGAUUAGGUUGGACUGGUUCUUCAGGUUGGAUUGAGUUCAUCGGGUUGGAUUGAGUUUGCCUACCUCUAACUCUUGACCCACAUUAUUUAUUUUUAUUAUUUAGUAAUUUCAUUCAACCAAUAAAUUUAAAUUUUAUCAAUUUGUAUAAAAUAAGUUUAUACAAGAGCUUUUAACUCUAUCAUCACUCAUCAAACAAUGUUAGAUGAAACAAUAAAUAAAAUAUACAAAGGUAUCAUUAAAUCCAAAAGCAUCCAAUGUGUCAAAAAAUAUCCUAUCAUUUGAGAUAAAAUAUUAAAAUAUUAUUUUCAAAAUCAAUAACGAUAUAAUCACAAACAUUUUAAUAACAACUUGUGUAAACAAACUAAUAUGGCAUAAAGACAUUAGCUAGAAGGCGAUAACUAUUAUUUUUGUAAAUUAUGUGGGUCUAUAAUAGUUUUAUACAACCAAUCUUCUCAUGCAACAUCUGUAUGAUAUAUAUAUAUAUAUUUUUUAUAAGGUGGUUGUGGCUCUAUAUAUCCAAGUCGUUGUUCAACUUCAAGAGAUUCAAAUUUUGUGAAAGAAGCCACGAAGAAAUUUUACGCCAUUCAACAGUGUUAUUGCUUAUUAUUUAUCUUUGUGUGCUUGGAUUGUAAAUUUGACAGGAAAAUGGUAGAGACCUUGGAGGAAUUGCAGAAUUUGUUUGAAUAGAUGUUUCAAGGAGACACCAAUGCUUUCGGGCCUAAACUUAUUGUGAUUAUUUCAUCUGUACUUAGAUUUGAACUAAUCGGUUCUAGAUCAGAUGGGUCAUUGUAUCAUCUAGGAAAGAGGGAAAGUAAACUAAGAAGGUUUUUGUGAUGGUAUGUUAGCUUAUAUAAAUUUCCUUUCUUUAAUAAAAUCUCACUUUGUUUUUAGGGGAAAUUAACAAGAUCGGAUGGUGGAUUGUGCUGCUGUGUUAGAUGACAUUUUAAACAAUGUACUUCUGGCUAUGAAAUAACUAGCUAUAAAUGAUGUUUUGAAAGUCACCUAGUAGUGUGUGUUGAAAUGGUUUAAUCUUCAAGGUUUUUUUUUUUUAAUUGCAAAUAUUGAUGCUAGAGAAGAGAACUCGAACCAUUUUUGAUGAUUUAGAAUGUUGUAACCAUAAGAAGCUUCCUUGUCAUAAACUGGUGGCUCAGAUUAUUGAAAUGUUCAAGAGAAAGCUAAUCUUAUUGCCCAUUGUAUAUUAUUAGACUCCCUUUUGUUGCAAUCUUGUGGUUGAGCAGGUCUCAAGAUUCUGACCUUUUUCACCCUGCUUUCUGACUGAAGAAUUUGCCUAUCAUUGUCAAGUGUUUGGCAAUUGGCCACCAUCUGCUGUAUUCAUUAUGAAGGCAUUGUAAAUUUGAUCUCUUAAGAAGGGGAGAAACUGAUCAAGCUGAUUGGUUAUACUCAUUGUAUGCCACAAGUGCUUUAUCAAACCACAACAGGCAACACCCGUGCGAAGGGCGCAAGCCAGAAUUGAUAGCUGCACCAGUAUCACCAAGAUACUCCUUUUCCGGUCCAUCUAUAUCUUACCGAUGGCAUUUUUACUAUUCAUCCUCUGUACUGUUUGUUUCUUUAGCAAAUUUCUUUCUGUAUUAUGAGUCUUAAUAAAAGUUUAAUUGUAGACAGCUUUUUUGCCUUGAAAGUCUAUUUUAAACCUUUCAAACCAAUUAGCUCCAUUGGGAAACUUAUGACUUUAUAGAAAUAUUUGUUGCAUUUUGUCACUGAUGGUCAGUCCAUAAAAUUAGUUGACUGAUAGUGUCAAGCAGUUAGCAGUACAACUUUCUACCAGUGAUAUAAUUCUUUUCAUUCUGUAUUUUGUUCGACAAUUAAUUCGAUUCCAUUAUGUCAUUAUAUGUGCUUGAUUGAGUUGCAUGUUCAUGCACAAUAAUUUCCCAUCGCGGCGUUCCUAAGCUACUUUAUAAGACUUGGAUUUGUCUUUAACUAGGAUAUGGCUUUUUUUGAGUUGAAAAGCCUACUGUGAAAGUUAUCUGCUCAAAGCAAAAAAAAAAUUGUUUCCGUGGGAGGGAAAUUAAAUUUUGGCGAAGUUUGCUUUGGGGAUUUUGAAGAUAACCUGUAAAUUUGUUACACAUAUUGAGUGAUUCAAGGUUUUCAAUACAUUUCUUCCAAGGAAUAAGUUUUGUUUGGCUUCUCAAACUGUGCUUCUAAUCCAAUAUCUUAACUACGGCCGCCAAAAAGCUAUUCACUGUUAUAAUGGAUUGUUAUUGGAAAUAAUCAAAGAAAGCCUAUGAAGAAUUAGAAUAAAAGCUAUAUUUUGUCUUUGUGAAGGGAAUAUCUGACAGCCAAUCCACCGAUAUUUGUUUCUAUUAAAACCUAUACUUAUUAUAGCCUCAAUCAUUUCGAGACAUACCGGAGAAAUCUAAUUUAAAAAGUUGGUAAAUUUUAAUUCAUUCUCCCGAUAGAACAACAAUCUUGAUUUUAUCACCUAAAAGAGUGAAAAUAUCAAUUUAGCCUUCAUUUUCAUUCAAUAAGGUGAGAGUAAAUUGUGGAUGCGUUGAUGGAUUUCUUUUUUUUGGGGGGGGGGGGGGGGGGGAAUAAAAAAGAGAUGCAUGUUCUUUGCAUGGUUGUUUAUGGAGGCAAAGACUUAGCACUGAAUGAUAAGAUCAUUUACCUUCUUAGGGCCAAAGUCGUGAGUUUGAGCCUUAUCCUCCUGGAAGUAAAUCGAAGACUUAUCAUUUUAAGUGAGGGGCAAACUGAAGUUUAUUCUAAAAUGUUAUAUGAAACAACUUUAAGCCUUUUACAUCUAUUAAUUGUCUGCUACUAUUUUUUUUUUAUUCUAAAGUCUUUAUUACUCUUCUCAUAUUAGUAGUUAGCAGAGAUCCUAAAUUUUCUUUUAACAUUUUAUUCUAACAUUCUUUCCCCCGAAAAGGACAAUGGCAAGAUAAUUUGUCCUACCUUGACUGACUUAAUUUGGAUAGCUUGUGAUCAACUCUCUCUCGUUAUUCAUAAAGACGGCUACUUUGAUUUGCACUAUCCUUUCUGUGUCAUUGUGCUCACGUUGCAAGGGAUUCAUCACGCCCGCAGUCGUCAAAUUAAAGUUACAUUACAUUUACAUAAGUUAAAGACUUGUUUGAAUAUUCUCCAUCAUCUUUAUUGACCAUUUUUUAUCUUUUUAUUUUUCCUUGUGUCAAAAGAAUCCUUCACUGAUUGGAAUAUCCAUGAUGACUGGUUGCAAUUGGAAGAGCCCCUGAAAUUCAUCUUUCAUUCGAUCUUAAAUACGUUCUCCGAACAAUUAGAAUACAUUAAGAUUUUAUGAACUUGCUUAGUAGAUCAUUCAACUGCUUAAUUGGUGCUGUUAAUUAAUUGACUAUCUUCCUGGAAACACAUUAAAGACUCUCACGGGGAUUCAUUAAACCUUUUCGCUGGGUCAAUUCUACAAGCAUCAGACGUAAAAGCUUCAUGAUAAGAGCACAAGCCUAUUGUCUUCAGAAGCUCCUUCAAAAAGCGAAGCUAGCUAUUCUCUUUAUUGUCAUUUUCAUCCACUUUAAUUAACCCUCUCUUUUUCAUGUUGUACAACUUUGACUUGACUCUCAAAUGGAGAACAACGAUAUUUAGACAGAAAAAUUUAAUAAAAUAUUUAAAAAUAAAAUAAAAUUAGUGUCGGUUUAUCUUGUACUAGUUUUGCCUUAUUGAUGUCAAUGAUUUUCUAAGAGAAAAAUAAAACUUACAUUAAUUUUACCUUUGUUUCAUGAUGAGGUAAAACAUGAUUUUUUUAUUUUAACUUUUAAAAGAUUUCUUCAAAUGAUUUUCAAGUUGAUUUAUUUGGUUGGACUGUAAAAUGGGUUUGGGCUUAGCCCACCCCUAAUGUUUUUUUUCCAAAUUACCAUAAAAAAGAUUAGGUGUGUUGCAUUGCAAGUGUGGUAUGGAUAAAAGGAUAUAACUAUUUCUUCGUUGGAAAUUUGAAUAAAGAGAUAGAGAAAUUGGUAAACGAGUAGGAAAUAAUUUACGGGAAGGAUAAGUGGAUAAGAUUAGUGCUGGAGCCGUCAUGGAUUCAUUGCUAUGUAGAAUUAAAAAUUCAAGCUUAAACAGUUUUGGUGAAAUUUCUAUAUUGAAAUUCUUGUUAAUUAAUCAUUCACACUUUAAUGAAAGUAUUAAUAGCAGCCGUGUAACGCCCUAUUAAUUAAUUUAUCACACGUUAUAUAUAUAGAGUAGCGUAACGGGAUGGUUUUUUUUUUAAUAUAUAUGUUGAUCUUUUACUCAAUUAAUUAAUUAACAUUUAUAAAAUAGCACUAAGUAUUCAUGAGCUUAAACAUGAAUCAAUAUUUGCUAGUGCAUUGGUGGUUAGCACAAAUAACUUCGAUGAUAGAGAGUGACUAGGAAGCAUUAAGGGGAUGGAUCCUUUAAUGACCUGAUUUUUAAGCAAAUUUCACUUAUAUAUUUAGUGGUUAAUCAAUUAAGAAAUAAAAAUAGUUAAAUUCUAAUCAUACAUUAAUAUUAAAAGGUAAGUGAUAUAAGAUCUUUAAACGUUCAGAAGAGAUCAAGUCAAAAGAGAAUUUUAAUUUGAGAAUCAGAAGAGAUCAAAUCAAAAGAGGAUUUUAAUUUGAGAAUAACUCUUGUAAAGCUUAAGUUUUAUGUGCUCAUGAAAGUACUUGCUAUUAAAGGUAUCUCUUGAAUAUUUAAUGCUUUAACAGAUUAUAUUCUUUAUAGACAGUUUGUAAAUUACUCUCGUCACUACCACCAUGACUUGUAUUGUUGUUGUGACCAGUUUAAUGGAAUGCAAUUUCAAUUUACUUGUUAGAAAAAAAAAAUCAAUUAUAAAUACUAAUUUACCUUAUUGUGCUCUAGAGCAAAAUACAAAGUGGAUCUUUGAUGAUUAUUAAUUUAAUUUACAAUGAUAGAUAUAUCUUAAGUAUACAUAUUAAGAUAUAUAUAUACACACACAUACACGUGCUUGCAUGUGUGUGUGUGCGUGUGCGUGUGCGGGUGUGCCAAGAGACGAACAAAUAUAUGAUAAAUAGAAAUUUCCUUACCUAAAGACUUCAAAUUAAUGGUGAAACAUCUUUGCAAAUUAAACUAAGAAAAAUUGAAAAAGUAUUUUUAUCAUUUUAUGCAUGGAAUUCCACGUCCAUGCAUGCAUCUACCCAACAAAUGCACUUGUAAUUUAGUAUGCAUAUGGUACAUCACAAAAUAUUGUCUUGGAAAAGUCUCAAUGGAUGACUCGUGAUCAUGUCAUUGUACGUACACGCACAACGAAUAAUCCUUGCGACGACUUGCAUAAAACAAAAAAGGGAAUGUCUCUUUGUCCCUGUAGUUUAUGUACCCAUGGAGGAGUCAAUAUAUUUUUAGAAAUUUACUCAAAAAAAUCUACUUAAUUAUUUUCUAUUUUCCAUCCGCUAUAUAUUAAAUUAGUUUCAAUUUUAAAUUUUAUCAUAUAAAAAUUCUGUUUUAGCUUAAAAAAUUUAUGUCCAACAACUAAGAAAGUAAGUAAAGAGAUGUUCUGGAUAAUCUUUUAAAAUAUAAUAUUGACCAAACUAGAUAAUUGACUCAAACUAUGGGGAUUAAAAUAGUAUUUACCUAUUUAACAAAUUUAAAAUUGUUUUCCAAAAAAAAAAAAGUAAAUUAACUUCUAUCUUUAUUAAUAAAAUUAUGACAUAACUAAGUAAUAUUCAUAUUGUGGUGAAAACAACUUCUUGGUUUAGCGAUGGUCUUGCAUGUGGAGGGUUGAAAUCUUUUAUGUUAAUAAUAGUAAUUAAAAGGGAGUGUGUAUGCCACACGCCGGAGACCAAAAAGUGAUUUGUCAAAUCCUCGAACUCAAUGACGAGCCAAAACUGGAUUGGUUAUCCACUCUUGUACGGCUUUGAAUGACUUUUUCUAUUUGCUACAUACUCCGCAUCAAUCGUUGUAACGACGUAAUUACGAAAACAACUAGAAGCUGGCCAAGACGACGGGCAAGCUGAGAACAUAUUCGUUGGCAUUUUCCCUUCAUUUACACCAAAUAAUCUAAAGUUCUGAACUGAAUGAAAGAGGAAUAAGCCAACUUGAAUUACAUUUUUUCCAGCAUUUUUUGGUCGAGCGAACCAUUUCACUUGGAAUCAUAAUGAGUCGUUGCAAGGAAAUGUGUUAUUUUGAUUAUUACUUUGUUUAUUAUUCUUGUUUGCGGCAUUUUAAUUUGAGAGAGAUAUAAGUCUCAAAGGAAUGUCGGAUUCUGUGCUCACAUGAUGAGCUAUAUAAUAUAUGUUGGUUUUACUUAAGGUUGUUGUAAUUAGUAGUUUUUUUUAAAAAAAAAAAUACUAGCACAACUCUAAUUUAUAAUGGAUAAAAAUUCCUAAUUAAUUUGAAUUCAUCUCUCAUUUGUCAUUUAAAAAAGAAAAAAAAAAGAUUCAAUAAUGUUCUUAUUAAUAAACAUAGUAUUUGACACUUUUGUCUACUCGGAAACAAAGACUAACGACAAUAUGCUUUAAACGUUUUGAUGGUUCUGCUCUACCAACAUCAACGUAAAAUCACAGAUCGAGCACAUAAGUCAUGACCAUCAUUUUCAAAAUUUGCAAAUAUAGUCCAAUUUCUCUAUAAUCAUAAUAUUGGGGCAAAUUAAUUUUAUUAAUAUGAGAAUAUUAUAAUUAACUUAGUAAAGAUAUAGUUACAGAAAUUAUCAUUUUCACUUAGUUAUCCUUCGUGCAAUUAAAUUAGAGGUAAAAUAUUUACUAUAUUAAUAAUUAAUUACUGGAUUAUGUCAGAAAUUGAUAUUAAAGGUAGGCUUAAUUAAAAAAAAAUAGUCUAUACUUUUUUGCAAUAGACAAAUAAUAUUACUAUGCGGGGACAAAUUCUUUUUAGACAAGACUUAAAAAAAUUAUAACUUAUUAUAAUAUAUAGUAUAUCCUUAUUUAUAACUACUUAAAUUGAGAUUAAAUCUUUUUUAUAAUUAAAUAAAAAUUAUUUUUAUAUAAAGUAUGACUACAUAGGAGAAAUAUUUUCUUUCUAUAUAAAGGAUAUAUGACUAUAUAGGAGAAAUAAUUUAUUGUAUAUAGCUAUUUCUUUCUCUGUUAUUUCUAUCCACUUCAUGAGCACUGUCUUAGUCUUUUCCCUUUUUUGUAACAAUCUUGGUUUAACUAUGAACUAAAUGUUCUUCUUUUCAAUCAUUAAUUAAUAUUAGGUAGGUAGGUCUACCAACACGGUUGCACCUAAUUACCCACUAUAAAAUUUUAUUAUCAAUCUCCCAUGGAAAAGUGUGCAUGCCUAUAUAUAAUCGGACUUUAUUAUCAGUGUUAUGGAUAAAUGAAUUAUUAAUUUUAAAUUAAUAAUUAUUUUAAUCAAUUUGGCAAUAUAUAUCUUAUCCUUGAUUAAUUUAUAUGAAUGAAUAUCAAGUGUAACGUAAAAUAUUAUUUGUGUUGCACAUGACAUGCGGACAAAAGAAUACAAAGAUUCCUUAAACAAGAUUCAAAGUAAAAUAGAAAGUUGAAUUUAACAAGAUUCAUGUACAGGAAGAAAAAGAAUUAAUAAAGUGAUGAAAAAUUGGUAAUCGUGGCAAGUAAUCUUAUUCAUGUACGCGGCGGCACGACCCAAGACUUGGAAAUUAAAUAGUGAAACUUCUUUGCAAACGAUAGAAACUACAAUUCAUGGAGAGUCUUGACGAGUAAUUUAUCAUUUUAUGCAUGGAAUUCCACGUGCAUGCAUGCUUGUUCUCCACGCUUGGAAAUUUUGCAAAUGGCUUCUCCCUUUAAUCUUUGAAAGUGUCCUCUAACAAGUGUCUCAAUUAUUGGAUAACAUUUGCAGUCCUUGUAAUUCAUUAAUAACACGUCCCUCAACAAUCCAUAUUGCAAUAAAGAUUUUUACGCAAAAAUUCUAUCAUCCAUCAAACUACCAAAUUGGCCAACAAAUAGAUGAUACUUAUGUUUUGAAAAACUAUCAUGUAAUUGAUGAUUAUAUCAAAUUUAACUAUAUGUAUUAUAUAUAUAUAUAUAUAUAUAUAUAUAUAUAUAUAUAUAUAUAUAGUUUAGAGACUUUGUGUAUAAAGACUUGUGUUUUAUUUUAUUUUGUUUGUGUGGUGAAUUUUUACUGGUAGUAAGUCCCGUUUUAGGAUAAGGAUUUCCGCUGAGGGCAAUAAAACCAUACCUGUAGCCAUACUGACAAGACUAGGUAGACCAUAGGUUUUUAUCCAUGGAUUCUCUACUCUGUAGAGUAUCGUCCUUUUCUAGCUCUUCUUCCGGGAAGACUAGCAAAAAAAAAAAAAAAAAAACUCUCUUUCUGGAUCCCAGAAAGAGAGUUUUUUAACUGUAGCGAGCCAAUUAAAACUUGCGCUUGGAGUCACUAAAUUUAAAUUCUGCUUAAAACACAUCCGUCCUUCGAUCCUAUUUCCUUCUGGUAUCAGAGCCAAGGGGAGGAUAGUGUCAUAUAGUUUAGAGACUUUGUGUAUAAAGACUUGUGUUUUAUUUUAUUUUGUUUGUGUGGUGAAUUUUUACUGGUAGUAAGUCCCGUUUUAGGAUAAGGAUUUCCGCUGAGGGCAGUAAAACCAUACCUGUAGCCAUACUGACAAGACUAGGUAGACCAUAGGUUUUUAUCCAUGGAUUCUCUACUCUGUAGAGCAUCGUCCUUUUCUAGCUCUUCUUCCGGGAAGACUAGCGAUUCAAAGAACAUUGUGAAUUCUGAAGAAUUUGUAAUUGAAGAUUUCAAUAAAGCAAUUGAUAAUUGGGAACUUCCAAAGAUUUCUAAAGAAAUGAUUUAUAAAACAAAAAAGUUUGAUUUCUUAAAGAAUGAUUAUGUUAUAAAGACUGAAGAACGUGACAUCACUCUUUCAAAGCCUUUUGAAACAAUCCACUUGUUUUCAGAACAAUCUUUAAAGAAAUUAAAAGAUAAAAAUUUUAAUUAUGUUCAUAUCGACUUGAUCCAAGUCGGCAUAAAGCCUCUUACUAAAGGACUUAAUACCUCCAUUCUUGCUGUCCUAAGAGGUGGGCGAUUCAUCUCUUUUGAUGAUUCUUUGCUAAGUAGCAUAGAAUCGAGUCUUUGUAAAAGACCUAUUUCUUUCAAUUGUUAUCCAAACAUGACAAUUUCCCUUAAAUACAAAAACAUUUUGAAAAGCAUGAUUUUACAAAUAAAAACACAUAAUUACCAUAUGAUUGAGGGAUCUGUCCCAGUUGCAUUAAUUUUUAAAAUUUAUUACAAAACCAUGAUUUCUGCAUUUAGCACACAACACAAAUUCCAGUUAAAAAGAGAUGAGACUCUUCUCUUACAGACUGAUCUGUCCAAAGCCAACACUGUUAUUCCAAAACCGAUCCAAUGGAAAGAUGUCAAUCUUCCAGAUGAAUGGGUCCUUGAAGGAGCCAUUGCCCCAGUGAUUCCAAAACAACUUGAGCCAAAUACAGAGUUACAAAAUGUGACUCAGUAUUCUUAUGGUAAAGUCAAAUUGUCCCUCAGGAGAUCUACUUCGUCUAGAUUUUCUGAUAAAGAUUCUGUCUCAAGUAUUCCUUCACUGGAAAGGAAAUUCUCCAAAGUUCCUUCUGUAAUCAAUCUUCCUUUCCAGAAUCAACCUAGGUUUUCCACUUCGGAUAUACCACUAGUGUUCCAUAUCCGAUCUACACUAGUAGUCAGCAUGAGAAAAGACAGGAAGAGAAAGAACCUUCUCCUCCUACUUCCCCUACGUUUUCUGCAGUCACAGAAAAUAUAACCAAUGUCAUUGAAAAAAUUUUUGAAUUUGAUAAAACUCUUCUUCAUAAUGAUUUUUAUUCUGAUUCGAAUAAAGAAAAAAGACUUUGGUUUUUUAAACAUUUUUUAAAUCAAAGAAAAGAAAUCCAACAAGUUUAUUAUGAAUUUGUUAAUCUGCAUAAAGCUCAUAUAUUAUUUUUUGAUUGGUUUCAAUUAUAUGCUUCAGAAAACAAUAUUUCUUAUCCCUUCAAAGAAUCAAACCCCAUUACUGUUAGAAAGAAAACCACUGAAUGGACUCUUUCUGGUAGUGGUAGAACCAUAGAAUCAGAACAUCCACCUCUUAGGAGCUUGACCAUUGGUCAUGGUGAACCCCCUGUAGAGAUUAAAGCCUCACCCUAUAAAAUCCAUAAAAAUCCAGAAACAGAUUUAGAUAGCAUUAUCCAACAGAACAAUUUCUGUAAUGAUAAUCUAAAUACAAUAGGAAAACAGUUGACUAGGAUAGAAAACCAAUUCCAACAGCCAACUAUAGCUGUUUCUCCUAUACCAAAGCCAGUUACCUCAAAAUCAGAUUCUGACAAAAAGCUUAAAGAACCUAUUUUCAAACCUUUUUAAGUUUCGAAAACUAGUCAAAGGCUUGCCCAAGAGUCAAAAUCAGAUUUUGCCAAAGCCAUUAGGGAACAACUAGACCGAAUAGAAGCUGCUUCUUCUUCUUCUAGUAAGGUCCAAAUAGCCCCUGAUAGUGCCCAAUCUAGCAAGAUUGGUGUACUAGAACAGGACAGUAUAUCCAUAGCCUCUUCUGAUGUAGAAGCCUUCACAGAAGAACCUAUUUCUAAAACCAAUAAAAUCCAUUGGGAAUUAGCCUUACCUACUGUCAAGUCUCCACCUAAUUUGGCCAUAGAUAACAGACCUAGUGCAUUAAACCAAUCCUGAUUUAAUGCAUCAUCUGUCUAUGAGUGGAACAUUGAUGGUAUGUCUGAGUACAACAUCCUAGGGUUAUUGCAACAGAUGACCAUGGCAGCCAAUGCCUAUAAAACCCAAUCGGGAACUUCUGAUAAAGCAAUUGCAGAAAUCCUUAUUGCGGGUUUUACAGGUCAGCUUAAAGGUUGGUGGGAUCACAUUCUCACCAAACAGCAACAAUUAGAUAUACUAGAUUCUAUUCAAACUGACGAGAAUGGAGCCCCCAUUCUUGAUGAAUUCAAUAGUCCGAUUCAGGAUGCAGUUGCCACCCUGAUUGUGACUAUAUCCCUCCAUUUCAUAGGUGACCCCUCACACCUUAGAGACAAAAACGCUGAGUUACUACACAAUCUUCGGUGUAGAAAACUUAGUGAAUUCCAGAGCUAUAAAACCACAUUCUUCACCAGACUUUUCCUUAGGGAUGAUGCAAAUCAUAUAACUUGGAAGGAGAAUUCUUUGCAGGUUUACCUACCCUAUUAGGAGAAAAGGUUAGGAAUUCUAUUAAAGUCUUGUAUGAUAACCGUAUUCCUUAUGACGAACUCACUUAUGGUGAACUAGUCAGUUUUGUUAAUAAGGAAGGUUUAAAGAUUUGUCAAGAUUUGAAAUUACAGAAACGGUUAAAAUGGGAGCUUAAGAAAUCUAAGCAAGAAUUAAGCAGUUUCUGUAAACAAUUCAAUUAUGACCCCUUUAAAACUUCUACUUCCAAAGAUUGUAAUGGUGAGUGUUCUACAAAACCUUACAAGAAACAUUACAAAUCAAGAUCCCAUAGAAAACCCUUUCAAGAUUUUAGAAAACAUUCUUAUAAGAAACCUUCGAGGCCUUAUAAGAAGCCCAAAUUCUCUAAAAAGAAAGAGUUUAGAGCUAAACCAAAAACCCCUUUCAACUAUAAAUAAGCCACAUGUUUCAAAUGUGGACAGAAAGGCCAUACUGCAAAAUUCUGUAGAAUGAGAGGAAGCUCCAUGAGCUUGGUCUUGAUGAUGAUAUAUUUUCUAAGAUCGCCCAUUUACUUGUAGAAUCUUCCGAUUCUGAAUCCUCUAUGACAGGGGAUAGUGAGCCUCUACAAAUUGAUGAGUUAAUUGACUCAGGUACAUCUGUAUCCAGUGAUAGUGAUUCUGAUACGGAAUCCUAUUUAAAGAAAAUCAACGUUUUGACUAAAGAACAAGAAACCUUUCUUGAACUUGUAAAACAUAUUUCUGAUCCUACUCUCCAAAAAGAGUAUCUUGAUAAACUCUUAAAAACACUCGACUUGAGUGAUAAAGCAGGAACUUCUGAAGCCCCAUUGAUCAAAAGGAAUACAUAUGACCUUACUGAAAUUUUGGAUAAAAAGAAAACAAUGAGAACAAUGACUCCUAAUAUCCAAGAUCUUCAGAAAGAGAUAAAAAAUAUCAAACUUGAAAUCAAGGAGUUAAAAGAAAAGCAAAAGAGUGAUUCUGAUACUAUCCAAUUCCUUUUGCAAAAGCAACUCCAGGAUAAUUCUGAUAAAGAAUCCGAUGAUGGUGAUAAUGACGAACAAAGGUUAGAUAACAUUGAGUUUAUACCAAAUGAUUUUCUGUUUGUCUUAAAACAAAUCACCACAAGAAAGUAUUUAAUCAAAAUUACUUUGAUUUUUUCCAAAGAUUUUGAAAUUGACACCAUUGCCCUUUUCGACACUAGUGCUGAUUUAAAUUGCAUUAAAGAAGAUAUUGUCCCCAGAAGGUUUCAUGAGAAGACAAACGAGAGACUUUCUGCAGCCAAUAAUUCAAAACUUAAAGUCAAAUCUAAAGUCGACGCCUCUAUUCAUAACAAUGGUUUUGAAUUUAGGACUUCAUUUAUUCUUACAAAUGACAUACACCAUACUGUCAUUUUAGGAACCCCUUUUAUAAAUCUUAUUACUCCAUAUACUGUCAAUUACGAUAGUAUAUCUUUUAAAGAAAAAAAUAAAAAACUUGUUUUUCCUUUUAUUGGAAAACCCAAAACAAGAAAUUUGAAUAUUGUUAAAGCUUGUUCUGUUUAUCAGAACCAAAUCAAUAUUCUUCUCAAAUCUAAACAAAAUGACCUAGUUUGUUUGAAAAAGGAUUUGAAUUUACAAAGAAUUGAAACCCAAUUACAAAAUGAUUUUAUCAAAAGAAAGAUUUCUGAUUUUAAAUCCUUGAUUGAAAAAGAAAUUUGUGCCGAUUUACCAUCUGCUUUUUGGAACCGAAAACAACAUUUGGUAGAUUUGCCCUAUGAGAGUUCUUUUGAUGAAAAACAAAUUCCCACCAAAGCUCAUCUGAUCCAAAUGAACAUGGAUUUGGAACAACACUGUAAAGAUGAAAUCAAAGAUUUGGAGUCCAAAGGACUCAUUGUUAAAUCUCGAUCUCCUUGGUCUUGUGCCGUAUUUUAUGUUAAUAAAAAUUCUGAAAUUGAAAGAGGGACCCCGAGACUAGUUAUAAACUACAAGCCUCUCAAUAAAGCUUUGAAAUGGAUUAGGUACCCCAUACCUAAUAAAAAAGAUUUGCUCCAAAAACUGCAUUCUACAUUCAUAUUUUCAAAAUUUGAUAUGAAAUCUGGUUUUUGGUAAAUUCAAAUCCAUCCUAAAGAUCGUUAUAAAAUUACUUUUACUGUUCCAUUUGGACAGUAUGAGUGGACUGUAAUGCCUUUUGGCCUGAAGAAUGCACCCUCCGAAUUUCAAAGAAUCAUGAAUGACAUUUAUAGUCCUUUUUCUGAUUUUUGCAUUGUUUAUAUUGAUGAUGUGUUAAUCUUUUCCCAAACGAUUGACCAACAUUUCAAACAUUUAAAGACUUUCUAUCUUGCCACUAGAAAGACUGGAUUGGCCAUUUCUAGCUCCAAAGUUUCUUUGUUUCAAACAAAGAUCAGGUUCCUCGGUCAUUACAUUUCCAAAGGAACCAUUACUCCUAUUGAGCGUUCUCUUGUCUUUGCAGACAAGUUCCCUGACAAAAUCCUAGAAAAAACUCAAUUACAAAGAUUUCUAGGAAGUUUAAAUUAUGUUCUUGAUUUCUGUCCUAAUAUCAAUAGGAUGUUUAAACCCUUGCAUGAUAGAUUAAAGAAAAAUCUUGUUGCAUGGACUGAUGAGCAUACUAGAAUUGUUAAACUUAUAAAGAGUUCUGUUAAAAGCAUCCCAUGUUUAUUUCUUGCAAAUCCUGCAUUACCUAAAAUUGUUGAAACUGAUACAUCUGAUUUAGGUUAUGGAGGAAUACUAAAGCAAAGAGAACAUGAUAAAGAACAAAUAGUGCAAUAUGUUUCUGCCCACUGGAAUGAAUGCCAAAGAAACUAUUCUACUAUUAAAAAAGAAAUUCUUUCUAUUGUUUUAUGCAUUUCUAAAUUUCUAAGUGAUUUAUUAAAUCAGAAAUUUUUACUUAGAAUUGAUUGCAAAGCUGCAAAACAUGUUUUAGAAAAAGAUGUCCAAAACAUUGCCUCAAAACAUAUUUUUGCACGAUGGCAAGCUAUUUUAAGUAUUUUUGAUUUUGAUAUUGAAUUUAUUAAAGGUGAUGCAAAUUCUAUCCCUGAUUUUCUAACUAGGGAAUUUCUCCAGAACAGAUAAAUGCCGUCCAAAAAGAAAGACAAAGGGAAAGAGAUUCUCAAAGACCCUGUGUCCCAAACACCUUCUAAAGCCUCUCAAACCUCACCACCUAAAGAAAAAUUGCUUUCUUCUGCCAUGCCAAUCAAAUCCUGGAUCGACAUGAUAGAAGAUCAAGAAGCCCAGUUUAAAGCUCUUGCUACACAUGAGCAGGUAAAUGAAUGGAUGAAAUCCAUUUCUAAAUCCCCUGAACUUAUGCUCGCUUUACAAAGUUUUUCUCAAAGCCAAAUAUCUCCAAAAGAAGAUAUUGAAAAAGAAAAAUCUGUUUCCAAAGAAGUUUCAAAACCCUCUUCUCAAAAUGUGGUUAUUUCUGGUGAAAGUUCAUCUUCACAAAUUAUUCUUUCCCAGCCAAAGCUUUCAAAGAAAUCUUCUGAUUGGUUUGAUAAAACCCAUUUCCAAAACAUUUUAUCUAUGGAAGAUGGUUUUUACCAUCCUGAUCCUUUUCAAGCUAUUUCAAAGUUUUUCCCUAAGGGCUGGUUUUUCAAACCAUGGGAUUUGACAAAACCCCAGUCCUAUUAUCAAAGCAUUUUGGAAUCCAUUGAGUUGGUAAAAUUCAAACAUUUCUUCCUCAGUGAAACCCAUACAGAGCCAGCCUAUUCCACGGCUACCAUCCUCAAAGUCCUAAGCCCAAAACAGUGGGGUGACCUACUCCACAACCAAAAAUACUUCCCUCAAAAUUUUCAAAUGUGUUUGCCAUAUUGUUUGACCUAUUCCUACUGGGAUUAUCAACAAGCCUGGUAUAACACAUUUUUCAUACAAAACCCAAAGAAAUCCCAUUCCUGGUUAUUUUUCUUCAAUUCAAAGAUAACCGUUCAAAGCCUUCCAAAUUGGUUUCAACAUUGGUGGAACUAUUUUGGUCUAAUACCACAAAUUCUAACUCCAAAUGCCACCAAUUGUCUAAACCUCUUCAAAGCCCAUUAUAUUCCUUCUGACUCAGAGAAAAGAUUUCCCCCCUUUCUCUGUUUUUGUACAAACUUCUUCCUUCCAUGGGUAUGGAUGUGGAAUUUCCGAUAUUAUACCCAAGAAGCCCAGCUCAUCCUACAAAGAACUAUGGCAAAAUGUCCGGUCGGGCUCGGGCUUGGCCAAGCCCUACCCGACCCGAUCAAAAGAAAUGUAAAGCCCGACCCUAAAAAUGCCCGAAUACUAUUUAGUUAGGGUCGGGCCGAGCCCGGCCCGAAUCGGGCCAACAUCGGGUCGAGCCCAACCCGACCCUACCGAAAUAAUUAACCCCACAAUUUAAUUCUCAUUUUCCACCACCAUUUUAACCAAUUCGGUAAUUACUCAACCAUUUCAAACACAAUCUAAUCCACUUUCCACAACUAUUUCAACCAAUUCCACAACCAUUUCAACUCCACACACAAAUCAAUUCUAAAAUCUAACAUGAAAAACACACAAUGUAAUAAAAUUAAAAACACACAAUAUAAUUUCACAACUAUUUUACCCAUACACAAUUCAAUUCAAGAACCCAACAUAAAAAAUAAAAAAUAAAAAACUCAUGUCUUAUACAAAUAAAAAUACAAUGCAAUUAAAUUAAAAACACACAAUAUAAUUUCACAACCAUUUUAGUCAUACACAAUUUAAUUCAACAACACAACAUAAAAAAAAAAAAACUCAUGUCUUGUACAAAUAAAAAUACAAUGCAAUUAAAUUAAAAAGACACAAUGUGUGAUGUUGUGUGUAUGUUAACUUGUGAUAGUUUUUUUUUUUUUUUAAAUAGGGUCGGGUCGGGUCGGGCCGGCAUUAAGCCCUACCCUAACCCUAAAUUUGUUCAGGCCUUAAAAUCUUGGCCCUAACCCGACCCUAAACUUGAAAAUUCGGGCCAAAGCCCUAAAAAUUAGGGUCGGGUCAAUCGGGCCAAAAAUCGGGUCGGGCUAAAUUGCCAAGCCUACAAAGAACCUUUAAAGUUAAGUGGUGGUCAAAGUUUGACGAACAGUCCAAAUUAACUGAUACCCUGAUCCGUAAUUGGCUCUGUUCUAAAGGCUUCAUACCCCCAACAAUUAAAGCUGCCAAAGCCCAAGAAACCUUUCUUACCCAAAAAUCCAAAGCGCAAUCUCUUUUGGCCAGCGCCAAAACUGAAGAAGAAUAUUUUAAAGUUAUGGAGCAGCUCCUCACCUCACGAUCAAAGUCCUCAGUUGCAGACACCUCUGAUGACGAUGAAGAAGAUGAAGAACCAUUUAUUUCUCUUGGAGAUGAAAAUGAAGAUGAUUGUUUCGGAAUUUUCUCUCCAAUAAAGCAUUGUAAAUAGUUAUCGUUUAUGUAUUAAAAAAAAAAUUAAUUAUUCAUCUUUUGUAAUCUCCAUUUGUAUUUUCCUUUUUUCUAUUUGUAUGUAUCUUCGGGUGGUCCCUUGGACACAAGUGAGAGCGCACAUGUCUCUUCACCCGUAUCAUACUCAUAUUUUAAAGCUUGUAUAUUCUAGUUCCAAAGAUUACUGUUCCAAGCUACAGUUUUGCUACAGUGGAGAAGCUACAGACUCGCUACAUUAAAAAACUCAAUUUUGUAUUUAAUUCUGGAGGAAGACUUAGACUCCUCAGAAUUUUUUCCUUUCUCGUUUUAUUCUCUCUCUCUCUUCUCUCUCUCUCUCUCUGUAUUCAAAGAACGUUGUGAAUUCUGGUAUUAGAGCCACAAUUUAGUGAUUUAUUUCUUGCAAAUCCUUCAUUACUUAAAAUUGUUGAAACUGAUGCAUCUGAUUUAGGUUAUGGAGGAAUACUAAAGCAAAGAGAACAUGAUAAAGAACAAAUAGUGCAAUAUGUUUCUGCCCACUGGAAUGAAUGCCAAAGAAACUAUUCUACUAUUAAAAAAGAAAUUCUUUCUAUUGUUUUAUGCAUUUCUAAAUUUCUAAGUGAUUUAUUAAAUCAGAAAUUUUUACUUAGAAUUGAUUGCAAAGCUGCAAAACAUGUUUUAGAAAAGGAUGUCUAAAACAUUGCUUCAAAACAGUUUUUUGCCAGAAGGAAAUAUGAUCGAAGAACGGAUGUGUUUUAAGCAGAAUUUAAAUUUAGUGACUCCAAGCGCAAGUUUUAAUUGGGGUAUGUGGCGUUGUUACCAGAUCGAUGCAGAGCUUAAUCUGCCUUUGGACCCAGAUCUGACUUAGAACAUAUCAAUAGUCCACACGUUCUGUUUUCCAGCCUAUAUAUCUUUAAAUUCUUUGAAAAAUCUUGAUCUUUAAGCAAGCCUAGCAACAGAUCUAAAGGCUCAUAGAUAGUUGAUUGUAUUGGUUUUGAUGUAUUGUAAAAUUUUUGAUUUUAUGGCCAUAUAAUAUAGAUAAUCAAGGUUUAAGUUUAUUCACACACACGCGCACGUACACGCACACACAUACACAUAUAAUUAUAGGAGUGACUAAUGAGCCUUUUUCUUUUCUCAUUUUGAGAAAAUCUCAAGUACAAAAAACGUAUUAUAACCAUUUAGUGAAAUUAGUUAUGACAUACGCACUCUGAUUUUAUUAUACUAUAAUUAUCUUCUUCUUCUUUUUUUUUCCAACUUAAAUGUACACGUACGUGAUCAAUGACUAUGGAUUAUGUAGAGGAGUUUAUCAUUUUAUUGAAAUUCUAAUGAUUGUCACAACAUAUUAAAGGGAGGUUGGCAGUUUCCUUCAUGUAGAAAUUAAUACAUACCAUUUCUCUUUUUAUUGUUUUCAUAAUAAUUAAUAACUUUCAUUCAUCAUAAUUUUAUAGUAUUAUUCUUAUUUUAAGAUAUUUUAAAAUUUAUUUAAUUAUUCAUCUUUAUUAUAAAUUAAAUAAAUUAUAUAAACAGAAAUUGAAAUAAAAAAAUUUAAAUAUUAGAAAUAAGAAAUAUAAUUUUCGGUGUUGAUAAAAAAUUAGUAUGAAUAUAGUUUUCUUUUUUUUUAUCUUUAAACAUAUUUUCUUAUGGUAAAUAUAUAUUUUAUAUUUUUAAAAUAAAAUAUUAAGCAAAUGACCCAUUUACCUUUACUUUCUUUUAAGUUUUUUUUUUAUACGAAGAGAUUAUUAACUAUUAUGAAAAUAAUAGAUGAAUAAAUAUUUUACAUAAAUUUCGACGGAGAGAAACUAGCAAUACCCUUAAACGAUUGAACCUUCAGUAUCUUAGUAGUUGACUGUGAAUGACAUUUUAUUCCACCCCAUUGCAAUUGUUGCUUGUCUUCCACGGAUAUCUUGAUUACGUUUGCAAGCUUAUGUUAUAAGGGCUUCGUCAUUGCCAUUAUUACGAAAUUAAAUAGACUACGAUUGUUGACCUAAUUUGAAAAUUCCUCCAUUGUUUAUUAUUUUUCGCUUUCUAAUUUAUCAACAUCAGCGAUAUCAAGUCAUUCUUUUAAUUAAAAACCUUGGGGAAGACGAAAUAUAUAUUAACUUACUGUCUUUUCUCAACAACUUUUUAGGUGAGAUUAGUUUAAUAAAUUACAUGAUAAAUAAUACUCUUGCUUGAGUCUACAUAUAAUUAUAUAUGAUGUAAAAUUAAGAUUCUUUUUUUUUUUGUCGUAAUACAUAGAAUUGUUCGUACUAUUAUUAUAACAAAAUAAUUAAAAUUUAUGAGUUGAAGUUGUCAGAAAAAUAAACUUAUUUCCAAUGAAUGGCAUUUGGAGGAACAAAAUAAAUCCGAAACUUUUUUACGCGGAAAAAAUCAAUUAACAUUAAUGAAGUCCAAAUGUCCAAAUAUAAUGGGAAAUUGAAUUCUUCAAUACCUUGCUGUUUCUUCAUAUUUCUUUAUAAAUUUACCGAUUCUUUACUCUAAAUUCUAGAAUUUGUCUUCAUACAUACAAUGGAAACUUAUUCUCUAAGAUACUGUAAAAAAACAAAAAAAUUAACAAAACCUAAUCAGUUGGUAAAUUUUGAUUAAUUAUUAUCUAUUAUUAAUAAUUAGGUGGACCUAAACGUUCCAAAUACAUUAAAACAAUCGAUCAUCUACAUUAUUCUAUAUUUUGAGGAGAGAAAAAAAAAAGACAAAAUCUUUUAGAUCAUCCACAUUAUUCUACAUUAAUCUUUUUUUCUUUUUUUUCCUUAUGAAAAAGCAAUUAAAUUAAUAAGUAGAAAUUUCUUUACAUUUUCGCCGGAGAAUCAGAGUCAAAUUCAAAUACAACGACUCAAAGCGCAAAAGCUUAUAAAUAGAGGAGAGCAAAAAUAAAGCCCCGCUCCAGUUCUCUUCUCUGUCAGAGGCUACGGAUUUGAGAGAUUAAAGAACAUCAAUCGAACAGUAAGACUCCGUACUCUGUGACUCAAAGUUGCAAAAACUUUUAGGUAAAAUUUUUUCGAUUAAUUUUUUAAUUUUCGAGAAUAAAGAGAGAGAGAGAGAGAGAGAGAAAAGAGAUGGGAUUAUGUCUGUCUGGGAGUGAUGUGAGGGGAGGGAAACAAGCCAUAGGUGGGGCCCAUCUCCGGCCCACCAGCACGGCUGAUCAGAACAAUGUCUCUGGUCAAAACGACGCCGUUGAUUUCUUCUUCAAAUCUCGCGGCCUUCAUGCCCUUUUCACCCAAAUCGAGGUAUAUGUGUGUACCUGAAUUUUAUGAGUCUUUCACUGCCACUAUUUAUAAACUAUUUUCAGUUAAUUAAUUAAUCAAAAAUUUAUGAUUAGUUUAUAUUUUUUAAUUUAUUUAUAAUUUUUUAUUUUUAUUUUUUAAAUCUAACUUCGUUCAUGUCUGUAAUUGUGAUGGAUUCUCAAAUGGUCAUUCGUUUAAAAAUCUAUUCCUAAAUUAUGUUUGCUAUUAUUAUUUAUUUAAUGACUUGGCAGUGUAACAUCGAACAACUUAAAUCAUCAAUAUUUGAUAAAAGUUAUUUGAUAAUUCGAAUACAAAUAGAGAGUAUAGAUUCCUAUUCAAGAAUCAACCGCAAUCCCAAACAUGCCUUUUUUUAAAUAAUAUAAGAGGAGUAUUUGGAAUUUUGGAGGGCGAAUAUUUUACUUGGUGCUCCUUCAAAGGACAAAGGACUUAAGCAUCUCCUCAAAAGAAUGCCUAUCGGGUGCUUCUUUGAGAAGCAUUUUUUUUUCUUUCUUUUUUUUGAAUUUGUUCUGGUGGCUGAUCUUUUGCUGGUGUUGGUUCGACGGUUUCACACCAAGCAAGUGCUUUUGUUUUGCAUAUGGAGAACAGUAAGUUUAACUGCUUAUACCCAAUGACAACAUUCUGUGGAGUGAAUUUUAGAUUAAGAUUGGUUAAGGUAAAUAAAAAAAGAAUGGUGUUGAAUGCACAAAGGCCUUGUGAACGUUGAGAAAGUUGAUGUUUGAUCCUGUUGAAUGCACAGUGGUUUUCCUGUGUAUCCUCAAAGUUGACUAUUCAGUUAUGCCUCAUUUAUCAAAUUUGACUCAUACCCCUCGUGAUCAAAUUUGACUUGUACCCCUGUGAAGAUUCCCCAUGAUAAUGCUCUCCUGAAUGGAACAUGAUUUUGUGAAUGCUGGUUUGCAUAAGACAAACCAUUAACUUUAUAAAAAAUUGUGGAUUAAGGAUUAUGUUGUUACGAGGAUAAGAAUGUCUUUCCAUAACAUGGACCACCAAGUAAUUGUAAUAUUCCUGUAUUGAUGUGGACCUUACCUGAGGAUCUCCUUGGAAACUUUCCUGGAGAAAAGGAAACAAGUCAUAUGAUAACAAAUUAAAUGUGGUUCAAUGCUUGUAAUUGACGUGUCACAUCCUGUUGUUAUAUAAAACUUAAUUACAUAUAUUAUUGCUUGCUGCUUAUAAGAUUUAAUAUUAGAAGUGAUUCUGUCAGAAUCCGAAAUGAUGGUUUUCUGCAGGUUCUGUUUAUGACAGAUAUAUAUUGCCUGUCAGUUGACCCACAUCGUACUGACAAUUUUCAUUUCGUGCAGCAUACGCAUGGAUUACUCCUUUUCCGCUUUUUCAUGUAUCUGUAUUCGUUCUUAUGUUUUUGAAUAUAAAUUGCAGUUAUCUUUAUCUGCUUCAAAGUUACGUGAUCUUGACAUCGCAUCAAAGGUACACCUUCAUAUUAUUGUUGUCUUAUGUCUAAUAAUGCCAUGUUCAUGCUGUUGAUAGUCUUGGUGAUUGAUUCUCAUGUUAUCUUGUAUCCUCCUUAUAUGAUCUGCUUAUUUGUUCAUAAUGGCCCUGUCAAUAUCCUUUCUCUGUUCAUGAAGGGUCUAGGGAUAUAUGAUCUGAAUAACGCUUAGUGCUGGCACCAAAAUUCUAAACUUAGACAAAGAAGAAUAGUUUGUUAUAUACACUGUCUGUCUCCAAUGUAAUCCAGUAAGGAGCAGUAACUUGAGAGUUCCAGAUAAUGUAUAACAAGUCAUGGUUGGUGGUUUUAUUGUUUUUGCAAUUUUGUGCACUAGUCAAAUAUGUUAUAUGUGCAAGAUAAAAUUCUUUGAUAAUGAACAUUUAUCAGCGGUAUAUCUUUUUACUAGCUGAUACUAGCAUACAUCAAAUGCUGCUGUAUUUUAAUGAUGGAUUACUAACUAUAGUUAUUUAACUAAUAUAUGUUUAUAUUUAUACUCACAAGCAAAUGUAUUUACAUGUCUUUUUGUGUCAUAGAGUGAUCCCAUGGCAGUUGUGUAUGCAAAGAAAAGAGAUGGGAGGCUGGAGGAGAUUGGACGUACAGAGGUGAUUAUGAACAAUCUGAAUCCUGCUUGGAUUGGAAAGAUUUCAAUUGCUUUUCAGUUUGAGAUCGUCCAGCCCUUGGUGUAAGUUUUUAGUGUGUUCUUUUUAAAGUUUUUUUUUUCUUGAUAGGUCAUGUGCUUAUCAUUUCUCAUAAGCCUUGCUUGAUUUGAUAAUAUUUAAUGUUUUCAAAUUUCUUAAUGCUUUUCUUCUUUUUCCAGCUUUCGUGUGUAUGAUGUGGAUACCAAGUACCACAAUAUUCCAGUGAAGGUAUAUAAAAAUUUCUUAAUUAUUAUUUUUUUCUCUCAAUUCAGAUGUAAAUGAUACGCACAUACUUCAGUUCCAAAGUUUAGAGUUAGCCAAGGCAUUUGACUGAUCCAUUUGUUGUCUAAGCAUACGUCUAAACUAAAUUGCAUCAGCAAUAGUUUCUAUCAAUUUCGGGAAAUUUGGGAAUACUUGAUUGAUUAUUAACUAACAUUUAGCAUGGCAAGAAACUUAAAAAGUUGGCUGUCGUAUAACAUAAACAAAUCUUAAGGCCAGGAUAGUUAUUAUGGAACUUUCUGCUAUUGCAUCUUGCAAGGUUUGACAUAUUUGUCCUGCUACCAUAACUGGGAAAGAACAAUUUUUCUGAUGGUCCUUACGGCUAAAUUUUCUUUUUUCCAAAAUGGAAUUUUGAUCUAUGUUGUUAAAAACAAUACAGUUAAAUAGUUGCUGCCAUGACCUAAAGAAGUUUCUGUAAAAAAUGACCAUAUUGUCAGUAUUGGAAUGGAUAAGUAAAUCUUUAGAGCCUAUGAUGUAUUCGUCUGUGGAAUUUGAGUCAAAAUGAAAAAAAUUUGAUGGUUAUAAUCCUAGAAACUGUAAUCAUUUGGAAGAAUUUGCUGAAAACAGUUAGAUAAUCUAAAAAUGUGAUGAUUAUUUAUGUCAAUUGUAAAUGGUAUUAACAUUACUGGGAAAAAUGAUAAAUAUGUAAAUUUAUGCCAGUGGAAAGAGAAAAUGAACAAAUCCAGAUGGAUUCUAAGACAUUAAGUAGGAAAUCUAGUGUUCUUUUGAUUCUUUGCUGCAGUGAUCCCUAAUUACUUUCAAGUCAUUAUUAUCUCAUGACAAAAUAUUUGUUGAAGCGUGAAGUUUAAAGUUCAAGCUUCUUAUUUACGUUGCCCUACAGAUGCUAAAGUUGGAGGAUCAAGACUUCCUGGGAGAAGCUAGUUGUGUUCUCUCUGAGGUAAGUUUCUGGGUUAUAUUUUGUUUGAUGAAUAUAUGUAUUUUCUCUUUAUUCAAUGGGCAAAAUAUGCCCAUCUAAUUUUCUGUAAAAAUCUGUUUCCUAAAAAAAAAAAAAAGGGCAAAAUAUUCUCAGAUGCUUUUUACUAGCAUUCGUCUUCUUCUUAAGCAUUCUUCUUUUUCACUAACAAGUGUCAUAUUUUCCUUUUAAAUGGCAGAUAGUGACCAAACAAAAUCGAACUUUAACCUUAAAACUCCAUAACAAUUACGGGCCUCGAGUUUCAAGAAACUUUGGGACACUCUUUGUCCAUGCUGAGGAAACAGUUGCUUCCAAGAGUGCUGUUGAAAUAGCAUUCCGUUGCUCGCAUUUGCAAAAUGUAGACCUGUUUUCAAAAAGUGUAAGUUCUGACAAAGUAGCUAAGUUUGGAGGUUCACUAAUUAAUCUAUUAAUGUAGAUGCUCAUUCUUCUUCUUCUUAUAUUCUAUAGGAUCCAUUCUUAAGAAUAUCUAGAAUUGUUGAGAGUGGAAAUUCUGUUCCUAUCUACAAGACGGAGGUGAUAAACAAUAACUUGAAUCCCAUUUGGAGACCAAUAACUUUGAGCAUGCAGCAAUUUGUGAGCAAGGUAACCUUAUCAUCUUCUUGUGCUUGUUACUUAAAUGUAUAUUCAGGGCCGGCUUUAGAGUGUUUGGGGCCUUAGCGAAAUUUUUUUAUGAGGCCUCUAUUUGUUUUGCAAUUUCAAUACUCAAAGAAAUAAAAAAAAAAUGCUCAAAAUUUAUUUCAUUUGUAAUUCUUGAAUUUUAAAAAUAAAACCUAAAAAAAAAGUUAAGAAGAUAUUUUUUUAUUCCAUUAAAACUAUUACAAAAUAAACAAUCAAAUAAAUACGAAUAAUAUUAUUUUCAAAUAGGAUAUUUCGAAUGAUAGAACAUAAAAAGUUGAGAUGAUGAAUUAAUGAUCAGAUAAUAGAAAUGGACUUUGUAUUUCUAUAAAUUGAUUUUUUUUAAAUGAACCAAUGAAUAUAGUAUUUUUCUUUCUAGAGAAGUGAGGAAGAAAUUUUUUCAUUUACUGAUUUUUUAGAUUACAAAUUUUUUAAUGGAAAUUAAAAGAAAUACUAAAAGUCAAAUAUUCUAACAUUAAAUAAUUAAUUUUUUUGAGGAAAUUGAAAAGAUAACUAAUUUAAUUUUUUUUGGAAAGACUAAUAAUGAAUGAAUUAAUGAUUAAAUAAUAUUAUUAGUUAUAUCUAUUUAACAUUAAUGUUAUCAAAUAUAGUUUUUUCAUAAAAAAUAAUUCUUAACUAUAUGAUAAUUAAUAAUUAGAGAGAUGUUAAUAAGCUUUUUGAUUUCCUAAAAUACGUAAUUUAAAAAAAUGAGAAUUAUUAAAAAAAAUUCAAAAAAUGAGGCCUUCACAAAAUAUGGGGCCUUAGGCGACCGCCUUGUUCGCCUAUACCUAAAGCCACCCCUGUGUAUAUUAGGUAGUGAAGUUUGGUCAUGGGGAAAUGUUUUUUAGUAUAUGAUUUUCUUUGGUACAGGAAAACCCAUUAAUCAUUGAAUGUUUUGAUUUCAAUACCAGUGGAAAUCACGUACUGAUGGGGUAACUGUUAAAUUUCUUAAUGUCAUUAGCUUCCCUCUUUUAUCCUUUUGCCUUUCUGAUGUCAAGUUUUUCUAUUUCUGUUAUUAGUAAAAUUCAGAAAUCAGUUGGAGACCUGGAGAAACUUCAUCAAGAAAGAACUGGUGCAACUUAUGUUACCAUCAACUCAACGUGGCCAUGACAAGGUGUUUAUUCUUUUUUGUUUUAACUCCACCAAAGGUGUUUGUUCAUGCUUACGGUUUUUGAUAAUUUAAUAUCACUUUAUUGUUUAUCUGACUUUUUCCUAGGUUCUGAAAAGUCAGUUGUUUGUUGAAAAGUUUGUUGAGAAAGAGCAAUAUAGUUUUCUGGAUUACAUAUCUAGUGGCUUUGAGUUGAAUUUUAUGGUUGCAGUCGACUUUACAGGUAAUUAGAAAGACAUUGCUUGUUGGAGAUAAAUUGGCAAUAUAAUCGUUUUGUUUUGUUUAUUUCCUCUUAUUUGGUCCAACUUCAUCUUGCCUCUCGUUAAAUGCAAAAUCAUCCAGCUUCAAAUGGAAAUCCUCGAAAUCCAAAUUCUUUGCACUAUAUUGAUCCUUCAGGCAGAUUGAAUUCUUACCAGCAGGUAAGGUUUUGUUAUGACUCACAUUUUGACAAGUGAUCUCUGAACUCUGAAGGUCAUAAAAUGGUCAUUUUGUCCAGUGUUUUCGACUUAGAAAAUGCAUGUGACUUUCAAGUCUUUCUAUGGCCGUCAUAGGAAAAUAGAUAUUUCAAUAGUUCGUAGAAGUUGAGAGAGAAUAUCACUGAUUAGUUAUUGGCCUCUUAAACCAUUUACAGGCAAUAACGGAAAUUGGGGAGGUCAUACAAUUUUAUGAUUCUGAUAGACGCUUUCCUGCAUGGGGAUUUGGAGGGAAGACAUUUGAUGGCACUGUAUCACAUUGUUUUAACUUGAAUGGAAGAGCAGGUGGCUUUGAGGUAGGGGUAGCUGGAGUUCGCAACUUUGCUGUAAUCCUUAUUUGGUUGGCUUGUCUCCCAUAACUUUUCAUUUUUAAUAACAAACAUUAUAAUAUGUUUCUACAUUUUCUGAAAAUUUCCUUGGAAUUCAUUUUUUUUAUUAACUGCUGGUUUCUUUAUUUAAUAGGUAGAUGGAGUUGAAGGCAUUAUGGCUGCUUAUGCAAGCGCUCUAAACAAUGUUUCUUUGGCAGGACCGACUCUGUUUGGUCAAGUGAUCAACACAGCUGCACGAAUUGCUGGACAGUCCCUCUCAUACGACAGAAGCAAGUAUUUCGUCUUACUCAUUAUAACGGUGAUUACAAUGAUUCUAUAUAUUCACAGUUUUCUCUUUCUAUCAUUCUUUUUGGGUGAUUUGUAAAUUUGCAUGGUCUAUCUAGGAUGGAGUUCUGACAGAUCUCCAAGAAACGAAAGAUGCUUUGGUAAGGGCUUCUGAUCUUCCCCUGUCAAUUCUAAUUGUGGGUGUGGGAGGUGCAGAUUUUACACAAAUGGAGGUACACAAUGUUUUCCAACUAGAAUAUCUUCUUACUAGCAUUGAACUUCUUUUUUCUAUAGUUUGAUAGAUUCAAUUUAGAGUAUAUAUGCAGUGUGGUAUUAUCCCACUUUUGUUGCAGAUUCCUGAUGCUGAUAACUUUGUUGGCAGAUUCUUGAUGCCGAUAAUGGCCGUAGAUUAGAGAGCUCUACCGAUCGGGUAGCUACCAGAGAUAUAGUACAAUUUGUUCCAAUGCGAGAAGUUCAUAGUGAGUGCAUAUGAUUCUUUGAAAAAAUUAGUUCAAACUAUUGAAUUUGGGAGUUAAUUCACAGAAGUUUCUGAAUUUUUUCAUGCCUGAAGAAAGGAACCCAUUGUUUUCUGAACAGGUGGGCAAAUUUCUGUUGUACAAGCACUUUUGGAGGAGCUGCCUGGUCAGUUUUUGACCUACAUGCGCUGCAGAGAUAUCAAACCACUCAAUGUUCAGAUGGCCCAAACAUGCGCUUGAGUAAAUAUUCAUAUAUUUGGAAAGGAUACAAAACCAAGCCAAAUAUAUUAGACAAGACCAAGCCAAACAUAUUAGGCUAUACAAACAUAACAUAGCAGAAAUUGAUAAUGGUACAUUACAUAUGUUAGGAUAUAGCAGUUUUAGAUGAUGGUAAAUUACAUAUGUUAAGAUAGAGUGGUUUGUAACUAACUUUUGAUGGCUUAAUGAAUUGAUUGAAUUUGUAUUUAGAUUCUAUCAAUGAUCUCCUAUCCAUGUCUUUCGAUUUUUAUUAUUCCCUCUACCCACUUGUUUCACAAUUUGUUUGUGUCUGAUGGCCUAAAACUCCAAUUUCUGUACAUGAACAUGUGCUGAAUGUCUACUACAAUGAACAUGUGCUGAAUGUCAACUUUUACUACUACACCAGCAAUCUAACACAUGGCUCACGUGCACACUAGACAAGUCUGAUUCACACAUCUUUAAAGUGUUGUAUUAUAACUCUCUGAAACUGGGUUUGAGUAAUCAAGAAAAGCCAAAAUGUAGAACAAUGACAAUAAAAAAUGAAGACCCUCUUACAGUCUUUAACUUGAUAGAAAAAACACGAGCUGCAUACCAUGUCUGACAAAUUUCAAAGAAAAUUGGCCUCAUUCCUGAUGCUGCACAGAAGGUUGGCCUGAAUCAUCUUUAAGAAAGCUCAUUUAUUACAUUAAUACAUUAUAUCAGUGAGAUGAUGCUACUUUAAUGAAACUCAUGUCUCAAGUUUGGAACAGCUACAUGGGCAUUUCAUCGAACAGUUGAUAUGCUUGGUAGAUAAUCGAAGUUUCCUGGAAGUUGCAAGGGCUGCCGGCAUUUUCAAAAUUGGAAGACCAUUCAAAGGUUUUCAAUAGUUAGUUUGAUAUUACACGUGUGAUAAUCUUGUGAUGAUGAUGAUUUUAUGUGUCUGAUUAUAAGCUAAGCUAAGCUAGUGGAUUUGUAAGUAAGCACACGGCAAAGUAUUUAACCUUCUUAUUGUCGCAUUCUUCUAAUCAAUUAGCUUUCACCAACAAAAAUAAUUAAUAAUAAUGUAAAUGGAGGAACUUGGGAUCAUUAACCAGGGAGGAUCCACAUGUUGUCUACAGUGAGCAAUUGACCAGUAAACUUUUAUUUUUCCAUAAUUUUCUAUAUAAAAUCUUGAUAUUUUCAUGAAAUUACAUAAUUUCUUAUAUAAUUGUCUCCAAAAAAUACCAAUAGGUGCACGAACACAAAUAUGAUGCACACAUCUCUUUAAUUAAUUUAGGGCUUAAAGAGAUUUUAAGAUGACUACAAAUUGAAUAUGGCAGAUCUUGGACACCAUCCAUAAGAAAUAAAACUAGUCUCAAAUUGGAUUUCUAAGUACUCAAACAAAGCUAAAAGCAUAAUAAUGAAUGAAAACUGAAACAAAAAAUCCUCUCACCAACACCAUAUGACUCUUAAUAUCUAGAAAGAACUCAAGCUCGAGCCUUAUCCAAAAUGCUGCACAAGUAGCAUGAAUCGUCUUCAUAAGUUUGGAGACUCUGUAGACAAAGAGUAAAAACACAUUGAAGGUGUAGUUUUCACAUAAUUAAAUUGCACAAAUUAGCAUCUAUUAAGGACACAGAAAUCCUUCAAUUCUCUCUAUAAGCAAUUAAUUUUAUUUUUAUUUAUUUUUUUUUUCGCUAUGUCUUGUCUAACAAAUAAUCCUCAACAUAACAACAUAGCAGAGUAGUUAUAUUUUAAAAAGAUGUACCAAUAUGAUUUAACAAAAAAUUCAACAUAAAUAAAACACUUUUAGUCAGCAAAAUAGAAUCAAAUCAAAACCUCCCGUUUAUCUUACCACUAUUUUUCGCAUCUUUUUCCUUUUCAUUCGCCUCGGCGGACUUCUCAUUCUCUUUUUCCUCCCCUUCCUAAUCAGAUUUAAAAUGAAUUUAUAAAAAAAUUAAUAUGUAUUUUUUUCUUUUUUCUUUUUUAUAUAUAUCUGUUAUUAAAUCAGUAAUUUUUAGAAGAAAAAAAAAUCAACAUCUCAUAGUGAAUGAAUACUUACCUUUUUUCUUUUAAGAUAUACGUAUUGAAUGGUUGUAUUAAGGUCCCGAUCCCAAGCCCCAAGUUUCUUAUCGACUAGGCUCAUCUGCACUUCGUGUAACUUGGGUGUGCUUAAUUCCCCUUCUGAGAAAAUCUUCAUAUUGGGGCAAUCUUCCACCACUAAUGUUUCCAGAGAUGGGAAUUUGAAGUCGCAAUUAUUCCCAGAGCAGCUGAAACUAGUCAGACUUUCUAAGUCCAAAAGAAUCAAUUCCUUUAAAUCGCUGAAAACAAUUUCAUCUUUUUAAUCUCCCUCAUCAUCCUCAUCUGCCACUAUUUCUGUUAUCAUCUCGCAGCAAACUAUGUGCAUUCGUCUCAGUCGCACCAGACUCCUUGCUGUUGAGGAUGUUAGUACGUGUAUCAUUCCGUGGCAAAGACAUACAAUCAAAGUUGUUAGGUUCUGAAACGAUGUCGAGGAUGGCACUAGAUUAGUCAAAUUGUCACAAAAAAGUAUCUUCAGCUGUUCCAAAUUGUUGUUAUUGGUUGACUCUUGUUUGAAAAUCUGCUUCAGUUCACGACGCUGGUUUAUUCCCCUCAUCAUUGCUUCCAUCCCAUUUUCAAGGUUUUCAAAUGAUGUGUCCAAAUCUGCCUCAUUGUUCCCUCCUAUAGAGAGAAUUUUGAUGGUGUGAAAUCUCUGGAGGAAAUCGUCAAGUGAUAAAAUAGUACUUGACUCAUCAAGCCAGACAUCAAGACAUUUAAGUUUGCAAAGCCAGUCUUCUGGAAAUAGGCCUAUGUGCUUUUCAUCAACACUCAAUUUCUCCAAAUUGGGGAACACCUGGGUGAUCAUCAAUCACGAAAAAAGCAAGAUGGAGUUAACACUUCUUUCUUGCGAUUUCACAAAUUAAAGUAAAUACAAAGCAUUCCAAUGAUGCAUAUUGAUGGCCGGACAAAUAUAUACAUAUGCGGAGAGAGUAUGAUUUUCAGCUGUAAAUACAAAGUAAAUACAAAGCAUUCCAUUUAAGUAAUGUGUAUUUUCUUCCAUUCUCUCUUCUUAACUCUUGUCCAGUAGAUAGAUUUUCAAAGUUUAUUAGAUUUGUGCAUAAUCUCUAUGAAAAAGACUUCAAUUAUUCUCAAAUUGCAUUUAAACUUUGAGAUUCUUUUAAUUGAUCCGUUUAUUUGGUUUGAAUUGAAAAUCUUACAAAUUUCUUUUUUUUUUUAAAUAUUGGAGUUUUUAACUUUUUCUUAAAGCAAAAAUGAAUAAAUAAUAUGAAUUUUAAAAGUUUAAUAAUAUAGUAAGAAGCUGGUAUUUCAUUAAUAUUCAUCCAACUCAAUGGAAUUAGAUAUAUUUAUUAUUGUGCAAGAAUGGAUUUUAUUGUACAUAAAGUUUAAUAGAAUAAGAUUUCUUAAUUUGAGUUUUGUCCAUCUUUCUAUAUAUAUUUCAAAAAUAUUAUUUAUGUUAGCACAAGAUGACCAAUUUCUACUUCAACAUCAAAAUUGAUAAUCAUUUUGUAUGUAACAAUACUGUACUAAGGAGUACUAAUUUGGAAAUAGCUCUUGAACGAUUUUCAGGGAAUUAACUAUGGCUUGAAAAACUCUAAAUCUUAUGAGUAUUUUCUUUGUUUGGCUAAUCAAAUGCACUCUCUACCGUGUAUUUAACUAAACAUAUAGACAUAAAAUAAAAAGUAGAGGAAGAAGAAAAACUCUGAUAAUUAAGAGAAAAAAAAUUGAACUAACAUUAUUGAAGAGUGAUAAUUAUGUUUAUUGAAGAUUUAUUGAAUUCAAUAUUCAAUAAUGAGAAGAUUUAUUGAAGAGUGAUAAUUAUGUUUAUAAGGAUAUUAUAAAGUAUAAAUAAAGUGAUUUAUAGAACUAACAUUUUCUUACUAAAAGACAAAGUGAUGAGGGCAAUGACGAAAAGAAAACUCUAAACUCUCAAAGUAGAAAUGCUUUUAAGUACGUAAGAAUUGAACAAUAAUUACAAAAAUCUUGCACGUACCUUUUCAAAAUGCAGAUCUCCUGUGCAGAAGCUUGUAAAAAUCUGCUUCAGAUCUGCUUGAGUGUUAUUAUUGGUAUUGGAGGACUCUCCUUUCAAAAUCUGCUUCAGAUCACGACGCUGAUUUAUUCCUGUUAUCACUACCUUCAUUCCAUUUUCAAACUCGUCAGAUGGAUCUUUCCAAAAAUCAUCGUCAUCGUUUUCUUUUAUAACAAGAACUUUGAUGGCUUGAAAUCUGUGGAGGAAAUCGUCAAGUGAUACAAUAGCAGCUGACUCAUCAAGCCGGACAUGAAGACAUUUAAGUUUGCAAAGCAAGUCUUCUGGAAAUAGACCUAUGUGCUUUUCAUCAACCCUCAAUUUCUCCAAAUUGGGGAACACCUGGGUGAUCAUCAAUCACAAAAGUGGCAAGAUGCAGUUAGCACUUCUUUCUAACGAUUUCACAAAUUAAAGUAAAAACAAAGCAUUCCAAUGAUGCGUAUUGAUGGUCACAGAAAAACACAGGGUGGAGUUGAUCUUCUUUCUAAAAACCUCACAUAUUAAAGUAAAUGCAAAGCAUUCUAAUGAUGAAUAAUAUUGAUGGCCAGACAAUACAUGCAUGGAUAGAUAGAUAGAUAGAUAGAUGCAUACAUACAUACAUACAUAUAUAUUGUUCUCAAUUAUUCUUAAUUUACAUUUAAACUUCCAGAUUCUUUUAAUCGAUCGGUUUAUUUGGUUUGAAUUGAAAAUCAUAUAAAUUUAUUUUUUUUAAAAUUGGAUAUUUUAACUUUUUUUUUUUAACAAAAGCAAAAAUGAAUAAACAGCUUGAAUUGCUAGCACAUAUGAAAAGAAGGAAAAUUUGCACGAAUUUAAAAAACUUAAUAAUAUAGUAAGAAGCUGGUAUUACAUUAAUAUUCAUCCAACCCAAGGGAAUUGGAUAUAGUUUACUAUCGUACAAGAAUGGGUUUUAUUGUAAAUAAAGUUUAAUAGGAUAAAAUCUCUUCAUUUGAGUUUUGUCCAUCUCAGUACAUAUAUUUUUAAGCAUAUUAUUUAUGUUAACAUGAGAUGAACAUUGAUCAUCAUUUUGCAUGUAUGUGGCUUGAAAAUGGCACUCAGAAAUAAUAUGCUUAAAAAUAUUUGAAAAUGGCACUCAGAAAUAUUUUUGAUGUACUGUGGCUUGAAAAACUCUAGAUCGUAUGAUCAUUUUCUUUGUUUGGCUAAUCAAAUGCACUGUCUCUUUCGUGUAUUAACUGAACAUAUAGGCAUAAAAUAAAAAGAAAAAAAGUAGACGAAGAAGAAAAUCUCUUGAAGAGUGAUAAUUAUGUUUAUUGAAGAUUUAUUGAAUUCAAUAUUCGAUAAUGAGAAGAAUUAUUGAAGAAUGAUAAUUAUGUUUAUAAGGAUAUUAUAAAAUAUAAAUAAACUGAUUUAUAUAACUAAAAUUUUGUCACUAAAAGAUAAAGUGAUGAGGGCGAGGAAGACAAUAAAACUCUGAACUCUCAAAGUAGAAAUACUUUUCAGUACGUAAGAAUUGAAAAAUAACUACAAAAAUCUUGCACGCGUACCUUUUCAAUAUGCAGAUCACCUGUGCAGAAGCUUGUAAGCUGCGGAAGAGAACGAAGCUCAAGUGUCCUUAAUUGAGUGAGUUCAAUGACCAAUGGAAAUACAUUUUUCAAUUUAUCACACCCUUCCACCCUUAUGGUCUUUAAUUUGCUAAAAGACUCUGCUGUGAGUGGACCACGACAUAUUUCCUCAAGGUUCCUUAAAUCUCUCAGAAAUAAUGACUCCAAAAGGGGGAAUGCAAUCGUCGGAGCUGGCGUACAAUCCAUUGUGUCAACAAGACGAACAAGGUUGCCAUUAUGUUCGAUUUGGAGACGAUUCAGUUUUGGAAAGACUUCUCUGCCUGGUUCACAAAGAACAUUCUUCAUGUCCGGCAAUCCAUCUAAAGUUAGGUCUUCAAUACCCUUCAAUUGCAUGAUAUGCCCCUCGUUCAAGCAAAUGUUGGCACCAUUGGUGAGCUUCAGUUUGAAUUUUCUAGAAAUCCCAUCCGAUCGGCCAACCGACCACCAGUCAUAUCCUAUCGAUAUCCUGUACCUUUGCAGCAUUUUGAAGAACGACAAGUCUCUUGGUAGAGUCUUUUCAUCUUGGAUGAGUAUUUCUAAAGAGGUCAAUUUAGAUAAAUUAUUCAACUCGUCAAGGCUGGCAUUUCUUCUUUCACCGUCGACUCCUCCAACCUUCCCCCACAUAAUGGGACUCUGACCGAUAUACAAUUCUUCUAAUCGUGAUAAGCUUGAUAUGACAUUUGGUGGAAUAACUUGUAGAUUGAAACAGUAACUCAGAUCCAAUAACCUCAAUUGAGUCAGCUCGCCCAUUUCUUCAACUAGUUUCUCCAUAUCAGAACCUCGAAGUGUAAGUAUUUCUAAUUUCUUCAGGCUCCAAUAAUAGCUAUGUCUCCUAGUAUACAAAAAUCCAGAGACAAUGUUCGAAGGUUUUGUAAGAGACCAAGCGAUGAAGGCAAUGCCAACAAAUGCAUCUCAGUGAAAUCUAAAACUCUAAGCUCUGUCAUCUCAGUAAAAAUGUUAUCUGGGACUCUCAAAGAAGGAUCAUUGCUAAUACGAAAGUAUUUAAGUUGCGGACACUCGAACCCUUGAGGAAGCUCACUAAUAUUAGUAUUAAAUAAGGAGAUUGCGGUGCAAACCUUCAGUGUAUCCUUAUCUGGCCAGCUGGUCUCAUUUUCCACCGCAAACACAUGUUGGACUCUAGAUGCAAUAGAUAUGGCUACAUCACGAACAACAUCAUGCAUUGAAAACCAUUCACUAGUAUCGCCAUCAAGCAACAAACAAGAGUUCUUGAGUUUAUCAAUCAAUGUAUGUGCUCUAUCCCGUGCCUCUUCCAACGUGUUGAUGUUUUGAAACAGACCCAAACCCAUGCCAUAACAGAUCACGUCUUCAACACAAGAGAUGAACGUGUACCCUAUUAGCAAAAAGGUUUGCCUGAGUUCCUCACCUUCUAACUGAUAGUAACUCAACUCUAUAGUUGAAUAGGCGGCCACCGCUUGUGUCCCAGAGAAACUUCUCAAACAAGGCCUUUUUAAUUGAAGUAAAGCAUUCCUCCAUUCAUAGAGACUCUUAUUUUUCAAUGCCUUCGCUACGGGCACGAUGGCAAUGGGCAAACCAGCACAUUCCUUGACUACCUCUGUCGCUACAGAUUGCAGUUCACCAUUUUCCAUGCAAUCACCUGUCAUCUUCUUGAAAAGACUCCAAGCUUCUUUUUCAUUCAGAACAUCAACAAAAAAAUUUUGUUGACAAUCCAUUUUACAAGACAACACAUCUUGACUUCUUGCUGUCAGCAGAACUUUACAUCCGCCGUUAUCAUCUGCCAAUGGAAUUCCAAUCGCCUCCAAAUCGAGACUCCCCAAGUAUCAUCCAAGAUUAUGAGGAUCUUCGUCUCUUUCUUCAAUUGUUCGAGCAGCCUCCAUGCUCUUACAGUUUCACUCUCUUCAUCUAUUUUCAGGCCCAGCUUCUCUGCAAUUUCUCUUUGUAUUUCUUUUAUUUGUGGUGUUUGGGAAACACGUGAAGAAAUGACCUUCUCAAAGAGAUUAUUUUCCUUGGCCUGUCUGCCAACUUCUUUCACCAGCGUUGUCUUUCCAAUGCCGCCCAUCCCGUACACCACAAUCAUGUUGAAGUUACGGUUGCUGAGUGCGUCUAGUAUCUCCUUCAAGGUGGACUUUCUCGAUUCAAAGUGCAUGAAAUCCUGGGUAGACUUAAGCCAUGUCUCCUCUGGAAUGAUACGGAAAGAAACACUGUCGAAUCUCCCUUUUUCAUGGAGUCCAACAAUAGCAUUCGCCUCUCUUUCUGCUUUCUUGCUAAGCUGGUACCGAGUCCUCAAAUUAGGACAUAACCCCUUCAAACACCGGUUGUUUGAAUUCUCUUUGUCUUCAAUAAGUAUUUCGACUUCAUUGAUCUCCUUGUUCGCAGCAAUCAGCCAUUCCUCAACGUGCUGUUGGAUUCCGUCCCCUUUAAUUCUGGAAUCAUCAACCUUAUACUGCACACUGUCUCUAGCAUUCUUGAGCUUAUCAACUUCAUUAUUCAGCUUCUCGAAGUUGGUCUUGUAAGUGCAGCAGUAAGUAAAUGGAUAAAUUAUGGGAGCAACCAAGUACUCUGCAACUUUUGCCGCAACGGAGAUAACAAUUUCCAUUAUCCCUUUCUUUUUUUUCUUUUUUUCUUUUUUCUUUCAAAAGACAGGGGAAAGCAAAACUAAUCAAACUAAGCAGAACUAAUCAAUCAGCUGGUGUUAAGGAAGCCCAUUGAGCAUGUGUGUCAAUGAUGAGUCAGCAGUUAGUUGGGUAAAGAAGCCAACUCAGCAAAUCUGUUAAUCAUGUUUUACGUUCUGUUCUUCAGUUGUUAGUGAAGCUUUUAAUUCUGUUGAGAUAUGAGUUAGUAUAAAUAAGUUGUUAUUGUAUUUUGUAAAUAACAAUGUGAGAUUCAAUAAAAGAAGAAUAGUUUCUAAGGAAAAAUAUUGAUCAUUAUUUUCUUAGCUUCCAAACAACUUUUACAGUCACAAUUCAACUUUCUAACAUGGUAUCAGAGCCAGUAAGAGCAAGCUCUAGUGCUCAGCAAACAAAUCAACAAAGUCAAAUAAAUUUUUCUUUCAACACUCCAAUUAAACUAGAUCGAUCGAACUAUCUACUUUGGCGUUUUCAAGUUUUAGCUUCCAUAAGAGGCAAUCGAUUGGAAGGCUUCAUCAAUGGAACAAAACCAGAUCUUGAAGAACAGUUCACUCAAGUUGGAGCUGAUGGAUCUAUUCAGAAAAUUGAUAAUCCAGAAUAUCAGAAUUGGAGAUCACAUGAUCAAACAUUGCUUGGAUGGAUGCUAUCAUCAAUAAGUGAAGGUACUCUAAAUCUUGUCAUAAAUUGUGGUAGCUCGUUUGAUGUUUGGAGAACUUUAGAAAAGAAAUUUGGUGUGCAAUCUGAAGCUAGGGUUCUUCAACUUAGAUAUGAGUUAAAUACUCUUAGGAAGGAAUCAAUGAGUAUUGAAGAUUACUGCAUCAGAAUGAAAACUGUAGCAGAUAAGCUUGCUAGUGCUGGAAGUCCUAUAACAGAGAAAGAUCUCAUGCUGACAAUUCUUAAUAGCUUAGGAGCAGGCUAUCGUGAUAUUGCUACCUUUAUAACUGGCUCAAAAAUGGACUAUGAUGAUGCUUAUGCAUUAUUAUUAACUCAUGAAACCAGACUUGAACAAGAGCAGAAUGAUAAAAGCAUGUUUAAUGCAAAUUAUGCUUACACAAAUGCCUAUUAUCCAAGGGCAUUCUAUGCCCAAUCUAGAAAUAAUUUUAGAAGAGGAGGAUAUGCUGGUGCUCAGUUUGGUAAUACUGGUAGAAAUCACACUGUUGGAAGAGGAAAUAUUUUUCAGUCUCCAAGGAUGUUUAAUGGCAAUCACAGAGGUGGAUAUGGAAGAUGACACUCAUUUGGCCCAAAUAAUGUUAACUCUUUUCAUGCACCUAGGAAUCCAAUAUAAUUUACUAGGACUGGAGUCACUAAUAUGAAUGGACCUCAAGGAAUUCCAAGUAAUGCAGAAGAAUUAGUUAUCAUACUGCUGAUAUUUGCUGGCAUCGAUUUGUGGAGGAUUAUGUCCCUUCUUCAAGAAGUCUAGGCAGAGGAAAAGGACCAAGAUCAGCAUAUAUUGCUAACUUUGAUGGCUUUACAUAUCCAUAUCAAGGUUAUGAUAACUAUGAUAAUCAUCCUGCAUUUGAGACAAGCUGCUAUUCUGGAAUUGAUAACUAUGCACCUGCAGAAGCUUAUGUGGCUAAUUUUGAAAGCUUUGCUGAUGAUGGCUGGUACUUGGAUAGUGGGGCAACUCAUCACUUGACCAACAACAUGGAGAACUUGCAUUUUAAGGAAGACUACAAAGGUACUGAUCAACUCAUUAUUGGAAAUGGUCAAGGUCUUUCAAUUUCUCAUAUUGGUCAUGCAUUUUUGUCAUUUAGAGCUUCAAAACAUCCUUACACACAUGCCUCCACUAUAGCACUUAAAGAUAUGUUACUUGUUCCUACAAUCAAUAAGAAUUUACUAAGCAUCUCCAAACUUACAUCUGAUAAUUCACUCUCUGUUGAAUUUUGUGGAAAUGUCUGUUAUGUUAAGGACAUGAAGGGACAAGUUCUUCUGCAGGGCCUUGCUGAGAAAGGUCUUUACAAGCUGUUGAUGAAAUCUUCUUCCAUGUCAUCUUCAGCUUAUCAUACAUCACCUGCCUUUCAUCUUUCUCAACUUCAGUCACAGAAACCAAUAUCCAUGCUGUCAUGCUCAAAUGUGUCUUCUAUUUCUCAUCAUUGUAAUUUCUUUGAUAAGACUUGUUUCAGCUCAAUUUCAAAUAAGUGUAACCAGAAACAUGAUGAACUUACCUUGUUACACAGAAAGUUUGGUCAUCCAAGCUCAACAGUAUUGAUGCAUUUGCUUAAGACUUGUAAACAAGUUAAAGUCUCUCAAAAAUCAAUUUUAUCUCCUGAGCAUUCUAUGUGUGAAGCAUGUCAAUUAGGAAAAGCUCACAAGCAACAUUUUUCUACAACCGAAACCAAAACAACUCAAGUAUUAGAACUGAUACAUACUGAUCUGUGGGGGCCUUCACCUACUACAUCUAAAAAUGGUUUCAAAUACUACAUAAGCUUUGUAGAUGAUUACAGUAGGUAGACCUGGAUUUACCCACUCAAACUCAAAUCAGAAGCUUUUGAAGUCUUCAAAUUAUUCAAAAUCCAAGUAGAGAAUCAGUUCAAUACCAAAGUCAAGAUGCUGCAAUCUGACUGGGGGGGAGAAUAUAGAGUUUUUACUAACUUCUUAAACCAGAAUGGGAUCAUUUUCAGACAUUCAUGCCUUACACUCAUCAUCAAAAUGGUUUAGUAGAAAGAAAACAUAGACAUAUAAUUGAGUUAGCUUUGACUCUCUUAGCUCAAGCUCAUCUUCCUUUUAAAUUUUGGUGGGAAGCUGUUCAUACAGCAGUGUAUCACAUAAACAGAUUACCAACACCUGUAUUGAAACUCUUAUCUCCAUAUGAGAAGCUCUUUAAGCAUAAACCAGAUUACAGCCUCCUUAAAUGUUUUGGUUGUCUUUGUUAUCCAUACUUGAGAGAUUUUAACAAACAUAAAUUUGACUUUCAUACCAGCAAGUGCAUCUUUAUUGGUUAUAGCUCAUCUCAUAAGGGAUAUAAAUGUCUUACAAGCUCAGGCCAAGUUCAUAUCCUUAGACAUGUUGUUUUUUAUGAGAAUGUAUUUCCAUACACAACAUUCUCUGUUCCUUCUUCAUCUGAAAAUGUUGUCAACUCAGAAACACCAGUGUCAAAUUUCUCUAAACAGCAAGUCUAUCAUCUUUCAACUCUACCCUUAUUCAACAACAGCUUUGAAGAUACUUUCUCAGCAGGUGUGCCAAGUGAUGAACAAACUCCUGUUUUGCCUGAGCAUACAGAUAAUUUGAAUCAACAAGAAUCAUCUAGUUAUUCUUUAUCAGAACCAUCAAUAUCACAAGUUAUCCCUCAAAUCCCUGAAUCUACUCAAACACAACCUGAACCACAAACAAGCAAUCAACAACACUCUGAAUAUAAUCCAAACAGAAUUCAGAUCUCACAACCUACACACAAAAUGAUUACCAGAUCAAAGUCUGGAAUAUUCAAGCCUAAGUUGUAUACAGCCAUCUUGAUCAACAAAGAACCUGACACAAUUCAAGAAGCUCUGAAUGAUAAAAAUUGGUAUAAGGCCAUGAAAGAGGAAUAUGGAGCUUUGAUCAGGAAUGAGACUUGGUCUCUUGUACCACCUCCAGCUGAAAACAAAAUAGUUGGAAACAAAUGGGUGUUCAGGGUUAAACAAAAUAGUGAUGGCAGUAUAGCAAAGUACAAAGCUAGAUUGGUUGCUAAAGGUUUCCAACAAACUGAAGGGAUUGAUUAUUUCGAAACUUUUAGCCCUGUUGUAAAGGCUUCCACAGUGAGGGUUAUACUAAGCUUGGCUGCAAUGCAGAAUUGGAUGAUCAGACAGGUAGAUGUUAAUAAUACGUUUCUGAAUGGUGACUUAACAGAAGAUGUCUACAUGGGUCAGCCUGAGGGUUUUGUUGAUGAGAAGAAAUCAGGUUAUGUAUGUAAGUUGAAGAAGGCUUUAUAUGGUUUGAAACAAGCUCCCAGAGCUUGGUUUGAUAAACUAAAAGGCUGUUUGGUUGCAAACUGGGGAUUUCAAAAUUCCAGAGCUGAUACCUCACUAUUCUUUAAAGGAAAACAAGAUUCAAUGAUAUUAGUCUUGAUCUAUGUUGAUGACAUACUGAUAACAGGGCCUAACAGUGAUGAACUUAAAAAGUUUAUCUCAAACUUCAGCAAAGUGUUUGCAUUGAAAGAUUUGGGAAGACUCUCAUAUUUUCUGGGUAUAGAAGUAUCUUAUGCUGAGAACAAUAUUUACUUAUCCCAAAGAAAAUAUGUUAGAGACCUGCUAAGCAAAGCUGAUAUGCUUCACUGCAAAGGGUGUGAUACACCAAUGGUUACAGGGACAAAACUUCAAAAGGAAGCUAAGGGAUCUUUGGGUCAGCAUGUUGAAGAUGCAACAAGUUAUAGAAGUUUAAUUGGAGGGCUGCAGUAUUUAGUUCUGACCAGGCCAGAGAUAGCUUUUGCAGUGAACAAGCUAAGCCAAUAUGUUUCUGCACCUACACUACAACAUAUCCUAGCCUGUAAGAGAAUGCUUAGAUAUUUGAAAGAGACAGAAGACUAUGGAUUAAAGUUUUCAGCUGAUGGAGAAAUAAAGUUAACAGGUUUCACAGAUGCAGAUUGGGCAUGUGAUAUUGAUGAUAGGAAAUCAACAGGUGCAUACUGUAUUUACUUGGGAAAUAACUUGAUCUCUUGGUCAUCCAAGAAGCAAUCCAUAGUUACAAGGUCAAGUGCAGAGAGUGAGUACAGAGCUCUUGCUUCUGCAAGUGCAGAAAUUACAUGGUUACAGUCAUUGUUCAAGGAACUCAAGAUUGAAUGUAUUUCAGUGCCUACAAUCUGGUGUGACAAUAUAAGUGCAACUGAGCUGGCCAAAAAUCCUGUCUACCACUCGAGAACCAAACACAUUGAAUUGGACAUGCACUUUAUAAGAGACAAAGUGUUAGCAAGAGAGCUGGAAAUCAAUUACAUUCCCAGUGAAGAACAGAUUGCAGAUAUCCUGACCAAGCCUCUCACAUUCACUCAAUUCAAUUAUCUCAGGAGCAAACUUAAUGUGCAGCCAUGCCCCUUAAGUUUGAGGGGGGCUGUUAAGGAAGCCCAUUGAGCAUGUGUGUCAAUGAUGAGUCAGCAGUUAGUUGGGUAAAGAAGCCAACUCAGCAAAUCUGUUAAUCAUGUUUUACGUUCUAUUCUUCAGUUGUUAGUGAAGCUUUUAAUUCUGUUGAGAUAUGAGUUAGUAUAAAUAAGUUGUUAUUGUAUUUUGUAAAUAACAAUGUGAGAUUCAAUAAAAGAAGAAUAGUUUCUAAGGAAAAAUAUUGAUCAUUAUUUUCUUAGCUUCCAAACAACUUUUACAGUCACAAUUCAACUUUCUAACAGCUGGGAAGAGGGAAAUAAGAAGUUUGGAUAAAUUGCUAAAAUAAGAAGUUGAAUAGAUUUAAGGGAGGAGGCGAGGAAAAGAGUGAAAAAUCUAGAGAUGAAACAAAGGGGGAUCCUUUUUCUGCUAAGAAAAAUUGAAAAGCGAGUACAAUAAAUGAAAGAUUUGCAAAGAAGGUGUAGGAUCGAGGACAAGAACGAUUCAGAAAAGGGAGAUAGAAAAUGAAGAAGAGAUUUCAGAGAACUCUAGAGAUUAGGGAAAUGCAGAGGCAGACAGUUGUCAUCUCAAAUUCAUAUAAGGAGAAGACUCGUGCUUUCAAGUCAACUAAAUUCUCAAUAAUUGAGAUAGAUAGUUACAAGGGUUAAAGUUUAAAAAAAAAACAUAUACAAAUAAAAGGACAAAAGAUGAGACUUAUAGUACCAGUGGCGGGCCCCCUGGGUCCUCAACUUCUUCAAAUGGGCAUUUUAUCCAACAGUUGAUGUACUCGGAAUCCACACUUACACGAGGGUUCGGGGAGUUGCAAGUGCUGCCAGCAUUUUUCAAAUAAUCAAGUGAUUAUUGAGUAAUAUAAGAGUAAUAUAUGAUAAUCAAGUGAUUUUAAUAUGUAAACGGUAGGAUUUUGGGCUCAAAUCUUUAAAUUAAAAUCGUGAUCAUUUUAUCAUUAAACUCCAACUCUAUCUUGAUUAAUAAACAAAUGUUAGAAAUUAGUUGUUAAUAAAAUAUAUCCUGGAUGUAAUGGCUAUUCCCAAAGCUCAAUUGAACCAAGAACAAAAUCUUGAAGGACCCAAGAACAGAUCCCAAACAAGAAGUGACACAAGGCUUAACAAGAGUCAAUGAUUAAACAAUGAACAAAACAAAGAAUAAGUAAAGAAGAAAACUUAGAGCAAGAGUGUUUAAUGAUUUGAUUAAAUUUGUGUUUAUUUCUGUGGAUGAUUUCAUUCCUAUUCUUGCCAUUCAUUUUUAUGAUUUUUUUUUUUUUUUUGGGUUGACUCCCGGAACAAUCAACCUGGGGAUGGGUGGGUUUUAUUUAUUUGUCAUGAUUUGAUUAAGCAGAGCAACUAAUACUUCAAAUCGUAUCACUGUUGUAUUAGAGGCUUCACGUGCUAUGAAUAAUUAGUGACGAUCUAGUAUAUAAACCAAAGUUUAACAUAUCUACAUAUAACUGAAUGAAAAUCUUAUGUAUUAUAUUCAAUCCAUCAAGUAUGAAGCAUAAAAUCAAUUGAUCUACAAGCACUAGACAUAAAAAAAUCGAAUGGUAGAAUAGAAUAUACAAGCAUCAGCAUUAGAUGACAGGAAAAGAGCUCGUUAAUAAAUUAUAUGAGUGAUAAUACUACUUGAAUCAAACUCACGUCCCCAGUUGAGAAGAGUUAAAUUAAAUAAUAUUUUGGUGAUUUCAUGUGCGUAAAAUUAUAAAUUUAUAAUCAUCAAUAUAUCACCAGACUUUGUAAAGUUAAUGUGAAAAUGCAUCACAGUUGUACUUAUUAUCUUUUUCUUUCUUUUCCAAUUAGUCUAAUACCAGUGGCGUGGCCUCGUGGGUCCUCAAAUUAUUCAAAUGGGCAUUUCAUCGAACAGUGGAUAUACUCGGCAUGUGCACUUGGAAGACGCGUUCAAAAGCACUAAAUCAUGUUAAAGUCGACCAAAAAGACAAAACAUAGAAAGCGACAAUCCAACAACUAGGUAAAUUUAUUGGGAAACACUAUUUCUGCUAAUUGAAGAAAAUCAAGAAAUGCUGAUUCCGUCAUGCUUAGUUUCAUAAUCAUUAAUAUGCUUUUAUACGAAUCCUUGUUUUUGAAUAUAAUAAUGGUUUAAGAAAUGCAUACCUGUUAGUUCUCCAUUUCUUGACUCCGAGAAAAAUUUGACUUGACAGAUGAAGUAAUGUUAUAAGAGGUUUCAUACACAGCUUCUACGCGAUCACUACCAUGCUUACAUGUAAAACGUUGCUGCCAUGUCAUCAUACUGGACAGACCUUCAGAGGUUACUCUUCGAAGCGUUUCAUUAUGCCACGUGUACUUGGUUAUUUGACUAAUCACGGUUCACAAGUUGAGUGAGUUACUCACCACACCACCUUCCUGCUGCAAAGAAUUUUAAUUGAACUUUGACUUGGUCAGAAACUCAGAAUGAGUGGUGCACGUGAUGCAUACACGUGAGGACCCAAAUGACGAAUUCCAAACGCUGAGUGAUGUACGUGUGAACUAAAUGUUUUCAUUUUAAUACCAGCGGCAAUCACGUACACGUUUAAUGAUUUGAUUAAAUUUGUGUUUAGUUCUAUAAAUGAUUUCAGUCAUUGUUAUGAUUUUUUUGGGUUGACUCGACGGAGCAACUAAUAAUUUCUCAGUUCUGCUACUAAAUUUAUUUCCCACGAUUUGAUUAAACAGAGCUCCACUAAAACUUCAAUUCAUUUCACUAUUGUAAUAGAGGUUUCAUUCACGUUGAAUACCCAGAAUAAUUACUGAUAGUUAUAUAUUGAAUGCUACUUCAAUGUAGCUUACUGCCGCAAUAAUACUCAAUGACUUUCGAUGACAAAAAAAUUUAUCAUUAGAAUGACUGUAAGUUCAUCUAAUGCCGAGUUUCAUCAUUAACUACCAAAAUACUCCAGAAAUCCAAUACAUUCAACUAAACACUAAUUUAAUCAAAUCGUUAGACACUCAACCUGAAAGCGGAUUCGAAGUAAUAUUAAUAAAAACAAAGAAACAGGGGGACCCCUUGAUCACCAAUGCCAUCUUACCCUUGAUAAAGAGAAAGAAGUCAAGCUCCAUAUAAUAUAAUGCCUCACAAAUUAUACAGAAAAAAAUGGCCUCAUUUCAGAUGCUACAUAGAUGGUUUUCAUGAAUCCUCGUUUUCUGUGAUGAAUGUUGUUUUUUUUUUUACAUUUAAUAGAUUAUACAAAAUAAAAAAAAAAUUUUAAAUUUACUAGAUUGGAUUUCUAAGUUAAAAUAUAAAUCAGUUUUAGAACACUAAAUUGAGGGAGAAUAUUCGAUUUGAUCUUAUUGUAGGCUACUUCAAGAGUGUAAGAAACUGCUCCUGGAGCAUGCUAUUACAUGUUUUGUUUGUGGAAAAUGAUAUUUGUGCUGUCAAUUUUAUGCUGCAAUGGCACUAUAGCAUAAGCAAUACCCAUAUUUCUGCAUGUCUUCCGAAUAUCUUGCAGCUGUUCAAAUAACAAUGCUCUUUGUUUGCCUACAAACCUCUAUUUUCUGUCAACAUAAUCGAGGUAGCAACCCGCUAAUAAUUUUGUAAAUUGAGCCUGGAUGAAAAAUUGAUGAAUGUGUGGGUGAGAAUAAUCAUUACUCAAAUCUUUCACUGAUGUCCUAAAUGAUUUCUCCUUCUAUAGAUUACAGUGGUUGGUUAUAAUCACAAAUUAAGGAUCUUGCUGGAAGCUGUUGUUCAAAAAGAAAGGAAAUUCUGUAAUAUAAUCACAAGCUGAGCUGGUGUUGUGGGCCCGCUGUUAGUUAAAAGCCAUUAUUAUUAGUAGCUGAUUUCAGAAGCAGAGGCAUGCAUAUAUAUAAGGGCUGGCUUGUGGCAGAGUUAACGUGUGAUUUGGUGAGAGAUAGAGUGAGAGAUAGUAAAUUCUGUAAACAAGAGAUUUAAUCUCUGCACUCCAUAGAUUCUUUGUGUAAUCAUCUCCAUUAAUAAAGCUUUAGCCUCCUGCUGUUUUUCAGCCGUGGAUGUAGGUACCUUGGUACUGAACCACGUUAGAUCUUCUGUGUUCUUCUUCUUGUUUUCUUCUUUGUUCUUGGUUAAUCUUGCUACUGUGGUUGGGUUCUGUUCCUUCUUCUUGAUUGUGGUUAGUCAGUUCAGAUUGGUUAACUGGGUUGGGUCAUUUGUGAUUCACCAUUUUCGUCAACAGUUUCUUUAGCAAAUUUCUUUCUGUAUUAUGAGUCUUAAUAAAAGUUUAAUUGUAGACAGCUUUUUUGCGUUGAAAGUAUAUUUUAAACCUUUCAAACCAAUUAGCUCCAUUGGGAAACUUAUGACUAUAGAAAUAUUUGUUGCAUUUUGUCACUGAUGGUCAGGCCAUAAAAUUAGUUGAAUGAUGGUGUCAAGCAGUUAGCAAUGCAACUUUCUACCAAUGAUAUAACUCUUUUCAUUCUGUAUUUUGUUCGACACUUAAUUCGGUUCCAUUAUGUCAUUAUGUGUGCUUGAUUGAGUUGCUUGUUCGUGCACUAGAAUUUCCCAUCGCAGCGAGAGUUCCUAAGCUACUUUAUAAGACCUGGAUUUGUCUUUAACUAGCAUAUGACUUUGUUUGAGUUGAAAAGCCUACUGUGAAAGUUACCUGCUCAAAGCAAAAAAAAAAUGUUUCUGUGGGAGGAAAAUUAAAUUUUGGCGAAGUUUGCUUUGGGAAUUUUGAAGAGAAUUUGUAAAUUUGUUACACAUAUUGAGUGAUUCAAGGUUUUUAAUACAUUUCUUCCAAGGAAUCAGUUUUGUUUGGCCUCUCAAACUGUGUUUCUAAUCCAUUAUCUUAACUAACUUCGGCUGCCUUCUUUUUUAUUUUUUUUUUAUCUUGACAAAAAGCUAUUCACUGGUAUCAUGGAUUGGUAUUGGAAAUAAUCAAAUAAAGCCUACGAAGAAUUAGAAUGAAAGCUAUAUUUUGUCUUUAUGAAGGGAAGAUUUGACAACCAAUCCACCGAUAUUUUUUUUUAUUAAAACCUAUACUCAUUAUAGCCUCAAUCAUUUCGAGAUAUACUGGAGAAAUAUUUAAAAAGUUGGUAAAUUUUAAUUUAUUCUCCUGAUAGAAUGACGAAAAUCUCAAUUUACCCUUCGUUUUCAUUCAAUAAGGUGAUAGCAGAUUGAGGAUGAGGUAGUGAUUUUUUUUUUUUUUUGGGGGAAAAAUAUAAAAAAGAGAUGCUUGUUCUUUGUGGGGUCGUUUGUAGAGGCAAAGGCUUAGCUCGAAUGAUAAGAACAUUGCCUUCUUAGGGCCAAAGACGUGAGUUUGAGCCUUAUCCUCCUGGAAGUAAAUCGAAGACUAUUAAUUGUCUGCCGCUAACUGUUUUUUUUUUUUUUCUAAGUCUUUAUUACUCUUCUCAUAUUAGUAGUUAGCAGACAUUUUAAAUUUUCUUUUAACAUUUUAUUCUAACAUUUUUUCCCCGAAAACGACAAUGGCAAGAUAGUUUGACCUACCUUGACUGGCUUAAUUUGGAUUGCUUGUGUUCCACUCUCUCUUAUGUGUCAUUGUGCUUACGUUGCAAGGGAUUCGUCAGAGUGGUAGUUGUCAAAUUAAAGUUACAUUACAUUUACAUACGUUAAAGACUUUAUACGAAUAUUCUCCAUCGUCUUUGUUGACUCUUUUUUAUCUUUUAUUUUUCCUUGUGUCGAAAGAAUCCUUCACUGAUUGGAAUAUCCAUGAUGACUGGUUGCAAUUGGAAGAGUCCCUGAAAUUCAUCUUUCAUUCGAUCUUAAAAUACUUUCUCCGAACAAUUAGAAUACAUUAAGAUUUUAUGAACUUGCUUACUAGACUUGUUAAUUAAUUGAUUAUCUUCCCGGAAACACAUUAAAGACUCUCAAGGGGAUUCAUUAAACCUUUUUGCUGGGUCAAUUCUACAAGCAUCAGACGUAAAAGCUUCAUGAUAAGAGCACAAGCCUAUCGUCUUCUAAAGCUCCUUCAAAAAGCGAAGCUAGCUAUUCUCUUUAUUGUCAUUUCCAUCCACUUUAAUUAACCCUCUCUUUUUCAUGUUGUACAACUUUGACUUGACUCUCAAAUGGAGAACAACGAUAUUUAAACAGAAAAAAUUAAUAGAAUAUUUAAAAAUAAAAUAAAAUUAGUGUUGGUUUAUCUUGUACUAGUUUUACCUUAUUGAUGUCAAUGAUUUUCUAAGAGAAAAAAAAAUUCAUUAAUUUCACCUUUGUUUCAUGAUGAGGUAAGACAUAAUUUUUUUCUUUUAAUUUUUAAAAGAUUUCUUCAAAUGAUUUUCAAGUUGAUUUAUUUGGUUGGACUGUACAAUGAGUUUGGGCUUAGCCCACCCCUAAUUUUUUUUUUUUUUGGCCAGUUUAGCAUAAAAAAGAUUUUUAUCAAUAGGUGUGCUGCAAGUGAGAUAUGGAUAAAAGGAUAUAAAGAGAUAGAACAAAAAUUGAUAUCAAUCAAUUAGUGGAUAAGAUUAAUUAAUUUUUUUUUAAUGUUGCUCUUUUACUCAAUUAAGUAAUUAACAUUUAUAAAUGAUCACUAAGUAUUCAUGAGUAAGUGAAACAUGAGCUUAAACAUGAAUCAAUAUUUGCUAGUGCAUUGGUGGUUGGCACAAAUAACUUCGAUGAUAGAGAGUGAUUGGGAAGCAUUAAGGGGGUGGAUCCUUUAAUGAUCUAUUUUUAAAGCAAAUUUCACUUAAUAUGUUUAUUGGUUAAGUAUGCAUAGAGAUUUCCAGACCUAAUUAAAGACUUCAAAUUAAUGGUGAAACAUCUUUGCAAAUUAAACUAAGAAAAAUUGAAAAAGUAUUUUUAUCAUUUUAUGCAUGGAAUUCCACGUCCAUGCAUGCAUCUACCCAACAAAUGCACUUGUAAUUUAGCAUGCAUAUGGUACAUGACAAAAUAUUGUCUUGGAAAAGUCUCAAUGGAUAACUCAUGACAUGUCAUUGUACGUACACGCACAACGAAUAAUCGUUGCGACGACUUGCAUAAAACAAAAAGGGAAAUGUCUGUUUGUCCCUGUAGUUUAAGUACCCAUGGAGGAGUCAAUACAUUUUUAGAAAUUUACUAAAUAUAUAUAUAUAUAUAUAUUCUAUAUUUUUUUUUGGAUAAAAUCUACUUAAUUAUUUUCUAUCUUUCAUCUGCUAUAUAUUAAAUAAGUUUGAAUUUUAAACUUUAUCAUAUAGAAUUUUGCUUUGAUAUUUAUGUCCAACAACUAGAAAAGUGAGUAAAAGAGAUGAUCUGGAUAAUCUUUUAAAAUAUAAUAUUGACCAAACUGAGUAAUUGACUCGAACUAUGGGGUUUAAAAUAAUUUUUACCUAUUUAACAAAUUUUAAAAUUAUUUUCCAAAAAAAAAUAAAUUAACUUCUAUCUUUAUUAAUAAAAUUAUGACAUAACUAAGUAAUAUUCAUAUUGUUCUGAGAACAACUUCUUGGUUUAGCGGUGGACCUUACAUGUGGAGGGUUGAAAUCUUUUAUGUAUAUACAUAACAUGGUGUUAAUAAUAGUAAUUAAAAGGGAGUGUGUAUACCACACGCCGGAGACCAAAAAGUGAUUGUCAAAUCCGGCAUUUUUUGGUCGAACGAACCAUUUCACUUGGCAUUUUUUUAUUAUUACUUGUUUAAUACUUUUGUUUGCGGUAUUUUAAUUUGAGAGAGAUAUAAGUCUCAAAGGAAUGUCGGUUUUACUUAAGGUUGUUGUAAUUAGUAGUUUAAAAAAAAUACUAGCACAACUCUAAUAAAUAACGGAUAAAAAUUCCUAAUUAAUUUGAAUUCAUCUCUCAUUUGUCAUUUAAAAAAAAAAGAUAAAAAAAGACUCAAUAAUGUUCUUAUUGAUAAACAUAGUAUUUGACACUUUUGUCUAUUCGGAAACAAAGACUAACGACAAUAUGCUUUAAACGUUUUUUAUGGUUCAGCCCUAUCAACUUCAACGUAAAAUCACAGAUCGAGCACAUAAGUCAUGACCAUCAUUUUCAAAAUUCUCAAAUAUAGUCCAAUUUCUCUAUAAUCAUAAUAUUGAGGUAAGUUAAUUUUAUUAAUAUGAGAAUAUUAUAAUUAACUUAGUAAAGAUAUAGUUACAGAAAUUAUCGUUUUCACUUAGUUAUCCUUCGUGCAAUUAAAUUAGAGGUAAAAUAUUUACUAUAUUAAUAAUUAAUUACUGGAUUAUGUCAGAAAUUGAUAUUAAAGGUAGGCUUAAUUAAAAAAAAAAGUCUAUACUUUUUUUGCAAUAGACAAAUAAUAUUACUAUGCGGGGACAAAUUCUUUUUAGACAAGACUUAAAAAAAUUAUAACUUAUUAUAAUAUAGAGUAUAUCCUUAUUUAUAACUAACUUAAAUUGAGAUUAAAUCUUUUUUAUAAUUAAAUAAAAACUAUUUCUAUAUAAAGUAUGACUACAUAGGAGAAAUAUUUUAUUUGUAUAUAAAGUAUAUAUGACUAUAUAGGAGAAAUAUUUUAUUGUAUAUAGCUAUUUCUUUCUCUGUUAUUUCUAUCCACUUCAUGAGCACUGUCUCAGUCUUUUCCCUUUUCUGUAACAAUCUUGGUUUAACUAUGAACUAAAUGUUCUUCUUUUCAAUCAUUAAUUAAUAUUAGGUAGGUAGAUCUACCAACACGGUUGCACCUAAUUACCCACUAUAAAAUUUUAUUAUCAAUCCUCCAUGGAAAAAUGUGCAUGCCUAUAUAUAAUCGGACUUUAUUAUUAGUGUUAUGGAUAAAGGAAUUAUUAAUUUUAAAUUAAUAAUUAUUUUAAUCAAUUUGGCAAUAUAUAUCUUAUCCUUGAUUAAUUUAUAUGAAUGAAUAUCAAGUGUAACGUAAAAUAUUAUUUGUGUUGCACAUGACAUGCGGACAAAAGAAUACAAAGAUUCCUUAAACAAGAUUCAAAGUAUGAUAUAGAAAGUUGAAUUUAACAAGAUUCAUGUACAGGAAGAAAAAGAUUUAAUAAAGUGAUGAAAAAUUGGUAAUCGUGGCAAGUAAUCUUAUUCAUGUACGCGGAUGCACGACCCAAGACUUGGAAAUUAAAUAAUGAAACUUCUUUGCGAAUCAUAUAAACUACAAAUUAAUGAAGAGACUUUGACGAGUAUUUUAUCAUUUUAUGCAUGGAAUUCCACGUGCAUGCAUGCAUGUUCUCCACGCUUGGAAAUUUUGCAAAUGGCUUCUAUACUAUGGAUUAUGUAGAGGAGUUUAUCAUUUUAUUGAAAUUCUAAUGAUUGUCACAACAUAUUAAAGGGAGGUUGGCAGUUUCCUUCACGUAGAAAUUGAUACAUACCAUUUCUCUUUUUAUUGUUUUCAUAAUAAUUAAUAACUUUCAUUCAUCAUAAUUUUAUAGUAUUAUUCUUAUUUUAAGAUAUUUUAAAAUUUAUUUAAUUAUUCAUCUUUAUUAUAAAUUAAAUAAAUUAUAUAAACAGAAAUUGAAAUAAAAAAAAUUUAAAUAUUAGAAAUAAGAAAUAUAAUUUUCGGUGUUGAUAAAAAAUUAGUAUGAAUAUAGUUUUCUUAUUUUUUUUAUCUUUAAACAUAUUUUCUUAUGGUAAAUAUAUAUUUUAUAUUUUCAAAAUAAAAUAUUAAGCAAAUGACCCAUUUACCUUUACUUUCUUUUAAGUUUUUUUAUACGAAGAGAUUAUUAAUUAUUAUGAAAAUAAUAGACGAAUAAAUAUUUUACAUAAAUUUCGACAGGAAGAAACUAUCAAUACCCUUAAACUGUGAAUGACAUUUUAUUCCACCCCAUUGCAAUUGUUGCUUGUUUUCCACGGAUAUCUUGAUUACGUUUGCAAGCUUAUGUUAUAAGGGCUUCGUCAUUGCCAUUAUUACGAAAUUAAAUAGACUACGAUUGUUGACCUAAUUUGACAAAUUCCUCCAUUGUUUAUUAUUUUUCCCUUUUUAAUUUAUCAACAUCAGCCAUAUCAAGUCAUUCUUUUAAUCAAAAACCUUGGGGAAGACGAAAUAUUUAUUAACUUACUGUCUUUUCUCAACAACUUUUUAGGUGAGAUUAGUUUAAUAAAUUACAUGAUAAAUAAUACUCUUGCUUGAGUCUAUAUAUAUAUAUAAUUAUAUAUGAUAUAAAAUUAAGAUUCUUUUUUUUUUGUCGUAAUACAUAGAAUUAUUCAACCUAUUAUUAUAACAAAAUAAUUAAAUUUAUGAGUUGAAGUUGUCAGAAAAAUAAACUUAUUUCCAAUGAAUGGCAUUUGGAGGAACAAAAUCAAUCCGGAAGUUUUUUACGCGGAAAAAAUCAAUUAACAUUAAUGACGUCCAAAUGUCCAAAUAUAAUGAGAAAUUGAAUUCUUCAAUUAAUACCUUGCUGUUUCUUCAUAUUUCAUUACAAAUCUACCAAUUCUUUUGCUGGUGUUGGUUCGACGGUUUCACACCAAGCAAGUGCUUUUGUUUUGCAUAUGGAGAACAGUAAGUUUAACUGCUUAUACCCAAUAACAACAUUCUGUGGAGUGAAUUUUAGAUUAAGAUUGGUUAAGGUAAAUAAAAAAAGAAUGGCGUUGAAUGCACAAUGGCCUUGUGAACAUUGAGAAAGUUGAUGUUUGAUCCUGUUGAAUGCACAGUGGUUUUCCCGUGUAUCCUCAAAGUUGACUAUUCUGUUAUGCCUCAUUUAUCAAAUUUAACUCAUACCCCUCGUGAUCAAAUUUGACUUAUACCCCUCGUGAAGAUUCCCCAUGAUAAUGCUCCCCUGAUUGGAACAUGAUUUUGUGAAUGCUGGUUUGCAUAAGACAAACCAUUAACUUUAUAAAAGAUUGUGGAUUAAGGAAUAUGUUGUUACGAGGAUAAGAAUGUCUUUCCAUAACGUAGACCACCAAGUGAUUGUAAUAUUCCUGUAUUGAUGUGGACCUUACCUGAGGAUUUUCUUAUGAAAGAUUUUAAUCAUUUGAUCCUAUCAAUAAUUCAGACGUGCGGGAAAAUAAUCAAUUAAAUUGAAUUUCGCUAUAUUUAUAAAUAAAUUAGGAAACCCAAAUUUAUUUAUAAAUGAAAUAGAAAAAGCAAACGAUACCACAUUCUAUCUAUAUACAAAGAGGAUUUUCUUAUGAAUGAUUUUAAUCCUCUAAUCCGAUCAAUGAUUCAGAUAUGCGGGAAAAUAAUCAAUUAAAUUGAAUUUCGCUAUAUUUAUUAAAUAAGCUAGGAAACCCAAAUUUAUUUAUAAAUGAUAUAGAAAAAGCAAUCGAAAUGUUAAAAAUUAAUAAUUUUAAUAAAGAAAAAAUAAAACAAAUUAAAAAUUAAGAGAUCAAAUGAGUAAAAAAUUUAAUAAAGUUAAACAAUUAAUAAAAGACUUCAACAUUGAAGAUCAUGAUAUAUUAAAGUAAGAAAUCAUCAAUAUAAUGAAUAAAAACUCAAUAAAUAUAAGAUUAAACAAGUUAGAGAUUUAAUUAGAUAGAAACUUGGUACUGAAUUUGCUAUAAAUAUAAAUGAAAAACUUAAAAAAUUGAAGUACAAUUGCAGUGCAGCUUGGUUGUAGUUUGGGGUUUAAAAUAAAAUUUUAAAAUUUAUUAACUUUUUCAUAAUUAUUAACUUUUCGAAGGAUUAAAAAAAAUAUAUAUAUGUAACGUACGUUAGUUGUAACAUAAGCUUUGCCCACAAAAUAUUGUCUUGGAAAAGUCUCAAUGGAUAACUCAUGACAUGUCAUUGUACGUACACGCACAACGAAUAAUCCUUGCGACGACUUGCAUUAAAAAAAGUCUGUUUGACCCUGUAGUUUAAGUACCCAUGGAGGAGUCAAUAUAUUUUUAGAAAUUUACUCAAAAAAAAAAAAUUCUAUAUUCUUUUGUUAAAAUCUACUUAAUUAUUUUCUAUUUUUCAUCUGUUAUAUAUUAGAUUAGUUUGAAUUUUAAAUUUUAUCAUAUAGAAAUUCUAUUUUAAUUUUAAAAAUUUAUGUCCAACAACUAAGAAAGUAAGUAAAGAGAUGUUUUGAAAAAAUUUUUAAGGCCAAUGCUAUGUUACGUUCAACGUAACAUAGGGUGAUCCAUCUUUUAAAGGUUCAUCUUUUAAAAUAUAAUAUUGACCAAACUGGGUAAUUGACUCGAACUAUGGAGCUUAAAAUAAUUUUUACCUAUUUAACAAAUUUUAAAAUUGUUUUCCAAAAAAAAAAGUAAAUUAACUUCUAUCUUUAUUAAUAAAAGUAUGACAUAACUAAGUAAUAUUCAUAUUGUGGUGAAAACAACUUCUUGGUUUAGCGAUGGUCUUACAUGUGGAGGGUUGAAAUCUUUUAUGUAUACAUGGUGUUAAUAGUAAUUAAAAGGGAGUGUGUAUACCACACGCCGGAGACCAAAAAGUGAUUGUCAAAUCCGGCAUUUUUUGGUCGAACGAACCAUUUCACUUGGGAUCAUAAUGAGUCGUUGCAAGGAAAGUGUUAUUUUGAUUAUUACUUGUUUAAUACUUUUGUUUGCGGUAUUUUAAUUUGAGAGAGAUAUAAGUCUCAAAGGAAUGUCGGAUUCUGUGCUCACAUGAUGAGCUAUAUAAUAUAUGUUGGUUUUACUUAAGGUUGUUGUAAUUAGUAGUUUUUUUUUAAAAAAAUAAUACUAGCACAACUCUAAUAAACAAUAGAUAAUAAAGAUAGGCUUAAUUAAAAAAAAAAAGUCUAUACUUUUUUGCAAUAUACAAAUAAUAUUACUAUGCAGAGACAAAUUUUUUUUAGACAAGACUUAAAAAAAUUGUAACUUAUUAUAAUAUAGAGUAUAUCCUUAUUUAUAACUAACUUAAAUUGAGAUUAAAUCUUUUUUAUAAUUAAAUAAAAAUUAUUUUUAUAUAAAGUAUGACUACAUAGGAGAAAUAUUUUAUUUCUAUAUAAAGUAUAUAUGACUAUAUAGAAGAAAUAUUUUAUUGUAUAUAGCUAUUUCUUUCUCUGUUAUUUCUAUCCACUUCAUGGGCAUUGUCUUAGUCUUUUCCCUUUUCUAUAACAAUAUUGGUUUAACUAUGAACUAAAUGUUUUUUUUUUUCAAUCAUUAAUUAAGAUUAGGUAGGUGCAUCUACCAACACGGUUGCAACUAAUUACCCACUAUAAAAUUUUAUUCUCAAUCCCCAUGGAAAAGUGUGUAUGCCUAUAUAUAAUCGGACUUUAUUAUCAGUGUUAUGGAUAGAGGAAUUAUUAAUUUUAAAUUAAUAUUUAUUUUAAUCAAUUUGACAAUAUAUAUCUUAUCCUUGAUUAAUUUAUAUGAAUGAAUAUCAAGUGUAACGUAAAAUAUUAUUUGUGUUGCACAUGACAUGCGGACAAAAGAAUGCAAAGAUUCCUUAAAUUAACAAGAUUCAAAGUAUGAUAUAGAAAAGAAUUUAAAAUUUAAAAAAAAAAGUAAAAUAGAAAGUUGAAUUUAACAAGAUUCAUGUACAGGAAGAAAAAGAAUUAAUAAAGUGAUGAAAAAUUGGUAAUCGUGGCAAGUAAUCUUAUUCAUGUACGAGGCGGAGGCGGCACGACCCAAGACUUGGAAAUUAAAUAAUGAAACUUCUUUGCAAACGAUAGAAACUACAAUUUAUGGUGAGACUUGACGAGUAUUUUAUCAUUUUAUGCAUGGAAUUCCACGUGCAUGCAUGCAUGUUCUCCACGCUUGGAAAUUUUGCAAAUGGCUUCUAUACCUUUAAUCUUUGAAAAUGUCCUCUAACAAGACAAGUGUCUCAAUUAUUGGAUAACAUGUGCAGUCCUUGUAAUUCAUUAAUAACACGCCCCUCAACAAUCCAUAUUGCAAUAAAGAAUUUUACGCAAAAAUUCUAUAAUACAUCAAACUACCAAAUUGGCCAACAAAUAGAUGAUACUUAUGUUUUGAAAAAUUAUCAUGUAAUAUUGAUGAUUAUAUCAAAUUUAAUUAUAUAUAUUAUAUAUACAUUAGUUGAUUAUAUUAGUUUUGAUGUAUUAUAAAAAUUUUGAUUUUAUGGGCAUAUAAUAUAGAUUAUUAAGAUUUAAAUUUCUUCACAUGUGCGCGCGCACACGCACACAUAUAUAUAAAAGUGACUAAUGAAUCUUUUUCUUUUCUCAUUUUGAGAAAAUCUCAGGUACAUAAAACGUGUUAUAACCAUUUAGUGAAAUUAGUUAUGACAUAUGCAUUCUGAUUUUAUUAUACUAUAAUUAUCUUCUUCUUUUUUUUUUCCAACUUAAAUGUACACGUACGUGAUCAAUGACUCUGGAUUAUGUAGAGGAGUUUAUCAUUUUAUUGAAAUUCUAACGAUUGUCAUAACAUAUUAAAGGGAGGUUGGCAGUUUCCUUCAUGUAGAAAUUAAUACAUACCAUUUCUCUUAUUGUUUUCAUAAUAAUCAAUAACUUUCAUUCAUCAUAAUUUUAUAGUAUUAUUCUUAUUUUAAUAUAUUUUAAAAUAUAUUUAAUUAUUUAUCUUUAUUAUAAAUUAAAUAAAUUAUAUAAACAAAAAUUGAAAUAAAAAAUUUAAAUAUUAGAAAUAAGAAAUAUAAUUUUCGGUGUUGAUAAAAAAUUAAUAUGAAUAUAAUUUUUUCUUAUUUUUUUUAUCUUUAAACAUAUUUUCUUAUAAUAAAUAUAUAUUUUUUUUAUACGAAGAGAUUAUUAACUAUUAUGAAAAUAAUAGACGAAUAAAUAUUUUACAUAAAUUUUGACAGGGAGAAACUAUCAAUACUCUUAAACGAUUGAACCUUCAGUAUCUUAGUAGUUGACUGUGAAUGACAUUUUAUUCCACCCCAUUGCAAUUGUUGCUUGUUUUCCACGGAUAUCUUGAUUACGUUUGCAAGCUUAUGUUAUAAGGGCUUCGUCAUUGCCAUUAUUACGAAAUUAAAUAGACUACGAUUGUUGACCUAAUUUGACAAAUUCCUCCAUUGUUUAUUAUUUUUCCCUUUUUAAUUUAUCAAUAUCAGUCAUAUCAAGUCAUUCUUUUAAUCAAAAACCUUGGGGAAGACGAAAUAUUAACUUACUGUCUUUUUUCAACAACUUUUUAGGUGAGAUUAGUUUAAUAAAUUACAUGAUAAAUAAUACUCUUGCUUGAGUCUAUAUAUAUAUAAUUAUAUAUGAUAUAAAAUUAAGAUUCUUUUUUUUUUGUCGUAAUACAUAGAAUUGUUCGUACUAUUAUUAUAACAAAAUAAUUAAAAUUUAUGAGUUGAAGUUGUCAGAAAAAUAAACUUAUUUCCAAUGAAUGGCAUUUGGAGGAACAAAAUAAAUCCGAAACUUUUUUACGCGGAAAAAAUCAAUUAACAUUAAUGAAGUCCAAAUGUCCAAAUAUAAUGGGAAAUUGAAUUCUUCAAUACCUUGCUGUUUCUUCAUAUUUCUUUAUAAAUUUACCGAUUCUUUACUUUAAAUUCUAGAGUUUGUCUUCAUACAUACAAUGGAAACUUAUUCUCUAAGAUACUGUAAAAAAAAAAAAAAAAUUAACAAAACCUAAUCAUUUCAUAGUGCGCAAGCUAAUAUCAUAGCUAAAAUGAAGUUGGUAAAUUUUGAUAUAACUAUCUAUUAUUAAUGAUAAUUACGUGGGCCUAAACGUUCCAACUUCCGAAUACAUUAUUCUAUAUUUUGGAGAGAAAAAGGAAAAGGCAAAAUCUUUUAGAUAAGAAAAAAAAAUUUUUUUUUUCCUCAUGAAAAAGCAAUUGAAUUAAAAAGUAAAAAUUUCUUUACAUUUUCGCCGGAGAAACAGAGUCAAAUUCAAACACGACGACUCAAGCGCAAAAGCCUAUAAAUAAAAGCCCGGCUCCAGUUCCCUGUCAGAGGCUACGGAUUUGAGAGAUUAAAGAACAUCAACCGAACAGUGAGACUCCGUACUCUUGACACAAACUUGCAAAAACUUUUAGGUCAUUUUUUUCGAUUAAUUUUUUAAUUUUCGAGAAUAAAGAGAGAGAGAAAAAAAAAAAAACAGAUGGGAUUAUGUUUGUCUGGGAGUGAUGUGAGGGGAGGGAAACAAGCCGUAGGUGGGGCCCACCUCCGGCCCACCAGCGCGGCUGAUCACCACAAUGUCUCUGGUCAAAAUGACGCCGUUGAUUUCUUCUUCAAAUCUCGCGGCCUUCAUGCCCUUUUCACCCAAAUCGAGGUAUAUGUGUGUACCUGAAUUAUAUGAGUCUUUCACUGCCAUUAUUAAUAAACUAUUUUCAGUUAAUUAAUUAAUUAAUUAAAAAUCUAUGAUUAGUUUAUGUUUUUUAAUUUAUUUAUAAUUUUUUAAAUCUGAUUUCGUUCAUGUUGGUAAUUGUGAUGGAUUCUCAAAUGGUCACUCUUUUGAAAAUCUAUUAUCAAAUUAUGUUUGUUAUUAUUACUUAUUUGAUGACUUUUCAGUGUAACAUCGAACAACUUAAAUCAUCGAACAACUUAUUAUUACUUAUAUGAACGAAUUUAAUUUAUCGAACAACUUCAAGAAUCAACAGCAAUCCCAAACAUGCCUUUUUUUUGAAUUUGUUCUGGUGGCUGAUCUUUUGCUAGUGUUGGUUCGACGGUUUCACACCAAGCAACUGCUUUUGUUUUGCAUAUGGAGAACAGUAAGUUUAACUGCUUAUACCCAAUGACAACAUUCUGUGAAGUGAAUUUUAGAUUAAGAUUGGUUAAGGUAAAUAAAAAAAGAAUGGUGUUGAAUGCACAGUGGCCUUGUGAACAUUGAAAAAGUCGAUGUUUGAUCCUGUUGAAUGCACAGUGGUUUUCCUGUGUAUCCUCAAAGUUGACUAUUCUGUUAUGCCUCAUUUAUCAAAUUUGACUCAUACCCCUCGUGAUCAAAUUUGACUUAUACCCCUCGUGAAGAUUCCCCAUGAUAAUGCUCCCCUGAUUGGAACAUGAUUUUGUGAAUGCUGGUUUGCAUAAGACAAACCAUUAACUUUAUAAAAGAUUGUGGAUUAAGGAUUUUGUUGUUACGAGGAUAAGAAUGUCUUUCCAUAACGUAGACCACCAAGUGAUUGUAAUAUUCCUGUAUUGAUGUGGACCUUACCUGAGGAUCUUCUUGCAAACUUUCCUGGAGAAAAGGCAACAAGUCAUAUGAUAACAAAUUAAAUGUGGUUCAAUGCUUGUAAUUGACGUGUCACAUCCUGUUGUUAUAUAAAACUUAAUUACAUAUAUUAUUGCUUGCUGCUUAUAAGAUUUAAUAUUAGAAGUGAUUCUGUCAGAAUCCGAAAUGAUGGUUUUCUGCAUGUUCUGUUUAUGACAGAUAUAUAUUGCCUGUCAGUUGACACACAUCGUACUGACAAUUUUCAUUUCGUGCAGCAUAUGCAUGGAUUACUCCUUUUCCGCUUUUUCAUGUAUCUGUAUUCGUUCUUAUGUUUUUGAAUAUGUAUUGCAGUUAUCUUUAUCUGCUUCAAAGUUACGUGAUCUUGACAUCGCAUCAAAGGUACGCCUUCAUAUCAUUGUUGUCUUAUGUCUGAUAAUGCCAUGUUCAUGCUGUUGAUAGUCUUGGUGAUUGAUUCUCAUGUUAUCUUGUAUCCUCCUUAUAUGAUCUGCUUAUUUGUUCAUAAUGGCCCUGUCAAUUUCCUUUCUCUGUUCAUAAAGGGUCUAGGGAUAUAUGAUCUGAAUAACGCUUAGUGCUGGCACCAAAAUUCUAAACUUAGACAAAGAAGAAUAGUUUGUUAUAUACACUGUCUAUCUCCAAUGUAAUCCAGUAAGGAGCAGUAACUUGAGAGUUCCAGAUAAUGUAUAACAAGUCAUGGUCGGUGGUUUUAUUGUUUUUGCAAUUUUGAGCACUAGUCAAAUAUGUUAUAUGUGCAAGAUAAAAUUCUUUGAUAAUGAACAUUUAUCAGCCGUAUAUCUUUUUACUGGCUGAUACUAGCAUACAUAAAAUGCUGCUGUAAUUUAACAAUGGAUUACUAACUAAAGUUAUUUAACUGAUAAAUGUCUAUAUUUAUAUGACAACUAAAGUUAUUUAACUAAUAUAUGUCUAUAUUUAUAUGACAUAAGUGGAUACAUACCCAUAUGCCUUCUGUUUUUUUUUUUUAAUUUUUAUAUUCACAAGGAAAUGUAUUUACAUGUCUUUUUGUGUCAUAGAGUGAUCCCAUGGCAGUUGUGUAUGCAAAGAAAAGAGAUGGGAGGCUGGACGAGAUUGGACGUACAGAGGUGAUUAUGAACAAUCUGAAUCCUGCUUGGAUUGGAAAGAUUUCAAUUGCUUUUCAGUUUGAGAUUGUCCAGCCCUUGGUGUAAGUUUUUAGUGUGUUCUUUUUAAAGUUUUUUUUUUCUUGAUAGGUCAUGCGCUUAAGCCUUGCUUGAUUUGAUAAUAUUUAAUGUUUUCGAAUUUCUUAAUGCUUUUCUUCUUUUUCCAGCUUUCGUGUGUAUGAUGUGGAUACCAAGUACCACAAUAUUCCAGUGAAGGUAUAAAAUUUCUUAAUUAUUUUUUUUCUCUCAAUUCAGAUGUAAAUGAUACGCACAUACUUCAGUUCCAAAGUUUAGAGUUAGCCAAGGCAUUUGACUGAUCCAUUUGUUGUCUAAGCAUACGUCUAAACUAAAUUGCAUCAGCAAUAGUUUCUAUCAAUUUCGGGAAAUUUGGGAAUACUUGAUUGAUUAUAAACUAACAUUUAGCAUGGAAAGAAACUUAAAAAGUUGGCUGUCAUAUACCAUAAACAAAUCUUAAGGCCAGGGUAGUUAUUAUGGAACUUUCUGCUAUUGCAUCUUGCAAGGUUUGACAUAUUUGUCCUGCUACCAUAACUGGGAAAGAACAAUUUUUCUGAUGGUCCUUACGGAUAAAUUUUCUUUUUUCCAAAAUGGAAUUUUGAUCUAUGUUGUUAAAAACAAUACAGUUAAAUAGUUGCUGCCAUGACCUAAAGAAGUUUCUGUAAAAAAUGACCAUAUUGUCAUUAUUGAAAUGGAUAAGUAAAUCUUUAGAGCCUAUGAUGUAUUCGUCUGUGGAAUUUGAGUCAAAAUGAAAAAAUUUUGAUGGUUAUAAUCCUAGAAACUGUAAUCAUUUGGAAGCAUUUGCUGAAAACAGUUAGAUAAUCUAAAAAUGUGAUGAUUAUUUAUGUCAAUUGUAAAUGGUAUUAACAUUACUGGGAAAAAUGAUAAAUAUGUAAAUUUAUGCCAGUGGAAAGAGAAAAUGAACAAAUCCAGAUGGAUUCUAAGACAUUAAGUAGGAAAUCUAUUGUUCUUUUGAUUCUUUGCUGCAGUGAUCCCUAAUUACUUUCAAGUCAUUAUUAUCUCAUGACAAAAUAUUUGUUGAAGUGUGAAGUUUAAAGCUCAAACUUCUUAUUUACAUUGCCCUGCAGAUGCUAAAGUUGGAGGAUCAAGACUUCCUGGGAGAAGCUAGCUGUGUUCUCUCUGAGGUAAGUUUCUGGGUUAUAUUUUGUUUGAUGAAUUUAUGUAUUUUCUCUUUAUUCAAUGGGCAAAAUAUGCCCAUCUAAUUUUCUGUAAAAAUCUGUUUCCUAUCAAAAAAAGGGCAAAAUAUUCUCAGAUGCUUUUUACUAGCAUUCGUCUUCUUCUUUAGCAUUCUUCUUUUGCACUAACAAGUGUCAUAUUUUCCUUUUAAAUGGCAGAUAGUGACCAAACAAAAUCGAACUUUAACCUUAAAACUCCAUAACAAUUAUGGACUUCGAGUUUCAAGAAACUUUGGGACACUCUCUGUCCAUGCUGAGGAAACAGUUGCUUCCAAGAGUGCUGUUGAAAUAGCAUUCUGUUGCUCGCAUUUGCAAAAUGUAGACCUGUUUUCCAAAAGUGUAAGUUCUGACAAAGUAGCUAAGUUUGGAGGUUCACUAAUUAAUCUAUUAAUUUAGAUGCUAUUUCUUCUUCUUCUUAUAUUCUAUAGGAUCCAUUCUUAAGAAUAUCUAGAAUUGUUGAGAGUGGAAAUUCUGUUCCUAUCUACAAGACGGAGGUGAUAAACAAUAACUUGAAUCCCAUUUGGAGACCAAUAACUUUGAGCAUGCAACAAUUUGUGAGCAAGGUAACCUUGUCAUCUUCUUGUGUUUGUUACUUGAAUGUAUAUUAGGUAGUGAAGUUUGGUCAUGGGGAAAUGUUUUUUAGUUUAUGAUUCUCUUUGGUACAGGAAAACCCAUUAAUCAUUGAAUGUUUUGAUUUCAAUACCAGUGGAAAUCACGUACUGAUGGGGUAACUGUUAAAUUUCUUAAUGUCAUCAGCUUCCCUCUUUUAUCCUUUUGCCUUUCUGAUGUCAAAGUUUUCUAUUUCUGUUAUUAGUAAAAUUCAGAAAUCAGUUGGAGACCUGGAGAAACUUCAUCAAGAAAGAACUGGUGCAACUUUUAUGUUACCAUCAACUCAACGUGGCCAUGACAAGGUGUUUAUUCUUUUUUGUUUUAACUCCACCAAAGGUGUUUGUUCAUGCUUACAGUUUUUGAUAAUUUAAUAUCACUUUAUUUUUUAUCUGACUUUUUCCUAGGUUCUGAAAAGUCAGUUGUUUGUUGAAAAGUUUGUUGAGAAAGAGCAAUAUAGUUUUCUGGAUUACAUAUCUAGUGGCUUUGAGUUGAAUUUUAUGGUUGCAGUCGACUUUACAGGUAAUUAGAAAGAGAUUACUUGUUGAAGAUAAAUUUGCAAUAUAAUCUUUUUGUUUUGUUUAUUUCCUCUUAUUUGGUCCAAUUUCAUCUGGUCUCUCAUUAAAUGCAAAAUCAUCCAGCUUCAAAUGGAAAUCCUCGAAAUCCAAAUUCUUUGCACUAUAUUGAUCCUUCAGGCAGAUUGAAUUCUUACCAGCAGGUAAGGCUUUGUUAUGACUCACACUUUGACAAGUGAUCUCUGAACUCUGAAGGUCAUAAAAUGGUCUUUUUGUCCAGUGUUUUCGACUUAGAAAAUGCCUGUGAUUUUCAAGUCUUUCUAUGGCCAUCAUAGUGAAAUACAUAUUUCAAUAGUUUGUAGAAGUUGAGAGAGACUAUCACUGAUUAGUUCUUGGCCUCUUCAACCAUUUACAGGCAAUAACGGAAAUUGGGGAGGUCAUACAAUUUUAUGAUUCUGAUAGACGCUUUCCUGCAUGGGGAUUUGGAGGGAAGACAUUUGAUGGCACUGUAUCACAUUGUUUUAACUUGAAUGGAAGAGCAGGCGGCUUUGAGGUAGGGGUAGCUGGAAUUCGCAACGUUGCUAUAAUCCUCAUUUGGUUGGCUUGUCUCCCAUAACUUUUCAUUUUUAAUAACAAACAAUAUAAUAUGUUUCUACAUUUUUUUUAAAAUUUCCUUGGAAUUAUAUCCUAAAAGAUGUGUAUUUUGUCCUCUUCCAUUUUUUCAUUAACUGCGUUUCUUUAUUUAAUAGGUAGAUGGAGUUGAAGGCAUUAUGGCUGCUUAUGCAAGCGCUCUAAACAAUGUUGCUUUGGCAGGACCGACUCUGUUUGGUCAAGUGAUCAACACAGCUGCACGAAUUGCUGGACAGUCCCUCUCAUACGACAGAAGCAAGUAUUUUGUCUUACUCAUUAUAACGGUGAUUACAAUGAUUCUAUAUAUUCACAGUUUUCUCUUUGUAUCAUUCUUUUUGGGUGAUUUGUAAAUUUGCAUUAUCUAUUUAGGAUGGAGUUCUGACAGAUCUCCAAGAAACAAAAGAUGCUUUGGUAAGGGCUUCUGAUCUUCCCCUGUCAAUUCUAAUUGUGGGUGUUGGAGGUGCAGAUUUUACACAAAUGGAGGUACGCAAUGUUUUCCAACUGGAAUAUCUUCUUACUAGCAUUGAACUUCUUUUUUCUAUAGUUUGACAGAUUCAAUUUAGAGUACAUAUGCAGUGUGGUAUUAUCCCACUUUUGUUGCAGAUUCUUGAUGCUGAUAACUUUGUUGGCAGAUUCUUGAUGCUGAUAAUGGCCGUAGAUUAGAGAGCUCUACUGAUCGGGUAGCUACCAGAGAUAUAGUACAAUUUGUUCCAAUGCGAGAAGUUCAUAGUGAGUGCAUAUGAUUCUUUGACAAAAUUAGUUCAAAAUAUUGAAUUUGGGAGUUAAUUCACAAAAGUUUCUGAAUUUUUUCAUGCGUUAACAAACGAACACAUUGUUUUCUGAACAGGUGGGCAAAUUUCUGUUGUACAAGCACUUUUGGAGGAGCUGCCUGGUCAGUUUCUGACCUACAUGCGCUGCAGAGAUAUCAAACCACUCAAUGUUCAGAUGGCCCAAACAUGCGCUUGAGUAAAUAUUCAUAUGUUUGGAAAGGAUACAAAACCAAGCUAAACAUAUUAGACAAAACCAAGCCAAACAUAUUAGGCUAUACAGACAUAACAUAGCAAAAAUUGAUAAUGGUACAUUACAUAUGUUAGGAUAUAGUGGUUUUAGAUGAUGGUAAAUUACAUAUGUUAAGAUAUAGUGGUUUAUAACUAACUUUUGAUGGCUUAAUGAAUUGAUUGAAUUUGUAUUUAGGUUCUAUCAAUUAUCUCAUAUUCUUCCCAUCCAUGUCUUUCGAUUUUUAUUAUUCCCUCUACCCACUUGUUUCACAAUUGUUUGUGUCUGAUGGCCUAAAACUCCAAUUUCUAUUGCUGUAUUAUCAUCUUUGUUGAAUAUUUACUACAAUGAACAUGUGCUGAAUGUCUACUUUUACUACUACACCAGCAAUCUAACACAUGGCUCACGUGCACACAAGACAAGUCUGAUUCACACAUCUUUAAUUUAGAUUCUUAUAUAGUCUUUCAAGAUGUCUGAAACAGCAUAGAUGAAGGACCCUUCCACCAUUCAACCUGGAAUGAUGUGAGUGAAAGAAAUUUCCGAAAGUGUUGUAUUAUAACUCUUUGAAAUUGGGUUUGAGUAAUCAAGAGAAGCCAAAAUGUAGAACAAUAACAAUAAAAAAUGAAGGCCCUCUUACCGUCUUAACUUUGAUAGAAAAUUCACGAGCUGCAUACCAUGUCUCACAAAUUUCAAUGAAAAUUGGCCUCAUUCCUGAUGCUGCACAGAAGGUUGGCCUGAAUCAUCUUUAUGAUUUUGGACUUCCUGUAAACAACGAACAAAACAAAUUGAAGGUGAAAGCAGGAGCAACAGUUUUCAAAUAAAAUGGGAGUGCUUAAUCUAAUUGAACACUAACUUUUGGGUCUCUCAGUAAUGGAUACGUACCUUUGUUUCAAGAUAUAUCUGUUGUAUGGUAGAAUUAAGGUCGCCCUUCCAAGUCCAAUACUCACAAGACAGCCAGUGUUUCUCUACUUCGUGUAAACUGGGAGUGCUUAAUUCUUUUCCAGAGAAAAUCUUCAUAUUGGGGCAUUUAUCCACACUUAAAUAUGUCAAAGCUGGGAACUUGAAGGCGCAGUUGCCAGAGCAGAAGCUUGUAAGUCUUCUUAAAUCACAAAGCUCCAAGUACAUCAACUCGCUGAAAACAAUUUCAUCUUUAGCAGCAUCUCCCUCAUCAGUUGCCACUACUUCUGUUAUCAUGCUGCAGUCAACGAUACUCAUCUCUGUCAGUCGUACCAAACUCUUUGCUGUCGAGGAUGUUAGCACAUUUAUCAAUCCUUUGCAUCUCCACACCUUCAAAGUUGUCAGAUUCUGAAACGAUGUUGAAGGUGGCACUAGAUUAAUCAAAUGGUCACAGUACUCAACUGUUAGAUGAACCAAAUUGUCCAUUUUGGACUCCUGGAUUAAAAUAUGCUUCAGAUCACAACAAUUGUGUAGAUUCCUUAUGAUUGCCUUUGUCCAAUUUUCUACUCCAUAUGAUGGCUUAACGCCCCCAACAUAUCCUCCUCCCCUUAUUGUGAGUUCUCUUAUGCUGUGAAAUCUCCGAAGGAAAUCAAGUGAUGAAAUAGUAGAUGACUCUUCAAAUAUAACAUCAAGAAAGUUGAGUUUGCAAAACAUGUCCGCUGGAAACUCAGCUGCCAUUGGUAUCUUCUUUCCUUCAAUGGUCAAAUAUUUCAAAUUGGGGAAUACCUGGUUGGAUGCAUGAUAAAUCAGGACCAAAAAGAAAACGUAACGCCAAUUAUUAAGAGUAAAUUUUAAAUCUUGUACGUACCUCUUUUGUCAAGUCAUGAGCAGUUAAAAGGAAUUCAGGACACCUUAUUACUUCUAAAUUUUCCAAUGUUGGAAAUUCAAUGUGCACAUCUCCUGUGCAGAAGCUUGUGAGCCUUUCGAGAUCUACCAUCUUUAGAAAUUGUAACUGAGGGAACACAACAUUCUUCCUUUCUUGCUGGUCUAUGACUAUUAUCUCUUCCAAAAUAGGGCACUCAUCUAUCUCAAGGUGUUGGAGUCGAAUAAAGCUGUUAACUAUAGAAGAUGAAAACAGACAUCUUAAUUCCCCACAGCCAUACAAAAUCAACCGGGUUAAAGUUUGAAUGCCACAAGACAUGGCUGGAAGUUGGCUUUUCCAAAUCCUCUCCACAUUUACAUUAUACAGCUCCAAGGUCUGCAAGUUUGGUAACCCACCCUGUUCACAAAACUUUCCAACCGUUAUUAUGAGGGGAGCAAAGUUAGUAUAUAAGUGCAUUCAGAGUACUUUUUCUUUCAUCGGAGAAUGUAUUUGUUACACCUACGUUACUCGGGAUGAAAAUUUUAAUAUAAUUAUGAAAUAUGUUCGUUAAUCCCUGAUUCACUCUAGCCUAUAUUUCCUAGGAAAGGAGAAUAUAUAAUAAAGCAGCAAAAAAAAAAAAGGAAAAAAUCAUAAGAAUAUGACCAUUGGAUCAUUAAUAUCCGACCUUGAGGAAAAAUGUAUUAGGAACGUUGACAUGGUCCUCCAAAAUGAUUUCAUUCGAUCGCGUUUCACUUGUCGAUUCCUUGCAUCUCUGUUUAGAACAUAGUCAUACUCAUUAGAAAUGAAGAAUCUGUUUUUGCACUGGCUGCUUUGAUAUGUUCGAAAUUUAGGAAGAUCAUAUCAUACCUUUGACUCUUUCGGACUGGGGGCUUGACAACCUUCGACCCAGAGAUGCUUCAGUUGGGAAGAAUUAGAGCCCAAUUUGUUAUUAACUAAUUCAAUGAUAUCUUGGUCUGGCAAUCCAGAUAAACAAAGGUCUUCAAUUCGCUGAAGUUGCACGAUAUGCCCACUCUUGAAGCUGAUACAAUUGUCGGUGCCAAGGAGGAGUCUGAAUGUUCUAGAACACGUAGGUGAGGUAUCCUCCCAACACCAACGUCCAAUACAUAUUCUGUACCUUUCCAGCUUCUCGAAGAACAGCCCCUUCGGCAGAGUGUUGACAUCUGGGAUGCAUAAUUCUAAGGUGGUCAAGUUAGGCAAACGCUUCAACUCUUCAAGGCUUGCAUUCUUGACCCCUGCAGCUUCCACCUCCACCUCCCACUUAUUAAAGCUACGAAUGUAUAAUUCCUCCAAAUGGGAUAAAUUUGAUAAAACAUUUGGGGAAUAACCUGUAGUCUGUCACAGUCUCUCAAAUCAAGCGACCUUAACCAAGUCAAUUGGCCUAUUUCCACAGGCAACUGCUCAAUAUAAGAACCCCUUAAGCAAAGGAUUUCUAGGUUCUUUAAUUCUCCUAUAACAGCUAUAUCUUGCAAUUCGCUGCAAUACAAACACAAUGUUCGAAGGUUUGUUAGGAGACCAAGUGAUGAAGGCAGUAAUGAUAGAUGCAUAUAAGUCAAGUCUAAAACUCUGACUUGCGUCAACUUCCUGAAAAAAUUGUCUGGAAGUGUGAUUAAUGAAGAUUUCUCAGUCCACAAAGAGAGAAGUUGCAGUUGAGGACAUUCCAAAACUUCAGGAAGAAGAACAUUCAUCUUGCUGUCGUGUAAGACAAUCGAAGUGUAAAACUUAAGCGCACCUUCAUCUAGCCAUUCCCGUGAAUUAACCAGUUCAUAUCUCAUCGUAAGCACAUUUUGUUCUCUGGUUGCAAUUGCUAUGGCAACAUCACGAACAACAUCAUGCAUAGAAAACCAAUGUUCAUUUUUGCUUCCAUGCUCAAGCAACAUACAAGAAGCCUUGAGUUUGUACACCAAUGUAUACACUCGAGCUCGUGCUUCUUCCAUCCUAUUGAUGCCUUGAAACAAACCCAAACCCAUGCCAUACAUUAACACGUCAUUAAUGGACGAUAUGUAGGUGUAGCCUAUUAGCAAAAAGAUCUUCUUGAGCUCCUCUCCUUCUAAUUUGUUGUAACUCAACUCUAUAGCUGAAUAAGCAGCCGGCUGUAUAUCUUUAAAGUUCGUUGAGGAAGGCCUUCUUAACUGUCCCAAAGCAUCCUUCCAUUCAAAUAAUCUCUUAUUUCUCAACGCCCUCGCUACUGUUACAAUGGAAACAGGCAAACCUGCACAUUCAUUUGCCACCUCCGUUGCCACCCCUUUGAAUUCACUACUUUCGAUGUACUCCCCUGCCAUCUUCUCAAAUAGACUCCAAGCUUCGUCUUCUCUUAGAACGCCAACUGAGAAAUUAUGUCGGCAAUCCAUCUUGCCAGACAAUAUAUCUUCACUUCUUGCCGUCAUCAAUAUUUUACACCCCUUGUGAUUAUCUCCGUGAGGAAUUCCUACAUCCUGCAAAUCAACACUUUCCCAAACAUUAUCUAAAAUUACAAGGAUUUUUUUCUCAUCCUUCAAUCGAUUAUAAAGACUCCUUGCCCUUCCAGAUUCGGUCUCUUCGAAAAAUAUGAGACCUAAUUUAUCAGCGAUUUCUCCUUGAAUCUUUCUUAUGUCUGGAAUCUGGGGCACCUCCACAAAAAUCACUUGAUCAAAUAGCUGGUCUCUCUUGAACUGAAUAGCAACCUCUUUUGCUAGUGUCGUCUUUCCGAUGCCGCCCAUACCAUAAAUCCCAACCAUGUUCACAUCAGGAUCUUGUAAUGCACGAAGUGCAUUAUUCAAAGUGGAGGUUCUUGAUUCAAAUGCCUCGUAGUCUUUGUUAGAUAUAAGCCUUAUGUCCUCCAGAGCUUUACGGUAGGAAAUUCUAUCAAAUCUCCCAGCUUCCCGAAGUUUGACAAUAGCUUCGAAUUGCCUCACCGCUUCCUUGCUAAGCUGAUGGCGGGUCUUCAAAUUUGGACACAGCCCCAUGAAACAACGCUUGUUUGCUUUAUCUGCAUCGCCUGUAAAUUUCUCAGCCUCAGUAAUGAUGUUGUUGACACUUGCAAGCCAUUUCUCAACGUUCUUUUCGAUCUCUUCUCCUUUUCUUUUAGCCUCAUCAACCCCGUGCUGCAUACUGGCACCGUCAUCCUUGAGCUUCUCAAGUUCAGUCUUGAGAUUCUCAAAGUUGCUCCUGUAGUUGCGCACAUAACUCAAUUGUCUUUCAGUGGGAGGACCCAAGCACUUUGCAACUUCUAACACAACAGUUACUAUGCUUUCCACCAUCUUCAAUUCUUUCCCUUUUCUCUCUUUUUUUUUUUUUGGGUCAAAUUUUAGAAUUUUGUAAAGUAUGUAGAUGUGAAGUGAAGCGAACCAAAAGGAAACUGAACAGAGACAACAACUAAAAAGAUGUAGAGAUGAAGAAGAAGAGAAGGGAUUUAUUGACAGAGUAAAAAAAUACAGAAGAGUAGAUACAGAACAAAACAGAGACAAGUGGACAGGGAACAGAGCAAAAAUAAAUAAAGAAAACAGAUACACGUACGAUUCGUAUUAAUGUUGAGAUCCGAAGAUUGUAAUAACCAAAGGUGUUGCUUGAUCCAGUGAAAGGUCCAAAGAGUUGAUGGCGGAAAGGAGCAAAGCUGAAGAAUAAAAAUAAUCAAGAUGAUUGAGAAUGUUGAUUGAGAUGGAGAAAGACUUGCAUGGUUGGGAGAUGUGCGUCGGACAAAUGGUAGCCAAUUAUUUGAUUUCUACCGCGGGAUUCACUGACUUUAUAUUUUAAAAAAUUUAAGUUAGCAGAAUUAAUUCUUUUCAGUGAAAUGAACGCAAAGAGUGUAGAAAGAAUGUGAAAAAGUUAUGCGAAACGUGAGGUGACGAGAUAGACAAGUUCACUGAGGGAAAUCUGUGGUGCAAUUGUGGUAUCGUAUUACAGUUGUAUUUUAUAAUUAGAUGUCAAUGGACUCCAUAAUCUAAGUGUAUUUAACGGCUAGAUACAACUGUAGCACAAUUACACCGUAGCCUGAUCCAAUUCACUUAUGCUCAAUAGUCAAUUUUAUUAAAAAUAAAAAAUAAAAAACUAGUGAGAAUCCGAAAGUCGAAAGCCAAUAGAUUUCAUAAUGGGAUUCAUUCAUUAUUCCAUCACGGAACCGAACACCAAUAGGUUAUCCCACCAGCCACCACCUCAGCUUCCACGCAAGUUUCCCUCAUAUUUGAAUAGUUGGCCCACUCCUCAAGUCUUUGUCGUUUCAGUCAACAAAAUACCACUGAAAACUAAUUAAGGCCAAAAGUUAAAACGAACAGACCCCAUCCGCCCAUGUGCUUUUUAGGAGUAUUUAUAGAUCGGAUUUUACAUAUUGGACCUCAAUCUAUAUUUGAUUUAUAUUUUUGUGGAUUAUUAUAUAGUAUUAAUGUAAUUACAUUUUAACUUAGUUAUUUACUAAUAAGUACUAAUGUCAUAUUUAUAAAUUUUAAUUUUUAAUUAAAAAAUAUUUUUUAUUUUUUACAGAUUCGUAGAUUUUUGAGAAUUUACAAAAGUAAAUUCAUAUUCAAUCUAUCGAUUACGGAUUAUCAAAUUUUCAAUCUAAUCCAAUCCAUAGAUCAAAUUUUUACGGAUUGAGCAGAUCGGAUUAGAUUACGAACACCCUAAGUGCUUCUAAAUAUAAAAUCUUCGCCUAAUUUUCAAGAUUGAUAAUUGAAAUAAAAUUUGAUUAAAAAUUGACAAAAAUAUACUUAGAAUAAUGUCAUUUUAAGUGAAUUUUAAAAAAACAAAACGAUAUUACCUUGAAUAUUUUUUAUUAAUUUCAUUUUUCAAUUUUGAAACAAGUAAUUCUUAUUCAAUCGUUACAUUUUCUUUUCUCAAAAGUAAACGAAAUUGAAAUUAAGAAAAAAAGAAAAAGUAAACGAUGAAACUCGGGUGGAUCACAACUUGUAUAAAGAUUCCUGACAGUUGCUAAUGCUGCCGACAUGAUCUUCCAACUUGGAACUUGUAAGAUCGGUCAAGCUUUCUAGUUUCUACAGUAGCGUUUAAUUAAUGAAUAAUGACGACGUUAGUACAAUGAGAGUAUUUGAGGUAAUUGAUCAAACAAAAAGAUUGCCCACUCAUGAUCUAAUUGCCUAAAUUAAUAAAAAUGCUUAGCCUCAGCUGACUUGUUCCAAAUCACUAAACAAUUUUUUGAUUCUUUUACUUAUUAAAUAUAUUAGUUUUUGCUAAUGGAUACUAAGUUGAAUGCCAAAGACGAAUAACUGCAUUUGAAUUAAAAAUAUUUCGAUAUUAAUUUGAAGGAAAAGUCUAGUAUUAUUCUUAAAAUAUGUACAAACUUAGAGCUUGUAUGACUUUUUUGUAAGGUGAAAAUAUUUCUAACCCACGCGCUCUAUAAAAAUGGAUGCCUUUCUUUCUUAUUUUUUCCCUACUUAAAUGACAAUUAUUGAAUAAUCAAUCAUGAAUGAUUUUAGGUUACGAGUGUAGUAUAUAUAGUAAAGUUUAAUAAUUAUGAUCAAUUACUGAAAUAUUACCACGGGCAUUAGAUGACAGGAAAAGAGCUCAUUUAUUCCAUUGUUACAUUAUUUGAGUGAUACAGUAUCACUUUAAUCAAACUUCUGUCCCAAGUUGGGAACAGCGAAAUGGGCAUUUCAUCGAACGGUUGAUAUACUACGCAUCUGCACUUAAUGUUGCUGGUUGUUGCAAGUGCUGCCGGCAUUUUCAAAGUUGAAAGACCAUUCAUAGCUUUUCAAUAAUUUGCUUUGAUUAUUAAAAUUAAAAUUAACUAGCUUUUCAAUAGUUGUUAAUAAAAUUAACAAAAAAAAAAAAAAACACAUAUGUUGACAGCACAAGAAUAAUAAUGUUUACUUAUUUAUUAAAUUUAAACUCUGUUCAAGAGAGGACCCAACUUUUAUAUAUUUUAUUUUAAUGGCUUAAAGAAAUUACAAAGUUGAUGGCACAAUUUAUAGUUUUUUUUUUUACCUUUAAAAAAUCUUUGGAUUAACCGACAAUCAUCAUCAAUCCUCACCUAGGGUCGGGGGAGGAUCAAGAUGGUGCCUACAGUGAGCAAACAUGAUGGCAGAUGGUGUCCAAUUGAUCCCCGAAACUUUUCUAUUUUCAUUGAUAUUGUCAUGAAGUUACAUAAUUUCUUACAUAAUUGUCUCCAAUAAAUACCAAUAGGUAUACGAACGCAAUUACGCAAACAUGAUGCACGCAUCUCUUUAAUUAAUUUAAGGCGUAAAGAGACUUUCAGAGAUGCCUACAAAUUCAAUAUGGCAGCUCUCAUGAGAGAUAAAACUAGCUUCAAAUUGGAUUUCUGAGUACUCAAAUAAAGCUAAAAGCAUACUAAUGAAAUGAAAACUAAAACAAAAAAUCCUCUCACCAACGCCAUCUGACUCUUAAUACAUAGAAAGAACUUGAUGCCUUAUUCAAGAUGCCGCACAGAAGGUUGGCCUGAAUCGUCUUCAUAAGUUUGGACUCCCUGUAAACAAAGAGCAAAAACACAUUGAAGGUGCAGUUUUCACAUAAUUAAAUUGCACAAAUUAGCCUCUAUGAAGGAUACAAAAAUCCUUCAAUUCUCUCUGGAAGCAAUUAAUUUCAUUUUAUUUAUUUAUUUAUUGCCAUGUUUGUCUAACAACUAAUCUUCAACAUAACAAUAGAGCAGAGUAGUUAUAUUUUAGAAAGAUAUACCGAUAUGAUUUAACUAAAAUUUCAAUAUAAAUAAAACGUUUUUAGUCAGCACAACAAAAUCAAAUCAGAACCUCCCAAACUGUAUAGAUUCUAACUUACCAGUAUCUUUCCCAUCUUUCUCCUUUUCAUUCACUUUGGCGGACUUCUCAUUCUCUUUUUCCCUCUCUUCCUAAUCAGAUUUAAAAUAAAUUUAUAAAAACAUUAAUAAUCACUUUUUUCUUUUUCCUUUUAUAUAUAUAUCUGUCAUUAAAUCAGUAAUUUUUAGAAAAAAAAUCAACAUUUCAUAGUGAGUGAACACGUACCUUUGUUGUUGAUAUAGGUAUUGAAUGGUUGUAUUAAGGUCGCGAUCCCAAACGCAAACUCUUUCAUCAAACCUCUUCAGCUGCACUUUGCGUAAAUUGGGUGUGCUUAAUUCUCCUCCUGAGAAAAUGCUCAUAUUGGGGCAAUCUUCCACCACUAAUCUUUCCAGAGAUGGGAAUUUGAAGGCGCAAUUAUUGACAGAGCAGAAACUUGUCAGACUUUCUAAGUCCGAAAGCAGCAAUUCCUUCAAUUCGCUGAAAACAAUUUCAUAGUUUGCUGCAUAAUUGUCUCGCUCAUCAUCGUCAUCUGCCACUAUUUUUGUUAUCAUCUUGCAGUCAAAUAUCUUCAUUUGUUUUAGUCGCACCAGACUCUUUGCUGUCGAGGAUGUUAGUAUGUUUAUCAUUCCAUAGCAAAAAUCUACGGCCAAAGUUGUUAGAUUCUGAAACGAUGUCGAGGAUGGCACUAGAUUAAUCAAAUUGUCACAUCCAUAUAUAUCCAGUACUUCCAAAUUGUUCGCAUGGGAGGACUCUUGUUUCAAAAUCUGCUUCAGAUUAGGAUGGAAGUUUAUUCCCUUUAUCAUUGCAUUCACCCCAUUUUCAACCGUUUCAAAUAGUUCUUCCCCAUCAUAAUCGUAUCCUUCGAUACAGAGAACUUUGAUGGUGUGAAAUCUCUGAAGGAAAUCGUCAAGUGAUAAAAUAGCAGUUGACCCAUCAAGCCAAACAUUAAGACAUUUAAGUUUGCAAGGCAAGUCUUCUGGAAAUAGACCUAUGUGCUUUUCAUCAACACUCAAAUAUUCCAAAUUGGGAAACACCUAGGUGAUUACCAAUCAAAAAAAAAAAAAAAAAAAAAGCAAGAUGGAGUUAGAUCUUCUUUUUAACAAUUUGACAAAUUAAAGUAAAUGCAAAGCAUUCCGGUGAUGAAUAUUGAUGGCCUAUCGUGUAUGUGUGUCUCUAUGUGUGUGAGUGUGUAGCAUAUGAUCUUUCUAACAAUCACAGAAAAAACAAGGUGGAGUUGAUCUUCUUUGUGACAAUUUCACAUAUCAAAGUAAAUGCAAAGCAUUCUAAUGAUGAAUAAUAUUGAUGGCCAGAUAAAUAUAUAUAUAGCAUACGAAAAAGACGUCAAUUAUUCUCAAUUUACAUUUAAACUUCCAAAUUCUCUUAAUCGAUCGAUUUAUUUGGUUUGAAUUGAAAAUCUUACAAAUUUCUUUUUUUUUUUUUUUUUGAAAAUGGAUAUUUUAACUUUUCUUUUCUUUUUAUCAAAAGUAUAAAUGAAUAAAUAACUUGAAUUUAAAAAGUUUAAUAAUGUAGUAAGACGCUCGUAUUUAAUUAAUAUUCAUCGGAUUGGAUAUAUUCACUACUGUACAAGAAAUGAUUUUAUUAUGUAGAAAAUUUAAUAGGAUAAGAUUUCUUCAUUUGCGUUUUGUUCAUCCCUCUAUAUAUAUUUUUAAGAAUAGUAUUUAUGUUAACACGAGAUGACCAUUUUCUUCUUCAACAUCAAAAUUGAUAAUAAUUUGUAUGUAACAAUAUUAAUUGUUAAGGCAUACUAAUCUAAAAAUAGCUCCUAAAAAUUAUCUGGGAAUUAACUGUGGCUUGAAAAACUCUAGAUCUUAUUAGAAUUUUCUUUGUUUGGGUAAUCAAAUGCACACUCUCUUUCAUGUAUUAAGUAAACAUAAGAGACAUAAAAAAAAAGUAAAAAGUAGAGGAAGAAGAAAAACUCAGAUAAUUAAGAGAAAACAAUUGAACUAGAAUUAAAAAAAAUUGUUUACUAACAUUUUGUUAAACUGAUUUAUGUUUAUGAGGAUAUUAUGAAGUAUAAAUAAACUGAUUUAUACAACUAACAUUUUGUUACUAAAAGACAAAGUGAUGAGGGCGAUGAUGAUGACAAUAAAACUCUGAACUCUGAAAGUAGAAUUACUUUUAAGUACGUAAGAAUUGAACAAUAAUUACAAAAGUCUUGCACGUACCUUCUUGGUGGACUCAUGAAUAGUGCUUUUAAAUUUCACUUGGGGACGUUCCAGUAUUUUUAAUUGUUCCAAUGAUGGAAAUUCAAAAUGCAGAUCUCCUGUGCAGAAGCUUGUAAGCUGCGGAAGAUAACAAAGUUCAAGUGUUGUUAAUUGAGUGAGUUCAAUGACUUGCGUGUUACUAUUGCUGGAUUCAUCUCCUCUCUCGGCAGCAAAAAUCACUUCCAAAUUCUGGCAUCCAGUCACUUCAACGGACUGAAGUUGUUGAAGGCCUCUGCCAAUGACCAAUGGAAAUACAUUUUUCAAUUUAUCGCACCAUUCCACCCUUAUGUCCUUUACUUUGCAAAAAGACUCUGCCGCGAGUGGACCGCGACAUAUUUCCUCAAGGUUCCUUAAAUCUCUCAGAAAUAAUGACUCCAAAAGGGGGAAUGCAGUCGUCCGAGCUGUUGCUCUAUCCACUAUGUCGACAACACAUAAAAGGUUGCUAUUUUUUACGACCUCGAGACGCUUCAGCUGUGGAAAACCUUCUCCGUCUGAUCCAUAAAGAACACUCUUCAUGUCCAGCAAUCCGCCUAAACAUAGGUCUUUAAUACCCUUCAAUUGCAUGAUAUGCCCCCCGUUCAAGCAAAUGUUGGCACCACUGGCGACCAUCAGUCGGAAUAUUUCAGAUAUCUCACUCGAUACGUAAUCCCACGUCCACUGACUUCCUAUCAAUAUUCUGUACCUUUGCAGCAUUUUGACGAACGACAAGUCUCUUGGUAGAGUCUUUUCAUCUUGGAUGAGUAUUUCUAAAGAGGUCAAUUUAGAUAAAUUAUUCAACUCAUGAAGGCUGGCAUUUCUUCUUUCACCGUCGACUCCUUCAACCUUCCCCCACUCAAUGGGACUCUCACCAACAUAUAGUUCUUCUAAUCGGGAUAAGCUCGAUAAGACAUUUGAGGGAAUAACUCGCAGUCGGUAACAUCGGCGCAAAUUCAACAACCUCAAUUGAGUCAGCUGGCCUAUCUCUCCAACCAGUUCCUCCAUAUCAGAACCUCGAAGCGUAAGGAUAACUAAUUUCUUUAGGUCUCUAAUAAUAGCCAUGUCUCCUAGUUCACAAUAAUCCAGAGACAAUGUUUGAAGGUUUUGUAAGAGACCAAGAGAUGAAGGCAAUGCCAACAAAUGCAUCUUAGUGAAAUCUAAAACUCUAAGCUCUGUCAUCCCAGUAAAAAAAUUAUCUGGGAUCCUCAAGGAAGCAUGACAGCCAAUACAAAGGAAUUUAAGUUGCGGGCAUUCGAACCCUCGAGGAGGCUCACUAAUAUUACUAUUCUUUAAGGAGAUUGCGGUGCAAACCUUCAGUGCAUCCUUAUCUGGCCAGCUGGUCGGCGGAACAACCUCAUUUUCCACCGCAAAAACAUGUUGGACUCUAGAUGCAAUUGAUAUGGCUACAUCACGAACAACAUCGUGCAUAGAAAACCAUUCACUAGUAUUGCCAUCAAGCAGCAAGCAAGAGUUCUUGAGUUUAUCAACCAAUGUAUGUGCUCUAUCCCGUGCCUCUUCCAACGUGUUGAUGUUUUGAAACAGACCCAGACCCAUGCCAUAAUAGAUCACGUCUUCAACGCAAGAGAUGAACGUGUACCCUAUUAGCAAAAACGUUUUCCUGAGUUCCUCACCUUCUAAAUGAUAGUAACUCAGCUCUAAACUUGAAUAGGCGGGCCCCAAAAAAGACUUAUUUUUCAAUUGUCGUAAAGUAUCCUUCCAUUCAGACAAUCUCUUAUUUCUCAAUGCCCUCGCUACGGGUACAAUGGCAAUGGGCAAACCAGCACAUUCCUUGACUAUCUCUGUUGCUACAGAUUUCAGUUCACCAUUUUCUAUGCAAUCACCUGUCGUCUUUUUGAAAAGACUCCAAGCUUCUUUUGCAUUCAGAACAUCAACAAAAAUAUUUUUUUGACAAUCCAUCUUAGAAGACAACACAUCGUGACUUCUUGCCGUCAGCAGAACUUUACAUCCGCCGAUAUCAUCUGCCAAUGGAAUUCCAAUUACUAAGAAAUCAGAAAAAAGGAUGUUUGGAAGCUGAGAAAAUUUAAGAACUGAAAGCUUUUAGCUCACACGAUUUUAUUCAUCUAAAACUUACUUAUGAAACUAUACACAGAGAUGCUUAUAUACACAACUGAUGCUCAGCUCAAUUAGUUAACUAAUUACAAAACUAAUUCUAGCUAGCUAUAACAACUUCAACUAAUUAUCACGUGAACAAGUGAUUACAUAACCACCAGGUGCCAGCUGGCAUGCCAUGUCAUCAACUCUUAACUGUAAGCUGGAGCUGCUGCUAUCCUCUGCUUUACAGUCUAUGCUACUGAUGUGUGCUUCCUUAACAUCCCCUCUCAAGCUCAAAGGUCUACUAACGACAUUGAGCUUGGAUUUAAAAAAGCUGAAUUUAGAAAAAGAUAAGGGCUUAGUCAGAACAUCAGCUACUUGUUCUUCAGUAGGAAUGUAUCUAACCUCCAAUUCUUUUCCAAGCACUUUGUCUCUAACAUAAUGAACAUCCAACUCUAUGUGCUUAGAUUUUGAGUGAAACACAGGGUUACGAGCUAGCUCCCCUGCACUUUGGUUAUCACACCAAAGAACUGGAGUAGGUAGUUUAGCAAUGUUGAGUUCUGAAAAUAAAGACUGCAACCAAGAAAUUUCUGAGCAUGCUGCUGACAGGGCUCGAUAUUCACUUUCUGUGCUUGACUUUGCUACAAUUGCUUGCUUUUUGGAAGACCAUGAAAUCAGAUUGUUACCCAAGUAUAUACAAUAGGCUCCAAUUGAUUUUCUGUCGUCAAGAUCACAAGCCCAGUCAGCAUCUGUAUAGCCUGUUAUUCCAAUUUCCAGAGUUGCUUCCUUUCUAAGAUAGAGACCAUAGGUGAUGGUUGACUGGAGAUAUCGAAGAACUCUUUUGCAGGCUAACCAGUGCUGAACAGUAGGAGAACUGAGGUAUUGACUGAGCUUAUGAACUGAAUAAGCUAUAUCCGGCCUGGUGAGAAUUAGAUAUUGUAACCCUCCAACUAUGCUUCUGUAUUGUGUUGGAUUUUCGAACUCCUGACCCAAAGGACCCCUGACAUUUCUUUCUAGCUUCAAACCAGUACUAAGAGGAGUAUCAGACCCUUUGCAAUUCUCCAUAGAUGCUUUACUCAGCAAGUCUUUAAUAUACUUUGUUUGAGAUAGAUGCAUACCUUCAUCAAAGUAACUAACUUCAACACCUAGGAAGUAAGCAACUAAUCCCAGAUCUUUCAAGGCAAAUGUCUGACUGAGUUUAACAAUAAAAUCCUCUAGUAAAGCAGAAUCUGGUCCAGUGACUAGAAUAUCAUCCACAUAGAUCAAUACUAUGAUUAAGCCCCUUGUAUCAUGUUUAAUGAAUAGAGUUGUAUCAGCCUUUGAAUUAAGAAAUUGCCAAGUAGUUAGACAACCCUUCAAUUUUUCAUACCAGGCUCGUGGAGCUUGUUUUAGACCAUAGAGAGCUUUAUUGAGUUUGCAGAUGUACCCUUCCUUAGUUACAAAGCCUUCUGGUUGUGUCAUAUAUACGUUCUCAGAAAGAUCUCCAUUAAGGAAUGCAUUAUUUACAUCAAUUUGUCUGACUUUCCACCCUUUUAUAACUGCCAAGCUGAGUAUAACUCUAACUGUUGAAGACUUCACCACUGGACUGAAAGUUUCUGAAUAAUCUACCCCUGCUGUUUGGUGAAAUCCCUUUGCAACCAAUCUAGCUUUAUACUUGCUGACAGUUCCAUCUGUGUUAUACUUUGUUCUGAAUACCCACUUACAACCAACUAGCUUGUAUGUAGAAGACAUUGGCACAAGAGUCCAAGUGUUGUUGUGAAUAAGAGCAUCAUACUCAGUUUGCAUUGCAUCUUUCCAUUUAGGAUCUGAUAAUGCCUCAGGGACAGUGGAUGGUUCUAAGCUGUUGUGAGUUGUUAGAAAGGUCUUUGGUUUGAAAAUACCAGCUCUAGCUCUGGUUAUCAUAUGAUGGGUGGAAGUAGAAGGUUUAGGCUGAGAUGUUUGUGUUGUGCAGGGUAUUUGUGGUGCUGGUGACUGGGGUGCAGGUGAAGGCAAAGAUGUAGAGGUCUGAUUUGUGGGUGACUGAGAUUGAGGUGAAUUUGAUGAUAAAGAAUGAUUGACAGGGAAUUGAUCUGCUGCAGUAGCUUCAAGACUGUUCAGAUUGCUAUUAGGAACUGACAGAGUAAACCUUUGAAAAAGAUUAUAUUGAAAAUCAGAGGAAGUGUGUUUAGAAGAGGAAGAAAAAUUUGGAUCUGAAAUGUAAGGGAAAGUGGUUUCAUCAAACAAUACAUGACUGGCAAUAUAAAUUUUGCCUGAUGAAUGUAGACACUUAUAGCCCUUAUGUGAAGGACUAUAUCCUAAGAAGACACACUUUGAAGUAUGGAAAUGGAAUUUAUGGUUAUUGUAUUCUCUGAGAAAAGGAAAACAAGAACAUCCAAAUGUUCUUAGAAAGUUAUAGUCUGGUUGAUGAUGAAAGAUUGAUUCAUAUGGAGUUUUCAUUGCUAGAAUAGGUGUUGGUAAUCUGUUAAUGAGAUAGGCUGCUGUAUGAAAAGAAUCCCACCAGAAUUUGAUACGUAAUUUAGCUUGUGCAAGAAGAGUAAGACCUGAUUCAGUAAUGUGUCUGUGUUUCCUUUCUACCAAACCAUUUUGGUUAUGUGUAUAAGGACAAGAGUGUCUAAAUUCUAUCCCUUCUUCUUGAAGAUAUUUGCUAAAGGAUCUGAAUUCCCCUCCCCAGUCAGAUUGAAGACAUUUAAUGGGCUGUUCUAAUUGUUUUUCAACUUGAGCUUUGAAAAUUUUGAACACAUGAAGAGUUUCAUCUUUGGUUUUCAGGGGAAAUAUCCAAGUGAAUCUGGUAAAAUCAUCCACAAAGCUCACAUAAUAUUUAUAACCUUGUGUGGAAACCACUGGAGCUGGUCCCCAUAAAUCAGUAUGUAAAAUGGCUAAAGGUUGUUUUGUUUUUGUUUCAGUUGCUGGAAAGUGUAAUCUAUGCAUUUUCCCAAAUUUACAAGCAUCACAUGAAUCAAACUCUUUAUUUCCAUUGAUAGGUUUGAAAGAGGAACAAGAUUGUAUUACAUGGUUUAAGAUCUUAGAGUUAGGAUGACCUAGCCUCUGAUGUAAUACAGAAGUGCUUAAAAGACACUUAGAGUUCAUACAAGGUUCUGCUGCCACAUUUUGCAAGCAGUGAUUAUUUGACUGACUGAGAUUGACAGUUGAUAGCAUUGACAAAGGAACAAAUGACUGAAAAGAAGACUCAAUAUUUGCAACAUGACCUUGAAAGGAAGACUGAGCAGAAGUUUUAUUUGAGGACACUAAUAGCAAUCUGUACAAGCCUUUUUCAGCCUUGCCCUGCAGUAUGAUCAAAUUCUUCACCUUGUCCUUCACAAAACAAGAUUUGUCAGUAAACUCAACUGUGAUAUUGUUGUCUUUGGUUAGCUGAGAAAUGCUUAUAAGGUUCUUGGUUAUUUGUGGAACUAAAAGUAUAUUGUUUAGUUUAAUCACAGUGGAAUCAGUGCAGUUGUGCAAUCUCAGAACAGCUUUUCCAAUAUUUGUAAUAUUCAAGCCAGUACCAUUACCAAUAAUGAGUUUAGAUGUACCUGUAAAUGAUUCAGAAAUCUGCAUAUUGUUCAUGUCAUUUGUGAGAUGGUGAGUGGCACCACUGUCAAGGUACCAAUUUGUAUCAGAUGAUCCUUCCAUGUUUGCCAGAUAUGCAGAUUUCGGAUUCCUGUUUGGAGGUGGUCUAUAAGCUCCUGAAGCAAUAAAUUCUUCCAGCUUCCAGCAUACAUUAGCUGUGUGGCCUAUUUUGAGACAAACUUGACAUGUAGGCUUAGAAGGAUUCCACUGAGAUUUAGGAUUUCCAGGUGUUUUGCCAUUAUUGACAGCAUUAUUAUUAUUCCAGUUUCCUCCUCCUCCUCCUCCAUAGUUUCCUCUGUAACCAUUAUUUCCAGCACUUCCAACAGCAAAACCAGAUGAUCUAUAAUUUCCUCUGUAACCACUAUUUCCAGAAUUUCCAGCAUUAUUGUAGCCUGUAUUAUAUCCAAGACUACCAAAACCUUUUCCUCCUGAGAAGUUUCCUCUCUUAGGUCCUCUAUUUUGUGCAAAGUUAGCUUCUAAAUUGUGUUUAACAUCCAUAUUAGCAAGCAUAUGAGUUUGUUGAUCAAUCCUAGCCUCUUGAGUUAACAGCAUAGCAUAAGCCUCAUUAACAUUCAUUUUUCCAGUUCCUACUUGUCCAGUGAUGUAAGUAGCAACAGAAUUAUAAUCAGGACCUAGACCAGAGAGUACAUGUAAAAUCAAAUCAUCAUUGCUUAAUGCACUUCCUGCUGCAGCCAUGUUAUCAGCAAUAGAUUUCAUUUUAAUGAAGUAUUCAGUCAUUUUAAGAUCAUCCUUUCUAGUGGAAUUCAUCAAAUAUCUCAAAUGUAAUAACCUAGACUUUGAUUGAGAUCCAAAUUGAGUUUCAACAGCUUUCCAUACCUCCAAUGAAGUCUCAAGAUUGAACACCAAACUGAUGAUACCUUCACUCAUGGAUGAAAGAAGCCAACCGAGAAGUAUUUGAUCUUGUGCUCUCCAGGUUGCAAAUUCUGGAUUCUCCACAGAUCUAAGCUCAUCAUCAUAUCUCUGAGCAAUAUGAGAAGGAGGUGGAGUGAUUGACUCAUCGAUAAAUUUCUCAAGUCUAUUUCCUCGAAUUGAAGCAAGCACUUGAGAUCUCCAGAUCAAAUAGUUUGAUUGAUCAAGUUUAACGGGAGUAUUGAAAGUGAAAUUGACUGUUGUUGAAUGUGCAGCGGUAUUAUGAACUUGAUUUAAGGAAGAGGCAAGAUUCACAGAUGCCAUUGUGGCUCUGAUACCAACUAAGAAAUCAGAAAAAAGGAUGUUUGGAAGCUGAGAAAAUUUAAGAACUGAAAGCUUUUAGCUCACACGAUUUUAUUCAUCUAAAACUUACUUAUGAAACUAUACACAGAGAUGCUUAUAUACACAACUGAUGCUCAGCUCAAUUAGUUAACUAAUUACAAAACUAAUUCUAGCUAGCUAUAACAACUUCAACUAAUUAUCACGUGAACAAGUGAUUACAUAACCACCAGGUGCCAGCUGGCAUGCCAUGUCAUCAACUCUUAACUGUAAGCUGGAGCUGCUGCUAUCCUCUGCUUUACAGUCUAUGCUACUGAUGUGUGCUUCCUUAACAGCCUCCAAACCAAGACUCCCCCAUAUAUCAUCCAAGAUUAUAAGGAUCUUCGUCUCUUUCUUCAAUCUUUCAAGCAGCCUCCCUGCUCUUCCAGUUUCACUCUCUUCAUCUAUUUUCAGGCCCAGCUUCUCUGCAAUUUCUCUUUGUAUUCCUUUUAUUUGCGGUGUUCGGGAUACAUGUGCAGAAAUGACCUUCUCGAAUAGAUUAUAUUCCUUGGCCUGCCUGCCAACUUCUUUCACCAGCGUUGUCUUUCCAAUGCCACCCAUGCCGCACACCCCAAUCAUGUUGAAGUUACGGUUGCUGAGUGCGUCCAGUAUCUCCUUCAAAGUGGAAGUUCUCGAUUCAAAGUGCAUGAAACCCUGGGUAGAGUUAAGCCAUGUCUCCUCUGGAAUGGUACGGAAAGAAACACCGUCGAAUCUUCAUUUUUCAAGAAGUCCAGCAAUAGCAUUCGCUUCACUUUCUGCUUUCAUGCUAAGCUGGUACCGGGUCUUCAAAUUAGGACACAACCCCUUCAACCACCGGUUGUUUGAAUUCUCUUUGUCUGCAAUAAGUGUUUCGACUUCAUUGAUGGCCUUGUCCACAGUAAUCAUCCACUCCUCAACGUGAUGUUGAAUUCCGUCCCCUUUAAUUCUGGAAUCAUCAACCUUAUACCGCACACUCUCUCUAGCAUUCUUGAGCUUAUCAACUUCAUUAUUCAGCUUCUCGAAGUUGGUGUUGUAAGUGCAGUAGUAAGUAAAUGGAUGAAUAAUGGGAUCAACCAAGUACUCUGCAACUUUCGCAACUGCGGAGGUAGCAAUAUCCAUUAUCCCUUUCUUUUUUUUAUUUUUCGCUUUCAGAAUACAGGGGAAAGCAAAACUAAUCAAACUAAGCAGAACUAAUCAAUCAGCUGGGAAGAGGGAAAUAAGAAGUUCCGAUAAAUUGCUAAAAUAAGAAGUUGAAUAGAUUUAAGGGAGGAGGAGAGGAAAAGAGUGAAAAAUCUAGAGAUGAAACAAAGGGGGAUCCAUUUUCUGCUAAGACAAAUUGAAAAGCGAGUACAAUAAAUGAAAGAUUUGCAAAGAAGGUGUAGGAUCGAGGACAAGAACGAUUCAAAAAAGGGAGACAGAAAAUGAAGAAGAGAUUUCAGAGGACUCUAGAGAUUAGAGAAGAGGGAUGAUUAGGAAAAUGCAGAGGCAGACAGUUGUCAUCUCAAGUCUCAAGGGUAAUCUGAACUUUAUGAUUUUUUAUUUUUUCAAGAAAUAGAUGUACAAAUAAAAUGAAAAAAAAAAAAAAAAAAACCUGUUGUGUGGUCGUGUGGGUUCCUCGAAAUCACUUCGGCAUUUAAUCGAACGGUUGGAUGUACUCAGCAUCUACACUUGCACGAAGGUUCCUGGAAGUUGCGAGUGCUGCCGGCAUUUUCAAACUCGGAAGGUUUCAAUAAUUCUUUUUCUUUGAAAGAAAGGUUUCAAUAAUUAGCUUUGAUAAUUGUGUAAUAUACGAUAAUCUAGUGAUGAUGAUGACUUAUUUAUGUGAUUAAAAGCUAAGCUGGUGGAUUUGUAAGUAAGAACACACGAGCAACCAUUUUUGUUGAUGCGGGAUUCCGGUUCUCCUCGUUCUACGACCAGGAUCUCUGCCCGAUCAACUUCUUCACGACCAGGAGGUCUCCUCGUGAGGCUUCUUCUCCAGAGGUUCCUGCGCACACAGACAAGUCAGAGUACGCCGGUUGUUUUCCCGGCGCAAACCCUCCGACGCUCAAGUCAGAUAUGAAGGUUCGGGGAAUGCUUGCCACAGAUCUUAUGGCUUUUUCGUGGUUUUCUCUUCUUUUGAAUUUCUUUUCUAAUCUCAAAAAUGCUAACCCUUUUACCUUCGUUGGCUACCUUUUUAUAGGCUUCCCCCGAAUCCUAGUUUUCCGCUUUUUUCGAGACGGUAUGGGACUCUGACUGCUGCGUUAUGGGCAAACGUGGGAUCUUGCGUGUUACGCCACGGUUCUGGGGAAAGCGUGGCUGUCGUGGUUCUGUGAGAUCUUGCGUGUUACGCCACGGUUCUGGGGAAAGCGUGGCUGUCGUGGUUCUGUGAGAUCUUGCGUGUUACGCCACGGUUCUGGGGAAAGCGUGGCUGUCGUGCCUAGAUUCUCGGGCUGGAGAGCAUGUCUUGCCAACUGCCGUCGACCGGGUCUCCUCGCCUCUCGACCUCUAGCCGGAAUGGCCUUAUGCCUCUUACAGGAAAUUGGCCUCGCGGAUGACGUGCUCGUGGACGAGCAGGAUAUUUCUGCUCCUGUUCCCCCGCGCACCAGGCUUUUACGGAACACACCGGUUCGCAGAACUCUGCCAUCAGAUAUCUGCUCACCAUGCCUGGUCUCGUCGACGUAUUUCUCCCAAACACCGGUGACGUAUUUCUCCCAAACAAUUUUUAUCUUCUUAUUGCCACAUUCUUCUAAUCAAUUUGCUUUCACCAACAAAAAUAAUUAAUAAUUUGUAAAUAGUUGGAUCUUAAGCUCAAAUUUUGACAAUACAUGAAUGAUAAUGUAUACUUAUUUUUCAAGGGUAAACUCUAUUCAAGAGAGGAUCUCAAUUUUCUAUUAGUUUCUUCAAAUGGGCAUUUUAUCCAACAGUUGAUGAACUCGAAAACUUACACGAAGGUUCCAGGGAGUUGCAAGUGCCGCCGGCAUUUUUCAAGUAAUCAAGUGAUUAACUUUGAUGUGUAAUAAAUAACUUUGAUUAUUGAGUAAUAUAUGAUAAUCAAGUGAUUUUAAUAUGUAAACGGUAGGAUUUUGGGCUCAUAUCUUUAAAUUAAAAUCAUGAUCAUUUUAUCAUUAAACUCGAACUCUAUCUUGAUUAAUAAACAAUUGAGGAUUUUUCAGGAAUAAAUCUUCAAGAAACUAAAUAUGCUUGGCCUAAUGGAAGUUAUUAAAAUGUCAAAAUUAAACCCUUUUAAAUAUAUUAGGGAUUGUAAAGAAUUUCGGAUAGAUUUGAGUGUUACUGAUAUCAAUUGAGGAUAAUGGGGUGAUAAAUUUAUGGAGGAAACUACCAAAAUCUCUCUGUUGUUCUGCGAAAUUGACUAUUUCUUCUUUCUCGUUUUCCUUCAAAAUUUCGCUUACGUACAUGGAUAAAAUAUUUCAUUUUUCAACAGGUGAUGUAAGAUAAUUUUACCUUUUUAAUUUUCCUUGGGAAUUUUAUAUCUAAAUCAUGUUAAAGUGGACCAAAAAGACAAAACAUAGAAAGCGACAAUCCAACAACUAGGUAAAUUUAUUGGGAAACACUAUUUCUGCUAAUUGAAGAAAAUCAAGAAAUGCUGAUUCCGUCAUGCUUAGUUUCAUAAUCAUUAAUAUGCUUUUAUACGAAUCCUUGUUUUUGAAUAUAAUAAUGGUUUAAGAAAUGCAUACCUGUUAGUUCUCCAUUUCUUGACUCCGAGGAAAAUUUGACUUGACAGAUGAAGCAAUGUUAUAAGAGGUUUCAUACACAGCUUCUACGCGAUCACUACCAUGCUUACAUGUAAAACGUUGCUGCCAUGUCAUCAUACUGGACAGACCUUCAGAGGUUACUCUUCGAAGCGUUUCAUUAUGCCACGUGUACUUGGUUAUUUGACUAAUCACGGUUCACAAGUUGAGUGAGUUACUCACCACACCACCUUCCUGCUGCAAAGAAUUUUAAUUGAACUUUGACUUGGUCAGAAACUCAGAAUGAGUGGUGCACGUGAUGCAUACACGUGAGGACCCAAAUGACGAAUUCCAAACGCUGAGUGAUGUACGUGUGAACUAAAUGUUUUCAUUUUAAUACCAGCGGCAAUCACGUACACGUUUAAUGAUUUGAUUAAAUUUGUGUUUAGUUCUAUAAAUGAUUUCAGUCAUUGUUAUGAUUUUUUUGGGUUGACUCGACGGAGCAACUAAUAAUUUCCCAGUUCUGCUACUAAAUUUAUUUCCCACGAUUUGAUUAAACAGAGCUCCACUAAAACUUCAAUUCAUUUCACUAUUGUAAUAGAGGUUUCAUUCACGUUGAAUACCCAGAAUAAUUACUGAUAGUUAUAUAUGGAAUGCUACUUCAAUGUAGCUUACUGCCGCAAUAAUACUCAAUGACUUUCGAUGACAAAAAAAUUUAUCAUUAGAAUGACUGUAAGUUCAUCUAAUGCCGAGUUUCAUCAUUAACUACCAAAAUACUCCAGAAAUCCAAUACAUUUAACUAAACACAAAUUUAAUCAAAUCGUUAGACACUCAACCUGAAAGUGGAUUCGAAGUAAUAUUAAUGAAAACAAAGAAACAGGGGGACCCUCUUGAUCGCCAACGCCAUCUUACCCUUGAUAAAGAGAAAGAAGUCAAGCUCCAUAUAAUAUAAUGCCUCACAAAUUAUACAGAAAAAAAUGGCCUCAUUUCAGAUGCUACAUAGAUGGUUUUCAUGAAUCCUCGUUUUGUGUGAUGAUUUUUUUUUUUUUUUGACAUUUAAUAGAGUAUACAAAAUAAAAAUAAAAAUUUAAAAUUUACUAGAUGAGCCAAUAAAGUAUAGUAGUGUUCAGAAAUUUUUUUUUUUCUAGAAUGUAAAUAACCCACCCAAAGUAAUUUUAUCUUAUUAGACUGAGGUUCUCCCCCCUCCCCCACAAAAAAAAAAAAGCUGCUUCUUGGUUUUUAAUGCAAACACGAUUACACGAAGAGCUUUCGUUAAUAGUGCUUUUAGAUUGGAUUUCUAUGUUAAAAUAUAAAUCAGUUUUAGAACACUAAAUUGAGGGAGAAUGUUGGAUUUGAUCUUAUUGUAGGCAACUUCAAGAGUGUAAGAAACUGCUCCUGGAGCGUGCUAUUACAUGUUUUGUUUGUGGAAAAUGAUAUUUGUGCUGUCAAUUUUAUGCUGCAAUGGCACUAUAGCAUAAGCAAUACCCAUAUUUCUGCAUGUCUUCCGAAUAUCUUGCAGCUGUUCAAAUAACAAUGCUCUUUGUUUGCCUACAAACCUCUAUUUUCUGUCAACAUAAUCGAGGUAGCAACCCGCUAAUAAUUUUGUAAAUUGAGCCUGGAUGAAAAAUUGAUGAAUGUGUGGGUGAGAAUAAUCAUUACUCAAAUCUUUCACUGAUGUCCUAAAUGAUUUCUCCUUCUAUAGAUUACAGUGGUUGGUUAUAAUCACAAAUUGAGGAUCUUGCUGGAAGCUGUUGUUCAAAAAAUUGCAGAAUUCAAAGUGAAACCAAACAGAACACUUAUUUCUGUUCGAAUAGCCGCCGUAAAGUUUGAAUUGGGCAAUUUUUUGGACAAUAUGUUUCCAGCAAGAUCCUCAAAUUUGUGAUUAGAACCAACCAGUGUAGCCUAUGGAAGCAAAAACAACCAUUUAGGAGAUUAGUGAGAGACUUGAGUAGUGAUCUAGUUCCGCACUGGUCUCAGCCUUCUCUUCAGUCUCUUGCUCUUUUGCUUUCGUCUCAGAAACUCCGCGCUGAAUGCCCGUACUUUCACUCUUCCGCUUCUCUGUUUCUGCCUUGAUAUCAUCAAAGAUGGCAUUAAUCGUAGAAUAAGCAGAUAACAAUCUAAAGUGAAGGAGGCCAAAGGAAAGUGAGAUUAAAAAACAAACAGAAGCGAGGGUUUUUUUCAGACGAAAACGGAAACAAGAAAAGGACCAAUUCGAAGAGCUGACAGAACGGAUGACUGAAUAAGAAGUGAGUUGAUUAUUUUAUACAGCCAAUUCAUGUAAUGACAGAUCUGGUUUCGAUCUUUGUAAUUUAAAUGUAUUAUCAGUACGAGGUGAAGGACUUUUUUGUCGACUCAGUCCAACACAAAUUCAAAUUACUAAAGCAACGUGAUACUGGUUUUGAUCUCUGUAAAUUAAGCACAUCAAUACGAGGUGACUCUCACAAGACUUUUGAUGUGCUAUUGCCAGUCAAAUAUGAGACGAAAUCUGAAUAGACUCACUUAGUUGUGUUAUUAUUUAGGAGGUCGAGUCCAGAUAACAUCCAGCUCACUUGCUUUCUCAAUGACCAACAUUUUGUGAGCCAAGCGUUCGACUUCAAACCACUUAGUGCCUGUUUGGUAUGGCUUAUUUAAGAGCCAUAAGUGCUUAUUUAAUCGUAUAAGCACUUUUUAAAAUUUUUUAUGGUGUUUGGUUAUUUUUUUAGUAGAGUUUUUUUAGCUUAAAUAAGCUAAUUUACCUCUACUAACAAAAGCCCAAAAUUUGAGCUUUUGGGAGUAGAGGUUAUAAAGCUUUUCUAAAAAUAUCUAAUAUAAAAAAUAUCACACAAUUUAAUGGUUCAAAAGUACUUUUUUUAUUGACAACCAAACACCCAAUGACUUUUUGUCCAAAAGCUCUAUUGGUAUAAGCUCUAGUGCUAUAAGCUCUACUGUUAUAAGCUUUACUGUUAUAAGCUCUAUUUAAUAAGCUGUACCAAACGGAGCCUUAAUCUGAUUAGAUGAAUUUUCAAGCCGAAAAACAUGCUUUAAUUAAAAACAGAGACAGCAGGUGCCCUGUACUCAGGAUCCGAUCAUACAUAUACAAAGAAUAUCUGCUAUUAAGAAUUUCACAUCUCAAGUAGUUGAAAUUUAGUUUCGAAAGAAAAGAAUGGAAUAAUUGAUAAUAACAAUAAAUUACUAUAUCGCAUGCAUGUUCAGGUGACUUAAUUUGCAUUUACUCUUGCAAUGCCUGACGUGCGCACGUGAUCACAAAAAUAAACUUGAAUAGAAUCUCUCACAUUCACCAGAAAAUUGUUGCACAUAAUAAUAAUACAAGGGAUGCACAGAAAUGGUAAGUUCACACAUCUUUAGUUAAGAUGAUCAAAUGAAGGAAUUGCACACCUAUUUUUACGCUUCCAAAGCUGUAGCGACAGCGUGUAAGUUAAAAUACAAUUGAGGGUGCGUUUGGGAUUGAGGUUGGGCAGCUGUAGCUUAAAAGCUACAGCACUAAAAUGUUUGGUAAACACUAGCUGCUGUAGCUUUUAAGCUAUGUUGAUAUGAUUUUUCACUUGUAUAAUAUAAAAUUUAUUAUAUCUUUAAUAAUUUUAUCAAAAUUAUUAUUUAAAAUUUAUAUUUACUAUAUAUUAUUAACUUUUGUUUCAUAAUUACAGCUUUUUUUUCACAGCAACUGUAGCUUAAAAGCUACAGCACCUCAAUCCCAAACGCACCCUGAAACUAGUUUAGUCGAAGCUCUCAACAUGUGAUGUUUCGCAGAACGAAUACCAGUUUCAGAGAAAUAUUAUCUAAUUUUACACACCUUUCACGGAAUACCAAAAAAUAAAUGAUCAAAUAAAAGAUUACUACAAAAAUACAUUCCUAUCAAUCAUCAUAUAAUUUCAAACUAUAUCUAUUUUUUUUUUUUAGGUUAAUCGAAGGUUCCUGGAAGUUGCAAGUCCCUGCCGGUGUCAAAGGGAAGGUACCAAUCUCGUGUUCGUCCUUCCAAUGUCAAAGGGAAUACUCUGCACCUCUACGCUGGUGUUAGCCCCUGCACUCCAGUCAUGUCGUUGAAGUGCUCGACGUGCACCAGCGGACCACUUUUUCCUGAGUAUUUGAGGUCGAGAAAAUGAAAAUUUCUUGGCAUCAUAGUGCCCAUGAUUUCAGCUGAAAGCCGAGAUUAAUCAUCCAGCAUUAUUCUCCAACUGAGGGGCUUUCUCCUACCCUGCAUUUCGUCUAUUAUUUGUGCCAAUCACCAUACUUCUCCCUCCAGUUCCAAGGCUCGAGCAUGUGCUGCCUGAGCUCCCUUUUUUCGGUAUUCGCUCCUCUGCUACAACUUCCUAAGAUUCGUCCGUUGUGUAAUUGAUCUCUCCCUUCAUGCUCACAUUCUCUCAAAGUAUGAGUUCCAACUCCAUUGUUAGGCACCCCAUUGAGUUGUCCCCCUUAUUGAAGGGAUCUCCUCAUUUCUAUUCCUCCGAUGACUGGGCUUUGUGGCUGUUAAAGAUAUAAAUGUAAAGAAUAUUCUUGUAAUGGUUUUGCUGAUGUGGCAGCUGAGUAAGCAAGGUUGUUAUUGUUAGUUUGUAAGUUUGUUAUAGAGCUGGGAAAGUUAGUUAAUCACAACUUAUUCUUUACACGUGUGUGAGCAAAUGUAGAAGGUUCUGGAUCUCAGUAUAUAAGCUCACUUUCUAUACUCAUAAUUAGUUGAAUAAGAUUUGAUCUGUUUUUCUUAUAUUUUCUCUUAAUGCUCAUUAAAUUUUCCCUCACUUUCUCUGCAACCAAACAAGCACAAAUAACUUGAUUAAACUUCAAUUUGGUAUCAGAGCUAGAUUUAGUCUAAUCUCGUGGCGUUAUCACGCUUGAACACAAACAUCUCAUCUUCAGCCACAACCUUUACCUUCACACCUCCAAUAAAACUUGACUGAUCAAAUUACUUAAUCUGGAAAUCUCAAAUCCUAUCUUCAGUUCGAGCAAAUGAACUUGAAAGUUUGCUUGAUGGAUCCAGAAUCUGUCCAGAUCAAUUUCUCUCAAGCACUCAAGGAAAUGCAGAUGCUAUCUUCAAUGCUUCUGUAAGUUCAAUUGUUGCUUCACGAGAGAAUCCUGAGUUUGCUGUGUGGAGAAAGCAAGAUCAGAUGUUACUGAGCUGGCUGUUAUCCUCCAUCAGCGUUGAAAUCCUCAGUCUUGUGGUAAACUCUAAAACUUCCUAUGAACUGUGGUCUAGUUUAGAGCAACAAUUUGGAUCUGAAACUGUUGCUAAGAAAGUUCAUCUCAAAAUGAUGUUGAAUAAUUUGAAGAAAGGAUCUAUGACUAUGACAUAAUAUUUUAGUAAGUUGAAGUCAGUUACUGAUGAGCUUGCUAUUGCUGGAAGUCCUGUUAGUUCUUUGGAUUUUAUAACUCAUCUCAUCUCUGGAUUAGGUCAGCCUUAUUAUCCAGUAGUUGUGUAUAUUGAAGCAAAUGUUCUAAAAAUGAUUAUUAAUGAGGCUUAUUCAAUGUUGUUGACACAUGAGGCACGUUUAGAAAGUAAUCAAUCUAAUGCUUUCAAGGAAGUGAAACACAACUAUGCUGCUAACUUAGCUCAGGCUGGAAACAAUCAAAAGAAAAUUAAUAAUCAGGGAGGCUAGAAUAACAAUAAUCAAGGAGGCUGGAAUGGAAACACUGGAAACAAAACUGGAUUUAAUAACUAGAAUGGAAAUUUUACAAACAGAGGAGGUUUCAAUCCAGGAAGGGGGCAAAAUUCAGGCAGAGGACAAUGGACUAAUAACUGGAAUAACUGGAAUGGAAAUCAAGGUAGAGAUAAUUUUGCUGGUGCUGUUGGAAAUUUUUCUGGUGGAUUUCCUAGUGGUUUUAAUGGAUUUGGAAGAGGAGGAGGCAGAGGAAGUAUUGUUUGUCAGAUUUGUUUCAAGCACAAUCAUACUGCAGCUGAUUGUAAAGACAGAUUUAACAAAAACUUUGUUCCAAAUUUUUCUGUGCAAGGAAAUUUUCCAGGUCAGAAUCAAACUUCCAGAGUUGCUUUCACGGCUACAUCAGAAGGAGUUGCUGACCAAGGAUGGUAUCUAGAUAGUGGAGCAACACAUCAUCUUACAAACAAUGUAGAGAACUUAGCUGAAGGUAAACCUUAUUUUGGAUCUCAGUUGCUGUUAGUUGGUAAUGGACAAGGUCUUAGAAUCACUUACAUAGGCAAUAUAUGUCUCUUUAUAUCCUUAGGUAAUCAGUUAAACCUUUCUAAUGUUAUGUGUGUUCCCAAAAUUACCAAAAAUCUCAUUAACUUGUCUAAACUUCUCUCUGACAAUCAUAUAACCAUUGAAUUUGUUUCUAAUCUUUGUUUCAUUAAGGACAAGAUGCAAGGAACUUUGCUGGCACAGGGAAUUGCUGAAGAUGGUCUCUUUAAGCUAUUGCCUCAAGAUACACCUAUUCCUGAUUCUAAAGCUUCGGGUUUAAAACCUAGUUCAAUGUUGUCUGUUUUUUCAAAUAAAGAGAUUUUACACUCUUUGAAAGAGUUGAAUAACCAAACAAAUGUCUGUUCCAAUUUGAUCAAUUCUAAUAAUGAGAAUUCUGUCAGUUUUUUAGCUUCUAGUAGUGAGUCUAUGCAGUUGUUGCAUAAUAGGUUUGGUCAUCCAACCAAACAUGUUUUGCAAACAAUAAUGAUAAGUCUCCCCAUGCAUUCAAUCCAUUCUCAAUCUCUUAACUUUUGUGAUGCUUGUCAAUAUGGCAAAUUACAUCAAUUUCAUUUUCCAGUCACUGAUAUAAAAUCAAAAUUCCCUUUCCAACUCUUAUAUGCUGACUUAUGGGGUCCAGCUUCUGUGUUGUCCAUGGAUGGAUACAAGUACUAUAUUUCCUUUGUUGAUGAUUUCACAAGAUAUUGUUGAAUAUUUCCACUCACACUUAAAUAUGAGGCAUUUGAAACCUUCAAACACUUCAAGUCCCUUGUAGAAAAACAAUUUUCUUUAUCCAUCCAAACACUACAAACUGAUAUGGGGGGUGAGUUUAUAGCUUUCAAAUCAUUUCUACAAUAAGAAGGUAUUCAGUUUAGAUAUAGUUGCCCCCAUACUCACCAUCCAAAUGGUGUAAUUGAAAGGAAGCAUAAGCAUAUUGAUGAAACUGGACUCACACUCUUAGCUCAAGCUCACUUACCUCUCUCUUUUUAGUGGGAAGCUUUUCAUACAGCCACCUACUUAAUUAAUAGAAUGCCAACACCUAUUCUCAACAAUUUCUCUCCUUUUUAGAAACUAUACAAUCAGCUUCCAGAUUACAAAUUUCCUAAAGUGUUUGGUUGCUCAUGUUUUCCUUUUCUUCGACCUUAUAAUCAUCACAAGCUAGAUUUUCAUACUAAAAAAUGUGUCUUCAUUGGUUACAGUCCCAUUCACAAGGGCUACAAGUGUCUUGAUUGAACUGGGAAAGUUUUUGUUGCCAGACAUGUUACCUUCAAUGAACUGGAAUUUCCGUAUUCUGAACUGUUUUUGAAAAACAAGUCAAACAUAUUCUCUCAUUCUGAUAUCUCCACUCCAUCUUCAGUUCAUUUCUUUCUUCCUCAAACACCUAUUCUCAGUAAUAGUAGCAAUGAAGAGCCAUGAGCUGCAGUCUCCAGUCCUGCUUUGUCUUCUGCAUCAGAGUCUCAUUCCUUGCAAAAUUAUGUUCAUUCACAAUCCCUUGAUCUAUCUUCAAGACCUUCAAAUUCUUCUCAACCAGUACUCUCUACUCAUCAUAUGGUUACCAGAUCUAAAGCUGGUAUCUACAAACCCAAAACCUAUCUAGCUGUUUCUCAAGACCUUGAACCAUCCAAUGUCAAAACGGCAUUGGCAGAUCCUAGGUGGUACUCAGCUAUGAAAGAAGAAUUUGAAGCUCCCCAAAGAAAUCAAACUUGGUCAUUAGUGCAACAUCAUCCGUUGUCGCAUUUGCAUCAUAAGCCCUUCUUUGCUCGUUCCUUAACUCAUGUAAGAUGGCGGUGAGGGUCUCCAUCUGCCUCUCCAUACACUUUAUUCGCUCAUGCAUCACUCUUUCCCGUGCCUCAUUUACCAUCUCUCUUAGAGUGAUCGUCUCACUGGUCUCAUGCUUGUCUCCUUGGGCACUAUUCCUUCCUAUAUCCAUGUCCACACGCCUGCUUUUCCCUAUGAGUUGCUUUGCUAGUGGUAGCUUUUUGUUCAACUCCCCACAGACGAUGCCAAAAUGUUGAUGCUGAAAUAUGGUCGUACGUGGAAGGGUAACCAGGUUGUCUCGUCAACGCUUAAGUUUGCUCUGGGUGAGGCGCGAAGCUGCUUGUUCUCUCUCCAAUCAAAUGGGUUUAAUGACCUCAACUAACCUUGCUCCUUCUCUUCUGACCUGUACUCACACGAUUAGAUCAAAGGUGCCGGCGGUUUUUCCAGCGAGAACUCUCCAAUACUUAAGUUAGUAUGCAGGGUUUCGGAAAAAAAAAAAACGUUGAAUUAUCAAUCUAUCAAAACUAACAAUUCUUAAAUGAAGGAAGUGUUUCAGAAAGCUUUUUGGAAAUAAGUUCUAGAUCCAAAAUGGCAGAGUUUUCCCCCAUUUUUCCUUUUUUUUUCUUUUUUCCUUUUGUUAUUUUUUUUGGGUUUUUAUAGGCAGCCUCCCCAUGUAUCUAGAACAUCCCCACGUCUUCCAUAUUCGGGCCUUCAUGGGUUUAGAGGAUUUGUGAAAAUCGUGCAUCCGUUAUCGUGCCUUUUCCCGCAUGGUCGGGAAAUGGCGAAACCGUCGCCUAGAUAUGGUAUUGUAUCUGAUAUUUAAGGAAUAGUUCUCUGGUCGACUUUUAGCCAUACAUCAAAGAGGACCCUAGUACUAUUGUGUCUGCUCAUAAUACACCGACCCGAGGAGAUUCUUACCUCGACCAGGCGAAAGCAUGUGUGGCUGGUGCUCUGGUAGUAUAAUCACCCUAACAAAGACGAUUGAGUAUGUUGAUUGAGAUGGAGAAAGACUUGCAGAGUUGGGAGAUGUGCGUCGGCCCAAUGGUAACCGAUUAUUUGAUUUGUACAGCGGCAUUCACUGACUUUAUAUUUUUAAAAAAUUAAGUCAGCAGAACUAAAUGAACUGAGGUAGUGUGUUCGAUUAUAUUAAUUUCUUUUUCUUUUUCAUUGAAAUGAACGCAAAGAGUGGACGAAGAAUUAAAAAAACUUGCGCGAAAUGUGAGGUGAUGAUAAGAGUGAGAAUCCCAAAAUCGGAUCAUAAGUAGACCAAUAGAUUAUCCCACCAUCCAUAGAUUUCAUGAUGGGAUUCGUUUAUUCCAUCACGGAACCGAGCACCAGUAGAUUGUGCCACUGGCCACAACCUCAGCUCCCACGCAAAAGCUUAUCUCAUAUUUGAACAGUUGGCCCACUCCUUGAGUCGUUGGCUUUUCAGUCAACAAAAUAUCACAGAAAACUAAUUAAGGCCAAAAGUUAAAACGAAGAGGCCCCAUCCACCCAUGUGCUUCUAAUUAUAGAAUCUUCACCUAAUUUUCAAGAUUGAUAUUUGAAAUAAAAUUUGAUUAAAAAUUGACAAAAAUAUACUUAAAAUAAUGUCAUUUUAGGUGAAUUUUUUUUUCUAAAUUAGAACCAGAACGAUAUCAUUUUCAAUUUAUAUUUUUUAAAAUUCAAUUUUGUGCCUUAUUUUAGUCUUCCAAUCAUUUUUCAAAUUUCAAACAAAUGAUUCUUAUCUUAUUCAAUCUUUACCUUUUCCUUUUCUCAAAAGUAAACGAAAAUGAAAUAAAAAAGGUUAAAAAAAAAUAGUAAAUGAUGAGACUCGGAUCGGGUGGCUCGCAACUUGGAUGAAGAUUCCUGACAGUUGCUAAUGCCGUCCACAUCUUCCAACCUGCAAUUUGGAAGACCGUUCAAGCUUUCUACAGUAGCUUUUAAUUAAUGACGAUUAAGUUUUGAUUAUUUGACGUUCUUCGUAAAAUGAGAGUAUUUUGAGGUAAUUGAUCAAAUGAAAGAUUACCAUUCAUGAUCUAAUUCCCUAAAUAAUAAAAACACUUGGUCUCAGCUGACUUGCUUCAAAUCAUUAAAUAAUUCUUUUACUUGCUAUUAUUGUUCAUAAAAUAUAUACAAAAUUAGAGCUUGUGUGACUUUUUUUUAGGGUGAAAAUAUUUCUAACUCACACGCUUUACAAAAACUGAAGCCUUUCUUCUUCUUUUUCUCUUCCCCCCCCCCCCCCCCCCCCCCCCUUUCUUAAAUGACAAUUAUUGCAUAAUUGUGAACGAUUGCAUAUUUAAGCCUAAUUUCUUAAUGAUCUAGGUUACGAGUGUAGUAUAUAUACUAGAAUUUAAUAAUGAUGAUCUAUUAUUGAAAUAUAACAAUGGACUUUAGAUAAUAGGAAGAAAGCCCAUUUAUUACAUUAAUACAUUAUAUCAGUGAGAUGAUGCUAAUUUAAUGAAACUCAUGUCCCAAGUUAGGAACAGCUACAUGGGCAUUUCAUCGAACAGUUGAUAUGCUUGGCAGAUAAUCGAAUUUUCCUGGAAGUUGCAAGUGCUGCCGGCAUUUUCAAAAUUGGAAGACCAUUCAAAGGUUUUCAAUAAUUAGCUUUGAUAUUACACGUGUGAUAAUCUUGUGAUGAUGAUGAUUUUAUGUAUCUAAUUAUAAGCUAAGCUUAGUGGAUUUGUAAGUAAGCACACGGCAAAGUAUUUAACCUUCUUAUUGUCGCAUUCUUCUAAUCAAUUAGCUUUCACCAACAAAAAUAAUUAAUAAUAAUGUAAAUGGAGGAACUUGGGAUCAUUAACCAGGGAGGAUCCACAUGUUGUCUACAGUGAGCAAUUGACCAGUAAACUUUUAUUUUUCCAUAAUUUUCUAUAUAAAAUCUUCAUAUUUUCAUGAAAUUACAUAAUUUCUUAUAUAAUUGUCUCCAAAAAAUACCAAUAGGUGCACGAACACAAAUAUGAUGCACACAUCUCUUUAAUUAAUUUAGGGCUUAAAGAGAUUUUAAGAUGACUACAAAUUGAAUAUGGCAGAUCUUGGACACCAUCCAUAAGAAAUAAAACUAGUCUCAAAUUGGAUUUCUGAGUACUCAAACAAAGCUAAAAGAAAGAUAAUGAAUGAAAACUGAAACAAAAAAAUCCUCUCACCAACACCAUAUGACUCUUGAUAUAUAGAAAGAACUUGAGCUCGAGCCUUAUCCAAAAUGCUGCACAAGUAGCGGAAAUCCUCUUUAGAAGCUUGGACUAUCUGUAAACAAAGAGUAAAAACACAUUGAAGGUGCAGUUUUCACAUAAUUUAAUUGCACAAAUUAGCCUCUAUUAAGGACACAAAAUCUUUUAAUUCUCUCUGUAAGCAAUUAAUUUCUUUUUUUAUUUUUCGCUAUGUCUGUCUAACAACUAAUCCUCAACAUAACAACAGAGCAGAGUAGUUAUAUUUUAAAAAGAUGUACCAAUAUAAUUUAACAAAAAUUUCAAUAUAAAUAAAACAUUUUUAGUCAGCAAAAUAGAAUCAAAUCAAAACCUCCCAAAUUAUAUAGAUUUUAUCUUACCACUGUUUUUCGCAUCUUUCUCCUUUUCUUUCGCCUUGGCGGACUUCUCUUUCUCUUUUUCCUCCUUUUCCUAAUCAGAUUUAAAAUGAAUUUAUAAAAAAAUUAAUAUGUACUUUUUUCUUUUUACUUCUUUAUAUAUAUCUGUUAUUAAAUCAGUAAUUUUUAGAAAAAAAUAAAUAAAUCAACAUCUCAUGGUGAAUGAAUACUUACCUUUUUUCUUUUAAGAUAUACGUAUUGAAUGGUUGUAUUAAGGUCGCGAUCCCAAGCCCAAAGUUUAUUAUCAAACACGCUCAGCUGCACUUUCUGUAACUUGGGUGUGCUUAAUUCCCCUUCUGAGAAAAUCUUCAUAUUGGGGCAAUUUUUUACCACUAAUGUUUCCAGAGAUGGGAAUUUGAAGUCGCAAUUAUUCCCAGAGCAGCUGAAACUAGUCAGACUUUUUAAGUCCCAAAGCUUCAAUUCCUUUAAUUCGCUGAAAACAAUUUCAUCUUUUGCUGCAUAAUUAUCUCCCUGAUCAUCCUCAUCUGCCACUAUUUCUGUUAUCAUCCUGGAUGAUUGUAUACUCAUUUUUCUCAGUCGCACCAGACUCCUUGCCGUUGAGGAUGUUAGAACGUUGAUCAUUCCACGGCAACCACAUACCUUCAAAGUUGUUAGGUUCUGAAAGGAUGUCGAGGAUGGCACUAGAUUAGUCAAAUUGUUACACAUGAAUAUCUCCAGCUGUUCCAAAUUGUUGGUAUUGGUUGACACUUGUUUGAAAAUCUGCUUCAGUUCACGACGCUGGUUUAUUCCCCUCAUCAUUGCUUUCAUCCCAUUUUCAAGCUUUUCAAAUGAUCUGUACAAAGGCCCAUUGUCCCCUCUUAUAGAGAGAAUUUUGAUGGUGUGAAAUCUAUGGAGGAAAUCGUCAAGUGAUAAAAUAGUACUUGACUCAUCAAGCCCGACAUCUAGAUAUUUAAGUUUGCAAAGCCAGUCUUCUGGAAAUAGGCCUAUGUGCUUUUCAUCAACACUCAAUUCUUCCAAAUUGGGGAACACCUGGGUGAUCAUCAAUCACGAAAAAAGCAAGAUGGAGUUAACACUUCUUUCUUACGAUUUCACAAAUUAAAGUAAAUACAAAGCAUUCCAAUGAUGCAUAUUGAUGGCCGGACAAAUUUAUAUAUAUGCGGAGAGAGCAUGAUUUUCAGCUGUAAAAACAAAGCAUUCCAUUUAAGUAAUGUGUAUUUUCUUCCAUUCUCUCCUCUUAACUCUUGUCCAGUAGAUAGAUUUUCAAAUUUUAUUAGAUUUGUGCAUAAUCUCUAUGAAAAAAGACUUCAAUUAUUCUCAAAUUGCAUUUAAACUUUGAGAUUCUUUUAAUUGAUCCGUUUAUUUGGUUUGAAUUGAAAAUCUUACAAAUUUCUAUAUAUUUAAAAAAAUAUUGGAGUUUUAACUUUUUCUUAAAGCAAAAAUGAAUAAAUAAUAUGAAUUUUAAAAGUUUAAUAAUAUAGUAAGAAGUUGGUAUUUCAUUAAUAUUCAUCCAACUCAAUGGAAUUGGAUAUAUUUACUAUUGUGCAAGAAUGGAUUUUAUUGUACAUAAAGUUUAAUAGAAUAAGAUUUCUUAAUUUGAGUUUUGUCCAUCUUUCUAUAUAUAUUUCAAAAAUAUUAUUUAUGUUACCACGAGAUGACCAAUUUCUACUUCAACAUCAAAAUUGAUAAUCAUUUUGUAUGUAACAAUAUUGUACAAAGGAGUACUAAUUUGGAAAUAGCUCUUGAACGAUUUUCAGGGAAUUAACUAUGGCUUGAAAAACUCUAGAUCUUAUGAGUAUUUUCUUUGUUUGGCUAAUCAAAUGCACUGUCCCUUCCGUGUAUUUAACUAAACAUGUAGACAUAAAAUAAAAAGUAGAGGAAGAAGAAAAACUCUGAUAAUUAAGAGAAAAAAAAAAUUGAACAAGAAGGAAAAAAAUAAUUGUUUACUAUAUAUCUUUUUUUUUUUCAUUCGGUCUAACUGACAUCCAAAAAAAAAAAAAUUAUGUUUGUAAGGAUAUUAUAAAGUAUAAUUAAAUAAACUGAUUUAUAGAACUAACAUUUUGUUACUAAAAGACGAAGUGAUGAGGGCGAGGAAGACAAUAAAACUCUGAACUCUCAAAGUAGAAAUACUUUUCAGUCCGUAAGAAUUGAAAAAUAAUUACAAAAAUCUCGCACGCGUACCUUUUCAAUAUGCAGAUCACCUGUGCAGAAGCUUGUAAGCUGCGGAAGAGAACGAAGCUCAAGUUUCCUUAAUUGAGUGAGUUCAAUCACUUCAGUACCGUUAUUAUUGCUGGAUUCGUCUCCUCUCUGGGCAGCAAAAAUCACUUCCAUAUUUUGGCAACUACUCACUUUGAAGGACUGAAGUUGUUGAAGGCCUCUGCCAAUGACCAAUGGAAAUACUUUUUUCAAUUUAUCACACCCUUCCACCUCUAUGGUCUUUAAUUUGCAAAAAGACUCUGCUGUGAGUGGACCACGACAUAUUUCCUCAAGGUUCCUUAAAUCUUCCAAAAAUAAUGACUCCAACAGGGGGAAUGCAGUCGUCGGAGCUGGCGUACAAUCCAUUGUGUCAACAAGACGAACAAUGUUGCCAUUACGUCGGAUUUCGAGACGCUUCAGAUGUGGAAAACCUUCUCUGCCUAGUUCACAAAGAAUAUUCUUAAUGUCCGGCAAUCCAUCCAAACUUAGGUCUUCAAUACCCUUCAAUUGCAUGAUAUGCCCCUCGUUCAAGCAAAUGUUGUCACCAUUGGUGAGCUUCAGUCUGAAUAUUCUAGAAAUCCCAUAAGAUGGGCCAACCGACCACCAGUCAUAUACUAUCAAUAUCCUGUACCUUCGCAGCAUUUUGAAGAACGACAAGUCACUCGGUAGAUUCCCUGCAUCUUGGAUGAAUAUUUCUAAAGAAGUCAAUUUAGAUAAACGAUUCAACUCAUGAAGGCUGGCAUUUCUUCUUUCAUCGUCGACUUCAUCAACCUUCCCCCACUCAAUGGGACUCUCACCAACAUAUAGUUCUUCUAAUCGGGAUAAGCUCGAUAAGACAUUAGGGGGAAUAACUCUCAGUCGGUAACAUCGGCCCAAAUCCAACAACCUCAAUUGAGUCAGCUCGCCCAUUUCUUCAACUAGUUUCUCCAUAUCAGAACCUCGAAGUGUAAGUAUUUCUAAUUUCUUCAGGUCUCCAAUAAUAGCUAUGUCUCCUAGUAUACAAAAAUCCAGAGACAAUGUUUGAAGGUUUUGUAAGAGACCAAGCGAUGAAGGCAAUGCCGACAAAUGCAUCUUAGAGAAAUCUAAAACUCUAAGCUCUGUCAUCCCGGUAAAAAUGUUAUCUGGAAUUCUCAAAGAAGGAUCAUUGCGAAUAUGAAAGUAUUUAAGUUGCGGACACUCGAACCCUUGAGGAAGCUCACUAAUAUUACUAUUCUUUAAGGAGAUUGCGGUGCAAACCUUCAGUGUAUCCUUAUCUGGCCAGCUGGUCAGCGGAACAACCUCAUUUUCCACCGCAAACACAUGUUGGACCCUAGAUGCAAUUGAUAUGGCAACAUCACGAACAACAUCAUGCAUAGAAAACCUUUCACUAGUAUCGCCAUCAAGCAGCAAGCAAGAGUUCUUGAGUUUAUCAACCAAUGUAUGUGCUCUAUCCCGUGCCUCUUCCAACGUGUUGAUGUUUUGAAACAGACCCAGACCCAUGCCAUAAUAGAUCACGUCUUCAACGCAAGAGAUGAACGAGUACCCUAUUAGCAAAAACGUUUUCCUGAGUUCCUCACCUUCUAAAUGAUAGUAACUCAGCUCUAAACUUGAAUAGGCGGGCCCCAAAAAAGACUUAUUUUUCAAUUGUCGUAAAGCAUCCUUCCAUACAUAGAGACUCGACUUAUUUUUCAAUGCCUUUGCUACGGGUACAAUGGCAAUGGGCAAACCAGCACAUUCCUUGACUAUCUCUGUUGCGACAGAUUUCAGUUCACCAUUUUCUAUGCAAUCACCUGUCAUCUUCUUGAAAAGACUCCAAGCUUCUUUUUCGUUCAGAACAUCAACAAAAAAAUUUUGUUCACAAUCCAUUUUACAAGACAACACAUCUUGACUUCUUGCUGUCAGCAGAACUUUACAUCCGCCGUUAUCAUCUGCCAAUGGAAUUCCAAUGGCCUCCAAAUCAAGACUCCCCCAAAUAUCAUCCAAGAUUAUCAGGAUCUUUGUCUCUUUCUUCAAUCGUUCAAGCAGCCUCCCUGCUCUUACAGUUUCAUGACUCUGUUCAGCCAAUUCUAAGCCUAUCUUCUCUGCGAUUUCUCCUUGUAUUUCUUUUGUUUGCAGUGUUUGGGAAACACGUGAAGAAAUGACCUUCUCAAAGAGAUUAUUUUCCUUGGCCUGUCUGCCAACUUCUUUCACCAGCGUUGUCUUUCCAAUGCCACCCAUCCCGUACACCCCAAUCAUGUUGAAGUUACGGUUGCUGAGUGCGUCUAGUAUCUCCUUCAAGGUGGACUUUCUCGAUUCAAAGUGCAUGAAAUCCUGGGUAGACUUAAGCCAUGUCUCCUCUGGAAUGGUACGGAAGGAAACACUGUCGAAUCUCCCUUUUUCAUGGAGUCCAACUAUAGCAUUCGCUUCUCUUUCUGCUUUCUUGCUAAGCUGGUACCGAGUCUUCAAAUUAGGACACAACCCUUUCAGACACCGGUUGUUUGACUUCUCUUUGUCUUCAAUAAGUGUUUCGACUUCGUUGAUUGCCUCGUCCACAGUAAUCAGCCACUCCUCAACGUGCUGUUGAAUUCCGUCCCCUUUAAUUCUGGAAUCAGCAACCUUAUGUUGCACACUGUCUCUAGCAUUCUUGAGCUUAUCGACUUCAUUAUUCAGCUUCUCGAAGUUGGUCUUGUAAGUGCAGCAGUAAGUAAAUGGAUGAAUUAUGGGAGCAACCAAGUACUCUGCAACUUUUGCAGCAACGGGGAUAACAAUAUCCAUUAUCCCUUUUUUUUUUUUUUUUUUUUUUUUUCUUUCAGAAAACAGGGGAAAGCAAAACUAAUCAAACUGAGCAGAACUAAUCAAUCAGCUGGGAAGAGGGAAAUAAGAAGUUUGGAUAAAUUGCUAAAAUAAGAGGUUGAAUAGAUUUAAGGGAGGAGGAGAGGAAAAGAGUAAAAAAUCUAGAGAUUAAAGAAAGGGGGAUCCUUUUUCUGCCAAGACAAAUUGAAAAGCGAGUGCAAUGAAAGAUUUUCAAAGAAGGUAUAGGAUCGAGGACAAGGAUUAUUAAGAAAAGGGAGACAGAAACUGAAGAAGAGAUUUCAGAGAACUCCAGAGAUUAGAGAAGAGGGAUGAUUAGGAAAAUGCGGAGGCAGGCAGUUGUGAUCUCAAGUCUCAAGGGUCAUCUGAAUAAUGCAAAAAAGCCAAACUAAAUUCAAACAGGGAGAAGACUCGUGCUUCCAAGUCAACUAUAGAUUCUUAAUAACUGAGAUAGAUGGUUAUAGUUGCAUGUAGAUAGUGUCAAAGUUAUAGGUCAAUUGGACAGCGCAAGGUGGCCUUUUGGCAUUUCAUUGAAUUUUCUUGUUACCAGUAAGUGCUAUGCUGCCGUUGCCGGCCUUUAUGAUUUUUUUUUUUGAAUUUUUAUUGAAUUUUCUUGCGCUUUUCUAAUAACUCCGCUAUAAAGCCCAUGUUUCGGGCCUUUAUGAUUUUUUAUUUUUUUUAAGAAAUAGAUAUACAAAUAAAAUGAAAAAAAAAAAAAAAAACCUGUUGCGUGGUCGUGUGGGUCCUCGAAAUCACUUCGGCAUUUAAUGGAGCGGUUGGAUGUACUCAGCAUCUACACUUCCACGAAGGUUCCUGGAAGUUGCGAGUGUUGCCGGCAUUUUCAAACUCGGAAGGUUUCAAGAAUUUUUCUUUUCUUUGAAAUAAAGGUUUCAAUAAUUAGCUUUGAUUAUUAUGUAAUAUACGAUAAUCUAGUGAUGACGACGACUUAUAUAUGUGAUUAAAUGCUAAGCUGGUGGAUUUGUAAGUAAGAACACAAGGCAAAGCAUUUUUAUCUUCUUAUUACCACAUUCUUCUAAUCAAUUUGCUUUCACCAACAAAAAUAAUCAAUAAUUUUAAAUAGUUGGAUCUUAAGCUCAAAUUUUGACAAUACAUGAAUGAUAAUGCAUACUUAUUUUUCAAGUGCAAACUCUAUUCAAGAGAGGAUCUCAAUUUUCUAUUAUAGAAGAUCUAUUCGAGAGAAGAUCAUAGUUAAAGCUUUGCGUUGAUUGGGGAACAUCAAAUACAAACAAAGACCACGCUAAAAGAAAAGCAAAAGCUGGCGAGAUUGAUAAAGAAAGACUAAUAAAGCUUUCCUUAACAGCAUUAAUCAUGAUUAUUUGAUAAACUAGAGGUGAUCACUGACAUUCAUGAGAAAUUUAACGGUAGGAAAAAGAAGUUAAAAAAAAUGGACAUUCGUGGGAAACCGGCCUUGAUGGUUAAUGUGCAACCGGAUGUGAGCAAAAGGUCACGUAGUGAGGGCAUUGUCACAUGGUUGGAGAAAUUGACAGCAUUUUUAAUUGUUGUCAAUGAGGUUGGUGAAGGUAGGAAAAGAACAAAUUUGGGUUAUUCCAUUGUUUUGGGAAAAACAUUGAAAGCGGUGAAAGAAAAUGUCAAUGAAAAUUGGUCGGAGCAGUACAAAGAUCAGUUAUGAAGAAUAUUAGGGAAAUGAAAAACUGAAAAAACAAAAAUCAAGAAAUAUGAAGAGACCAGUGAAGGGGACAUGGCAGAGGCCAAUUUAUAAAAGUAAUUGCAGAGGCGAAUUUGUAGAACUGAAAAUAGGGAGAUGAGUUGUAGGUGGGAAGAUAUGAAAAAUAAUAUACUUAAAAUUAUAUCAUUUUAGGUUAAUUUUUUUAAAAAUAAAACCAAAACCACAUCAUUUUAAAUAUAAUUCUUUAUCAAUUUAUUUUUUUUGUCUCCAAUCAUUUGCUAAACCAUAUCAAACAGGUACUUAUUCAAAUUUUACAUUUUCUGUUCUCAAAAGUAAACGAAAAUGAAAUGAAAAAAAGAAUGAGACUUGGCUCGGGUGGCUAAUGCUGACAGUGGCUAAUGAUGCCGACAUCUUCCAACUUGCAACAACGUUAAAAAUACGUAGCCUUAACUAAUUGCCUAAAUAAUAAAAAUACUUAGCCUCAGCUGACUUGUUCCAAAUCAUUAAAUAAUUCUUUUAAUUAUUAAAUAAGUUUGCUCUUGCUAAAUGCUAAUGGAUACUGAGCAGAAUGUCAAAGACGAAUAACUGCAUUUGGAAUAAAAAUAUUUCGAUAUUAGUUUGAAGGAAAAGUCUAGUAUUAAAUUGUUCUUCAAAUAUGUACAAGCUCAGAUCUUGUAAUUUGUAUGACCUUUUUUCGAAGAUGAGAAUAUUUCUACCUUACACGCUUUAGAAAAACUAGGUGAUAGGAAAAGAGUGUAGGAUAUAAAUUAAAGCUUAAUAAUAUUAUGAUCAAUUACUGAAAUAUUACCAUGGGCACUAGAUGAUAGGAAAAUAGCUCAUUUAUACAUUAAUAGAUUAUAUUAGUGAUAUAAGGACUUUUAAUCAAACUCAUGCCCCAAGUUGGGAACAGCUAAACGGGCAUUUCAUCGAACAGUUGAUAUUUGUAAGUAAGCAAGCACACGGCAAAGCAUUUGAGCAAAUAUUUUUAUCUUCUUAUUGUCGCAUUCUUCUAAUCAAUUAGCUUUGACCAACAAAAAUAAUUAAUAAUGUAAAUGGAGGAACUUGGGUUCAAAUCUAUAAAUUAAUAUCGGUAAACUACAACCCUAUUUUGAUCAAAGUUUUCAACUCAACAAAUAUAGAUUAGAGAUUAUUUGUUAAUAAAAUAUAAAAGAGCCCAAACAAAAAAAGAUUUGACAGUAUACGAAUAAUAAUUUAUACUUAUUUAUUGAAUAUAUCUUAUUUUAAUCGCUUAAGGAAUUACAAAGUUGAUGAAAAAAAAUUUAUUUUUUUUAUUUUUCACUUCUUAAAAAUUUUUGGAUGAAGAGAAUCCUCAAUCUUCAUUUACGUUCAGUGGUGGAUCCACACGGAGCCUAUAGUGGGCAAUUAAUUGACUCCCGUAAAUUUUUUUUUCCAUAAUUUUCUAUUUAUUUUUGAUAUUUUCAUGAAAUUACAUAAAUACUUGCAUAAUUGCCCCUAAUAAAUACAAAGUCUAUCAAUUUCAUUAAUUUUUUUUUAAUUAUUGUGUUGUCCCUUGUAAGCCAAAUUUUUAGAUCCGCCCUUUAAAUAGGUUGUUACAUUUAUUGUUCUCAAAAGUGAUGACUUCUCCUAGUAUGAAGCUCCUACCAUAAGAAAAAGGUCUCCAUAAAACAUUUCGAGCUUUAACUAUGAUCUUCGGUACUGAUCUAACUUUUUUUAGUCCCCCCCAAAAAAGAAGCCUAUAUAUAUAUAUAUAUGUAUAUUGUAACACAUUAGGACAUGAACUUGAAGCUUCUCAAGUGUUUAUGCAAUCCGGUUAACAUAUACAAGUUAUGAUAGGUAAAAUUGCUAAUAAAUUUAGAAGCCUAAAAUAUGGAAUUUGAUUAAGACUUACUAAUUAUUGGAGCAUUUUUUUCAUCUAGUUUUUGGAGAUUGAAAGAACUUAAAAUUACAGGUGAUCAUAUCUUAAUUGGCAGACUCUUGAUGCUGAUAAAUGACAAAAGUCGUAGAUUAGAGAGUUCUACGGAUUGAGUAGCGACUUGAGACAUUGUACAAUUUGUUCCAAUGCGAAUGAUUCAUAGUGACUGCACAUAUGGCACCUUUUUGUCGAAAUGACACAAUUUCUCUUCAUUGUGCUAGAGAAAGGUGGGUAGAUUUCUGUUGUACAAGCAUUAUUGGAAGAGAUAUCAAGCCACUCAAUGUUCAGAUGGUCCAAACAUGUGUUCAGGAGGCACUAACAUAGCAGAAAUUGAGAUAGUUUUAGUUUCAUCAUACACUAAAAAAAUAUACACCAGAGAUGGAGCGAGGUGUAGCGGAAGCGAAAAUUGAUAGGAUAGGAAACACUAGUUAUCAUUUUAGUACAGGAUUAAGCCAACGCGAUUAGGUUAUACUCUAAUCGAAGCGUGAUUAGAUAUCGUUUUAAUCCAAACGACUCAAUGGGAUUUUUAAUAACACGUGAUGUGAGAUUAGAUGACGCUCUAAUCCAAACGACUCUACAAGAGAGAUUUUGAUAGAUAAUCCCAGAGGGAAUUAUAAAAUGGGAGUUUUAUUGAAUAAUUGAAUCUGAAGUGCUCAAAACAAUGACAAGAUCUCUCUAGUUAUAAUAGAGGAAACCCACUUUCCUAAAUUAACCUAAAAGGGAAACUGAAUCACAAUUAGAAUGGAAAUAAAAGACUAAGAUACAUACCAUAAUUGACUCAAACUAAAAUAGGAAAUCCUAAAACAAUAAAUAUUCUAGAAUCCUAAAUUACCUAAAAUAACGUAAAUUAACUUCCUACAUCAUUCUUCCCCUCUUAAAAGAAACUCGUCCUUGAGUUUGAAUACAGUCUGGAGGAUGAAACUUAUAGUGUAUGAGCAAAUCAUCUUGUAAUUUGAACUUGUAGCCUUGCUCAUCAAUCUUCCUCGAAACUUUGAAGUAUCCUAACUUCAUCAACUUCCUUCGCUUGUACAUUCUUCGAGUCGAUGACGACUUUCAAGAACGAACAAUGAUCAAAUAACUCUUGCACUUCCCCAAUUGUCGCUCAAUGCGCUCGCCAAUAAGUUUCACCUUUUCAACCAAAUCUUCUUCAAGCACAAUCUUUUUUUCUUCAAUGUGAAUAGGCAGAACCAUUUCAAUCAUUUCAACUUCUUCACCUUGAUUUUGUUGUACAACCUCGAUCGUAUUGUUAAGCUCACUGCUUAAAUUAAGUGCAGAUUAUAUAUCUUCUUUAAAAAUAUCAAAUAGAUCAAUAAUAUCAUCAUCUUCAACACUUAUCUUCUCUUCCAAGGAAACAUCACGCACAUUCUUGAACAACUUGUCAGAUUGAAACCUUAAAUCAAUAACAAAUUGUACAUUUUCUUCUGGCAACUCAUGCGAGUCUUCUUCCUUAACAAUAGGAGAACUCAUUGGUACAUCUUUGGGCACUUUCAUGGUGACACGCCAUUUCUUGCUUAAAUUCUGGAUUUCGUCAAGUUUUUUAAUCACAUCAUCAAAGUUUCUUUGACGUUGCGACUUAAUUUGCGAUUCGAUUUUCUUGGCUAAAUGAAUUGCAUGCUGUAAAUUAUAGAUAGUGUAUAUAGGCAUCCUUUCUUGAAUAUGCAAAUCAAGCCCUUUAAUAAAUCUUGUAAUUGUAUUCUCUUCAGGCUCAUAAUAAUAAUGGCAUCCAUAAAAUCGUUCAAACUCAUAAGCACAAGCAGAAACAGAUCUCGUACCUUACUGUACCAAACAAUAAUCAAGAGGAAUAAACUCAGAUCGCAAAAUAUGCUUCAUACGGUUCCAUGAUUGAACUUUGCAUUUGCCUUGGUCAAGUCGAGAAAUUUGCAACUCAUCGCACCAUUCUGAAGCACUUAUGCUUAAUCUACUGGCAGUAAACGAGACUUGCUUUUCUUUAGGAGUGUGCCAAAAUAGAAACUAGUGCUUAACCUUGUCCAACCAAUCAAGAAAUUUGUUUGGACGUGUAUUUUGUAAAUAAUAUCGGCACAUGAUAAAUAGGAGGGCAAUGAUGGUAGCUUGCCAUUUAAGUUUCCACACAAUGGCAAAAUUGUAAUUAAGGCUCAACUCUCGGGUUUGGUAUGGUCGGCAGCUGGUGGCCGUGAUUGGGACCAGAGGGUAUCGGAUCUGGGAGAUUUGGUGAUAAGGAACUCGAUGAUGGUCGUGGAUCGGGCAGAUUCGCUGCGUUUUGGUCGGAAAUCUGACUUAAAGUGGCGGCUGAUUUUGGUGAUGUGGCUUUUGGUUUAUGGCGGCCUUACGGUGGCGGACGGCUGGAUUUAUGGUCGCCGAUUGCUAGGGAUUAUGGUGGUGGUAGUGCAAAUUGACCGAAAAAGGGGGUGGUUUGGUGGCGGCGCAUGUGGGAAGCACUCGUGGGUUGUCGUUUCGUGUGGUGGCUGCGGGCGGCGAUCAAGGGCUGAAGUUGGUCGGUGUUUUGGUUAGUGGAGGCCUGCAAGCUUGUUGGUAGAGGUGGUUGGCUGUGAAAGUGGCUGAAUGGUGGUGGAUUGCUUGGUGGAGCCGCGGGUUUGGGUUGGUGAUUUGCGGCGGUUGAGGCGGCGAUGGUUGAGGCUUGGUCGGCAGUGGCUAGCGAGGUUUGUGGUGGUGUUGGCUGGCUGAUCGGUGGUGGAAGUUGAUGUGGUGGCUAGGGUUUUCAAAUUUGUAAAGUUUUGAUUUAUUUUAUUUUAUUUAUUUAUUUUUUGUGAUGGAUCUGAUGUGGAUGGAUAUGGGUAGUCAGGAAAGUUGUGCAAUUCGCACAAAACUGCUCUAAUACCAACUAAUGGAGCGAGGCGUAGCGGAAGCGGAAAUUGAUAGGAUAUGAAAUACUAGAUAUCGUUCUAGUACAGGACUAAGCCAACGCGAUUAAGUUAUGCGCUAAUUGAAGCAUGAUCAGAUAUCGUUCUAAUCCAGACAACUCAAUGAGCUUUUUAAUAACGCGUAAUGCGAGAUUAGAUGACUCUUUAAUCCAAACAACUUUACAAGAGAGAUUUUGAUAGAUAAUCCCAGAAGGAAUUAUAAAAGAGGAGUUUUAUUGAAUAAUUGAAUUUGAAAUGCUCAAAACAAUGACAAGAUCUCUCUAUUAGAGGAAACCCAAUUCCCUAAGUUAACCUAAAAAAGAAACUAAAUCACAAUUAUAAUAGAAAUAAAAGACUAAGAUAUAUACCAGAAUUGACUCAAACUAAAAUAGAAAAUCCUAAAACAAUAAAUAUUCUAGAAUCCUAAAUUAUCUAAAAUAACGUAAAUUAACUUCCUACAUUAUUCAAUACAUCAAUAACAAGUGCACAAACACAAAUAUGAUACACUCAUCUCUUUAAUUAAUUCAAGGCUUAAAUACUCUUUCGGUUGAAUCCAAAUUGAACAUGGUAGCUCUUGGACACCAUCCAUGAGAAAUAAAACUAGCUUCAAAUUAGAUUUCUAAGUACUCAAACAAAGCUAGAAGCAUAAUAAGUUAGAUUUCUAAUUACUCAAACAAAGCAAGAAGCAUAAUAACGAAAUGAAGAAAGAAACAAAAGGUCCCCUCACCAACGCCAUCUGACUCUUAGUAUAUAGAAAGAACUCGAGGCCUUAUUCUAGAUGCUGCACAGAAGGUUGGCCCGCAUUGUCUUCAUAAGUUUGGACUCUCUAUAAACAAAGAGCAAAAACACAUUGAAGGUGUAGUUUUCACAUAAUUAAAUUGCACAAAUUAGCCUCCAUCAUAACCAGUUAAUGCUUAAGAACACAGAAAUCCUUCAAUUCUCUCUAUAAGCAAUUACUUUCAUUUUUUUCAAUUUCUUGUUCGCUAUAUCAUAUCUAAUAGCUAAUCUUCAACAUAACAAUACAGCAGAGUAGUUAUGUUUUAAAAAGAUGUACCAAUGUGAUUUAACAUAAAUAAAACGUAUUUAAUCAGCACAAAAAUAAAAUCAAAACCUCCCAAUUUGUAUGGAUUUUACCUUGCCACUGUCUUUUGCAUCUUCCUUCUUUUCAUUAGCCUUGUUGGGCGUCUCAUUCUUUUUUUUCCUUCUCUUCCUAAUCAGAUUUAAAAUGAAUUUGUCAAAAAUUUGAUGGGUACUUUUUCUUUUUCCUUUUUUAUAUAUAUCCGUUAUUGAAUCAAACUUUUACAAAAAAUCAACAUCUCGUAUUGAAUGAAUACAUACCUUUUUUUUUAAGAUAUAGGUAUUGAAUGGUUGUAUUAAGGUCGCGAUCCAAAGUCCAACAUUCUUCAUCAUCCCACCGUUUAAGCUGCACUUGGUGUAACUUGGGUGUGCUUAAUUCUCCUCCUGAGAAAAUGUUCAUAUUGGGGCAAUUAUCCACCACUAAUCUUUCCAGAGAUGGGAAUUUGAAGGCGCAAUUAUUGCCAGAGCAGAAUCCUGUCAGACUUUCUAAGUUCCAGAGCAGCAAUUCCUUCAAUUCGCUGAAAACAAUUUCAUUUUUUGCUGCAUAAUUAUCUCCCUCAUCACCGUCAUCUGCCACUAUUUCUAUUAUCAUCUUGCAUCUACCUAUGCCCAUUUCCCUCAGUCGCACCAGACUCUUUGCAAUUGAGGAUGUUAGUACAUUUAUCAAUCCUAUGCAAUUAUAUACCAUCAAAGUAGUUAGAUUUUGAAACGAUGUCGAGGAUGGCACUAGAUUAAUCAAAUUGUGACAGUCACAUAUGUCCAGGUUUUCCAAAUUGUUGGCAUUGGAGGACUCUUGUUUCAAAAUUUGCUUCAGACCACGAUGCCGGUUUAUUCCUCUUAUCAUUGCCUUCAUCCCGUUUUCAACCUUUCCAAAUAGUCUAAAAAUAUACUCGUCUCCUCCUAUAAUGAGAACUUUGGUUGUGUGAAAUCUCUGGAGGAAAUCGUCGAGUGAUAAAAUAGCUGUUGACUCAUCAAUCCAGACAUCAAGAAGUUUAAGUUUGCAAAGCAAGUCUUCUGGAAAUAGACCUAUGUACUUUUCAUCAAUACUCAAAUCUUCCAAAUUGGGGAACAUCUGGGUGAUCAACAAUCACAAAAAAAAAAAAAAAAAAGCAAGAGGGAGUUAAAUCUUCUUUCUAACGAUUUCAAAAAUUAAAGUAAAUACAAAGCAUUUCAAUGAUGAAUAUUGAUGGCCGGACAAAUUUAUGGAUAUGUAGAGAGAGUAUGAUUUUCAGCGGUAAUUAUUUUCUUUUUUUUUUCAAAUAUAGUAAGUGAUGUGUAUUUUUUUUUUCAUCCUCUCUUCUUAACUUUCAAAUUUUAUUAGAUUUGUGCAUAAUGUCUACAAAAAAGACUUCAAUUAUUCUCAAAUUGCAUUUGAACUUCUAGAUUCUUUUAAUCGAUCCGCUUAUUUGGUUUCAGUUGAAAAUCUUACAAAUUUCUUUUUUUUUUUUUUAAAUUGGUUUUUUUAACUUUUUUCUUUUCAAGAGCAAAAAUGAAUAAAUAACUUGAUUUUAAAAAGUUUAAUAAUAUAGUAAGAAGCUGGUAUUUCAUUAAUAUUCAUCCAACUCAAUGGAAUUGGAUAUAUUUACUAUUGUACAAGAAUGGAUUUUCUUGUACAUAAAGUUUAAUAAGAUAAGAUUUCUUCAUUUGAGUUUUGUCCAUCUCUCUCUUUAUAUUUUUAAAAAUAUUAUUUUUGUUAACACAAAAUGACCAAUUUCUUCUUCAACAUCAAAAUUGACAAUCAUUUUGUAUGUAACAAUACUGUAGUAAGGACUACUAAUUUUAAAUAGCUCUUAAAAGAUUAUCAGGGAAUUAACUGUGGCUUGAAAAACCGUAGAUAUUUUGAGUAUUUUCUUCGUUUGGCUAAUCAAAUGCAGAGUCUCUUUCGUGUAUUUAACUAAACAUAUAGACAUAAAAUAAAAAGUAGAUGAAGAAGAAAAAAACUGAUAAUUAAGAGAAAAAAUUUGAACGAGAAGGAAAAAAAAAUACUAAAUAAUUUUGUAUUCAUUCUUUCUAACUGACAUCCAAAUCCAUCUAUGGUUGUAGCCAAUUCAAUAUUCGAUAAUAAGAAGAAUUAUUGAAGAAUGAUAAUUAUGUUUAUAUCGAAUAUUGAUAAUUAUGUUUAUAAGGAUAUUAUAUUAGUAUAAAUAAGCUGAUUUAUAGAACUAACAUUUUGUUACUAAAAGACAAAUUGAUGAGGGCAAUAUAUGGCGACAAUAAAGCUCUAAACUCUCAAGUAGAAAUACUUUUAAGUACGUAAGAAUUGAACAAUAAUUACAAAAGUCUUGCACGUACCUUUUUGGUGGUCUCAUGAAUAGUGCUUUUAAAUUUCACAUGGGGACAUCCCCUUAUUAUUAAUUGUUUCAAGGAUGGAAAUUCAAAAUGCAGAUCUCCUGUGCAGAAGCUUGUAAGCUGCGGAAGAGAACCAAGUUCAAGUGUCCUUAAUUGAGUGAGUUCAAUCACUUGAGUGAUAUUAUUGCUGGAUUCAUCUCCUCUAUCGGCAGCAAAAAUCACUUCCAUAUUCUGGCAUUUUGUCACUUCAAUGGACUGAAGUUGUUGAAGGCCUCUGCCAAUGAGCAAUGGAAACACAUUUUUCAAUUUAUCACACCUUUGCACCCUUAUGUUCUUUAAUUUGCAAAAGGACUCUGCUGUGAGUGAACCACGACAUAUUUUCUCUAGGUUACCCAAAUCUUCCAGAAAUAAUGACUCCAAGAGGGGGAACGCUGUCAGCGCUGUUGCACAAUCCACUGUGUCAACAACACAAAAAAGGCUGCGAUUAUCUCGGACUUCGAGAUGCUUCAGCUGUGGAAAACCUUCUCUGCCAGGUUCACAAAGAACAUUCUUCAUGUCCAGCAAUCCAUGUAAAGAUAGGUCUUCAAUACCCUUCAAUUGCAUGAUAUGCCCCUCGCUCAGGCAAAUGUUGGCACCAUUGGUGAUCUUCAGUUUGAAUUUUCUAGAAAACCCAUCCAAUAUUGGGUCAUCCGACCACAGAUAUCCUAUGAAUAUCCUGUACCUUUUCAGGAUUUUGAAGAACAACAAGUCGCUUGGUAGAGUCUUUUCAUCUUGGAUGAGUAUUUCUAAAGAGGUCAAUUUAGAUAAAUGAUUCAACUCAUGAAGGCUGGCAUUUCUUCUUUCACUGUCGAGCCCUUCAACCUUCCCCCACUGAAUGGGACUCUCACCAAUAUACAGUUCUUCUAAUCGAGAUAAGCUUGAUAUAACAUUUGGUGGAAUAACUUUUAGUUCGAAACACUUGCUCAAAUCCAACAACCUCAAUUGAGUCAGCUGGCCCAUUUCUCCAACCAGUUUCUCCACAUCAGAACCUCGAAGUGAAAGGAUUUCUAAUUUCUUUAGGUCUCCAAUAAUAGCGAUGUCUCCUAGGUUGCAGUAAUCCAGACACAGUGUUUGAAGGUUUUGUAAGAGACCAAGCGAUGAAGGCAAUGGCAAUAAAUGCAUCUCAGUGAAAUCUAAAACUUUAAGCCCAGUCAUCCCAGUAAAAAAAUUAUCUGGGAUUCUCAAAGAUGGAUCAUUGCCAAUACGAAAAUAUUUAAGUUGCGGGCAUUCGAAACCUUGAGGAAGCUCACUAAUAUUACUAUAAAUCAAGGAGAUUGCGGUGCAAACCUUUAGUUUUUCCUUAUCUGGCCAGCUGAUCUGCGGAGCAACCUCACUUUCCACCACAAACACAUGUUGGUCUCCAGAUGCAAUUGAUAUGGCUGCAUCACGAACAACAUCAUGCAUAGAAAACCGUUCACUUGUAUUACCGUCAAGCAACAAACAAGAUUUUUUGAGUUUAUCAACCAAUGUAUGUGCUCUAUCCCACGCCUCUUCCGACGUGUUGAUGUUUUGAAACAGACCCAAACCCAUGCCAUGAUAAAGCACGUCUUUAACGCAAGAGAUGAACGCGUACCCUAUAAGCAAAAACGUUCUCUUGAGCUCCUCCCUGUUUAAAUGAUUGUAACUCAGCUCUAUACUUUUAUAUGCCACCUCCAGUGUUCCACUGAUGUUUCUGAAGGAAGGCCUUCUUAAUUCCAGCAAGGAAUCCUUCCAUUCAAACAAUCUCUUAUUUCUUAGUGCCCUGGCUACGGGUACAAUGGCAAUGGGCAAACCAGCACAUUCCUUGACUAUCUCUGUUGCUACAGAUUUCAGUUCACCAUUUUCUAUGCAAUCACCUGUCAUCUUCCGGAAAAGACUCCAAGCUUCUUUUUCAUUCAGAACAUCAACAAAAAAAUUUUGUUGACAAUCCAUCUUACAGGACAACACAUCUUGACUUCUUGCUGUCAGAAGAACUUUGCAUCCGCUGUUAUCAUCUGCCAAUGGAAUUCCAAUCGCCUCCAAAUCAAGACCCCCCCAAAUAUCAUCCAAGAUUAUAAGGAUCUUUUUCUCUUUCUUCAAUCUUUCAAGCAGCCUCCCUGCUCUUACAGUUUCAUGACUCUGUUCAGCCAAUUCUAAGCCUAUCUUCUCUGAGAUUUCUCCUUGUAUAUUUUUUAUUUGCGGUGUUGGCGAAACACGUGAAGAAAUGACCUUCUCAAAGAGAUUAUUUUCCUUUGCCUGUCUGCCAACUUCUUUCACCAGCGUUGUCUUUCCAAUGCCGCCCAUCCCGUACACUCCAAUCAUGUUGAAGUCACGGUUGCUGAGUGCGUCUAGUAUCUCCUUAAAAGUGGACUUUCUCGAUUCAAAGUGCAUGAAAUCCUGGGUAGACUUAAGCCAUGUCUCCUCUGGAAUGGUACGGAAAGAAACACUGUCGAAUCUCCCUUUUUCAUGGAGUCCAACAAUAGCAUUCGUCUCUCUUUCUGCUUUCUUGCUAAGCUGGUACCGAGUCCUCAAAUUAGGACAUAACCCCUUCAAACACCGGUUGUUUGAAUUCUCUUUGUCUUCAAUAAGUGUUUCGACUUCAUUGAUCUCCUUGUUCGCAGCAAUCAGCCACUCCUCAACGUGCUGUUGAAUUCCGUCCCCUUUAAUUCUGGAAUCAUCAACCUUAUACUGCAUACUGUCUCUAGAAUUCUUUAGCUUAUCGACUUCAUUAUUCAGCUUCUCGAAGUUGGUCUUGUAAGUGCAGCAGUAAGUAAAUGGAUAAAUUAUGGGAGCAACCAAGUACUCGGCAACUUUUGCAGCAACGGAGAUAACAAUUUCCAUUAUCCCUUUCUUUUUUAUUUUUCGCUUUCAGAAAACAGGGGAAAGCAAAACUAAUCAAACUAAGCAGCAGUAAUCAAUCAGCUGGGAUGAGGGAAAUAAGAAGUUUGGAUAAAUUGCUAAAAUAAGAGGUUGAAUAGAUUUAAGGGAGGAGGAGAGGCAAAGAGUGAAAAAUCUAGAGAUGAAACAAAGGGGAUCCUUUGUAAAGGCAGAAAAUGAAAGCUUUGCAAAGAAGGUGUAGGAUCGAGGACAAGAACGAUUCAGAAAAGGGAGACAGAAAAUGAAGAAGAGAUUUCAGAGAACUCUAGAGAUUAGAGAAGAGGGAUGAUUAGGAAAAUGCAGAGGCAGACAGUUGUGAUCUCAAGUCUCAAGGGUAAUCUGAAUACUGCAAAAAAGCCAAACUAAAUUCAUACAAGGAGAAGACUCGUGCUUCCAAGUCAACUAGAUGCUUAAUAACUGAGAUAGAUGGUUAUAAUUGCAAGUAAAUAAAGGGGGAUCCUUUCUCUGCUAAGAAAAAUUGAAAAGCGAGUGCAAUGAAAGAUUUGCAAAGAAGGUGUAGGAUCGAGGACAAGAACGAUUCAGAAAAGGGAGACAGAAAAUGAAGAAGAGAUUUCAGAGAACUCUAGAGAUUAGGGAAAUGCAGAGGCAGACAGUUGUCAUCUCAAAUUCAUACAUGGAGAAGACUCGUGCUACCAAGUCAUUAGAUUCUUAAUAACUGAGAUAGAUGGUUAUAGUUGCAUGUAAAUAGUGUCAAAGUUAUAGGUUAAUUGGACAGCGCAAGGUGGCAUUUUGGCAUUUCAUUGAAUUUUCUUGUUACCAGUAAGUGCUAUGCUGCCGUUGCCGGACUUUAUGAUUUUUUUUUUUUGAAUUUUCAUUGAAUUUUCUUGCGCUUUUCUAAUAACUCUGCUAUAAAGCCCAAGUUUGCGGACUUUAUGAUUUUUUAUUUUUCAGAAAUAGAUAUACAAAUAAAAUGAAAUUAAAAAAAACUGUUGCGUGGUCGUGUGGGUCCUCGAAAUCAUUUCGGCAUUUAAAUUUAAUGGAACAGUUGGAUGUACUCAGCUCUACACUUCCACGAAGGUUCCUGGAAGUUGCAAGUGCUGCCGGCAUUUUCAAACUCGGAAGGUUUCAAUAAUUUUUCCUUUUUACUUUGAAAGAAAGGUUUCAAUAAUUAGCUUUGAUAAUUGUGUAAUAUACGAUAAUCUAGUGAUGAUGAAGAUUUAUGUGUGUGAUUAAAAGCUAAGCUAGUGGAUUUGUAAGCGAGCCCACGGCGAAGAAUUUGAGCAAGUAUUUUUAUCUUCUUAUUGUCACAUUCUUCUAAUUAAUUUGCUUUCACCAACAAAUAUAAUUAAUAAUUUGUAAAUAGUUGGAUCUUAAGCUCAAAUUUUGACAAUACAUGAAUUGUAAUGUAUACAUAUUUUUCAAGUGUAAACUCUAUUUAAGAGAGGAUCUCAAUUUUUAAUUAGAGAAGAUCAUAUUUAAAGCACACAAUGCGAGAAUAAUAAUGGUUGCGCUGACUAACAUCAAAUACAAACAAGGAAGAAAGACUAUUUAAGCUUUCCUUACAGCAUUAAUCAUGAUUAUUUGAUAAACUAGAGGUGAUCACUGAUUUAUAUUUUUAGUGCAAAACAGAAUACACUGCAAGAGGUGAUGGCUUUCUUUGCUGUCCUCAUAUUGUCACAAAUUUUGUAGCUUUCUCAUUUUGAUAAGUCGUUCGCUCAAUAACUUAAAUGGGUUAGGGUCUCGAGGCUGAAAUAUUUAAAUUGAAAUUGUCAUCAUUUCAUUCAUGAUCCAAGAUUCUAUCGUGUAUAAUGGGUAAGACAAUCUUUUACUUCAAAAAUUUUACAUAAAUUUUUGUAGUUUGAUGGCGUCAAAUCCGAUGGAAACGAAAUAAGUGACUUGAAAAGAUCAAUUGAUCAGUGAUUUGUCAAACGUUUACUGAUAUUAUUACCCUGUGACAAGAUUUUAAGCUUUAUAUCCAGGCUAAGGUGACAAAUAACGUAGCACUACAAUCGUCAAUAUUACUUAGAUAUAAUUAUUUUUUUCUUCUUGUUGUCAUAUUCUUCUAAUCAAUUGUUUUCUUGUUUAUCAACAGAUAUAAUUAAAAAUGUGAAUGUUAGGAUCUUGGACUGAAAUCUUUAAAUUAAAUCGUGAUCAUUUUAUCAGUAAACUACAACUAUAUCUCGAACACAGUUUUCUCCGAAACAAACAAAGAAUAGUGAUUAGAUGUUAAUAAACAUAAAAAUAAUGAUAAUACACGAAUAAUAAGGUAGACUAAGCGAUUAGGCUAAAAAAAAAUGCAGAAGCACAUGUUUGAUAUCAAGACUCAAUGGGUAAUCUGAAUAAUGCAAAAAUGCCAAACUAAAUUCAUAUGAGGAGAAGACUCGUGCUUCCAAGUCAACUAGAUUCUCAAUGAUUGAGAUAGAUAGUUAUAAGGGUUAUUAUGGUUUCAUUUUAAAAAAUAAAAAAUUAUAAGAUAUAAAAUAACUAUAAGAAGUAUUGGUGUUAUCAUUUUAUAAGUGUAUCUUUAAAAAAAAAACCUUUUAUUUUGUAAUAUUUUUGUUAAAAUUGUGAGUCCAAAACUAACGUCAUACUAAUAUCAAAGGCCUAAAAGUGUCUUUACAUUCAAAACUAUGAUAAAAUUGUAUGCAAAUUAACAUUACAAGGGCGGCAUAUUUAUUAUUGGUUAAGAAAGAGGGAAAAAAAAUUGGAAUCUCAAAUAUCUAGCGUCAUCAUUAUCUUUUUUUUUCUUCAUUUUUUUUCUUUUUCCAGACAGUGGUCUACCAUCUUUGAAAAAUUAUUGGCACUUUCGAAUGGGUAUUAAGCCAUGCAUUGGCAUUGAGGGUCUCAUCUGAAAGAGGAAUUUUGGUAGCAGCAGUGGCUGUGUAAUUUUUUUUUUUUAAAUGAUUUAUCUCUAGGAAUGCAGGAUCAAUUUAAAAGUGAAUUUUAUAUUAAAUUUCUUUGAGAUUGCUUUUCUGUUGAUCUGUUUGAUUUGGCUAUGGAAUGAUGGUUUUAUUACUAUGAGUUUGAAGGAUUUAUGAAAUAGAAAUUAAGAUUGAUAGAAAACAUAUUGAUCUCCGAGCUUUAAUGGCAGUUUAAACUUGUUAUCUUCAAGCCUCACCGGUGGUUUCAAUUUGAUACUUUGAUGAGAGCAAAAUUAGCAAUUUAGCACUAGAGGAAGAUAUUUAAUCACAAGUAUAAGAAGUUUUGACAGCGAAGAGAGGUAUUCUUCAACUGGGGUUAAUUUUUUAUUUUUGUUUUCUUAUUUUUUAUUAAAAAUUUAAUUAAUUUUUAAAAUAAGGUCAUACUUGGUAUUUUACCAGUUAACUAACAAUGAUAAACAGAAAUAUAAUAAAAUGAAAGAUUUUACAAAGAUACAGUAAUAAAAUGCUAAACAUUAAUAUUUUUUUUUUGUUAUUUGAUGCUUCAUACUUUAUAAUGUAGUCAAGCAAUAAUAACCCUAGUUACAAUUACAUGUAGAUGGUGUUAAUUGGGCAUUUUUCAACUUGUAGGUCUAAGGCUUCUCAAGCAAAUUUUAUGGUAGCUUCCAUUAAUUUUAAGUGUUAAUAAAAUAUUUUACUACUGUAAUUUAAAAAAUUACAGUUGAUAAGCAAUAAUAGCAGAGAGAGAAAAUUAAAUAGAUUGAGAAUGAUUUUUGAUUCAGGGCAAGUUUUCGAGUGCUUUACGAACAAUCAAAAUGCUAAUCCUGUUAGCCAAAAAACACAAGCGCUUUGUAAAGAACAGUACGGGAAAAACCCUCUAUUUAAAUAACAAUCGUGUAAUUACGGAGGGGGUAUCUUAAUUACAUGGCAGUUACAUUCAAUAACAACAAUAUUACUUAAAAAUUUUCUAUUAGCAAUGAGUGUGUUGGCGGUAGGAUAAAAAAAUCUGAAGACUUUGCAAACUUUUUGUGAAAAUGCAUCGCAGUUGUCUUGUUCUUUCGCUGUUGAUAAUCGCAAUGAACUGAUGAAGGCCAAGAGACCCAAAGUGAAGUGACCUAUGUGCUUUUCUAAUUACCCUCCUACAAACUGUAAAGCCGAAGUUUGCGGACUUUAUUAUCAUUUUUUUUUUUAAAAAAAAAAAGAUAUACAAAUAAAAAAGACAAAAGAUGAGAUGAGACUUAUAGUACCAGUGGCGGGCCCCCUGGGUCCUCAAAUUAUUCAUAUGGGCAUUUCAUCGAACAGUGGAUAUACUCGGCAUCUGCACUUGGAAGACGUGUUCAAAAGCUCUAAAUCAUGUUAAAGUCGACCAAAAAGACAAAACAUAGAAAGCAACAAUCCAACAACUUGGUUAAAAUAUUCGCUAUCACAAAUGGUUGCGUUAACAUGUCCAACAACGAUUAUUAUGAAAACGGGACCAGAAGACGUAUAAGGGAUUUCGGAGAAUUUGCGAGAGGUGGGAUGAUUAAGAAAAUGCAGGAGCAGGAUAUUUAUGACCUCUAUUAGUAAUUUGAUUUCGUGAAUCAUUUUCAAAAGGAAAAUAACGCACCAUCAAGUCAACCUUGGUGCAGAAAAAUAUUAACAUUUAAUGAACAUAGAGGGAUGAGUUGGGCCAAGUCUUUAAAUCAGAUCUGUCGUGGAAUCUAACAGGGAGAUUAAAAGAAAAAUCAAUCAACUAGUAUAUAAUAUAAUGUUUUUACAUUUAACUAAUUAGGAGACUGAUACACUAGCAAUCAGCAUUAAUCAAUUAUUUGAUAAACCAGUAAAUAUUGGAUAUCUCGGUGCAAAACAGAGUGUUGAGAGAUAAAAAUUAACCUGGUGUCUUUGGCAGGUGUUUAAUAUAAUUGCUAAGCUUGCCACAUGCCAUUGCCAACUUUGGCCAUCGGCUAGCUGCAUAAAGCAGCCGUCGUGAGAUCAAGCACAACAAGCUUGUGAUGUGAUCACCGAUCAUGCAUCCAGGACAAUUUUAUAUUUAUUUAACUCCAAUAAUCAUAAUAAACUAUUGAAUUAAUAAAAAGGUAAUUUCAAUGGUAGAGAUUUGUCCAUUUGAAUACUAACAUUAUAUUCUUGAUAAAUAUUAAAAAUUUUAGCACAUAAGUCUUUAUUGUUUCCAAUUUAUAUUGUUUAAUUAGUAGUAAGUCUUAAAAAAUAUUUUAAUUUUAAUAUUAUAUAUUUUAUUUAAAAGAAUAAAUUUUUAAUGUUAUUUAUUUUAUUAAAAAUAAAUAUUAUUUAAUAAUAUUUAUUUUCAUUUUAUUUAAUUUUAUUUAGCAUAUGCUUAUUAUUAUAUUUAUUCUUUAAAAAACUAAAUAAUAUUAAAUAAAAUAAAAUAAUCAAUAGUGAAUCAUAAAAAAUAGAUAUAAUUUUUAAUUAAUAUUAUUUAUUUUAUUUUAUUUAACGUUUUAUAGUCGUAAACUUAUCAUUAUAUUUAUUCUUUCAUAAAACUAAAUAAUGUUAAAUAAAAUAAAAUAAUAGUAAUGAGUCUUAAACAUUAAUAUUAUUUUUAAUAUUAUUAACUUUAUUUUAUUUAAUAUUAUUUAUCCAUAGGCUUGUAAUUGUAUUUAUUCUUUUAAAAAACUAAAUAAUAUUAAAUAAAAAAUAAUCAAUAGUGAACCUUAAAAAAUAAAUAUUAUUUUUAAUAUUAUUAACUUUAUUUUAAAAAAUUAAUAUUAUUUAUUUUAUUUUAUUUAAUAUUAUUUAUUCAUAGGCUUAUUAUUAUAUUUAUUUUUUAAAAAGUUAAAUACUAUUAAAUAAAAUAAAAAACAAUAUUGGGUCCUAAAAAAAAUAUUAUUUAGUCAUAGAAUUAUUAUUAUAUUUAUUCUUUUUAAAAAGAUAAAUAAUAUUAAAUUAAAUUAAAUUACAUUUUAAAAAGUCACCAGCCAAAGCAUAUAAACUUAUAAAUAAAUGUAAAAAAAUAAUAUUAAAUAAAAUAAAAUUAUAUUUUCAAAGGUCACCAGCUAAAGUAUAUAAACUUAUAAAAAAAAAAGGAUAAAUAAGAAGGAUAGUAAGGGGUUAAAUAAAAUUUAACAUGCAUAAUAUAAAACAAAAAAUGGUGGCACUUGCAACUGUUGCAAGGUAGUUGGAUCCUAUUAAACCUAUAUGUUAUAAAACAAAUGAAAUAGGAUUAUGCAUGCAGUUAAAUAGGUGUAUUUUAGAAAAUCUAAUUCUUUUAAGGAGCUCUACAACCUAUUCUCCUAGAAGUCCAAAAUUUAAACUUCUAAUAAAGACAAAAUAAUAUUUUUAAUAAACUCUAUUCAAUUUAUAGCCAAACGAUGCCAAAAAAUAUUGAAAGGAAAAAAUUAAUCUCUUGAUCCAUUAGUAGAGAAAUCAUACAAAAUGGACACUUAAUGGUCAAUUAUUUUUCCCCCCUUUUUUUGUAGUUUUACUUUUCCUAUAAAAAUUAUUGUUUAGGAAAUAAUAAAAACACUACAUACUCUCCACUAACACAUUAAUUAAUUAAGAGUAUUUCCUCACUAGCACGCAUUUAAUUAUCAAAUGAUUAUCAAAAGUACGGCUAAACUUUGGUAAUUAAGAAAACAAGUAAUAUUGGUGGCAAACUGGCAAUGACAAGAAAAUUCUAAUACCACAAAAAAAAAUUAUCAGUUAUCUUUAGAUAUAGUAGCUGAGGGAACAUUACAAUAUUAUUAAUCUUGCUUUCUUCUUGGUCAUCCACGACUAUUAAUCUUGUUUCCAAAACAGUGUUCACUCCCUCAACCUCCCACUGAAUGGGACUCUCACCAAUACACAGUUCUUCUAAGCGGGGUAAGCUUGAUAUGACAUUUGGUGGAAUAAAUUCUAGUUUGAAACAAUUGCUCAGGUCCAAACCCUUCAACUGGGUCAGCUGGCCUAUUUCUUCAACCAGAGUCUCCAUAUGAGAACCUCGAAGCGUAAGGAUUUCUAAUUUCUUCAGGUCUCCGAUAAUAGCUAUGUCACCUAGUUUGCAAUCAUCUAGAGACAGUGUUUGAAGGUUGUGUAAGAGACCAAGUGAAGAAGGCAAUGGCUUCAAAUGCAUCGUAGUGAAAUUUAAAACUCCAAGCUCUGUCAUCUCAGUAAAAAUGUUAUCUGAGAUUCUCAACGAAGGAUCACUGCCAAUAGAAAAGUAUUCAAGGUGUGGACAUUCCAACUCUUGAGGAAGCUCACUAAUAUCACUAUUAUUUAAGGAGAUUGCAGUGCAAACCUUUGGUUUAUCCUUAUCUGGCCAUUUGAUCUGCGGGACAACAUCAUUAUCCACAACGACUACAUGUUGGUCUCUUGAUGCAAUUGAUAUGGCUACAUCACGAACAACAUCAUACAUAGCAAACCAUUCACUUGUAACACCAUCAAGCAACAAGCAAGAGUUUUUGAGCUUAUCAACCAAUGUAAGCGCUCUAUCUCGUGCUUCUUCCAACGUGUUGAUGUUUUGAAACAGAGCCAAACCCAUGCCAUAACAGAGCAAGUCUUCAACACAACAGAUGAACGAGUACCCUAUUAGCAAAAAUGUUUCUUUAAUUUCCCUACCUUCUAAAUGAUUGUAACUCAACUCUACAGUUGAAUAGGCCACCGCUUGUGCCCCAGAGAAGCUUCUCAAAAAAGGCCUUUGUAAUUGUCGUAAAGCAUUCCUCCAUUCAUAGAGACUCUUAUUUUUCAACGCCUUUGCUACGGGUACAAUGGCAAUGGGCAAACCAGCACAUUCCUUGACUGUAUCUGUGGCUACAGAUUUUAGUUCACUACUUUCUAUGCAAUCACCUGCCAUCUUCUUAAAAAGACUCCAAGCUUCUUUCUUAUUCAAAAUAUCGACAAAAAAAUUACGUUGACAAUCCAUCUCAGAAGACAACACAUCUAGACUUCUUGCUGUCAGCAGAACUUUACAUCUGCUGUUAUCAUCUGCUAAUGGAAUUCCAACAGCCUCCAAAUCAAGACUCCCCCAAAUAUCAUCCAAGGUUAAAAGGAUCUUCUUCUCUACCUUCAAUCGUUCAUGUAGCCUCCCUGCUCUAACAGUUUCAAUCCCUUCAACUAAUCGCAAGCCUAUCUUCUCUGCAAUUUCUUCUUGUAUCUUCUUUAUUUGUGCUGUUUGGGAUACUUGCGCAGAAAUGACCUUCUCAAAGAGAUUAUUUCCUUGACUUGCCUACCAACUUCCUUCACCAGCAUCGUCUUUCCAACGCCACCCAUCCCGUAUGCCCCAAUCAUGUUGAAGUUAUGAUUGCUUAAUGAGCCUAGUAUUUCCUUCAAAGUGGAUUUUCUUGAUUCAAAGUGAAUGAAACCUUCGGUAGACUUAAGCCAUAUCUCCUCUGGAAUUGUACGGAAAGAAACGCUGUCAAAUUUCCUUUUUUCAUGGAGUCCAACAAUAGCAUUCACCUCCCUUUCUGCUUUCUUACUAAGCUGGUAGUGGGUCUUCAAAUUGGGACACAACCCAUUAAAACACCAGUUGUUUGAUUUUUCUUCAACUUCAAUAAGCUUCCUAACUUCACUGAUGACCUCGUCCACACUAAUCAGCCACUCCUCAACGUGCUGUUGAAUUCCAUCCCCUUUGAUUUUGGAAUCAUCUACUUUAUACUGUACACUGUCUCUAGCAUUCUUUAGUUUAUCAACAUCAUUCUUCAGCUUCUUGAAGUUGGUCUUGUACGUGCAGCAGUAAGUAAAUGGAUGAAUAAUGGGAGCAACCAAGUACUCUGCAACUUUUGCAACAACGGAGGUAACAAUUUCCAUUAUCCUUUUUUAUUUAUUUUAUUUUUAUUUUGCCUUGAGAAAACAGGGGAAAACAAAACCAAUCGCAACAAGAAAUAAGAGACAAGGAGGGCAAGGAAUGAAAAAGCUAGAAAUAAAAAAAGGGAGUACAGUGAAAGAUCUGCAAAAAAGGUUUAGAAAAAGGAUGAUUAAGAAAAGGGAACCAGAAAAUGUAUAAGGGAUUUUCAGAGAAUCUGAGAAAAGUUGGAUGAUUAAGAAAAUGCUGGAGCAGGACAUUUAUGACUUCUGUUAGUAAUUUGAUUUCGUGAAGCAUUUUCAAAAAGAAAAUAAUGCAAACAAUUCGAGAUUUGGUGAUGAUAAUGAAAGAUUAAGUAAGCUAUUCCAUAAUUUAUAUGCAUGUAAAGCAGCAAUCCAAUAACUUAAAAAGAGUUAAAAACAUUUGCUAUAGGAAAUGGUUGUGUUGACGUGUAUUUCGGGGAUCAUGAAAUAUAAACAAAGACCGCGUUAAAAGAUGUUCAAGCAAUCCUUUUUCUCUCUUGACCUCCGUGACUGGUUAUGCUUCAAUUUGGGCAAGGCUGGUAUCAAUAAGGUUGUGGAUGAAUGGGCCUGCUUAUUUGGCGUUGCUGUUUGGAAAAUUUGGUUCUGGCGCAACCAAUUUAUCUUCACUCACAAUGCCCCUUGCUGCACUCAAAUGGUCACGGAAAUUAGAACGUGGGUUCAUGAUAUCCAUAUUGCAAGAGUAGGCCUCAAUGUUGUUCGUACCAGUAAAACCAUCAAAGAAAUUGGCUGACAAGCUCCCUCGGAAUCCUUUUUCAAAUUGAAUACAGAUGGUUCUCGAUUAAAAAAUGGGUUGGCAAGUGCUGGAGGAUUGGUGAGGGACUGUUCUGGCAAAUGGCAGUUUGGAUUUGGCAUGAACAUUGGUCUCUGUUCGGUGACUUCUGCUGAAUUAUGGGGUUUGUUUCAAGGUCUUCAUCUUGCGUGGAAUCGGGGUAUCCGGUACUUGGUGGCAGAGGUGGACAGCCAAUGUAUCUUUCAACUUAUCUCUUCCACAAGAACAGAGCCUAAUGCACAUCUUUCACUUAUCAAUGCCAUCAAGGAGUUGAUAAAUAGAGAUUGGAAAAUUACAAUAAAGCAUAUAUAUCGGAAAGCAAAUUUUGCUGCUGAUUUCAUGGCCAAGUUGGCAGGAUCUUUACCUCUCGGUUUUCAUAAUUUUGAUAACCCACCAGAGGGUAUUGGAUAUUGGUUAUGUAAUGAUAUGUAUGGGAAUAGUAUUCCCCGCUCUGUUUUGUCCUAAUCUUUAUUAGGCCCCAUUGUAUCAAAAAAAAAAAAAAAAAAGACCGCGUUAAAAGAUAAGCAAAAGUUGGCAAGAUUGGUAAUGAUAUAUUAAAAGAAAGACUAAUAAAGCUUUCCUAGCAGCAUUAAUCAUGAUCAUUUGAUAAACUAGAGGUAAUAAAUGGUUAUAUUUUUAGUGGAAAACAGAGUACGUUACAUGAGCUGAUUGCUUUUGUCAAUAUUCAACCAAAAAUACAAGUUAAUCAAAAUAACCUACCAUCAAGUCAACCUUGGGGCAGAAAAACUAGUAACAUUAAAUGAACAUAGAGGGAUGAGUUGGGCCAAGUCUUUAAAUUAGCUAUGUCAUGGAAAAUAACAAGAAGAUUAAAAAAAAAAAGAAUCAAUCAACUAGUAUUUAGUAUAAUGUUUUCACAUUUAAUAAACUAGGAGACUAAUACACUAUCACUCAGCAUUAAUCAAAAUUAUCUGAUAAACUAGUAUAUAUUGGAUAUCUCUGUGCAAAACAAAGUGCUAAGAGAUAAAAAUUAACCUGGUGUCUUUGCCAGGUGUUUAUAAUCGCUAAGCUUGCCUCAUACCAUUGCCAACUUUGGCCAUCUGGUAGUUGCUUAUUGAAGAAAACAAAGGAAUUUCUCGGCAAACAUAACAUAGCGACUGAAGUGAAAGAAAAACUUUAAUUUUUGGUGUAGUCAUUAGUAAAAUUUGAGCCAAAAAGAAAAAUUCAUAUUUGUAAACUUAGAAACAAUAAUCAUUUGGAAGUAGUUGCUGAAAUUAAUUAGGUGAUUUUAACCUCAAAUUUGAGACCAUAAAUCAAUUGAAUGUUUUGAUUUCAAUACUAGUGGCAAUCACGUACACGUUUAACGACUUAGUCAAAUUUAUAGCAACUAAUAAGUAUCCAACUUUGCAACCGUAUUUAUUUCUCAUGAUUUGAUUAAACUGGGCACUCUGAAAACUUCAGUUCCUUCUAUUGUUGUAAGCUGAAUGAUACAUGCACGAUUUGAUUAAACCGUAUUUAUUUAUAUAUUGAAUGCUACUUCAUUGAAUUUUACUGCCGCAAUAAUACUAAAUGAUUUUUCAUGACAAAAAAUUCAAUAAUUAGAAUGAUUAUGAGUUAAUUUAAUGCUGAAUUUCAUCAUUAACUGCUGAAAUACUCCAGAAAUCCAAAUACAUUUAACUAAACACUAAUUUAAUCAAAUCAUUAAACACACAAUCUGAAAGCGGAUUCAAAAUAACUUUAAUAAAAAAGCCAAAAGCAAAACAAUCAACAAAGAAACAGAAGAAACUCUCACCAAUGCCAUCUGACCCUUGAUAGAAAGAAAGAAGUCAAGCUCCAUGUAAUAUAACGCCUCACAAAUUACACAGAAAAAUGGCCGCAUUCCAUAUGAUGCAUAGAACGUGGGCCGAAUCCUCUUCGUAAGUUUGGAAUUGCUGGAGAAAAAUACACAAUAAAGGUGAAAUCAAGAAAAUAAGGAUAAUGAUAUUUCGUGCAAUUUUCAUGUAAUUUGCAGGAAUUAGCUUCUAUUUGGUAAGCAGUACUGGAUGCCUAACUAUUAUUACUAUUACUAUUAUUUACAUGGAUGGGGUUGGGUGAGACAGGUUUAUCAUAAUUAACCUAACCCAACCCAACCCAACCCAAUUAUUAAUUGGAUUCUAAAAAAUUACCUAAUUAACCCUAUAAUAAUUCACUUAAUCCAUCAAAAUUUGAUUGGAUUAGAUUGGGUUGGACUGGAUUCGUCGGGUUGGAUUGAAUUCACCGGGAUUGGAUUGAGUUUGCCUACCCCUAGCUCUUGACCCACAUUAUUUAUUUUUAUUAUUUAGUAAUUUCAUUCAAUCAAUAAAUUUAAAUUUCAAAUUUGUAUAAAAUAAGUUUAUACAAGAGCUUUUAACUCUAUCAUCACUCAUCAAACAAUGUUAGAUGAAACAAUAAAUGAAAUAAACAAAGGUAUCAUUAAAUCCAAAAGCAUCCAAUGUGUCAAAAAAUAUCCUAUCAUUUGCAAUAAAAAUAUUAAAAUAUUAUUUUCGAAAUCAAUAAUGAUAUAACCACAAACAUUAAGAACUUGUGUAAACAAACUAACGUGGCAUAAAGACAUUAACUAAAAAUGGAUAACUAUUAUUUUUCUAAAUCAUGUGGGUCUAUAACAGUUUUAUACAACCAAUCUUCUCAUGCAACAUAUGUAUGAUUUUUUUUUUUACAUGGUGGUUGUGGCUCUAUAUAUCCAAGUCGUUGUUCAACUUCAAGAGAUCCAAAAUUUGUGAAAGAAGCCACGAAGAGAUUUUACGCCAUUCAACAUGCCUAUUCUGCUGUUAACCUUACUAAAUUCCAAAAUUUUAAUUCUUAUUUAUUUAUUUAUUUAUUAUGCAUGUAAUUUGUAGUAUACAAUAAGAAAUAAAAUUGUAAUCUUUUUUAUAAUGACGGAUAAUUAUCGGAUUCACGAGAUGUUGUUUUCCUUCUUCUCUCUUCAAGUUCUAUCCGAUGCCAACAAGAGGUUCUUGUACUAUGUAGGAGUCUAUGAUAGUGAUGAUGAAAAAAAUAAUAUGAGCUCCAAUUUUGCGUGCGCGCGCGUGUUGAGUGUUAGAAAAUGCAUAUUUAUAAAGGAGAAAACCGUCAUUUUACAUUUCAAGUCUUAUUAACAACCCUUACUUUUAUGUAUUUAACCUUCUUGUGAUUUAAUUACAUGUGUUUUAUUUUAAUUAAGUAUUUUAUGUAUUUUAGGGGCAUUAUAGUCAUUUCACAAUAAAGGAGAGAUCAGAUGGCAAAACGGACAUCACUUUUGAAUUCAGGACGGUCGAAAACCUUAGGAGGGGCAUAAAAGGAAAAAUGGUACUAUUCACAUGUACGGUACUAUUCACGUAUACGGUACUGUAUAUGUUACUGUUCACGGCACUGUUCAUAUAGACGGAUCGAUGACGUGGCAUUGACCGAUGAUGUGGCAUUGACUGAUGAGGUGUCACGAUCCUGUUGGACUAAAAUUCUUAUGUACUGUUGAUGGUGACGUGGCAGCAUAUCAGUGGACGAAAAAUCUCGCGUACGGUGCAUGCAUCACACAGGAUUAUUUUCAACCAAACCGUGUUACUGUUCAUCCGCGUGGUCAAACCGUGGACUGUUGACUGAUGACGUGGCGCAAUCCUGAGCGUCCAAACUGUUUUUAAUCCGAUGGCCAUGAUUUACUCCAUGUAUCUAUAAAAAGGGGGCCUCCCCCCCCUAAUUUGAUAGCUCUGAAUCCAUUUUUGGGAUUCAUUUUCUGUAAUUCCUUCUCCAUCUUGUAUUUUCUUCGUAUUUUAAUAAAUUCCCAUUUUGCCCCUAGUUCAAUUAUGAGUGGCUAAUUUUCUUUCAAGCUUGGGUUGAAGGUGAAGUCUCAACAUGUGUCAUGGGCUUAAUUUGGUAAAUUUAUUUUCUCUUCCCCUCUAGUUUUUGUGGAUGUUUUGACUUAUCGUCGACAAAUAAUACUGAUCUUGUCUAGAUACCGCCUUGGUUACACCGGCUCUCUAGUAUAAGGUUAUUAUUAUUUGGCACGAUAAGCCCUUAGCACCAUAUUGAUUAGAGCGUGGUUCAUGAGGUGUGGAUUCCCCCCUCAUGAUUUAAUUGGCAUUAAUACGGAUUAUUUAGCCCAUGAUGCAUGUUGAUACGGAUCCAGAUACCCAAGUACGUCAUUUCAAUAGAAUUCUCUUCAAUUUAUUCUCGCCAUUUUAAUUUAAGUUUUAGCAUAUUCCAAAUCAUUUCCACCACAAUUCCAACCGCCCAUUUACAAAAUUAAUUCUAUAUAUAAUUAAAAAUCCACCUCCUCGUGGGAUCGACACUCGUCACCAUUAGUCUACACUACAAUAGAUUCGUGCGCUUGCGAGUACAUUAAAAUUUGCACAACAAGUUUUUGGCGCCGUUGCCGGGGAGGUAAGUAAUUUUAAUUCAUAGAAUUAAUUUUUGUGAAUAAUUUAUUUUAAAUUGUUUUCUUGUAUUUUUUAUUAUAAAAAAAAGAAAAAAAAGAGUAAAUCUACAUUUAAAGGUUAGUAUUUCUUUUCUUUUUCUCUUCUUUAAAAUUUUGUAAUUUAUUUUUCAAUUUAUUUUUUUUCUUUCUUUGUAAUUUUUUGUUUAUUUUAUUAAUUUAAUUUUUAGUUAAUUUAUUUCACGUAUUUUUUUUUGUGUAUUUUUAUAGAAAGGUUGUAAUAACGCAAUAAGGUUAGUAUCGUAAUUUCUCCCUCUUCUUUAUUUUUAUUUGUUUUGUUGCCAUCUUUAUUUUUAUUUUAUUUGUUUUGCAUGCAUGGUCGUAGGUCAUUAUUACCUAAUCUUGAACCUAUAGACCUUGAACUUGAGAAAACACUUCGCACACAAAAGCACAUUAAUAAAUUUGGAAUGGAUUUACAAGCACCACAGGAGAGGCCAUUUAAGGACUAUUUUAGUCCCUUAGCUAAUUUGAGCACAUCAUGCAUAAGAUACCCAAAUGUAGCUGCUAGGAGUUUUGAAUUAAAACCUAGUGUGCUAAAUUGUCUCCCCACAUUCUAUGGCUUAGAAAAUGAGGACCCAUAUAAUCAUCUGAAUGAUUUUCAUACCAUUUGUCAAAAUUUUAAAUAUGAAAAUUUUUCAGACGAUGAUGUUAAACUCAGAUUAUUCCCAUUUUCUUUAAAGGAUAGAGCUCGUUCAUGGUUAAAUACUUUGCCUGCUAAUAGCAUUGCAUCAUGGGAACAAAUGGUUACAAAACUUCUAAAUAAAUAUUUCCCAGUGCAUAAAACCAAUUCUAUUCGCAGGGAAAUUUCAGAGUUUACACAAAGAGAGGACGAGCAGUUUUUCGAAACAUGGGAGCGAUUCAAUGGGCUACUCUUGAAGUGUCCACAUCAUGGGUACGAAAAAUGGAACCAAUGUCAAUACUUUUUGGAGGGAUUACUACCAAAUGUGCAAGAAUGGCUAAUGGCAACAAGUGGAGGAGAGCUAAUGUCAAAAAGUGCAUCAGAAAUUUGGGAGUUUUUCCAGCGACAAGCGGACAAUUCCCAACAACGGAGUCGAUCACUCAGGAAUACUAAAAGAAUUAAAGGAGUGAAUGAGGUUCACAUUGGCGAGUCAAGUUCAGAAAUUAAAGAAGUCAAAGCAAUAAUUGAAGGUCUCUCUCGACAAAUAGCAUCGUUAUCGACUGCUAAAUCAACAGAGCCACAUGACCAUGACUCAUACUCAGAUCAAGCCAAUGCCAUAGGUGUAAUGAGAAAGCCAUCUAAUUACAACCCAUACUCCAACACAUAUAACCCUGGAUGGAGAGACCACCCCAAUUUUUCAUGGUCUCAAGGAUUCCAACAGAAUGGACCAGCAGCUCCAGCUCCACAAAUUCCUCAAAAUCCUCAAGCCUCUCAGCCCCCAUUUAGACCAUUCAAUCAGAACCAGAACUACUCUCAACCCAGACCAUGGAGGAUUCAUUCCAGAAUUUCAAGAAUGCUACUCACUCUACGAUUGAGCAACAGAACCGCACCAUUGAUGGACUACGAAAUGAGUUGAGAGCAGGCUUCAACUCACAAGCCCAAUCAGUUUCAAGCCUUGAGAAGAUGGUGGGACAACUCGCUUCUUCAGUUCAGACCUUGGCAAUGACUGUUGAGAAAGGUAAAUUUCCAAGUCAACCAGUGCCUAACCCUAAAGGAGUACAUGAAGCAAGUACCAGUUCACCACAGCAGCAUGGAGAGGUCAAAGCAGUAAUGACCUUGCGAAAAGGAAAGGAAGUCGACAACAAAGUGGAGAUGCCGGUGACCAAAGAAAAUCAAAUUGUACCUGUGAAUGUUGAGGACUCACCACCGGAGGAGAAAGAAGAAACCAACCCACGAGAAUACAUUCCGAAAGCUCCAUUUCCUCAGAGGUUAGCGAAAGGAAAAAAGGGAAAAUCCACAGGUGAGAUUCUUGAAAUCUUUAAACAGGUAAGUGUUAACAUCCCUUUGCUUGAUGCUAUUAAACAAGUUCCAUCUUAUGCCAAGUUUCUUAAAGACCUUUGUACUAAAAAGAGAAAUAUGCAUGUUCAAAAGAAGGCAUUUUUAACAGAAAACGUUAGUUCUAUACUCCAACAUAAAAUUCCUUUAAAAUGCAAAGACCCAGGCUCCCCCACUAUCUCAUGUAGUAUAGGGAACCACACAAUUGAGAAUGCUUUGUUGGAUUUAGGAGCUAGUGUAAAUUUGUUGCCUUAUUCAGUAUUUGUGAAACUUGGACUGGGAGAAUUACACCCAACUCCAGUGGUGUUACAGCUUGCAGAUCGGUCCACGAAAAUACCUCGUGGUAUUGUGGAGGACGUGCUUAUCCAGGUAGACAAGUUUUAUUUUCCUGUUGAUUUCAUUGUAAUUGACACUCAACCAAUACAGGACUCAAGGAAGCACAUCCCCAUUAUUCUAGGCCGACCUUUCUUGGCAACUGCAGAUGCUCAUAUUCAAUGUAGGACCGGAAAUAUGCAAUUGUCCUUCGGCAACAUGACUAUGGAGCUAAACAUUUUCAACAUUGCCAAACAACCUCACAGUGCAGAUGAUGGAAUUGUUGAUGUGGAUUUAAUAGAAACAAUAGUUGAUAAUACUUUUCUUUCAAACCUUAGUGAUGAUUCUUUACAAACAUGUUUAACUCACUUUGGUUUGGAUUUUGAUAUUGACAGAUCGGUCGAAGAGGUCAACGCCCUACUUGACUCAGCACCAUCCAUGGACACUAAUAAAUGGAAGUCAAGAGUUGAACAACUAGCACCAUCAGAGAAGAAACUCAUUCCAUCAUCAGAAUCACCACCGAAACUCGAGCUCAAACCAUUACCCAACACUCUGGAAUAUGCAUUUUUGGGAGAAGAAAGUACUCUGCCGGUAAUCAUCUCAUCAUCCCUAAAUGACGAACAAAAAGGUAAGUUGUUGGAUGUUUUAAAAGAGCACAAAGGGGCAUUAGGAUGGACCAUAGCAGACAUAAAAGGUAUAAACCCAGUAGACUGCAUGCAUUACAUUCACCUUGAUGAAAAUGCUAAAACUACUAGGGAGAUGCAACGUCGGUUAAAUCCUAACAUGAAAGAAGUUGUUAGAACUGAAGUCCUUAAGCUAUUAGAUGCAGGUAUCAUUUACCCAAUUUCUGAUAGUUCAUGGGUCAGUCCUGUACAAGUUGUCCCCAAAAAGUCAGGAGUCACAGUAGUUACCAAUGCUGAUAAUGAAUUGAUACCAACUAGAGUAACUACAGGAUGGCGUGUAUGCAUUGAUUAUAGAAAGUUGAAUUCUGUCACACGUAAAGACCAUUUUCCUUUACCAUUUAUUGAUCAAAUGCUUGAUAGAUUAGCAGGCCAUGAAUUUUAUUGCUUUCUAGAUGGCUACUCAGGAUAUAAUCAAAUUCCCAUAGUACCAAAAGAUCAAGAGAAAACUACUUUCACUUGCCCUUUUGGCACUUUUGCAUAUAGGAGAAUGCCAUUUGGAUUAUGUAAUGCACCUGCUACAUUCCAACGAUGCAUGUUGAGCAUUUUUUCUGAUAUGGUUGAACGAUUCCUUGAAGUCUUUAUGGAUGAUUUUUCUGUCUUUGGUGACUCGUUUGAUCAAUGUUUACAUCAUCUAACACUAGUUCUACAGAGAUGUAUCGAGAAGAGCUUAGUCUUAAAUUGGGAGAAGUGCCAUUUUAUGGUAAAACAAGGUAUUGUUCUCGGUCACAUCAUUUCGAACAAAGGUAUUGAGGUUGACAAAGCCAAGGUGGAUCUCAUUUCUAAUCUUCCUCCACCCAAAACAGUCAGAGAAGUAAGAUCUUUCCUUGGACAUGCUGGUUUCUAUCGACGUUUUAUUAAAGAUUUUAGUAAAGUUUCUAGACCCUUAUGCAAUUUACUUGCUAAGGAUGUACCUUUUAUCUUUAAUGAUUCAUGUCUUAUGGCUUUUGAAAAAUUAAAGCAAUUGUUGACAUCAUCACCCAUCAUUCAGGCCCCAAACUGGAGCUUACCAUUUGAGCUCAUGUGUGAUGCAUCUGAUUAUGCAGUAGGAGCAGUAUUAGGACAAAGAGUUGAUCGAAUUCCUCACGUUAUUUACUAUGCUAGUAUGACAUUGAAUGAUGCACAGUUGAAUUAUUCAACUACUGAAAAAGAAAUGCUAGCAGUAGUGUUUGCAUUAGAAAAAUUUCGAUCUUAUCUCAUUGGUUGUAAAAUAAUUAUAUUCACAGAUCAUGCUGCUCUUAAAUAUCUUCUCACAAAGAAAGAUGCAAAAGCUAGACUAAUUCGUUGGGUGUUACUUUUGCAGGAAUUUGACUUGGAAUUCAAAGAUAAAAAAGGGACAGAAAAUGUUGUGGCGGACCACCUCUCUCGUCUCCAUUUUGACACAAUUACAGAGCCAUUAAUAUUAAAUGAGUCAUUUCCAGAUGAACAAUUGAUGAAUGUGGAAGUAUUACCUUGGUAUGCUGAUAUAGUUAAUUAUCUUGUUACAGGUAAACUUCCAGAGCAUUGGACCAAGCAAGACAAGGCUAAAUUCUUUGCGGAAAUAAAGAAUUUCUUUUGGGAUGACCCAUAUUUGUUCAAGUAUUGUGCAGACCAAAUUGUUAGACGAUGUGUCCCUGAAAGUGAAAUUCAGAAUAUCCUUUCAUUCUGCCAUGCACAAGCUUGUGGAGGCCACUUCAGUGCUAAGAAAACCGCGACUAAAGUUUUACAAUGUGGUUUCUAUUGGCCAACUAUAUUUCGAGACGCUUACACUUUCUGUUCUUCAUGUGAUAGGUGUCAACGAAUGGGGAGCAUUACACGAAGGAACAUGAUGCCACUAAAUCCAAUUUUAGUGGUUGAGAUUUUUGACGUAUGGGGUAUCGACUUCAUGGGACCCUUUCCCCAUUCUUUUGGCCAUCAAUACAUAUUGGUUGGUGUUGACUACGUCUCGAAAUGGGUAGAAGCAAUUCCAUGCAGGACCAAUGAUCACAAAGUGGUGAUAGGAUUUUUGAAAAGCAACAUUGUUUCACGCUUUGGAUUCCCUCGAGCGAUAAUCAGUGAUGGUGGUGCCCACUUUUGUAACAAAGCAUUCAAAGCUCUUUUGACAAAGUAUUCAAUCACACACAAAGUGGCGACCCCGUAUCAUCCGCAAACCAGUGGCCAAGUUGAGAUCUCCAAUCGAGAAAUCAAGCACAUAUUAGAAAAAACGGUGAGGCCAGACAGAAAAGAUUGGUCAUUAAGACUUGAUGAUGCAUUAUGGGCAUAUAGAACGGCUUUCAAAACCCCGAUUGGGAUGUCACCCUACAGGCUAGUGUAUGGAAAAGCUUGCCACCUACCUGUGGAACUCGAGCAUCGUGCAUAUUGGGCCAUCAAGAAAUUCAACUUUGACAUGCAGCAAGCUAGCUCAGAAAGAAGAUUACAACUGGCAGAACUUGAAGAAAUUCGCAAUGAUGCAUAUGAAAAUGCCAAAAUUUACAAGCAGCGGAUGAAAGUCUUCCACGACAAGCAAAUUAUGAGAAAAUCGUUCACUCCAGGUCAGAAAGUGCUUUUAUUCAAUUCUCGCUUACACCUAUUCCCAGGUAAGUUACGCUCUCGUUGGUCUGGCCCAUUUAUUGUACAUACUGUUUUUCCACAUGGGGCAAUUGAAAUUAAAGACCCAAAGAACGGUGUCACGUUUAAAGUUAAUGGUCAAAGAUUAAAGCCAUAUCUAGAAUACCAACCACAUGGAGAAGACACCGAAAUAAAUUUGAGUGACCCACCAGAUUUGAAUUAAUUUUUUUUUCUUUUCGUUGAUUUGAUUUUGUUUUCUUUCUUUAUAUUAUUCUUUUGCUAAUUGAAAUUAUUUUUGCAUAAGUGUGUUUGUUUAACAAUUGAGUUUUCUCUUAUCAUUUUUAAUCAUGAGUACCUUACUUAGACCGUUCCUCCUGAACAUUCUUAAACCACUUCAACGUGUCAAAACUCAUCUCAAAAAGCAGAUUCAAUUUUGUAAAACACAACGCAUUUGGGCUCUACAACCACCAGAGUUAGUAGCCUAUGUUGAGGGUUUAGAACGCCAACUUAGAGACAUUGAGAGAAGUGUUUACGACAUCCAGUUGGAGCUUGAGGUAAAUUCAAUAAGAGGACGAUUUUAAUUUUCUUUGUGUGUUUUAAUUUGUUUUUCUGUUUGUGUGCUUUAGUUUGUUACCCCGGUGAAGUGGCGGAUAACGGUACUCCGUGACAAUCAAGUCGGUUAACUUCAGUUUCCCAUAAUAACUGACAUUCUGAGGCGAAAGUAUGGACAGAAACGAGAUUCUAGCGAAGCUUCACAAGCGAUUCCCUUCACUUCCUCAGAAUGCCCUCCUUACGAUCUAUAAAGCUCGAUCUGAACGCAUGCGAUUACUCAUGAGGAAUAACAUACCUGCUGACAUCCGUUGGUUAAUCGAGGCUAAAAUACGAUCGGCAGGUGAGUUACCUCCAAAAUUUAUUGCAUUCAUGCCUGGUUGUGGUAAAGGAAAUUAUGCAAGAAAACGACGAGCUCGAAGAAUUUCUGUUGCUUGUCAUAAGUGUGCCAGAAUGAGUUGCGAUAGAAACCCAUGUUCUUUAGGAAUGGUGUCUGAUAACAGGGAAGAUAAGAUUCAAUUCAUUAGGGAUGGCUUGAAUAAGGAGUCAUUGGAUGAUAUCCUUUUGUCUCUUGAAACGCAUCCCAGUGGAUAUGUGCAAGGAGCGAUUCUCCGGUUAUGGCCAUUAUUCCAGAAAGAGCAUGCACGAUAUAGUCUCGGGAAUCUGACUAUAAACGACCCUGUUUGCCAGUUUAUAAGAAAACUGGAUGGGAAGCCCAUCCUCGACCCAUAGAGGGCGUUCAAGCCGUUUCUGGACGUAAAACCAGAGGAAGAUGUGAGCCACAGUCGCAACUACGUGUAAAUAUCCUUUUACUUUCUGUUAUUUUAUUUCACUAUUGUUUUAUCGUUUGCAUUAUUGCCUUUAAUAAUUUUAUUACUGUUUGCUUUUUCCUUUUUACUGUUUUCUUUUUGACUCGCGAGCCACGUGCUUUACGCGUUAUUUGACACUGACAUAUUACCUCAUUCACAGCUGUGAUCCACUGUCACCAAGAUUCUUAAAUGUGAUUUACUUUUUGUCUAGCACUCACAAAUUAUUUUUGAGAAGUAUCACAAUGGCAGCCACUCCCAAUAGACAAUUCAAGAACAUUUGUGUGCUUUCUGGAUUUACCUAUGGAAAACAUAAAGAGUUCGUUGAGGCAGCCAUAGAUCUUGGUCGAAGCAUAGCAGCGAGAAAAUUACACUUGGUGUAUGGAGGAGGUAACCGAGGGUUAUCAAAAAUGGUCUCAGAAGCAGCUUUUAUCAGAGGAAGUCAAGUGUUAGGCAUCAUCCCAAGAGUCCUAAAACCAUUGGGCAGUUCGUCUGACUCAUCAACUGGAGAAGAGUUAGUCGUCUCAGGUAUGCAAGAAAGAAUAACUGAAAUGCUUAAUCAUGCUGAUGUUUUUAUUUUCCUUCCAGGAGAUCUUGCAACACUAGAGGCACUUAUGACACUAGCAUCUUGGGCCCAUCUGCACAUCCACCAGAAACCCAUCGGUUUGUUAAAUGUCAAUAACUUUUAUGAUGGCUUUAUCGCAUUUCUUAACCAUGCAAUAAAAAACUAUUUCAUUCCUUCUAAUGUAAAAAAACUUUUUAUUUGUGCUCACACUGCUAAUGAGCUACUUGAUCUGUUACAAGCUUAUAAACCGGAGCCAGACCCCUGGACCUUUGUGUUGGAGCGCCCAAAUAAUGAUGGUAACAGUAGCCGCAGUAAGAAGUACAAAUUAGAUUUAACUCUCCGCCUGUAAAUAUUUUCUUCUGUGUUGCACCACCCAGGUGAUGUCUUCUAAACUCUACUUCUUUCCUUUAAAACAUUGAGGACAAUGUUUCGUUCUGGUUGGGGGGAGGGAAUAGUCGACAAUUGUGGAAUCUUGGUUAAGUUUUUACUGAUUUUUUGUUGUAGAAACUAACUGUUGCUAACGUUUUAUGUUGAAGAUGGCUGAAUAUGGAGUGUAGUUACUUUAGAAACGCAUCUUCAUCGUUUAAAAAAAAAAAAAACAAAAACAAAAAAAAGAAAAAAAAAAAAGACAAAAAAAAAAGACAAAAAAAAAAAAAAAUCGUUUUCUUCCUCUUUCUCCUUUAUAAAUAUAUAGUUUCAAAUUUUUGAGUCGAAGAUGGCUGAAUAUGGAGUGUAGUGCCUCUAGAAACGCAUCUUCUUAAUUUAAAAAAAAAAAAUUCUUUUUCUAAUUAAUUUUUUUACAUCAUUUUCACAUUUCUGCAUGCAUAUUUUCCUUUCAUGUUUAGAAUAGGUUGGGGGGUAGAAUGUUGUUUAAAAAAAAAAAAAAAAAAAAAAUUUGUGUUAUUUGUUUUAAUAUUGGUUGACAUGAUUAAUUUCAAAUUUUAGUAUUUGUAUUAUCUUUGGUCUUAAGUGAUGUUACGCUAUGUUUGCUACUUUACAUGUUGAUGUCGGAGACAAAUAUGAGUUGCUUGAAAGAAUGAACAUGUCAUAAAUAAAUGCCAAGUGAGUUGUUGAGCCUAUUAUUUUCUUGGAGAGUAACCCUUUUGCCCAUUCUCUAUACAGCUUAGCAGUUUAUUAUUUUAUACACGAUCUCUAGAUUUCUUUUGAGUUAACCUUUAAAAAAAAAAAAUGGUAAAAUAAAAAAAAAAUGUGUGUUGCUACAUUGGGAGGCCCAUCUAACUAGUAGAUAUGGAUGAUUAUUUAGAGCCCUAAAAGACGAUGGAAAGGCCAUCUUUGAUCCGUUUGAGCCUUUCUAGCCAUCCCUUUUAUUAAAAAUCCAUAGUUAACCCUUUUGAGCCUUUAAAAAAAAAAAAAAAAAAAAAAAAAAAAAAAAAAAAAAAAAAAAAAAAAACCUUUUCUUUGUCAACUUAUCAUCUUGACCCACUCCGAUUUGGAGUAUUACCCGAUGUCUUAUAAGUUCCAUCACCUAUUUAUGUUUGAGAAAAUGUAAAUAAUUAUGUUGUUCAGUGACGUUAUGCCAAAUAAAAGCAAAAAGAAAAAAAAACAAAAACAAAAGUUGUUGUUUCAAAAGAAUAAAAAUAACAAUAAUAGGUGAAAUCCACCUUGCAAGUUCCAAAAAAAAAAAAAAAAAAAAAAAUUCUGCAUUUUUCUCAAACAUACACUUUGUUUUCCUUAUUUCCUUUCUUUGUUAGCCAUAUCCCUAGCCUACGUUACGUCCUAAUAAAAGUCCUUCUUGAUUUUAGGGAACUAUAGUUUGAAGUAGAAGCUAGUUAUAUGGGCUAAAAAGAUGUAGUGAUGCAUAAUAAAAAAAAAAGGAUAAAUAAAGUGGGUUGACUAGCAUUUUUUUGACUUGAGAUCAUAUUAUUUCUAAGCUGAGGGCAUAUUUAUUUCAUCUUAGUGAGAGCAUGUGAUAACACUUCUUUAUUAUUUUCUCUCUCAAUUACCAUUCAUUGGAGUGACUAUUUUUUAUUGGGUUUAAUUUAUUUGUGAGAGUGUCACUAUUUCCAGUGAGAUUUUUGGGUUUGACAUGUCAUUCUUGAAAGUAACUAUAACAAAGUCUACUAGGCUAAUUCAUGUGGAUGGUUGAUAUAGGUGUGAUGUUGCUUUAGACUUGAGAUAAUGCUUAUACUUUUAUUUGAUUGCUAUCAUCAAUCUGAUUGAAUAAACAUGAGUGUUUCUAUCAAAAAUAAAAAAAAAAAAAAAAAAAAUCAUUUUGAAUUUGAAUUUUGUUUUCGCUUUAUUUGCUAGGGACUAGCAAUAAGCUGGUUGGGGGGUGUGUUGAGUGUUAGAAAAUGCAUAUUUAUAAAGGAGAAAACCGUCAUUUUACAUUUCAAGUCUUAUUAACAACCCUUACUUUUAUGUAUUUAACCUUCUUGUGAUUUAAUUACAUGUGUUUUAUUUUAAUUAAGUAUUUUAUGUAUUUUAGGGGCAUUAUAGUCAUUUCACAAUAAAGGAGAGAUCAGAUGGCAAAACGGACAUCACUUUUGAAUUCAGGACGGUCGAAAACCUUAGGAGGGGCAUAAAAGGAAAAAUGGUACUAUUCACAUGUACGGUACUAUUCACGUAUACGGUACUGUAUAUGUUACUGUUCACGGCACUGUUCAUAUAGACGGAUCGAUGACGUGGCAUUGACCGAUGAUGUGGCAUUGACUGAUGAGGUGUCACGAUCCUGUUGGACUAAAAUUCUUAUGUACUGUUGAUGGUGACGUGGCAGCAUAUCAGUGGACGAAAAAUCUCGCGUACGGUGCAUGCAUCACACAGGAUUAUUUUCAACCAAACCGUGUUACUGUUCAUCCACGUGGUCAAACCGUGGACUGUUGACUGAUGACGUGGCGCAAUCCUGAGCGUCCAAACUGUUUUUAAUCCGAUGGCCAUGAUUUACUCCAUGUAUCUAUAAAAAGGGGGCCUCCCCCCCCUAAUUUGAUAGCUCUGAAUCCAUUUUUGGGAUUCAUUUUCUGUAAUUCCUUCUCCAUCUUGUAUUUUCUUCGUAUUUUAAUAAAUUCCCAUUUUGCCCCUAGUUCAAUUAUGAGUGGCUAAUUUUCUUUCAAGCUUGGGUUGAAGGUGAAGUCUCAACAUGUGUCAUGGGCUUAAUUUGGUAAAUUUAUUUUCUCUUCCCCUCUAGUUUUUGUGGAUGUUUUGACUUAUCGUCGACAAAUAAUACUGAUCUUGUCUAGAUACCGCCUUGGUUACACCGGCUCUCUAGUAUAAGGUUAUUAUUAUUUGGCACGAUAAGCCCUUAGCACCAUAUUGAUUAGAGCGUGGUUCAUGAGGUGUGGAUUCCCCCCUCAUGAUUUAAUUGGCAUUAAUACGGAUUAUUUAGCCCAUGAUGCAUGUUGAUACGGAUCCAGAUACCCAAGUACGUCAUUUCAAUAGAAUUCUCUUCAAUUUAUUCUCGCCAUUUUAAUUUAAGUUUUAGCAUAUUCCAAAUCAUUUCCACCACAAUUCCAACCGCCCAUUUACAAAAUUAAUUCUAUAUAUAAUUAAAAAUCCACCUCCUCGUGGGAUCGACACUCGUCACCAUUAGUCUACACUACAAUAGAUUCGUGCGCUUGCGAGUACAUUAAAAUUUGCACAACAGCGCGCGCGUGUGUGUGUGUGUGUGUCUCUCUCUCUCUCUCUCUCUCUCUCUCUCUCUCUCUCUCUCUCUCUCUCUCUCUAUAUAUAUAUAUAUAUAUAUAUAUAUAUAUAUCUUGUUUUCAUUUCAUCUUUAACUUUUUAAUGCGCUUUUGUUGCUUUGAAGAUACAUGAAAAUUAACUCCUACAAGAAGGGGGGGGGGGGGGGGGGUGGGGAACGGGGGAGGAUUUUAUUACAUGAGACUUUUUAGUUUUGUUUUGAGGGAAUGGGAGAUUUCUUGAAUGAAAUGGCUGUGAUGAUGAGCCAAACACAAACUAAUGUAAGCAUUCUUCAAUGCAUAUUUAUGUUUUCUAUAGAAUAAUUUGAGAAUUGUGUUUGGAAAUUCCUAGGCAUUAUUUAGCUUUUUCCAAGCUUUAGUUAUGGCUUUUACUUUGCUGGUUGGCAAAAGAAUGACGGUAUUUUGAUUUCUCCUAAUCAGAUUGCAAAUGGGUCAUUUAGUCACAAGGGCAACAUAUUUUAAUCUAUUUUUAUUUUUAUCCUCAGUGUGUUCAUGCUCUGAAAAGUAGUGAUUCAUGGUGCCUAGUUUUGGUCUUGUUCAAUGGCGAAUUACAUAUAAGUUCUAUUGUUGGGAAAUUGAUUGGUGAAGCAGACACGCAAUUAAAGUGAAAUUGAGAAAUAAUGAGACAGCAGAAUCACACAGGGACACCAGGAUUUAAGUGGUUCGGCUUUUAACCUAGAUUCACGGGUGAAAACAGAAGAAAAAUAUUUUACUAGUGAUAUGAGAAUUACAAGUAUUGUAAUAUUUUGUCUCACUAUCCAGAACCCCAAUGUACCCAAUCGCUUACUCACUAAUCUCUCAAGCCAAGAGUUUAUUAAAUUCUUAAUACUCUCAACUCCCUAAAUGUAGGAAAUGCUUCUCUCAAACUGGAUGUUGAAAUGAGGAGAAGCAUCCUUUAUAGCCAAAAAUUGGCUUCGGUUCAUGCCUAUUAUUUUUAUUUAUUUAUUAGUAUUUUAUUAUUAUUAUUUCCGCUGAGCGGCCCGCCACUUUCUUUUCUUCUUCUUCUUCUUAUUUCUUCUUUUUUUUUUCUUUUUCCUUUGCGGUUGAGCACUAGCAGUGCCCACUGCUUACUUUUUGACAUCUAUGUGGGCCCCACAAAAGUUGUUCUUGGAGGAAUUGAAUAACUGAAUUAUUCAAACCUGACUUAAUCUUCCAGCAGUGUUAUUGCUUGGUAUUUAUCUUUGUAUGCUUUGAUUGUAAAUUUGACAGGAAAAUGGUGAGGAGACCUUGGAGGAAUUGCAGAAUUUGUUUGAAUAGAUGUUUAAAGGAGACACCAAUGCUUUCGAGCCUAAACUUAUUCUGAUUAUUUCAUCUGUACUUAGAUUUGAACUAAGAAUUUUUUUGUGAUGGUAUGUUAGCUUUUAUAAAUUUCCUUUCUUUAAUAAAAUCUCACUUUGUUUUUAGCGGAAGUUAAUAAGAUCGGAUGGUGGAUUGUAUUGCUGUGUGUCAAAUGAAAUUUUAAACAACGUGCUUCUGGCUAGAGACCUCGAACCAUUUUUUAUGAUUUAGAAUGUUGUAACCAUUAGAAGCUUCCUUGUCAUAAACUGGUGGCUCAGAUUAUUGAAAUGUUCAUGAAAGCUAAUAAUCUGAUUUCCCAUUGUAUAUUAUCAGAUUCCCUUUUGUUGCAAUCUUGUGGUUGAGCAGGUCUCAAGAUUCUGACCUUUUUCACCCCGCUUUCUGACAGAAGAAUUUGCCUAUCAUUGUCAAGUGUUUGGCAAUUAGCCACCAUCUGCUGUAUUCAUUAUGAAAGCAUUGUAAAUUUGAUCCCUUAAGAAGGGGAGAAAUUGAUCAAGCUGAUUGGUUAUACUCAUUGUAUGCCACAAGUGCUUUAUCAAACCACAACAGGUAACACCCGUGCGAAGGGCGCAAGCCAAAAUUGAUAGCUGCACCAGUAUCAUCAAGAUACUCCUUUUCCGGUCCAUCUAUGUCUUACCGAUGGCAUUUUUACUAUUCAUCCUCUGUACUAUUUGUUUCUUUAGCAAAUUUCUUUCUGUAUUAUGAGUCUUAAUAAAAGUUUAAUUGUAGACAACUUUUUUGCCUUGAAAGUAUAUUUUAAACCUUUCAAACCCAUUAGCUCCAUUGGGAAACUUAUGACUUUAUGGAAAUAUUUGUUGCAUUUUGUCACUGAUGGUCAGUCCAUAAAAUUAGUUGACUGAUAGUGUCAAGCAGUUAGCAAUACAACUUUUUACCAAUGAUAUAACUCUUUUCAUUCUGUAUUUUGUUCGACACUUAAUUCGGUUCCAUUAUGUCAUUAUCUGUGCUUGAUUGAGUUGCAUGUUCAUGCACAAGAAUUUCCCAUCGCGGUGUUCCUAAGCUACUUUAUAAGACCUGGAUUUGUCUUUAACUAGGAUAUGGCUUUUUUUGAGUUGAAAAGCCUACUGUGAAAGUUAUCUGCUCAAAGCAAAAAAAAAAAAAAAAAAAUUCGUGGGAGGGAAAUUAAAUUUUGGCGAAGUUUGCUUUGGGGAUUUUGAAGAUAACUUGUAAAUUUGUUACACAUAUUGAGUGAUUCAAGGUUUUCAAUACAUUUCUUCCAAGGAAUCAGUUUUGUUUGGCUUCUCAAACUAUGCUUCUAAUCCAAUAUCUUAACUACGGCUGGCAAAAAGCUAUUCACUGUUAUAAUGGAUUGUUAUUGGAAAUAAUCAAAUAAAGCCUAUGAAGAAUUAGAAUAAAAGCUAUAUUUUGUCUUUGUGAAGGGAAUAUUUGACAACCAAUCCACCGAUAUUUUUUUCUAUUAAAACCUAUACUUAUUAUAGCCUCAAUCAUUUCGAGACAUACCGGAGAAAUCUAACUAAAAAGUUGAUAAAUUUUAAUUCAUUCUCCCGAUAGAACAACAAUCUUGAUUUUAUCACCUAAAAGAGUGAAAAUAUCAAUUUAGCCUUCAUUUUCAUUCAAUAAGGUGAGAGCAUAUUGUGGAUGCGGUGAUGGAUUUCUUUUUUUUUUUCUUUGUAUGGUUGUUUAUACAAAAACUUAGCAUAUAUACCAAAAACUUAGCACUGAAUGAUAAGAGCAUUGCCUUCUUAGGGCGGAAGUCGUGAGUUUGAGCCUUAUCCUCUUGGAAGUAAAUCAAAGACUUAUCAUUUUAAGUGAGGGGCAAAUUAAAGUUUAUUCUAAAGACUAAAAUGUUAUAUGAAACAACUUUAGCCAUUUACAACUAUUAAUUGUCUGCUACUAUUUUCUUUUUUUAAUUCUAAAGUCUUUAUUACUCUUUCUCAUAUUAGUAGUUAGUAGACAUUCUAAAUUUUCUUUUAACAUUUUAUUCUAACAUUUUUUCCCCGAAAACGACAAUGGCAAGCUAAUUUGACCUAUCUUGACUGACUGAAUUUGGAUAACUUGUGUUACGCUCUCUCUCGUAAUUCAUAAAGACGACCACUUUGAUUUGCACUAUCCUUUCUGUGUCAUUGUGCUCACGUUGCAAGGGAUUCGUCACGCCCGCAGUUGUCAAAUUAAAGUUACAUUACAUUUACAUACGUUAAAGACUUUAUUUGAAUAUUCUCCAUCGUCUUUAUUGACCCUUUUUUAUCUUUUAUUUUUCCUUGUGUCGAAAGAAUCCUUCACUGAUUGGAAUAUCCAUGAUGACUGGUUGCAAUUGGAAGAGUCCCUGAAAUUCAUCUUUCAUUCGAUCUUAAAUACUUUCUCCGAACAAUUAGAAUACAUUAAGAUUUUAUGAACUUGCUUAGUAGAUCAUUCAACUGCUUAAUUGGUGCAGUUAAUUAAUUGAUUAUCUUCCCAGAAACACAUUAAAGACUCUCACGGGGAUUCAUUAAACCUUUUCGCUGGGUCAAUUCUACAAGCAUCAGACGUAAAAGCUUCAUGAUAAGAGCACAAGCCUAUCGUCUUCAAAAGCUCUUGGAAAAAGCUAGCUAUUUUCUUUAUUGUCAUUUCCAUCCAUUUUAACCCUUUCUUUUUCAUUUUGUACAAUUUUGACUUGACUCUGAAAUAGAGAACAAUGAUAUUUAGACAGAAAAAUUUAAUAGAAUGUUUAAAAAUAAAAUAAAAUUAGUCUCGGUUUAUCUUGUACUAGUUUUACCUUAUUGAUGUCAAUGAUUUUCUAAGAAAAAAAGAAACUUCGUUAAUUUUACCUUUGUUUCAUGAUGAGAUUAGUGCUGGAGCCGUCAUGGACUCAUUGCUAUGCAGAAUUCAAAAAUCAAGCUUAAACAGUUUUGGUGAAAUUUCUAUAUUGAAAUUCUUGUUAAUAAAUCAUUCACACUUUAAUGAAAGUAUUAAUAGCAGCCGUGUAACUCACUAACUCCCUAUUAAUUAAUUUUUAUAAAUUGCUACCGGUAACUCCGUAUUAAUUAAUUUAUCACGCGUUGUAUAUACAGAGUAGCGUAUGUUGAGAAUCAAAUAAAACGACAUUGAAUGAAGUUUUCAAAGACAGAAUCUGCACUUGUCAAAGGGGUAAUCUACACUUGUCAAAGACAAGAUCCGCGCCGAACGGAUUGACACAUUUCCUUCCGUAUUCACAUAUGUAAUCUUUGAAAAAAUGUAGCCUCUGCAUUUAUAAAUAACUCUCAAUGUAUAAUGUUUUUUUAAGAAAUGAAAACACGUUUCUUCAUGGUAUCAGAGCCAUGAAUACGCUCAACUUUCUUCAAGUUCCGCUGCUCUGUUUGUAACAAAAACAGAGGAAACCAAAUUCCUCCCACAACCAUUUUUCCCACCAUUUUCUUUCUUAAACCCAUUCUUCCCAUUACAGAUAUCCAUGCCGAUCAAGAAACAAGCCACCCAUACGUAAAAAACUUGAGUUUACAAAUUUAUCAACAAUCCCAUCAAUUUUCCAAGAGUGUGUUCUUCAAAAACCAAGAACACCAUCAAAUUUUUCAGUUUUCAGUGAGGAAACUGUAAAAAUUUCACAUUUAAACACAUUUGCACGCCCUCACACGCGCCACCCGAAGCCACGGCCAGUCAACCACGCGCCUCUGUCAUUAUUCACGCGCUAUCACGCGCUCCAGAGGUUGAAGAAGACGUCAACCGACAUGUCGUUUUUAUCUCAGAAGUGCAGCAGUAAAAAUCGACUUGUCGUUUUUUUGUUAUAUAAACACCGACAGGUCGUUUUGAAAUUUGAGAUAAAACGACGUGACGUUUACUCUCCAGAAGUGCAGCAGGAUUUAAACGACAUGUCGUUUAUAUUCCACCAUAACCGACAUGUCGGUUGGUCAAGCAGUGGCCAAACGACUUGUCGUUUUGUUAUCUAAAAAGGUUUUUUUUUUCUUCUUUCAAUCUAGACAAAAAAAAAAAAAAUACAAAAAAAAGAAAAAAAAAGAAAAGAAAAGAAAAAAAAGAAAAAGAAAAAAAACAAAAAAAUGGAGAAAACUCCAACUGAAUCUAUUCAUGUUGUCAUUCAAUCUGUUCAAUCUGAUGGAGUAUUUAAUGCUGGAAUUAUCCUCACUGAGACAAACUAUGAUGUUUGGUCUCAAAUAAUGGAGAUGCAUCUUGCAGAAAGAGAAAAACUCUCAUAUAUUCGUAGCAGCACAAAGCCAUCUGAGGAAUUUUCAAAGGAAUAUGAGAAAUGGUAUAGUGAGAACCAAAAAGUAAAAAGAUGGUUACUAAUAUCCAUGUCUCCGGAGAUCAUGAAGCGAUAUUUACGAAUUCCUACAGCCUACGAAAUCUGGGAUGCAUUAUCAAAAGCCUUCUAUGAUGGAAGCGAUGAAUUACAAGUUUUCACUCUAAAGCAGAAGGCAUUCUCUACCAAGCAAAAUGGACAACCACUCUCUAAAUUCUAUGGAGAAUUGAUCGAAAUAUUUCGAGAACUUGAUCACCGAGAUAAAGUGGUCAUGAAGGAUCCAGAAGAUGUUGUAAUAUACAGAAGGUCUGUUGAAAGAUUGAGAGUGCACAUUUUUCUUGCUGGGCUAGAUGAAGAAUUUGACCAAGUUCGUGGAGAAAUUCUACGAAAAGAUAUUAUCCCAGACUUAGAAGAAUGUUAUUCUCUGAUCCGAAGAGAAGAUAUACGGCAAAGCAAACUAAACAAGAAGGUCGACUCAGAAACGUCUACUAUGAUAGCACGACAGCAACCUCAAAGGAAGUUUGUUGACAAGUCAUCACUCCAUUGCACUCAUUGUAGAAAGAAGGGUCAUACAAAAGAACAAUGUUUUGAAAUCAUUGGAUAUCCUGACUGGUGGGAUACUCGAAAGAAGAACACCAAGCAUGGAUCAAAUACUGCAGUAGCUGAAUCCACAUCCACUACAGAUCUUAGAAAAGAAUCUUCAGUGCAAAUCGCAACCUCUGUCAGUCCAGGUAAAGCCCUUAAAACUCUUACACCUGUUAUUAAUAGUACAUGGAUAAUUGAUUCUGGGGCAACUGAUCAUAUGACUUUUGAUUCUCGACAAGUUUCUCAAUUGAAACCAUCUUCACAAAAACAUAUUUCCACUGCAAAUGGAACCACAACCUCAGUUAUUGGGGAAGGAUCUUUACGACUCACAAAUGAAUUAAAUUUAGACACUGUGUUAAUUGUUCCAUCUUUAGAUUAUAAUCUUUUAUCUGUGUCUCAAUUAACCACUUACUUAUCAUGUGUUGUAAUUUUUUGGCCUGAUCAUUGUGUGUUUAAGGACAUCCAAACGAAGCAAACGAUUGGUUAUGGUAUUAGACGAGGCAACUUGUACUACUUGGAGAUGUCAUCAACAAACACUAGAAAGCUAAGCCCCGCACUAGUCGCAGAUAGUUUCAUAAAAAAAAGGAAAUCAGAAAUUUGGUUAUGGCAUAGACGUUUAGGGCAUGUGUCGUUUGGUUACUUAAAAAAAUUAUUUCCUAGUUUGUUUAUGAAAUUUGAUGUUUGUAACUUUAAAUGUGAUGUUUGUGAACUUUCAAAAAGCCAUCGAACUACUUUUCCAUUGUCCUUAAAUAAAAAUCCAGUUCCUUUCAUGGUAGUACAUUCUGAUGUAUGGGGGCCAUCUAAAGUUUCUACAAUUGGAGGUGCUCGUUGGUUUGUUACAUUUAUUGAUGAUUGUAGCAGAAUGACAUGGAUUUUUCUGAUGAAAUCGAAAGACGAAGUAAACUCUUUAUUUCAAAGAUUUCAUAAGAUGGUGACAACUCAAUUUCAGACACAAAUUCAAGUUCUACAUACUGAUAAUGGAGGCGAGUAUAUGAGCACUGCAAUUCAACAGUUUCUGAAAUCACAAGGAUCUGUCCAUCAAACCACUUGUGUGGGGACACCCCAACAAAAUGGCGUUGCUGAACGAAAAAACAGACAUUUACUAGAAGUUGUUCGAGCAUCACUAAUCCAAGCCCACAUGCCAUUAUCUUAUUGGGGAGAAGCACUAGCAUCCGAAGCAUACUUGAUCAAUCGAACACCUUCAAGCUCCCUUGGAUUCCAGACUCCUUUCCAAGUUCUGAAUGAUGCAAUUAUGUCACAAAAUGUGCCGAAUCUGCCCCUACAUGUGUUUGGUUGUGUUGCCUUCGUUUAUUUGCGGCAACAAGACAAAUUAUCUCCUUGAGCGCUACGUUGUGUGUUUGUAGGGUAUGCCUUACAUCAAAAGGGAUACCGAUGCUAUCAUCCACCAUCAAGAAAAAUAUACAUCACCAUGGAUGUCGUUUUUCAUGAAGAUAUCAUGUACUACUUGUCAGAGUCUGAAUUUCAGGGGGAGUAUAAUGAAGAGGAAAUUCAUACUCUUACAUAUCUUCCACCUGAAGAAAGUCAAUCUUCCAUUGAGAUAGUAAACCUUCAAGAUACUGGAAAAGAAAAUGGUGAUGAUUCUCAGGCUGAGAUAAGUGAAGACACAUUUGGGGAGCACAAUAACUUAGACACAACUGCAAUCGAGAAUGAGUCACAUGAAGAAAUACCUAACCAAUCGUCUGCAGAGGAUGUUCCUACCACAAGUCCAAUCAGAAGAAUUCUUCCCCAGCGUCAAAAUAGAGGUAUACCUAAACCCACAUAUGAGCCUGACUUCUCUAGCAGAGUCAAAUACCCUAUGAGUCAUUUUGUGUCUAACCAUCGCUUGUCAGAAUCAAAUUAGUCAUUUGUGAAUCAAUUAUCUGUUGUAUCUAUUCCUAACAGUGUGCAGGAAGCUUCCUAACACAACUGCAAUCGAGAAUGAGUCACAUGAAGAAAUACCUAACCAAUCGUCUGCAGAGGAUGUUCCUACCACAAGUCCAAUCAGAAGAAUUCUUCCCUAGCGUCAAAAUAGAGGUAUCCCUAAACCCACAUAUGAGCCUGACUUCUCUAGCAGAGUCAAAUACCCUAUGAGUCAUUUUGUGUCUAACCAUCGCUUGUCAGAAUCAAAUCAGUCAUUUGUGAAUCAAUUAUCUGUUGUAUCUAUUCCUAACAGUGUGCAGGAAGCUUUAAAAGACCCAAAGUGGAAAGCGGCUAUGAAUGAUGAAAUGAGAUCUCUUCAGAAAAAUCAAACAUGGGAACUAGUUGAUCUUCCACCAGGAAAGAAACCAGUGGGUUGUCGAUGGAUUUACACUAUAAAAUACAAAGCAGAUGGCUCUAUUGAACGAUACAAAGCAAGACUCGUAGCUAAGGGUUACACCCAAACCUACGGGAUUGAUUAUACUGAUACGUUUGCACCGGUAGCAAAAAUUAAUACUAUUUGUAUCUUAUUAUCAUUAGCAGUCAACUUGGAUUGGCCAGUGCAACAGUUCGAUGUAAAGAAUGCUUUCCUCCAUGGAGACCUGUCUGAAGAAAUUUAUAUGGAUCUGCCACCAGGAUGCAGUAGACCAGAACGACUCAAUUAGAAAGUAUGCAAAUUGAAGAAAUCAUUGUAUGGGUUGAAGCAAUCCCCAAGAGCAUGGUUCGGGAAAUUCACAAAGGUUAUGGUUCGUUUUGGGUAUAACCAAAGCAAUUCAGAUCAUACCUUAUUCAUUAAAAAACGACAAGGUAAAAUCACUGCCCUUAUUGUCUAUGUGGAUGAUAUGGUAGUUACAGGCAACGACGAGGAAGAAACAGAGGCUCUUCAGAAGUACUUGUCAAGAGAGUUUGAGAUGAAGGAUUUAGGUGCCUUAAAAUACUUUCUUGGAAUUGAGGUUUCUCGAUCUAAGGGAGGAAUCUUUCUGUCUCAAAGGAAAUAUGCCUUAGAUCUAUUGCAUGAAACGGGAAUGACAGCUUGUCAGCCUAUUGACACCCCAAUAGAAGAAGGACUGAAGUUUUGUAUUACUUCAGACCAAGUUCCAAUAGACAAAGGAAGAUAUCAAAGGCUGAUUGGAAGAUUGAUGUACUUGUCCCAUACAAGGCCAGAUCUUGCUUAUGUAUUGAGUGUUGUAAGUCAGUUUAUGCAUAAUCCCAGAGAACAACACAUGAAAGCAGUAAUGCGGAUCCUGAGGUACCUGAAGACAAAUCCAGGAAAAGGAAUCCUAUUUUCCAAAAAUGAAGAUUACAGCAACAUAGAAGUUUAUACUGAUGCAGAUUGGGCCGGGUCAGUUAGUGAUAGACGCUCUACUUCACACUUUACCUUUGUGGGAGGCAACCUUGUCACAUGGAGAAGCAAGAAACAACAUGUCGUUGCCCGUUCGAGCGCUGAAGCAGAAUAUCGAGGCAUGGCCCUUGGGAUAUGUGAAGGGCUAUGGAUAAGUUUUAUCUUAAACGAUUUGGGCUAUCCAUCACAACAACCAAUACAACUAUACUGUGACAACAAAGCUGCACGAGAUAUUGCUCAUAACCCAGUUCAACACGAUCGAACAAAACAUGUGGAGGUAGAUAGAUUUUUCAUCAAGGAGAAAUUAGAUGAAAAAAUCUUAGAACUGCCGAAAAUUCGAUCAGAAGAUCAACUUGCAGAUAUUUUAACGAAGGCCAUUUCAAGCAGGGCAUUUACAAAAUUCCUAGACAAGUUGGGUAUGCAAGACAUCUAUGCACCAACUUGAGGGAGAGUGUUGAGAAUCAAAUAAAACGGCAUUGAAUGAAGCUUUCAAAGACAGAAUCUGCACUUGUCAAAGGGGUAAUCUGCACUUGUCAAAGACAAGAUCCGCGCCGAACGGAUUGACACAUUUCCUUCCGUAUUCACAUAUGUAAUCUUUGAAAAAAUGUAGCCUCUGCAUUUAUAAAUAACUCUCAAUGUAUAAUGUUUUUUUAAGAAAUGAAAACACGUUUCUUCAGCGUAAUGGGAUUUUUUUUUUUAAUGUUGAUCUUUUACUCAAUUAAUUAAUUAAACAUUUAUAAAUGAUCACUAAGUAUUCAUGAGUAUGUGGCACAUGAGCUUAAACAUGAAUCAAUAUUUGCUAGUGCAUUGGUGGUUAGCACAAAUAACUUCGAUGAUAGAGAGUGACUGGGAAGCAUUAAGGGGAUGGAUCCUUUAAUGACCUGAUUUUUAAGCAAAUUUCACUUAUAUGUUUAUUGGUUAAUCAAGUAAGUAAUAAAAAUAGUUAAAUUUUAAUCAUACAUUAAUAUUAAAAGGCAAGUUAUAUAAGAUCUUUAAACGUUCAAAAGAGAUCAAAUCAAAAGAGGACUUAAAUUUGAGAAUAACUCUUGUAAAAUUUAAGUUUUAUGUGCUCAUGAAAGUACUUGUUAUUAAAGGUAUCUCUUGAAUAUUUAAUGGUUUAACAAAUUAUGUUCUUUAUAGACAGUUUGUAAAUUACUCUCGUCACUGCCACCAUGACUUGUAUUGUUGUUGUGAGCAGUUUAAUGGAAUGCAAUAUCAAUUUACUUGUUAGAAAAAAAAUCGAUUAUAAAUACUAAUUUGACUUUAUUGUGCUCUAGAGCAAAAUACAAAGUGGUUAUUUAGUGAUUAUUAGUUUAACUUACAAUGAUAGAUAUAUCUUAAAUAUACAUAUUAAGAUAUAUAUAUACACACACAUAGAUGUGCGUGCGUGCGUGUGUGCGUGCGCUUGUGCCAAGAGACAAACAAAUAUACGAUGAAUAAAGAUUUCCAAACCUAAAGACUUCAAAUUAAUGGUGAAACAUCUUUGCAAAUUAAACUAAGAAAAAUUGAAAAAGUAUUUUAUCAUUUUAUGCAUGGAAUUCCACGUCCAUGCAUGCAUGUACCCAACAAAUGCACUUGUAAUUUAGUAUGCAUAUGGUACACACAAAAUGUUGUCUUGGAAAAGUCUCAAUGGAUGACACGUGAUCAUGUCAUUGUACGUACACGCACAACGAAUAAUCCUUGCGACGACUUGCAUAAAACAAAAAAGGAGAUGUCUCUCUUUGUCCCUGUAGUUUAUGUACCCAUGGAGGAGUCAAUAUAUUUUUAGAAAUUCACUCUAAAAAAAAUAUAAAUUCUAUAUUCUUUUUUGGUUAAAAUCUACCUAAUUAUUUUCUAUUUUCCAUCCGUUAUAUAUUAAAUUAGUUUUAAUUUUAAAUUUUAUCAUAUAAAAAUUCUGUUUUAGCUUUAAAAAUUUAUGUCCAACAACUAAGAAAGUAAGUAAAGAGAUGUUCUGGAUAAUCUUUUAAAAUAUAAUAUUGACUAAACUGGAUAAUUGACUCAAAUUACUCAAUGACGAGCCAAAAGUGGAUUGGUUAUCCACUUUUGUACGGCUUUGAAUGACUUUAUUUUCUACAUACUCCGCAUCAGUCGUUGUGACGACGUAAUUACGAAAACAACUAGAAGCUGGCCAAGACGACGGGCAAGCUGAGAACAUAUUCGUAGGCAUUUUCCCUUCAUUUACACCAAAUCUAAAGUUCUGAACUGAAUGAAAGAGGAAGCCAACUUGAAUUACAUUUUUUUCCAGCAUUUUUUGGUCGAACGAACCAUUUCACUUGGAAUCAUAAUGAGUCGUUGCAAGGAAAUGUGUUAUUUUGAUCAUUACUUUGUUUAAUAUUCUUGUUUGCGGUAUUUUAAUUUGAGAGAUAUAUAAGUCUCAAAGGAAUGUCGGAUUCCGUGCUCACAUGAUGAGCUAUAUAAUAUAUGUUGGUUUUACUUAAGGUUGUUGUAAUUAGUAGUUUAAAAAAAAGUACUAGCACAACUCUAAUAAUGGAUAAAAAUUCCUAAUUAAUUUGAAUUCAUCUCUCAUUUGUCAUUUAAAAAAGAAAAAAGGAAAAAAAAAGAUUCAAUAAUGUUCUUAUUGAUCAACAUAGUAUUUGACACUUUUGUCUACCCAGAAACAAAGACUAACGACAAUAUGCUUUAAACGUUUUGAUGGUUUAGUUCUACCAACUUCAACGUAAAAUCACAGAUUGAGCACAUAAGUCAAUAAGUCAUGACCAUCAUUUUCAAAAUUCUCAAAUAUAGUCCAAUUUCUCUAUAAUCAUAAUAUUGAGGUAAGUUAAUUUUAUUAAUAUGAGAAUGUUAUAAUUAACUUAGUAAAGAUAUAGUUACAUAAAUUAUCGUUUUCACUUAGUUAUCCUUUGUGCAUUUAAAUUAGAGGUAAAAUAUUUACUAUAUUAAUAAUUAAUUACUGGAUUAUGUCAGAAAUUGAUAUUAAAGGUAGGCUUAAUUAAAAAAAAAAGUCUAUACUUUUUUGCAAUAGCCAAAUAAUAUUAUUAUGCGGGGACAAAUUCUUUUUAGACAAGACUUAAAAAAAUUAUAACUUAUUAUAAUUUAGAGUAUAUCCUUAUUUAUAACUAACUUAAAUUGAGAUUAAAUCUUUUUAUAAUUAAAUAAAAAUUAUUUCUAUAUAAAGUAUGACUACAUAGGAGAAAUAUUUUAUUGUAUAUAGCUAUUUCUUUCUCUGUUAUUUCUAUCCACUUCAUGAGCACUGUCUUAGUCUUUUCCCUUUCCUGUAACAAUCUUGGUUUAACUAUGAACUAAAUGUUUUUUUUUCAAUCAUUAAUUAAUAUUAGGUAGGUGCAUCUACCAACACGGUUGCAACUAAUUACCCACUAUAAAAUUUUAUUCUCAAUCCCCCAUGGAAAAGUGUGCAUGCCUAUAUAUAAUCGGACUUUAUUAUCAGUGUUAUGGAUAAAGGAAUUAUUAAUUUUAAAUUAAUAAUUAUUUUAAUCAAUUUGGCAAUAUAUAUAUUAUCCUUGAUUAAUUUAUAUGAGUGAAUAUCAAGUGUAACGUAAAAUAUUAUUUGUGUUGCACAUGCGGACAAAAGAAUGCAAAGAUUCCUUCAACAAGAUUCAAAGUAUGAUAUAGAAAAGAAUUUAAAAUUAAAAAAAAAAGUAAAAUAGAAAGUUGAAUUUAACAAGAUUCAUGUACAGGAAGAAAAAGAAUUAAUAAAGUGAUGAAAAAUUGGUAAUCGUGGCAAGUAAUCUUAUUCAUGUACGCGGAUGAGCCUUUUUCUUUUCCCAUUAUGAGAAAAUCUCAAGUACAUAAAACGUAUUAUAACCAUUUAGUGAAAUUAGUUAUGACAUACGCAUUCUGAUUUUAUUAUACUAUAAUUAUCUUCUUCUUCUUCUUUUUCCAACUUAAAUGUACACGUACGUGAUCAAUGACUAUUGAUUAUGUAGAGGAGUUUGUCAUUUUAUUGAAACUAUCAAUACCCUUAAACGAUUGAACCUUCAGUACCUUAGUAGUUGACUGUGAAUGCCAUUUUAUUCCACCCCACUGGAAUUGUUAAAUGUUACUUGCUUUCCACAGACAUCUUGAUUACGUUUGUGUGCUUAUGUUAUAAGGGCUUCGUCAAGAAGCUCAUUGCCAUUAUUACGAAAUUAAAUAGACUACGAUUGUUGGGAUCAGGCUACGGUACCACAAUGGUACCGUGACACAUCAUUUGUCUUUUAUGGCUCCAAUAUUAUAAAUUUUCAUAUAACCCCCUUUUAUUCGUUUUUAUUUAAACUUUAAUUCACAAAUAUUAAGUUAAUAUCUAUUACAUCCACAUGGACAUUUUAGUUAGCACCUUAUACUAUUUAUUAUUUACAAAUUCUUAUUAUAUAUUGCACUUAUAUCACAAUACCCCCUCUGUGAACCAAAAUGCCCAUGCCGAACCCACAACCCGACCCGGAUGCUAUUUCCAUUUCUGGCCACUUCACCGGCCAAGGUUGGUACCGAUCGGAAGAUCGUGCGAUGCCGGUCAUCUCCAUGCCAAUCUUGUCGCCGAAAAGCGUUCGGAAACCUCCCGAUUGAAGCCGUGAAAAGCCGCAGAACCGCCGCUUCAAUUCGCCGCGAUUUCUCCGGUUUCCGGUGAUGCUAUCACUUGAGUUUUGCUCCCCACGAUUCCCUCUAUAUUUUCCGACCAAUCACAGCCACCGAGGGGAGCCGAUUUGCCGUUGAUCGGUCAUUGAAGGAUUCACGGCUUUGGGAGCUCGAUCCGGCGCCAUCACCACGCGUGAGAGGUCACCACCAUCACCGUUGGACUCAGCUCGGCCAAAAGUGUCUAACUGGAGUUUCCCGUCGCCGUCAAUUGAAAUCCGGUCACCGUUGGUCGGCAUGGGUAUUUCGGUAAUGUUCACAUGGAUGCAGUUGAAAUUAGUUUAAUAUUUGUAAAGUAAAGUUUAAAUAAAAAAGAGUGAAAGGGGUUAUAUGAUAAUUUGCCACAAAAGACAAAAGGAAGUGGCAUGGUGCCACUGUGGUACUGCAGGCUGAUCCCGAUUGUUGACCUAAUUUGAAAAUUCCUCCAUUGUUUAUUAUUUUUCCCUUUUUAAUUUAUCAAUAUCAGUCAUAUCAAGUCAUUCUAUUAAUCAAAAACCUUGGGGAAGACGAAAUAUAUAUUAACUUACUGUCUUUUCUCAAUAACUUUUUAGGUGAGAUUAGUUUAAUAAAUUACAUGAUAAAUAAUACUCUUGCUUGAGUCUAUAUAUAAUUAUAUAUGAUAUAAAAUUAAGAUUCUUUUUUUUUUGUCGUAAUACAUAGAAUUGUUCGUACUAUUAUUAUAACAAAAUAAUUAAAAUUUAUGAGUUGAAGUUGUCAGAAAAAUAAACUUAUUUCCAAUGAAUGGCAUUUGGAGGAACAAAAUCAAUCCGGAAGUUUUUUUACGCCGAAAAAAAUCAAUUAACAUUAAUGACGUCCAAAUGUCCAAAUAUAAUGAGAAAUUGAAUUCUUCAAAACCUUGCUGUUUCUUCAUAUUUCUUAACAAAACCUAAUCAGUUGGUAAAUUUUGAUAUAAUUAUUAUCUAUUAUUAAUAAUUAGGUGGACCUAAACGUUCCCAAUACAUUAAAACAAUCGAUCAUCUACAUUAUUCUACAUUAAUCUUUUUUUCUUUUUUUUCCUUAUGAAAAAGCAAUUAAAUUAAUAAGUAGAAAUUUCUUUACAUUUUCGCCGGAGAAUCAGACUCAAAUUCAAAUACAACGACUCAAGCUAGCGCAAAAGCUUAUAAAUAGAGGAGAGCAAAAGUAAAGCCCCGUUCCAGUUCUCUUUCAGAGGCUACGGAUUUGAGAGAUUAAAGAACAUCAAUCGAACAGUAAGACUCCGUACUCUGUGACGCAAAGUUGCAAAAACUUUUAGGUAAAUUUUUUUGGAUUAAUUUUUUAAUUUUCGAGAAUAAAGAGACAGAGAGAGAGAAAAGAGAUGGGAUUAUGUCUGUCUGGGAGUGAUGUGAGGGGAGGGAAACAAGCCGUAGGUGGGGCCCAUCUCCGGCCCACCAGCGCGGCUGAUCAGAACAAUGUCUCUGGUCAAAACGACGCCGUUGAUUUCUUCUUCAAAUCUCGCGGCCUUCAUGCCCUUUUCACCCAAAUCGAGGUAUAUGUGUAUACCUGAAUUUAUGAGUCUUUCGCUGCCACUAUUAAUAAACUAUUUUCAGUUAAUUAAUUAAUUAAAAAUUUAUGAUUAGUUUAUGUUUUUUAAUUAAUUUAUAAUUUUUUAUUUUAAUUUUUUAAAUCUGAUUUUGUUCAUGUCUGUAAUUGUGAUGGAUUCUCAAAUGAUUACUCGUUUGAAAAUCUAUUUCCAAAUUAUGUUUGCUAUUAUUAUUUAUUUAAUGACUUGUCUGUGUAACAUCUAACAACUUAAAUCAUUUAUAUUUGAUAAAAGUUAUUUGAUAAUUUGAACAUAGAGAGUAGAUUCCUAUUUAAGAAUCAACCGCAAUCCCAAACAUGCUUUUUUGCUUUUUUUUAAAUAAUGUAAGAGGAGUAUUUGAAAUUUUGGAGGGCGAAUAUUUUACUUGAUAGAAAAAACAUAACAUAGCAGGAUAUAUUAGACAAGACCAAGCCAAACAUAUUAGGCUAUACAAACAUAACAUAGCAGAAAUUGAUAAUGGUACAUUACAUAUGUUAGGAUAUAGCAGUUUUAGAUGAUGGUAAAUUACAUAUGUUAAGAUAGAGUGGUUUGUAACUAACUUUUGAUGGCUUAAUGAAUUGAUUGAAUUUGUAUUUAGAUUCUAUCAAUGAUCUCAUAUUCUUCCCAUCCAUGUCUUUCGAUUUUUAUUAUUCCCUCUACCCACUUGUUUCACAAUUUGUUUGUCUGAUGGCCUAAAACUCCAAUUUCUGUACAUGAACAUGUGCUGAAUGUCUACUACAAUGAACAUGUGCUGAAUGUCAACUUUUACUACUACACCAGCAAUCUAACACAUGGCUCACGUGCACACUAGACAAGUCUGAUUCAAACAUCUUUAAAGUGUUGUAUUAAUAACUCUCUGAAACUGGGUUUGAGUAAUCAAGAAAAGCCAAAAUGUAGAACAAUGACAAUAAAAAAUGAAGACCCUCUUACAGUCUUUAACUUGAUAGAAAAAACACGAGCUGCAUACCAUGUCUCACAAAUUUCAAAGAAAAUUGGCCUCAUUCCUGAUGCUGCGCAGAAGGUUGGCCUGAAUCAUCUUUAAGAAAGCUCAUUUAUUACAUUAAUACAUUAUAUCAGUGAGAUGAUGCUACUUUAAUGAAACUCAUGUCUCAAGUUAGGAACAGCUACAUGGGCAUUUCAUCGAACAGUUGAUAUGCUCAGUAGAUAAUCGAAGUUUCCUGGAAGUUGCAAGUGCUGCCGGCAUUUUCAAAAUUGGAAAACCAUUCAAAGGUUUUCAAUAGUUAGUUUGAUAUUACACGUGUGAUAAUCUUGUGAUGAUGAUGAUUUUAUGUAUCUGAUUAUAAGCUAAGCUAAGCUAGUGGAUUUGUAAGUAAGCACACGGCAAAGUAUUUAAUCUUCUUAUUGUCGCAUUCUUCUAAUCAAUUAGCUUUCACCAACAAAAAUAAUUAAUAAUAAUGUAAAUGGAGGAACUUGGGAUCAUUAAUACCAGUAAACUACAACUUCACCUAGGCUUCAGGGAGGAUCCACAUGUUGUCUACAUUGAGCAUUUGACCAAUAAACUUUUAUUUUUCCAUAAUUUUCUAUAUAAAAUUAUGUAUUUUCAUGAAAUUACAUAAUUUCUUAUAUAAUUGUCUCCAAAAAAUACCAAUAGGUGCACGAACACAAAUAUGAUGCACACAUCUCUUUAAUUAAUUUAGGGCUUAAAGAGAUUUUAAGAUGACUACAAAUUGAAUAUGGCAGAUCUUGGACACCAUCCAUAAGAAAUAAAACUAGUCUCAAAUUGGAUUUCUGAGUACUCAAACAAAGCUAAAAGAAAGAUAAAGAAUGAAAACUGAAACAAAAAAAUCCUCUCACCAACACCAUAUGACUCUUAAUAUAUAGAAAGAACUCGAGCUCGAGCCUUAUCCAAAAUGCUGCACAAGUAGCAUGAGUCGUCUUCAUAAGUUUGGAGACUCUGUAGACAAAGAGUAAAAACACAUUGAAGGUGCAGUUUUGACAUAAUUAAAUUGCACAAAUUAACCUCUAUUAAGGACACAUAAAUCCUUCAAUUUUCUCUGUAAGCAAUUAAUUUCAUUUUUUAUUCUUUUAUUUUUCGCUAUGUCUAUAUAACAACUAAUCCUCAACGUAAAAACAGAGCAGAGUAGUUAUAUUUAAAAAAGAUGUACCAAUAUGAUUUAACAAACAAUUCAACAUAAAUAAAACAUUUUUAGUCAGUAAAAUAGAAUCAAAUCAAAACCUCCCGUUUAUCUUACCACUGUUUUUCGCAUCUUUUUCCUUUUCAUUCGCCUCGGCGGACUUCUCAUUCUCUUUUUCCUCCCCUUCCUAAUCAGAUUUAAAAUGAAUUUAUAAAAAAAUUAAUAUGUAUUUUUUUCUUUUUACUUUUUUAUAUAUAUCUGUUAUUAAAUCAGUAAUUUUUAGAAAAAAAAAAAAUAAAUCAACAUCUCAUAGUGAAUGAAUACUUACCUUUUUUCUUUUAAGAUAUACGUAUUGAAUGGUUGUAUUAAGGUCCCGAUCCCAAGCCCCAAGUUUCUUAUCGACUAGGCUCAUCUGCACUUCGUGUAACUUGGGUGUGCUUAAUUCCCCUUCUGAGAAAAUCUUCAUAUUGGGGCAAUCUGCCACCACUAAUGUUUCCAGAGAUGGGAAUUUGAAGUCGCAAUUAUUCCCAGAGCAGCUGAAACUAGUCAGACUUUCUAAGCCCAAAAGAAUCAAUUCCUUUAAAUCGCUGAAAACAAUUUCAUCUUUUGCUGCAUAAUUAUCUCCCUCAUCAUCCUCAUCUGCCACUAUUUCUGUUAUCAUCUUGCAGCAAACUAUGUGCAUUCGUCUCAGUCGCACCAGACUCCUUGCUGUUGAGGAUGUCAGUACAUGUAUCAUUCCAUGGCAAAGACAUACAAUCAAAGUUGUUAGGUUCUGAAAGGAUGUCGAGGAUGGCACUAGAUUAGUCAAAUUGUCACACUCGACUAUCUCCAGCUGUUGCAAAUUGUUGGUAUUGGUUGACUCUUGUUUGAAAAUCUGCUUCAGUUCACGACGCUGGUUUAUUCCCCUCAUCAUUGCUUCCAUCCCAUUUUCAAGGUUUUCAAAUGAUGUGUGCAAAUCUGCCUCAUUGUUCCCUCCUAUAGAGAGAAUUUUGAUGGUGUGAAAUCUCUGGAGGAAAUCGUCAAGUGAUAAAAUAGUACUUGACUCAUCAAGCCAGACAUCAAGAUAUUUAAGUUUGCAAAGCCAGUCUUCUGGAAAUAGGCCUAUGUGCUUUUCAUCAACAAUCAAUUCUUCCAAAUUGGGAAAUACCUGGGUGAUCAUCAAUCACGAAAAAAGCAAGAUGGAGUUAACACUUCUUUCUUACGAUUUCACAAAUUAAAGUAAAUACAAAGCAUUCCAAUGAUGCAUAUUGAUGGCCGGACAAAUUUAUACAUAUGCGGAGAGAGUAUGAUUUUCACCAGUAAAUACAAAGUAAAAACAAAGCAUUCCAUUUAAGUAAUGUGUAUUUUCUUCCAUUCUCUCUUCUUAACUCUUGUCCAGUUGAUAGAUUUUCAAAUUUUAUUAGAUUUGUGCAUAAUCUCUAUGAAAAAAGACUUCAAUUAUUCUCAAAUUGCGUUUAAACUUUGAGAUUCUUUUAAUUGAUCCGUUUAUUUGGUUUGAAUUGAAAAUCUUACAAAUUUCUUUUUUUUUUAAAUAUUGGAGUUUUUAACUUUUUCUUAAAGCAAAAAUGAAUAAAUAAUAUGAAUUUUAAAAGUUUAAUAAUAUAGUAAGAAGCUGGUAUUUCAUUAAUAUUCAUCCAACUCAAUGGAAUUAGAUAUAUUUAUUAUUGUGCAAGAAUGGAUUUUAUUGUACAUAAAGUUUAAUAGAAUAAGAUUUCUUAAUUUGAGUUUUGUCCAUCUUUCUAUAUAUAUUUCAAAAAUAUUAUUUAUGUUAGCACAAGAUGACCAAUUUCUACUUCAACAUCAAAAUUGAUAAUCAUUUUGUAUGUAACAAUACUGUACUAAGGAGUACUAAUUUGGAAAUAGCUCUUGAACGAUUUUCAGGGAACUAAAAUUAAAGUGAUUUAUGGAACUAACAUUUUCUUACUAAAAGACAAAGUGAUGAGGGCAAUGACGAAAAGAAAACUCUAUACUCUCAAAGUAGAAAUGCUUUCAAGUACCUAAGAAUUGAACAAUAAUUACAAAAAUCUUGCACGUACCUUUUCAAAAUGCAGAUCUCCUGUGCAGAAGCUUGUAAAAAUCUGCUUCAGAUCUGCUUGAGUGUUAUUAUUGGUAUUGGAGGACUCUCCUUUCAAAAUCUGCUUCAGAUCACGACGCUGAUUUAUUCCUGUUAUCACUACCUUCAUUCCAUUUUCAAACUCGUCAGAUGGAUCUUUCCAAAAAUCAUCGUCAUCGUUUUCUUUUAUAACAAGAACUUUGAUGGCUUGAAAUCUGUGGAGGAAAUCGUCAAGUGAUACAAUAGCAGCUGACUCAUCAAGCCGGACAUGAAGACAUUUAAGUUUGCAAAGCAAGUCUUCUGGAAAUAGACCUAUGUGCUUUUCAUCAACCCUCAAUUUCUCCAAAUUGGGGAACACCUGGGUGAUCAUCAAUCACAAAAGUGGCAAGAUGGAGUUAGCACUUCUUUCUAACGAUUUCACAAAUUAAAGUAAAAACAAAGCAUUCCAAUGAUGCAUAUUGAUGGUCACAGAAAAACACAAGGUGGAGUUGAUCUUCUUUCUAAAAACUUCACAUAUUAAAGUAAAUGCAAAGCAUUCUAAUGAUGAAUAAUAUUGAUGGCCAGACAAUAGAUACAUGGAUAGAUAGAUAGAUAGAUAGAUACAUACAUACAUACAUACAUACAUAUAUAUAUAUUGUUCUCAAUUAUUCUCAAUUUACAUUUAAACUUCCAGAUUCUUUUAAUCGAUCGGUUUAUUUGGUUUGAGUUGAAAAUCAUACAAAUUUCUUUUUUUUUUUUAAAUUAGAUAUUUUAACUUUUUUUUUAACAAAAGCAAAAAUGAAUAAACAGCUUGAAUUGCUAGCACAUAUGAAAAGAAGGAAAAUUUGCACGAAUUUAAAAAACUUAAUAAUAUAGUAAGAAGCUGGUAUUACAUUAAUAUUCAUCCAACCCAAGGGAAUUGGCUAUAGUUUACUAUUGUACAAGAAUGGGUUUUAUUGUACAUAAAGUUUAAUAGGAUAAAAUCUCUUCAUUUGAGUUUUGUCCAUCUCUCUACAUAUAUUUUUAAGCAUAUUAUUUAUGUUAACAUGAGAUGAACAUUGAUCAUCAUUUUGCAUGUAUGUGGCUUGAAAAUGGCACUCAGAAAUAAUAUGCCUAAAAAUAUUUGAAAAUGGCACUCAGAAAUAUUUUUGAUGUACUGUGGCUUGAAAAAUUCUAGAUCGUAUGAUCAUUUUCUUUGUUUGGCUAAUCAAAUGCACUGUCUCUUUCAUGUAUUAACUGAACAUAUAGGCAUAAAAUAAAAAGAAAAAAAGUAGACGAAGAAGAAAAUCUCUUGAAGAGUGAUAAUUAUGUUUAUUGAAGAUUUAUUGAAUUCAAUAUUCGAUAAUGAGAAGAAUUAUUGAAGAAUGAUAAUUAUGUUUAUAAGGAUAUUAUAAAAUAUAAAUAAACUGAUUUAUAUAACUAACAUUUUGUCACUAAAAGAUAAAGUGAUGAGGGCGAGGAAGACAAUAAAACUCUGAACUCUCAAAGUAGAAAUACUUUUCAGUACGUAAGAAUUGAAAAAUAACUACAAAAAUCUUGCACGCGUACCUUUUCAAUAUGCAGAUCACCUGUGCAGAAGCUUGUAAGCUGCGGAAGAGAACGAAGCUCAAGUGUCCUUAAUUGAGUGAGUUCAAUGACCAAUGGAAAUACAUUUUUCAAUUUAUCACACCCUUCCACCCUUAUGGUCUUUAAUUUGCAAAAAGACUCUGCUGUGAGUGGACCACGACAUAUUUCCUCAAGGUUUCUUAAAUCUCUCAGAAAUAAUGACUCCAAAAGGGGGAAUGCAAUCGUCGGAGCUGGCGUACAAUCCAUUGUGUCAACAAGACGAACAAGGUUGCCAUUAUGUUCGAUUUGGAGACGAUUCAGUUUUGGAAAGACUUCUCUGCCUGGUUCACAAAGAACAUUCUUCAUGUCCGGCAAUCCAUCUAAAGUUAGGUCUUCAAUACCCUUCAAUUGCAUGAUAUGCCCCUCGUUCAAGCAAAUGUUGGCACCAUUGGUGAGCUUCAGUUUGAAUUUUCUAGAAAUCCCAUCCCAUGGGCCAACCGACCACCAGUCAUAUCCUAUCGAUAUCCUGUACCUUUGCAGCAUUUUGAAGAACGACAAGUCUCUUGGUAGAGUCUUUUCAUCUUGGAUGAGUAUUUCUAAAGAGGUCAAUUUAGAUAAAUUAUUCAACUCGUCAAGGCUGGCAUUUCUUCUUUCACCGUCGACUCCUCCAACCUUCCCCCACAUAAUGGGACUCUGACCGAUAUACAAUUCUUCUAAUCUUGAUAAGCUUGAUAUGACAUUUGGUGGAAUAACUUGUAGAUUGAAACAGUAACUCAGAUCCAACAACCUCAAUUGAGUCAGCUCGCCCAUUUCUUCAACUAGUUUCUCCAUAUCAGAACCUCGAAGUGUAAGUAUUUCUAAUUUCUUCAGGUCUCCAAUAAUAGCUAUGUCUCCUAGUAUACAAAAAUCCAGAGACAAUGUUUGAAGGUUUUGUAAGAGACCAAGCGAUGAAGGCAAUGCCAACAAAUGCAUCUCAGUGAAAUCUAAAACUCUAAGCUCUGUCAUCUCAGUAAAAAUGUUAUCUGGGACUCUCAAAGAAGGAUCAUUGCUAAUACGAAAGUAUUUAAGUUGCGGACACUCGAACCCUUGAGGAAGCUCACUAAUAUUAGUAUUAAAUAAGGAGAUUGCGGUGCAAACCUUCAGUGUAUCCUUAUCUGGCCAGCUGGUCUCAUUUUCCACCGCAAACACAUGUUGGACUCUAGAUGCAAUAGAUAUGGCUACAUCACGAACAACAUCAUGCAUUGAAAACCAUUCACUUGAACGGCCAUCAAGCAACAAACAAGAGUUCUUGAGUUUAUCAACCAAUGUAUGUGCUCUAUCCCGUGCCUCAUCCAACGUGUUGAUGUUUUGAAACAGACCCAAACCCAUGCCAUAACAGAUCACGUCUUUAACGCAAGAGAUGAACGCGUACCCUAUUAGCAAAAAUGUUCUCCUGAGUUCCUCACCUUCUAACUGAUAGUAACUCAACUCUAUAGUUGAAUAGGCGGCCACAGCUUGUGUCCCAGAGAAACUUCUCAAGAAAGGCCUUUUUAAUUGUCGUAAAGCAUUCCUCCAUUCAUAGAGACUCUUAUUUUUCAAUGCCUUCGCUACGGGCACGAUGGCAAUGGGCAAACCAGCACAUUCCUUGACUACCUCUGUCGCUACAGAUUUCAGUUCACCAUUUUCUAUGCAAUCACCUGUCAUCUUCUUGAAAAGACUCCAAGCUUCUUUUUCAUUCAGAACAUCAACAAAAAAAUUUUGUUGACAAUCCAUUUUACAAGACAACACAUCUUGACUUCUUGCUGUCAGCAGAACUUUACAUCCGCCGUUAUCAUCUGCCACUGGAAUUCCAAUCGCCUCCAAAUCGAGACUCCCCCAAAUAUCAUCCAAGAUUAUGAGGAUCUUCGUCUCUUUCUUCAAUUGUUCGAGCAGCCUCCAUGCUCUUACAGUUUCACUCUCUUCAUCUAUUUUCAGGCCCAGCUUCUCUGCAAUUUCUCUUUGUAUUUCUUUUAUUUGUGGUGUUUGGGAAACACGUGAAGAAAUGACCUUCUCAAAGAGAUUAUUUUCCUUGGCCUGUCUGCCAACUUCUUUCACCAGCGUUGUCUUUCCAAUGCCGCCCAUCCCGUACACCCCAAUCAUGUUGAAGUUACGGUUGCUGAGUGCGUCUAGUAUCUCCUUCAAGGUGGACUUUCUCGAUUCAAAGUGCAUGAAAUCCUGGGUAGACUUAAGCCAUGUCUCCUCUGGAAUGGUACGGAAAGAAACACUGUCGAAUCUCCCUUUUUCAUGGAGUCCAACAAUAGCAUUCGCCUCUCUUUCUGCUUUCUUGCUAAGCUGGUACCGAGUCCUCAAAUUAGGACAUAACCCCUUCAAACACCGGUUGUUUGAAUUCUCUUUGUCUUCAAUAAGUAUUUCGACUUCAUUGAUCUCCUUGUUCGCAGAAAUCAGCCACUCCUCAACGUGCUGUUGGAUUCCGUCCCCUUUAAUUCUGGAAUCAUCAACCUUAUACUGCACACUGUCUCUAGCAUUCUUGAGCUUAUCAACUUCAUUAUUCAGCUUCUCGAAGUUGGUCUUGUAAGUGCAGCAGUAAGUAAAUGGAUAAAUUAUGGGAGCAACCAAGUACUCUGCAACUUUUGCAGUAACGGAGAUAACAAUUUCCAUUAUCAUUUUCUUUUUUAUUUUUCGGUUUCAGAAAACAGGGGAAAGCAAAACUAAUCAAACUAAGCAGAAGUAAUCAAUCAGCUGGGAUGAGGGAAAUAAGAAGUUUGGAUAAAUUGCUAAAAUAAGAGGUUGAAUAGAUUUAAGGGAGGAGGAGAGGAAAAGAGUGAAACAAAUGGGGAUCCUUUUUCUGCUAAGAAAAAUUGAAAAGCGAGUACAAUAAAUGAAAGAUUUGCAAAGAAGGUGUAGGAUCGAGGACAAGAACGAUUCAGAAAAGGGAGACAGAAAAUGAAGAAGAGAUUUCAGAGAACUCUAGAGAUAAGGGAAAUGCAGAGGCAGACAGUUGUCAUCUCAAAUUCAUACAAGGAGAAGACUCGUGCUUCCAAGUCAACUAAAUUCUCAAUGAUUGAGAUAGAUAGUUAUAAGGGUUAAAGUUAUAAGGGUUAUUAUGGUUUUAUUUUAAAAAAUAAAAAAUUAUAAGAUAUAAAAUAAUUAUAAAAAGUAUUGGUGUUAUCAUUUUAGUAGUGUAUCUUUAAAAAAAUCUUUUAUUUUAUAAUAUUUUUGCUAAAAUUGUGAGUCCAAAACUAACGUCAUACUAAUAUUAAAGGCCUAAAAGUGUCUUUACAUUAAAAACUAUGAUAAAAUUGUAUGCAAAUUAACAUUACAAGGGCGGCAUAUUUAUUAUUGGUUAAGAAAGAGGGAAAAAAAAUUGGAAUCUCAAAUAUCUAGCGUCAUCAUUAUUUUUUUUUUUCUUCAUUUUUUUUCUUUUUCCAGACAGUGGUCUACCAUCUUUGAAAAAUUAUUGGCACUUUCGAAUGGGUAUUAAGCCAUGCAUUGGCAUUGAGGGUCUCAUCUGAAAGAGGAAUUUUGGUAGCAGCAGUGGCUGUGUAAUUUUUUUUUUUUAAAUGAUUUAUCUCUAGGAAUGCAGGAUCAAUUUAAAAGUGAAUUUUAUAUUAAAUUUCUUUGAGAUUGCUUUUCUGUUGAUCUGUUUGAUUUGGCUAUGGAAUGAUGGUUUUAUUACUAUGAGUUUGAAGGAUUUAUGAAAUAGAAAUUAAGAUUGAUAGAAAACAUAUUGAUCUCCGAGCUUUAAUGGCAGUUUAAACUUGUUAUCUUCAAGCCUCACCGGUGGUUUCAAUUUGAUACUUUGAUGAGAGCAAAAUUAGCAAUUUAGCACUAGAGGAAGAUAUUUAAUCACAAGUAUAAGAAGUUUUGACAGCGAAGAGAGGUAUUCUUCAACUGGGGUUAAUUUUUUAUUUUUGUUUUCUUAUUUUUUAUUAAAAAUUUAAUUAAUUUUUAAAAUAAGGUCAUACUUGGUAUUUUACCAGUUAACUAACAAUGAUAAACAGAAAUAUAAUAAAAUGAAAGAUUUUACAAAGAUACAGUAAUAAAAUGCUAAACAUUAAUAUUUUUUUUUUGUUAUUUGAUGCUUCAUACUUUAUAAUGUAGUCAAGCAAUAAUAACCCUAGUUACAAUUACAUGUAGAUGGUGUUAAUUGGGCAUUUUUCAACUUGUAGGUCUAAGGCUUCUCAAGCAAAUUUUAUGGUAGCUUCCAUUAAUUUUAAGUGUUAAUAAAAUAUUUUACUACUGUAAUUUAAAAAUUACAGUUGAUAAGCAAUAAUAGCAGAGAGAGAAAAUUAAAUAGAUUGAGAAUGAUUUUUGAUUCAGGGCAAGUUUUCGAGUGCUUUACGAACAAUCAAAAUGCUAAUCCUGUUAGCCAAAAAACACAAGCGCUUUGUAAAGAACAGUACGGGAAAAACCCUCUAUUUAAAUAACAAUCGUGUAAUUACGGAGGGGGUAUCUUAAUUACAUGGCAGUUACAUUCAAUAACAACAAUAUUACUUAAAAAUUUUCUAUUAGCAAUGAGUGUGUUGGCGGUAGGAUAAAAAAAUCUGAAGACUUUGCAAACUUUUUGUGAAAAUGCAUCGCAGUUGUCUUGUUCUUUCGCUGUUGAUAAUCGCAAUGAACUGAUGAAGGCCAAGAGACCCAAAGUGAAGUGACCUAUGUGCUUUUCUAAUUACCCUCCUACAAACUGUAAAGCCGAAGUUUGCGGACUUUAUUAUCAUUUUUUUUUUAAAAAAAAAAAAGAUAUACAAAUAAAAAAGACAAAAGAUGAGAUGAGACUUAUAGUACCAGUGGCGGGCCCCCCUGGGUCCUCAAAUUAUUCAUAUGGGCAUUUCAUCGAACAGUGGAUAUACUCGGCAUCUGCACUUGGAAGACGUGUUCAAAAGCUCUAAAUCAUGUUAAAGUCGACCAAAAAGACAAAACAUAGAAAGCAACAAUCCAACAACUUGGUUAAAAUAUUCGCUAUCACAAAUGGUUGCGUUAACAUGUCCAACAACGAUUAUUAUGAAAACGGGACCAGAAGACGUAUAAGGGAUUUCGGAGAAUUUGCGAGAGGUGGGAUGAUUAAGAAAAUGCAGGAGCAGGAUAUUUAUGACCUCUAUUAGUAAUUUGAUUUCGUGAAUCAUUUUCAAAAGGAAAAUAACGCACCAUCAAGUCAACCUUGGUGCAGAAAAAUAUUAACAUUUAAUGAACAUAGAGGGAUGAGUUGGGCCAAGUCUUUAAAUCAGAUCUGUCGUGGAAUCUAACAGGGAGAUUAAAAGAAAAAUCAAUCAACUAGUAUAUAAUAUAAUGUUUUUACAUUUAACUAAUUAGGAGACUGAUACACUAGCAAUCAGCAUUAAUCAAUUAUUUGAUAAACCAGUAAAUAUUGGAUAUCUCGGUGCAAAACAGAGUGUUGAGAGAUAAAAAUUAACCUGGUGUCUUUGGCAGGUGUUUAAUAUAAUUGCUAAGCUUGCCACAUGCCAUUGCCAACUUUGGCCAUCGGCUAGCUGCAUAAAGCAGCCGUCGUGAGAUCAAGCACAACAAGCUUGUGAUGUGAUCACCGAUCAUGCAUCCAGGACAAUUUUAUAUUUAUUUAACUCCAAUAAUCAUAAUAAACUAUUGAAUUAUAGACCAGAAGUUCUAUCUACAUAAUUAGAAGGCACAAACACUAUUUCUGCUUAUUGAAGAAAAUCAAGAAAUGCUGAUUCCGUCAUGCUUAGUUUCAUAAUCAUUAAUAUGCUUUUAUACGAAUCCUUGGUUUUGAAUAUAAUAAUGGUUUCAGAAAUGCAUACUACCAUGCUUCCAUGUAAAACGUUGCUGCCAUGUCAUCAUACUGGACAGACCUUCAGAGGUUACUCUUCGAAACGUUUCAUUAUGCCACGUGUACUUGAUUAUUUGACUAAUCACGGUUCACAAGUUGAGUGAGCUACUCACCACACCACCUUCCUGCUGCAAAGAAUCUUAACUGAAUUUUGACUUGGUCAGAAACUCAGAAUUAGUGGUGCACGUGAUGCUUACACGUGAGGACCCAAAUGACGAAUUCCAAACGCUGAAUGACGUAUGUGUGAAUUAAAUAUAACUAUUAAUCAUAUGAUAAUUUUUUAAAAGAAAUCCAUAUAUGUCACAUGUAUACUAAGUGGGUGUAGUGCGACGAAGGUGCUCUAUAAUUUUUCAGUGAACACAAUAUAAUCAUCAAAGUGAAAGAAAAACUUUUGAGGUUUUGGCGUAUUCAUUAGCGAAAUUUGAGCCGAAAACAAAAAUUCAUAUUUGUAAACAUCAAAACCAAAAUCAUUUGGAAUUACUUGCUGAAAUUGAUUAGGUCAUUUUUAACCUGAAAUUUAAGGCCGUUAAUUAUUGCAUGAAUGUUUUGAUUUUAAUACCAGUGGCAAUCACGUACACGUCUAAUGAUUUGAUUAAAUUUUUUUUGGGGGAAAAAUAUAAAAAAGAGAUGCUUGUUCUUUGUGGGGUCGUUUGUAGAGGCAAAGGCUUAGCUCGAAUGAUAAGAACAUUGCCUUCUUAGGGCCAAAGACGUGAGUUUGAGCCUUAUCCUCCUGGAAGUAAAUCGAAGACUAUUAAUUGUCUGCCGCUAACUGUUUUUUUUUUUUUUUCUAAGUCUUUAUUACUCUUCUCAUAUUAGUAGUUAGCAGACAUUUUAAAUUUUCUUUUAACAUUUUAUUCUAACAUUUUUUCCCCGAAAACGACAAUGGCAAGAUAGUUUGACCUACCUUGACUGGCUUAAUUUGGAUUGCUUGUGUUCCACUCUCUCUUAUGUGUCAUUGUGCUUACGUUGCAAGGGAUUCGUCAGAGUGGUAGUUGUCAAAUUAAAGUUACAUUACAUUUACAUACGUUAAAGACUUUAUACGAAUAUUCUCCAUCGUCUUUGUUGACUCUUUUUUAUCUUUUAUUUUUCCUUGUGUCGAAAGAAUCCUUCACUGAUUGGAAUAUCCAUGAUGACUGGUUGCAAUUGGAAGAGUCCCUGAAAUUCAUCUUUCAUUCGAUCUUAAAAUACUUUCUCCGAACAAUUAGAAUACAUUAAGAUUUUAUGAACUUGCUUACUAGACUUGUUAAUUAAUUGAUUAUCUUCCCGGAAACACAUUAAAGACUCUCAAGGGGAUUCAUUAAACCUUUUUGCUGGGUCAAUUCUACAAGCAUCAGACGUAAAAGCUUCAUGAUAAGAGCACAAGCCUAUCGUCUUCUAAAGCUCCUUCAAAAAGCGAAGCUAGCUAUUCUCUUUAUUGUCAUUUCCAUCCACUUUAAUUAACCCUCUCUUUUUCAUGUUGUACAACUUUGACUUGACUCUCAAAUGGAGAACAACGAUAUUUAAACAGAAAAAAUUAAUAAAAUAUUUAAAAAUAAAAUAAAAUUAGUGUCGGUUUAUCUUGUACUAGUUUUACCUUAUUGAUGUCAAUGAUUUUCUAAGAGAAAAAAAAAUUCAUUAAUUUUACCUUUGUUUCAUGAUGAGGUAAGACAUAAUUUUUUUCUUUUAAUUUUUAAAAGAUUUCUUCAAAUGAUUUUCAAGUUGAUUUAUUUGGUUGGACUGUACAAUGAGUUUGGGCUUAGCCCACCCCUAAUUUUUUUUUUUUUUGCCAGUUUAGCAUAAAAAAGAUUUUUAUCAAUAGGUGUGCUGCAAGUGAGAUAUGGAUAAAAGGAUAUAAAGAGAUAGAACAAAAAUUGAUUGAAGACAAAAAUUGAUAUCAAUCAAUUAGUGGAUAAGAUUAAUUAAUUUUUUUUUAAUGUUGCUCUUUUACUCAAUUAAGUAAUUAACAUUUAUAAAUGAUCACUAAGUAUUCAUGAGUAUGUGAAACGUGAGCUUAAACAUGAAUCAAUAUUUGCUAGUGCAUUGGUGGUUGGCACAAAUAACUUCGAUGAUAGAGAGUGAUUGGGAAGCAUUAAGGGGAUGGAUCCUUUAAUGAUCUAUUUUUAAAGCAAAUUUCACUUAAUAUGUUUAUUGGUUAAGUAUGCAUAGAGAUUUCCGGACCUAAUUAAAGACUUCAAAUUAAUGGUGAAACAUCUUUGCAAAUUAAACUAAGAAAAAUUGAAAAAGUAUUUUUAUCAUUUUAUGCAUGGAAUUCCACGUCCAUGCAUGCAUCUACCCAACAAAUGCACUUGUAAUUUAGCAUGCAUAUGGUACAUGACAAAAUAUUGUCUUGGAAAAGUCUCAAUGGAUAACUCAUGACAUGUCAUUGUACGUACAAGCACAACGAAUAAUCGUUGCGACGACUUGCAUAAAACAAAAAGGGAAAUGUCUGUUUGUCCCUGUAGUUUAAGUACCCAUGGAGGAGUCAAUAUAUUUUUAAAAAUUUACUAAAAAUAUAUAUAUAUAUAUAUAUAUAUAUAUAUAUAUAUAUAUAUAUAUAUAUAUAUAUAUAUAUAUAUAUAUAUAUAUUCUAUAUUUUUUUUUGGAUAAAAUCUACUUAAUUAUUUUCUAUCUUUCAUCUGCUAUAUAUUAAAUAAGUUUGAAUUUUAAACUUUAACAUAUAGAAUUUUGCUUUGAAAUUUAUGUCCAACAACUAGAAAAGUGAGUAAAAGAGAUGAUCUGGAUAAUCUUUUAAAAUAUAAUAUUGACCAAACUGAAUAAUUGACUCGAACUAUGGGGCUUAAAAUAAUUUUUACCUAUUUAACAAAUUUUAAAAUUGUUUUCCAAAAAAGAUGUAGAUUAAUUUCUUUCUUUAUUGAUAAAAUUAUGAAAUAAUUAAGUAAUAUUCAUAUUGUACUGAGAACAACUUCUUGGUUUAGCGAUGGUCUUACAUGUCGAGGGUUUGAAUCUUUUAUGCAUAUACGGUGUUAAUAGUAAUUAAAAGGGAGUGUGUAUACCACACGCCGGAGACCAAAAAGUGAUUUGUCAAAUCCUCGAACUGAAUGACGAGCCAAAAGUGGAUUGGAUUGGUUAUCCACUUUUGUACGGCUUUGAAUGACUUUAUUUUCUACAUACUCCGCAUCAGUCGUUGUGACGACGUAAUUACGAAAACAACUAGAAGCUCGCCAAGACGACGGGCAAGCUGAGAACAUAUUCGUAGGCAUUUUCCCUUCAUUUACACCAAAUCUAAAGUUCUGAACUGAAUAUGAAAGAGGAAGCCAACUUGAAUUACAUUUUUUCCAGCAUUUUUUGGUCGAGCGAACCAUUUCACUUGGGAUCAUAAUGAGUCGUUGCAAGGAAAAUGUUAUUUUGAUUAUUACUUUGUUUAAUAUUCUUGUCUGCGGUAUUUUAAUUUGAGAGAGAUAUAAGUCUCAAAGGAAUGUCGGAUUCUGUGCUCACAUGAUGAGCUAUAUAAUAUAUGUUGGUUUUACUUAAGGUUGUUGUAAUUAGUAGUUUUUUUUUUUUAAAAAUAAUACUAGCACAACUCUAAUAAAUAACGGAUAAAAAUUCCUAAUUAAUUUGAAUUCAUCUCUCAUUUGUCAUUUAAAAAAGAAAAAAAAAGAAAAAAAAAGAUUCAAUCUUGGUUUAAUUAUGAACUAAAUGUUCUUCUUUUCAAUCAUUAAUUAAUAUUAGGUAGGUAGAUCUACCAACACGGUUGCACCUAAUUACCCACUAUAAAAUUUUAUUAUCAAUCCCCCAUGGAAAAAGUGUGCAUGCCUAUAUAUAAUCGGACUUUAUUAUCAGUGUUAUGGAUAAAAGAAUUAUUAAUUUUAAAUUAAUAAUUAUUUUAAUCAAUUUGGCAAUAUAUAUCUUAUCCUUGAUUAAUUUAUAUGAAUGAAUAUCAAGUGUAACGUAAAAUAUUAUUUGUGUUGCACAUGACAUGCGGACAAAAGAAUACAAAGAUUCCUUAAACAAGAUUAAAAAAAAAGUAAAAUAGAAAGUUGAAUUUAACAAGAUUCAUGUACAGGAAGAAAAGGAAUUAAUAAAGUGAUAAAAAAAUUGGUAAUCGUGGCAAGUAAUCUUAUUCAUGUACGAGGCGGCACGACCCAAGACUUGGAGAUUAAAUAAUGAAACUUCUUUGCAAACGAUAGAAACUCCAAUUUAUGGAGAGACUUGACGAGUAUUUUAUCAUUUUAUGCAUGGAAAUCCACGUGCAUGCAUGCAUGUUCUCCACGCUUGGAAAUUUUGCAAAUGGCUUCUCCCUUUAAUGGGAUGCACAGUUUUCGUACAUCAAUAUUGAAAAUGUCCUCUAACAAGUGUCUCAAUUAUUGGAUAACAUGUGCAGUCCUUGUAAUUCAUUGAUAACACGUCCCUCAACAAUCUAUAAUACAUCAAACUACCAAAUUGGCCAACAAAUCGAUGAUACUUAUGUUUUGAAAAACUAUCAUGUAAUUGAUGAUUAUAUAAAUUUAACUAUAUAUAUUAUAUAUACAUUAGUUGAUUGUAUUGGUUUUGAUGUAUUGUAAAAUUUUUGAUUUUAUGGGCAUAUAAUAUAGAUUAUCAAAAUUUAAGUUUCUUCACAUAUGCGCGCGCACACACAUACACACACAUAUAUAUAGGAGUGACUAAUGAGUCUUUUUCUUUUCUCAUUUUGAGAAAAUCUCAAGUACAUAAAACUUAUUAUAACCAUUUAGUGAAAUUAGUUAUGACAUACGCAUUCUGAUUUUAUUAUACUAUAAUUAUCUUCUUCUUUUUUUUUUUUCCAACUUAAAUGUACACGUACGUGAUCAAUGACUAUGGAUUAUGUAGAGGAGUUUAUCAUUUUAUUGAAAUUCUAACGAUUGUCAAAGCAUAUUAAAGGGAGAUUGGCAAUUUUCUUCAUGUAGAAAUUAAUACAUACCAUUUCCAUUUCUCUUCUUAUUGCUUCUAUAAUAAUCAAUAACUUUCAUUCAUCAUAAUUUUAUAGUAUUAUUCUUAUUUUAAGAUAUUUUAAAAUUUAUUUAAUUAAUCAUCUUUAUUAUUAAUUAAAUGAAUUAUAUAAACAGAAAUAUAUAUUUUGUCUUUAAACAUAUUUUCUUAUAGUAAAUAUAUAUUUUAUAUUUUUAAAAUAAAAUAUCAAGUAAAUGACCCAUUUACCUUUACUUUCUUUUAAGUUUUUUUUAUACUAAGAGAUUAUUAACUAUUAUGAAAAUAAUAGACGAAUAAAUAUUUUACAUAAAUUUCGACAGGGAGAAACUAUCAAUACUCUUAAACGAUUGAACCUUCAGUAUCUUAGAAGUUGACUGUGAAUGACAUUUUACUCCAUAAGAGCAUUUUAUUCCACCCCAUUGCAAUUGUUGCUUGUUUUCCACGGAUAUCUUGAUUACGUUUGCAAGCUUAUGUUAUAAGGGCUUCGUCAUUGCCAUUAUUACGAAAUAAAAUAGACUACGAUUGUUGACCUAAUUUGAAAAUUCCUCCAUUGUUUAUUAUUUUUCCCUUUUUAAUUUAUCAAUAUCAGUCAUAUCAAGUCAUUCUUUUAAUCAAAAACCUUGGGGAAGACGAAAUAUAUAUUAACUUACUGUCUUUUCUCAAUAACUUUUUAGGUGAGAUUAGUUUAAUAAAUUACAUGAUAAAUAAUACUCUUGCUUGAGUCUAUAUAUCAUAUAAUUAUAUAUGAUAUAAAAUUAAGAUUCUUUUUUUUUUGUCGUAAUACAUAGAAUUGUUCGUACUAUUAUUAUAACAAAAUAAUUAAAAUUUAUGAGUUGAAGUUGUCAGAAAAAUAAACUUAUUUCCAAUGAAUGGCAUUUGGAGGAACAAAAUCAAUCCGGAAGUUUUUUACGCGGAAAAAAUCAAUUAACAUUAAUGACGUCCAAAUGUCCAAAUAUGGUGAGAAAUUGAAUUCUUCAAAACCUUGCUGUUUCUUCAUAUUUCUUUACAAAUUUACCGAUUCUUUACUCUAAAUUCUAGUAUUUGUCUUCAUACAUACAAUGGAAACUUAUUCUCUAAGAUACUGUAAAAAAAAAAAAAAAAUUAACAAAACCUAAUCAGUUGGUAAAUUUUGAUAUAAUUAUUAUCUAUUAUUAAUAAUUAGGUGGAUCUAAACGUUCCAAAUACAUUAAAACAAUCGAUCAUCUACAUUAUUCUAUAUUUUGGGGAGAGAAAAAAAAAAGACAAAAUCUUUUAGAUCAUCUACAUUAUUCUACAUUAAUCUUUUUAUUUUUUUUUCUUAUGAAAAAGCAAUUAAAUUAAUAAGUAGAAAUUUCUUUACAUUUUCGCCGGAGAAUCAGAGUCAAAUUCAAAUACAACGACUCAAGCGCAAAAGCUUAUAAAUAGAGGAGAGCAAAAAUAAAGCCCCGUUCCAGUUCUCUUCUCUGUCAGAGGCUACGGAUUUGAGAGAUUAAAGAACAUCAAUCGAACAGUAAGACUCCGUACUCUGUGACUCAAAGUUGCAAAAACUUUUAGGUAAAAUUUUUCGGUUAAUUUUUUAAUUUUCGAGAAUAAAGAGAGAGAAAAAAAACAGAUGGGAUUAUGUUUGUCUGGGAGUGAUGUGAGGGGAGGGAAACAAGCCGUAGGUGGGGCCCAGCUCCGGCCCACCACCGCGGCUGAUCAGAACAAUGUUUCUGGACAAAACGACGCCGUUGAUUUCUUCUUCAAAUCUCGCGGUCUUCAAGCCCUUUUCACCCAAAUCGAGGUAUAUGUGUAUACCUGAAUUUAUACGAGUCUUUCGCUGCCACUAUUAAUAAACUAUUUUCAGUUAAUUAAUUAAUUAAAAAUUUAUGAUUAGUUUAUGUUUUUUAAUUUAUUUAUAAUUUUUUAUUUUAAUUUUUUAAAUUUGAUUUUGUUCGUGUCUGUAAUUGUGAUGGAUUCUCAAAUGGUCACUCGUUUGAAAAUCUAUUCCCAAAUUAUGUUUGUUGUUAUUACUUAUUUGAUGACUUGUCGGUGUAACAUCGAACAACUUAAAUCGUCUAUAUUUAAUAAAAGUUAUUUGAUAAUUCGAGUACAAAUAGAGAGUAUAGAUUCCUAUUCAAGAAUCAACCGCAAUCCCAAACAUGCCUUUUUUUUAAAUAAUGUAAGAUGAGUAUUUGGAAUUUUGGAGAGCGAAUAUUUUACCUGGUGCUCCUUCAAAGGACAAAGGACUUAAGCAUCUUCUCAAAAGAACGCCUAUCGGGUGCUUCUUUGAGAAGCAUUUUUCUUUCUUUCUUUUUUUUGAAUUUGUUCUGGUGGCUGAUCUUUUGCUGGUGUUGGUUGGACGGUUUCACACCAAGCAACUUCUUUUGUUUUGCAUAUGGAGAACAGUAAGUUUAACUGCUUAUACCCAAUAACAACAUUCUGUGGAGUGAAUUUUAGAUUAAGAUUGGUUAAGGUAAAUAAAAAAAGAAUGGUGUUGAAUGCACAAUGGCCUUGUGAACGUUGAGAAAGUUGAUGUUUGAUCCUGUUGAAUGCACAGUGGUUUUCCUGUGUAUCCUCAAAGUUGACUAUUCGGUUAUGCCUCAUUUAUCAAAUUUGACUCAUACCCCUCAUGAUCAAAUUUGACUUGUACCCCUGUGAAGAUUCCCCAUGAUAAUGCUCUCCUGAAUGGAACAUGAUUUUGUGAAUGCUGGUUUGCAUAAGACAAACCAUUAACUUUAUAAAAGAUUGUGGAUUAAGGAUUAUGUUGUUACGAGGAUAAGAAUGUCUUUCCAUAACGUGGACCACCAAGUGAUUGUAAUAUUCCUGUAUUGAUGUGGACCUUACCUGAGGAUCUCCUUGGAAACUUUCCUGGAGAAAAGGAAACAAGUCAUAUGAUAACAAAUUAAAUGUGGUUCAAUGCUUGUAAUUGACGUGUCACAUCCUGUUGUUAUAUAAAACUUAAUUACAUAUAUUAUUGCUUGCUGCUUAUAAGAUUUAAUAUUAGAAGUGAUUCUGUCAGAAUCCGAAAUGAUGGUUUUCUGCAUGUUCUGUUUAUGACAGAUAUAUAUUGCCUGUCAGUUGACCCACAUCGUACUGACAAUUAUCAUUUCGUGCAGCAUAUGCAUGGAUUACUCCUUUUCCGCUUUUUCAUGUAUCUGUAUUCGUUCUUAUGUUUUUGAAUAUAUAUUGCAGUUAUCUUUAUCUGCUUCAAAGUUGCGUGAUCUUGACAUCGCAUCAAAGGUACGCCUUCAUAUUAUUGUUGUCUUAUGUCUAGUAAUGCCAUGUUCAUGCUGUUGGUAGUCUUGGUGAUUGAUUCUCAUGUUAUCUUGUAUCCUCCUUAUAUGAUCUGCUUAUUUGUUCAUAAUGGUCCUGUCAAUAUCCUUUCUCUGUUCAUAAAGGGUCUAGGGAUAUAUGAUCUGAAUAACGCUUAGUGCUGGCACCAAAAUUCUAAACUUAGACAAACGAGAAUAGUUUGUUAGUCUAUCUCCAAUGUAAUCCAGUAAGGAGCAGUAACUUGAGAGUUCCAGAUAAUGUAUAACAAGUCAUGGUUGGUGGUUUUAUUGUUUUUGCAAUUUUGUGCACUAGUCAAAUAUGUUAUAUGUGCAAGAUAAAAUUCUUUGAUAAUGAACAUUUGUCAGCGGUAUAUCUUUUUACUAGCUGAUACUAGCAUACAUCAAAUGCUGCUGUAUUUUAAUGAUGGAUUACUAACUAUAGUUAUUUAACUAAUAUAUGUUUAUAUUUAUACUCACAAGCAAAUGUAUUUACAUGUCUUUUUGUGUCAUAGAGUGAUCCCAUGGCAGUUGUGUAUGCAAAGAAAAGAGAUGGGAGGCUGGAGGAGAUUGGACGUACAGAGGUGAUUAUGAACAAUCUGAAUCCUGCUUGGAUUGGAAAGAUUUCAAUUGCUUUUCAGUUUGAGAUCGUCCAGCCCUUGGUGUAAGUUUUUAGUGUGUUCUUUUUAAAGUUUUUUUUUUCUUGAUAGGUCAUGUGCUUAUCAUUUCUCAUAAGCCUUGCUUGAUUUGAUAAUAUUUAAUGUUUUCGAAUUUCUUAAUGCUAUUCUUCUUUUUCCAGCUUUCGUGUGUAUGAUGUGGAUACCAAGUACCACAAUAUUCCAGUGAAGGUAUAUAAAAAUUUCUUAAUUAUUUUUUUUUCUCUCAAUUCAGAUGUAAAUGAUACGCACAUACUUCAGUUCCAAAGUUUAGAGUUAGCCAAGGCAUUUGACUGAUCCAUUUGUUGUCUAAGCAUACGUCUAAACUAAAUUGCAUCAGCAAUAGUUUCUAUCAAUUUCGGGAAAUUUGGGAAUACUUGAUUGAUUAUUAACUCACAUUUAGCAUGGCAAGAAACUUAAAAAGUUGGCUGUCAUAUACCAUAAACAAAUCUUAAGGCCAGGAUAGUUAUUAUGGAACUUUCUGCUAUUGCAUCUUGCAAGGUUUGACAUAUUUGUCCUGCUACCAUAACUGGGAAAGAACAAUUUUUCUGAUGGUCCUUACGGCUAAAUUUUCUUUUUCCAAAAUGGAAUUUUAUCUAUGUUGUUAAAAACAAUACAGUUAAAUAGUUGCUGCCAUGACCUAAAGAAGUUUCUGUAAAAAAUGACCAUAUUGUCAGUAUUGGAAUGGAUAAGUAAAUCUUUAGAGCCUAUGAUGUAUUCGUCUGUGGAAUUUGAGUCAAAAUGAAAAAAUUUUGAUGGUUAUAAUCCUAGAAACUGUAAUCAUUUGGAAGCAUUUGCUGAAAACAGUUAGAUAAUCUAAAAAUGUGAUGAUUAUUUAUGUCAAUUGUAAAUGGUAUUAACAUUACUGGGAAAAAUGAUAAAUAUGUAAAUUUAUGCCAGUGGAAAGAGAAAAUGAACAAAUCCAGAUGGAUUCUAAGACAUUAAGUAGGAAAUCUAGUGUUCUUUUGAUUCUUUGCUGCAGUGAUCCCUAAUUACUUUCAAGUCAUUAUUAUCUCAUGACAAAAUAUUUGUUGAAGCGUGAAGUUUAAAGUUCAAGCUUCUUAUUUACGUUGCCCUACAGAUGCUAAAGUUGGAGGAUCAAGACUUCCUGGGAGAAGCUAGUUGUGUUCUCUCUGAGGUAAGUUUCUGGGUUAUAUUUUGUUUGAUGAAUAUAUGUAUUUUCUCUUUAUUCAAUGGGCAAAAUAUGCCCAUCUAAUUUUCUGUAAAAAUCUGUUUCCUAAAACAAAAAAAAGGGCAAAAUAUUCUCAGAUGCUUUUUACUAGCAUUCGUCUUCUUCUUAAGCAUUCUUCUUUUUCACUAACAAGUGUCAUAUUUUCCUUUUAAAUGGCAGAUAGUGACCAAACAAAAUCGAACUUUAACCUUAAAACUCCAUAACAAUUACGGGCCUCGAGUUUCAAGAAACUUUGGGACACUCUCUGUCCAUGCUGAGGAAACAGUUGCUUCCAAGAGUGCUGUUGAAAUAGCAUUCCGUUGCUCGCAUUUGCAAAAUGUAGACCUGUUUUCCAAAAGUGUAAGUUCUGACAAAGUAGCUAAGUUUGGAGGUUCACUAAUUAAUCUAUUAAUGUAGAUGCUCAUUCUUCUUCUUCUUAUAUUCUAUAGGAUCCAUUCUUAAGAAUAUCUAGAAUUGUUGAGAGUGGAAAUUCUGUUCCUAUCUACAAGACGGAGGUGAUAAACAAUAACUUGCAUCCCAUUUGGAGACCAAUAACUUUGAGCAUGCAGCAAUUUGUGAGCAAGGUAACCUUAUCAUCUUCUUGUGCUUGUUACUUAAAUGUAUAUUAGGUAGUGAAGUUUGGUCAUGGGGAAAUGUUUUUUAGUAUAUGAUUUUCUUUGGUACAGGAAAACCCAUUAAUCAUUGAAUGUUUUGAUUUCAAUACCAGUGGAAAUCACGUACUGAUGGGGUAACUGUUAAAUUUCUUAAUGUCAUUAGCUUCCUUCUUUUAUCCUUUUGCCUUUCUGAUGUCAAGGUUUUCUAUUUCUGUUAUUAGUAAAAUUCAGAAAUCAGUUGGAGACCUGGAGAAACUUUAUCAAGGAAGAACUGGUGCAACAUUUAUGUUACCAUCAACUCAAUGUGGCCAUGACAAGGUGUUUAUUCUUUUUUGUUUUAACUCCACCAAAGGUGUUUGUUCAUGCUUAUGGUUUUUGAUAAUUUAAUCACUUUAUUUUUUUUCCGACUUUUUCCUAGGUUCUGAAAAGUCAGUUGUUUGUUGAAAAGUUUGUUGAGAAAGAGCAAUAUAGUUUUCUGGAUUACAUAUCUAGUGGCUUUGAGUUGAAUUUUAUGGUUGCAGUCGACUUUACAGGUAAUUAGAAAGAGAUUGCUUGUUGAAGAUAAAUUGGCAAUGUAAUCGUUUUGUUUUGUUUAUUUCCUCUUAUUUGGUCCAACUUCAUCUUGCCUCUCGUUAAAUGCAAAAUCAUCCAGCUUCAAAUGGAAAUCCUCGAAAUCCAAAUUCUUUGCACUAUAUUGAUCCUUCAGGCAGAUUGAAUUCUUACCAGCAGGUAAGGUUUUUUUAUGACUCACAUUUUGACAAGUGAUCUCUGAACUCUGAAGGUCAUAAAUGGUCAUUUUGUCCAGUGUUUUCGACUUAGAAAAUGCAUGUGACUUUCAAGUCUUUCUAUGGCCGUCAUAGGGAAAUAUAUAUUUCAAUAGUUCGUAGAAGUUGAGAGAGAAUAUCACUGAUUAGUUAUUGGCCUCUUAAACCAUUUACAGGCAAUAAUGGAAAUUGGGGAGGUCAUACAAUUUUAUGAUUCUGAUAGACGCUUUCCUGCAUGGGGAUUUGGAGGGAAGACAUUUGAUGGCACUGUAUCACAUUGUUUUAACUUGAAUGGAAGAGCAGGUGGCUUUGAGGUAGGGGUAACUGGAGUUCACAACUUUGCUGUAAUCCUUAUUUGGUUGGCUUGUCUCCCAUAACUUUUCAUUUUUAAUAACAAACAUUAUAAUAUGUUUCUACAUUUUCUGAAAAUUUCCUUGGAAUUUUAUCCUAAAAGAUGUAUAUUUUAUCCUCUUCCAUUUUUUUUUAUUAACUGCUGGGUUCUUUAUUUAAUAGGUAGAUGGAGUUGAAGGCAUUAUGGCUGCUUAUGCAAGCGCUCUAAACAAUGUUUCUUUGGCAGGACCGACUCUGUUUGGUCAAGUGAUCAACACAGCUGCACGAAUUGCUGGACAGUCCCUCUCAUUCGACAGAAGCAAGUAUUUUGUCUUACUCAUUAUAACGGUGAUUACAAUGAUUCUAUAUAUUCACAGUUUUCUCUUUCUAUCAUUCUUUUUGGGUGAUUUGUAAAUUUGCAUGGUCUAUCUAGGAUGGAGUUCUGACAGAUCUCCAAGAAACGAAAGAUGCUUUGGUAAGGGCUUCUGAUCUUCCCCUGUCAAUUCUAAUUGUGGGUGUGGGAGGUGCAGAUUUUACACAAAUGGAGGUACACAAUGUUUUCCAACUGGAAUAUCUUCUUACUAGCAUUGAACUUCUUUUUUCUAUAGUUUGAUAGAUUCAAUUUAGAGUACAUAUGCAGUGUGGUAUUAUCCCACUUUUGUUGCAGAUUCUUGAUGCUGAUAAUGGCCGUAGAUUAGAGAGCUCUACCGAUCGGGUAGCUACCAGAGAUAUAGUACAAUUUGUUCCAAUGCGAGAAGUUCAUAGUGAGUGCAUAUGAUUCAUUGACAAAAUUAGUUCAAAAUAUUGAAUUUGGGAGUUAAUUCACAAAAGUUUCUGAAUUUUUUCAUGCCUUAACAAACGAACCCAUUGUUUUCUGAACAGGUGGGCAAAUUUCUGUUGUACAAGCACUUUUGGAGGAGCUGCCUGGUCAGUUUUUGACCUACAUGCGCUGCAGAGAUAUCAAACCACUCAAUGUUCAGAUGGCGCAAACAUGCGCUUGAGUAAAUAUUCAUAUGUUUGGAAAGGAUACAAAACCAAGCCAAAUAUAUUAGACAAGACCAAGCCAAACAUAUUAGGCUAUACAAACAUAACAUAGCAGAAAUUGAUAAUGGUACAUUACAUAUGUUAGGAUAUAGCGGUUUUAGAUGAUGGUAAAUUACAUCUGUUAAGAUAGAGUGGUUUGUAACUAACUUUUGAUGGCUUAAUGAAUUGAUUGAAUUUGUAUUUAGGUUCUAUCAAUGAUCUCAUAUUCUUCCCAUCCAUGUCUUUCGAUUUUUAUUAUUCCCUCUACCCACUUGUUUCACAAUUGUUUGUCUGAUGGCCUAAAACCCCAAUUUCUGUUGCUGUAUUAUCAUCUUUGUUGAAUAUUUACUACAAUGAACAUGUGCUGAAUGUCUACUUUUACUACUACACCAGCAAUCUAACACAUGGCUCACGUGCACACAAGACAAGUCUGAUUCACACAUCUUUAAUUUAGAUUCUUAUAUAGUCUUUCAAGAUGUCUGAAACAGCAUAGAUGAAGGACCCUUCCACCAUUCAACCUGGAAUGAUGUGAGUGACAGAAAUUUCCGAAAGUGUUGUAUUAUAACUCUUUGAAACUGGGUUUGAGUAAUCAAGAGAAGCCAAAAUGUAGAACAAUAACAAUAAAAAAUGAAGGCCCUCUUACCGUCUUAACUUUGAUAGAAAAUACACGAGCUGCAUACCAUGUCUCACAAAUUUCAAUGAAAAUUGGCCUCAUUCCUGAUGCUGCACAGAAGGUUGGCCUGAAUCAUCUUUAUGAUUUUGGACUUCCUGUAAACAACGAACAAAACAAAUUGAAGGUGAAAGCAGGAACAACAGUUUUCAAAUAAAAUGGGAGUGCUUAAUCUAAUUGAACAGUAACUUUUGGGUCUCUGAGUAAUGAAUACGUACCUUUGUUUCAAGAUAUAUCUGUUGUAUGGUAGAAUUAAGGUCACCCUUCCAAGUCCAAUACUCACCAGACAGCCAGCGUUUCUCUACUUCGUGUAAACUGGGAGUGCUUAAUUCUGUUCCAGAGAAAAUCUUCAUAUUGGGGCAUUUAUCCACACUUAAAUAUGUCAAAGCUGGGAACUUGAAGGCACAAUUGCCAGAGCAGAAGCUUGUAAGUCUUCUUAAAUCACAAAGCUCCAAGUCCAUCAACUCGCUGAAAACAAUUUCAUCUUUUGCAGCAUUUCCCUCAUCAUCUGCCACUACUUCUGUUAUCAUGCUGCAGUCAACGAUACUCAUCUCUGUCAGUCGUACCAAACUCUUUGCUGUCGAGGAUGUUAGCACAUUUAUCAAUCCUUUGCAUCUCCACACCUUCAAAGUUGUCAGAUUCUGAAACGAUGUUGAAGGUGGCACUAGAUUAAUCAAAUGGUCACAAUACUCAACUGUUAGAUGAACCAAAUUGUCCAUUUUGGAUUCCUGGAUCAAAAUAUGCUUCAGAUCACAACAAUUGUGUAGAUUCCUUAUGAUUGCCUUCGUCCAAUUUUCUACUCCAUAUGAUGGCUUAACGCCCCCAACAUAUCCUCCUCCCCUUAUUGUGAGUUCUCUUAUGCUGUGAAAUCUCCGAAGGAAAUCAAGUGAUGAAAUAGUAGUUGACUCUUCAAAUAUAACAUCAAGAAAGUUGAGUUUGCAAAACAUGUCCUCUGGAAACUCAGCUGCCAUUGGUAUCUUCUUUCCUUCAAUGGUCAAAUAUUUCAAAUUGGGGAAUACCUGGUUGGAUGCAUGAUAAAUCAGGACCAAAAAGAAAACGUAAUGCCAAUUAUUAAGAGUAAAUUUUAAAUCUUGUACGUACCUCUUUUGUCAAGUCAUGAGCAGUUAAAAGGAAUUCAGGACACCUUAUUACUUCUAAAGUUUCCAAUGUUGGAAAUUCAAUGUGCACAUCUCCUGUGCAGAAGCUUGUGAGCUUUUCGAGAUCUACCAUCUUUAGAAAUUGUAACUGAGGGAACACAACAUUCUUCCUUUCUUGCUGGUCUAUGACUAUUAUCUCUUCCAAAAUAGGGCACUCAUCUAUCUCAAGGUGUUGGAGUCGAAUAAAGCUGUUAACUAUAGAAGAUGAAAACAGACAUCUUAAUUCCCCACAGCCAUAUACAAUCAACCGGGUUAAAGUUUGAAUGCCACAAGACAUGGCCGGAAGUUGGCUUUUCCAAAUCCUCUCCACAUUUACAUUAUACAGCUCCAAGGUCUCCAAGUUUGGUAACCCACCCUGUUCACAAAACUUUCCAACCGUUAUAUGAGGAGAUCAAAGUUAGUAUAUAAGUGCAUUCAGAGUACUUUUUCUUUCAUCCGAGAAUGUAUUUGUUACACCUACGUUACUCGGGAUGAAAAUUUUAAUAUAAUUAUGAAAUAUGUUCGUUAAUCCCUGAUUCACUCUAGCCUAUAUUUCCUAGGAAAGGAGAAUAUAUAAUAAAGCAGCAACAAAAAAAGGAAAAAAUCAUAAGAAUAUGACCAUUGGAUCAUUAAUAUCCGACCUUGAGGAAAAAUGUAUUAGGAACGUUGACAUGGUCCUCCAAAAUGAUUUCAUUUGAUCGCAUUUCACUUGUCGAUUCCUUGCAUCUCUGUUUAGAACAUAGUCAUACUCAUUAGAAAUGAAGAAUCUGUUUUUGCACUGGCUGCUUUGAUAUGUUCGAAAUUUAGGAAGAUCAUAUCAUACCUUUGACUCUUUCGGACUGGGGGCUUGACAACCUUCGACCCAGAGAUGCUUCAGUUGGGAAGAAUAAGAGCCCAAUUUGUUAUUAACUAAUUCAAUGAUAUCUUGGUCUGGCAAUCUAGAUAAACAAAGGUCUUCAAUUCGCUGAAGUUGCACGAUAUGUCCACUCUUGAAGCUGAUACAAUUGUCGGUGCCAAGGAGGAGUCUGAAUGUUCUAGAACACGUAGGUGGGGUAUCCUCCCAACACCAACGUCCAAUACAUAUUCUGUACCUUUCCAGCUUCUCGAAGAACAGCCCCUUCGGCAGAGUGUUGACAUCUGGGAUGCAUAAUUCUAAGGUGGUCAAGUUAGGCAAACGCUUCAACUCUUCAAGGCUUGCAUUCUUGACCCCUGCAGCUUCCACCUCCACCUCCCACUUAUUAAAGCUACGAAUGUAUAAUUCCUCCAAAUGGGAUAAAUUUGAUAAAACAUUUGGGGGAAUAACCUGUAGUCUGUCACAGUCUCUCAAAUCAAGCGACCUUAACUGAGUCAAUUGGCCUAUUUCCACAGGCAACUGCUCAAUAUAAGAACCCCUUAAGCAAAGGAUUUCUAGGUUCUUUAAUUCUCCUAUAACAGCUAUAUCUUGCAAUUCGCUGCAAUACAAACACAAUGUUCGAAGGUUUGUUAGGAGACCAAGUGAUGAAGGCAGUAAUGAUAGAUGCAUAUAAGUCAAGUCUAAAACUCUGACUUGCGUCAACUUCCUGAAAAAAUUGUCUGGAAGUGUGAUUAAUGAAGAUUUCUCAGUCCACAAAGAGAGAAGUUGCAGUUGAGGACAUUCCAAAACUUCAGGAAGAAGAACAUUCAUCUUGCUGUCGUGUAAGACAAUCGAAGUGUAAAACUUAAGCGCACCUUCAUCUAGCCAUUCCCGUGAAUUAACCAGUUCAUAUCUCAUCGUAAGCACAUUUUGUUCUCUGGUUGCAAUUGCUAUGGCAACAUCACGAACAACAUCAUGCAUAGAAAACCAAUGUUCAUUUUUGCUUCCAUGCUCAAGCAACAUACAAGAAGCCUUGAGUUUGUACACCAAUGUAUACACUCGAGCUCGUGCUUCUUCCAUCCUAUUGAUUCCUUGAAACAAACCCAAACCCAUGCCAUACAUUAACACGUCAUUAAUGGACGAUAUGUAGGUGUAGCCUAUUAGCAAAAAGAUCUUCUUGAGCUCCUCUCCUUCUAAUUUGUUGUAACUCAACUCUAUAGCUGAAUAAGCAGCCGGCUGUAUAUCUUUAAAGUUCGUUGAGGAAGGCCUUCUUAACUGUCCCAAAGCGUCCUUCCAUUCAAAUAAUCUCUUAUUUCUCAACGCCCUCGCUACUGUUACAAUGGAAACAGGCAAACCUGCGCAUUCAUUUGCCACAUCCGUUGCCACCCAUUUGAAUUCACUACUGUUGAUAUACUCCCCUGCCAUCUUCUUGAAUAGACUCCAAGCUUCGUCUUCUCUUAGAACGCCAACUGAGAAAUUAUGUCGGCAAUCCAUCUUGCCAGACAAUAUAUCUUCACUUCUUGCCGUCAUCAAUAUUUUACACCCCUUGUGAUUAUCUCCGUGAGGAAUUCCUACAUCCUGCAAAUCAACACUUUCCCAAACAUUAUCUAAAAUUACAAGGAUCUUUUUCUCAUCCUUCAAUCGAUUAUAAAGACUCCUUGCCCUUCCAGAUUCGGUCUCUUCGAAAAAUAUGAGACCUAAUUUAUCAGCGAUUUCUCCUUGAAUCUUUCUUAUGUCUGGAAUCUGGGGCACCUCCACAAAAAUCACUUGAUCAAAUAGCUGGUCUCUCUUGAACUGAAUAGCAACCUCUUUUGCUAGUGUCGUCUUUCCGAUGCCACCCAUUCCAUAAAUCCCAACCAUGUUCACAUCAGGAUCUUGUAAUGCACGAAGUGCAUUAUUCAAAGUGGAGAUUCUUGAUUCAAAUGCCUCGUAGUCUUUGUUAGAUAUAAGCCUUAUGUCCUCCAGAGCUUUACGGUAGGAAAUUCUAUCAAAUCUCCCAGCUUCCCGAAGUUUGACAAUAGCUUCGAAUUGCCUCACCGCUUCCUUGCUAAGCUGAUGGCGGGUCUUCAAAUUUGGACACAGCCCCAUGAAACAACGCUUGUUUGCUUUAUCUGCAUCGCCUGUAAAUUUCUCAGCCUCAGUAAUGAUGUUGUUGACACUUGCAAGCCAUUUCUCAACGUUCUUUUCGAUCUCUUCUCCUUUUCUUUUAGCCUCAUCAACCCCGUGCUGCAUACUGGCACCGUCAUCCUUGAGCUUCUCAAGUUCAGUCUUGAGAUUCUCAAAGUUGCUCCCGUAGUUACGCACAUAACUCAAUUGUCUUUCAGUGGGAGGACCCAAGCACUUUGCAACUUCUAACACAACAGUUACUAUGCUUUCCACCAUCUUCAAUUCUUUCCCUUUUCUCUCUUUUUUUUUUUUGGGUCAAAUUUUAGAAUUUUGUAAAGUAUGUAGAUGUGAAGUGAAGCGAACCAAAAGGAAGCUGAACAGAGACAACAACUAAAAAGAUGUAGAGAUGAAGAAGAAGAGAAGGGAUUUAUUGACAGAGUAAAAAUACAUCAGAAGAGUAGAUACAGAACAAAACAGAGACAAGUGGACAGGGAACAGAGCAAAAAUAAAUAAAGAAAACAGAUACACGUACGAUUCGUAUUAAUGUUGAGAUCCGAAGAUUGUAAUAACCAAAGGUGUUGCUUGAUCCAGUGAAAGGUCCAAAGAGUUGGUGGCGGAAAGGCGCAAAGCUGAAGAAUAAAAACAAUCAAGAUGAUUGAGAAUGUUGAUUGAGAUGGAGAAAGACUUGCAUGGUUGCGAGAUGUGCGUCGGACAAAUGGUAGCCAAUUAUUUGAUUUCUACAGCGGGAUUCACUGACUUUAUAUUUUAAAAAAUUUAAGUCAGCAGAAUUAAUUCUGUUCAGUGAAAUGAACGCAAAGUGUUUGAGGGAAAUACUCCGAUGAGACCAGACGUGAUGAGCAGAUGUUUGGUGGCAGAAGUCUGCGAGUAGGUGUGUCCUGUAAGAGCCAGGUAGCAGGGGAACAGGGGCAGGAAUAUCCUGCUCAUCCACGAGCACGUCAUCCGCGAGGCCAAUUUCCUGUAAGAAGCAUAAAGUCAUUCCUGUUGUAUUCUUGCUAAGGGUUGAUUCGAGGAGACCCGAUCAACGAUAGUUGGCGAGGCAUGCUCUCCAGCCCGAGAAUCUAGGCACGAAGGCCACACAACCAUCCACGACUACGGAAAUGGGGAAUCCACGUUCGAGAGGUGGGAGGAUAACGGGCGUAGACUGCGAAAAACUGGGAUUCAGAGGAAGCCUAUAAAAAGGUAGCCAACGAAAGUAAAAGGGUUAGCAAUUUUGAGAUUAGAAGAGAGAUAAAAGAAAUUCUAAAGAAGAGAAAACUACCCAAAAGCCAUAAGAUCUGUGGCAAGCGUUCCCCGAACCUUCAUAUCUGACUUGAGCGUCGGAGGGUUUGCGCCGGGAAAACAACCGGCGUACUCUGACCUGUCUGUGUGCGCAGGAACCUCUGGAGAAGAAGCUUUUACGAGGAGAGAUCCUGGUCGUGGUGAAGUUGAUCGAGCAGAGACCCUGGUCGUAGAACGAGGACAACCAGAAUCUCGCAUCAACAUUUUGGCGCCGUCUAUGGGGAGCUGAUCAAAAAGCUUCUGUUGAUAGCAAGAAGAGGAGUGAAGCAAGUGAAAAGCAAUGGAGACAGGAGGAAGUAGUGCACAAGGGGGUGAUAUGAGGCUUAACGAUUUCGUGACGCUGAGGGAGAUAGCCAGUGAAGCACGGGAAAAAGCCAUGUUCGACCGGAUGGAACGGAUGGAAAAGCAUAUGGAGACCCUGACAACCAUCCUGCAUGAGCUACGGAGUGAACGAAGGGUAACCCAGGAGGAAAGGAUGAGAGUUGGUGGAGUUGCACCAUGUCCCGAUAGUACGAGGAGAAGUCAAACCACCGGGAGAUUUGGUGGUGAGAGAGGUAACAUACCUCUGCGGGGAGAAUCCCGUAGAGAGGAAGAGCAAUCCCCGGCAAGACAGUUUUUGGACGAGGACGACGGGGUGGCAAAUGCAGAUGAAACAGAGCUGAGGCAACACUUGCAUGAUGUAGAGCAAGAGCGGGAUCAAGUUGCAGCACGUGACCCUGGUCGUGCAGUGCAGCUGGAAGAGGAAGUGCGCAGGCUAGCGCAGAUAAUCGACGACAUGCAAGGAAGGAGCAGAGCUCCUGGUUGGAGGAUAAUGCUGGACGGAGAAUCACCGCUCGCAGCAGAGAUCAUGAGGGCAGUUAUUCCGAGAGAUUUCCGCCUCCCAGACCUUAGAUAUUCGGGGUGAACUGAUCCUCUGGUGCACAUAGAGCGCUUCAACGACAUAACUGGGGUACAAGGAUUAUCUCAAUCCCAAAGGUGCAGGGUGUUCCCACUAUCCCUUGAGGGACGUGCACGAGAGUGGUACAGGAAACUUCCUCGGGGGAGCAUUCAAACCUUCGAGCAGAUGUGCCAGGAAUUUGCAGAGCAGUUUCGUGGGGCAAUGACACCAGAAGAUGACAUGAUGGAAUUGAAAAACAUGAAGCAGGGGGAACAAGAAACACUUCGGGAAUUCAUCAAGAGGUUUCACCGUGCUGUCCUUGAUUUGGGAGCCUUCAACCAUCCUCAGGCAUUAAGGGGACUGAAAGAAGGGGUGAAGAUAGGAAGACUGUGGUACAACUUGAGAAGCCCAGUUAUUCAGACGUACGCCGCCGCAUACGAGCAGGCUAAGAGGGACAUUGAGAUUGAAGAGGAAAAGGCAGCACGGAUCAAGACAGAGCAGUUAGAUGGGUUGGGGAAGAAAGAGAAGAAAGCAUUGCCAGGGAACGGGCCGAUCAGGAGGAGAGACCAUCAGGCCUCAAGUAGUGGAGCAGGAGAUCGGGUAACUACUUGCCAGCCUCAUCAGAGGCCACCACAGUAUCGGCGCAGCAGGGCGCAACCUCCUCAUUCCCCAGCUAGGGAGCCUUGGAGAAGCCAUGACUCGGCAUAUGGUGGUCUUCAUCAACACUCCCACGGUAGUAGGGGGGCAGACCAGAAGUGCUGCCACCGCCUCCAACUCAGAACGGAGCAAAUAGAGAAAGAGCAGUGCACCUGAUCGACCAGAACCAGGACUAUGGGCGGUACACUUCUUUGAAGAUGUCCCUGGACGAGGUGUACGAGGCCAUAAAGGAUCGAUGGUUGCUAUACCUCCCUGCCUCAAUAACAAAACUACCCAGCAGGAGGGAUAUGGGACGCUAUUGUAAGUUCCAUGGCGCACAUGGCCAUACUACAACAGAAUGCAGAGAUCUCAAGACCCAGGUCGAAGAUUUGGUGAGAAAUCGAUACCUGGACGAGUUUAUAGAUGGGACUUUCCCGAUGGUGGCCUCGACAUGCGAGGGGGAGCAGAGUGGCAGAAAUUUGAGGCACGAGCAGCCUACAGUAAGGGUGAUUGCUGGGGGCCCGACAUUGGCUGGAGAUUCCAACAGAUCUAGGAAGAACUAUGAUAGAUACGCCAUGACUAGUAAAGAGGUAUUCUUCAACACCCCGGCAGCCAAACGAGCAAGAGUUAGGCAAGUGCCAAUCAUGUGGACAGACGAGGAUGAAGAAGGGAUUUUAUACCCACACGAGGAUGCCUUAGUCAUCAAGGCCACUGUUGCUAGCAGGAAGUUUGACCGGAUACUGGUCGAUACAGGAAGCUCGGUUGAUGUGUUAUUCAAGUCCACUGUGGAGAAGAUGGGAAUAGCAGACCUGAGGUUGGAGCACACCAACACCUCCUUGAAGGGAUUUGGAGGAGGAAAGCUGGUCCCCCUGGGUGUGGUCGAGCUGCCUAUCACAAUCGGAAGCUCCCCGACAGAAAGGACUAUGAUACUAGAUUUUGUGGUGGUUAAUGAAGAGGGUCCUUACCAGAUAAUCCUAGGUCGGCCGUUUCUGAGGAUGAGCAAAGCAGUACUGUCCAACCAUUAUCUUGCUCUCAAGUACCGGGUGAAUGGGGUAGUUGGAGUGGUACGAGGAGACCAGAGAAUCGCACGAAGCUGUUACUCCUCGGCAGCAAGGGAAUCGAUGCAGAUAACAUCCCUUGAUAUCCGAGUGGAAGCCAGGAAUGGCAGCUAGUUGGACCCGGAGUUUACAAGCUGGUUCGCGCGGAUGGCCACGAGGUGAAACGCCCAUGGAGCGCGGCACACCCCAGGAAAUAUUUUUAGUAAGACUUGUUCAUAUUUUAAAGUUAUUUCUGUUCGUGCCUGUUGUUUUCUAUUUUUUAUUUCUUAUUUCAAAGCAAUCUCAUGUAAGCCGAAUUCAAUAAUAAAUGAAUCAAUGAGGAGUUUCAGCCAACUGUACUGUUCAAGAAAUUACAUAAGGCAUGCAAAGGCUCGACAAAGUCUCAAAGCCUGUUUAUGGCGAGACCAGAAGCCAAGCGUGCCAGGAUCUGCUCGGCCACGAGAAGGCGAGCAGAGUCCCAAGCUUUGAAGAAAUUACCUAAGGCAUGCAAAGGCUCGACAAAGUCUCAAAGCCUGUUUAUGGCGAGACCAGAAGCCAAGCGUGCCAGGAUCUGCUCGGCCACGAGAAGGCGAGCAGAAUCCCAAGCUUUGAAGAAAUUACCUAAGGCAUGCAAAGGCUCGACCAAGUCUCAAAGCCUGUUUAUGGCGAGACCAGAAGCCAAGCGUGCCAGGAUCUGCUCGGCCACGAGAAGGCAAGCAGAAUCCCAAGCUUUGAAGAAAUUACCUAAGGCAUGCAAAGGCUCGACAAAGUCUCAAAGCCUGUUUAUGGCGAGACCAGAAGUCAAGCGUGCCAGGAUCUGCUCGGCCACGAGAAGGCGAGCAGAAUCCCAAGCUUUGAAGAAAUUACCUAAGGCAUGCAAAGGCUCGACAAGUCUCAAAGCCUGUUUAUGGUGAGACCAGAAGCCAAGCGUGCCAAGAUCGGCUCGGCCACGAGAAGGCGAGCAAAAUCCCAAGCAUUGAAGAAUCUUCCAAGGCAUGUGGCAAAACCAUAUACCAAGCCAGAGCCUGCUCGACCGGACGAAUACGAGCAGAUUCUUAAGCGGAAAAAUAACUCGUAAUUACAACACAAGAGAGUAAUAAAAAACAUUUCUAUUAAUUUGUUAAUAAUUAACAAAGCAGAUAAUCUUCACAAAUAUUGUUCGUUACAAUACAAGAAACAUAUUUAAGAAGACGGUGGGUCCGCGAGCCGAGCAGCCUCAGUUAGCUGGUCCACCUCAGGUGCUGGGGGAGUAUCUCCAGUUGCGUCUGGGGGGGUACUCGCCUCACCAGCAUUAGCAGGGAUUACACGGGAAGGAGAGUUUUCCUCCUCUAUCACCAUUGGUGCCACCUCUUCGGCAUCCUCCUUUGCAGCCUCCUCGUCCAUAUGUUGGGCGACACCAGCUGCAAGGUCGUCCAUCUUUAGAUCAAGAUGCUGCUUCCCGAGGACGGCCAUGAUGCAACGAUAAGAAUACCGAAGUCCCUGAUCGUACUGGUUGUCGGCCUCCAUCUCCAAGUUCUCGACCUGAGCUCGGUGGGAAUCGCGGAGAGAUCCGAGCUGAGCCUCAUACAUAGCCUUCUGCCUUUGAAGAUCCUCCUUGACCUUGGUCAAUUCCUCCUCGAGGGUAAUGGCUUUUGCUUGAGCAAGAGAUUCUUGCUCUAUCAGCUUCAGGUUCUCGACAUUCAGCGCUCCUGCUUUCUUCUCGGCGCCGUCAGCUCUGGUCAUCGCUGACUGAAUGUCCUCCUUCAUCUUCCUGUCAUAACGGCCGACCUUGGCCUUAUAGUAGGUGGUCAUGCAGCUGAGAUGGAAAGCGCUAUACUGCAUGGCUCCCACCAGCUCGCCCAGAGUGCAGCCAUCAAAGUCCUUCAGGUCCUUCUUGCUCACGAGUUUAGAUAACUCAUUGAGAUAGGGGACCAAGUGUUCUGCUCGGCUGUCAGGUAAGCGAGAUCGAGGCCCGACAGGAGGAGAAAAAGAAGCAGGAUCGGUGGCUGCUCCACUAGUUUCCCCGACUUUGGCAGGAGCAGGAGGUAAAGUCUUCAAGGGAGAGACCUGCUGCACGAUGUUGGCCCGCUUUGCAGUAGGGGCGUCCUUAUUCUGGUCCUUCUUCGUGGUUUGAGGUCGAGAACGUUUCCUGUUCAGAGCCCCAAUCACAGCGUCCUCCAUCUUAUGACCAGGGAGUAUCAAGCGAGACUCGAGCAAGUUGUAUGUAGUUAUCAGCUCCCGGCUCGAGCAGGAAUUGGCUAGCACAGCCUCGACCUGUUUGAGCUGGCCAGGUUUGAGCGAGAAAUGAACACCCCAAGAAACUACAACACAAACAGACACUUGGUUAGAGACAAACCAACAAAGCGAGAACAAUUACGGAUACAAGACAUCUAAAGCGAGCAGGCAACCUGGGACCGUGAAACGGGGUGGGACGCGAUAAUCCUUCCCGUCUAUUUAUGCAACUUGACCCCAAGGACCCCCAGCAAAAAAGAAUUUCCUCUUCCAAUUCCCACCACCACCAGUAGGGAGGUCGGUUAUGGGUUUCCUGGUCUUGGUACUAGAUUGAAAGUAGUACCAGCCGGCAUCUUUGGGGCUGCUCUUUAGCUGGUACAGGUGCUUCACCUCAUCAACUGUGGGCUCGCUUUGGCAACAUUUGUCCCACAGUAUGAACAGACCAGAAAGUACUCUCCAACCGUUUGGGUUCAGCUGACCAGGAGAUAGAUUCAGCCUGUUAAGUAUCCGGGCAAAGUAAGGUUGCACGGGACACCUCAGCCCAUACUUAAAGCUAUCCAGAUACAGGGUAACGUAUCCCCUAGGAGGCCGGCUAUGAGUAUCCUUCUUUCCUGGGACCUUAAGAGGGAUUUCACCAGGAAUACUAUACCUAAGCCGGAGGUCAUUGAGCUCAUCAAACGUGGUUAUGCAUGUCAUGUAAUCAAUAGCGUAAUCCCGCGAUAGGGCUCUACCCCCUAUUGUACUCCGCCCUUCUGGUCGCGACGCUCCUGAUGGGGACACCUCGCCAGAAUCAUCUCCUCGGCCCUCACUCAGGGUGUUCUCCGAGCCAGAAGACCCCUCUUCAUCACUAUCUCUGCUCGAGGAGGUCGUUUGGGGAGACAUCCUCCUAGCGCUAGUGCCGACACUAGAUCUAAUGGGCUCUAAGGGGAUCCCGGGGUCAAAAGCAGGAUCAGUGAGCAGACUAGGCAGGAAGUCCAACUCAUCGUCGUCAACCUCAAUGACCUUCUCUUUACCUUUCGACAUUCCCUAAACUCUAACCACAACACCACCACCAACUACUACCCGAACAAAAGAGAACAGAAAUUAUCUACAACUAUCCGAGACCAAGGAGAUAGAAAAAAUACCUGAAAUAAUGGUUCAGUCGGUGAAAGACAGAGAUGGAGGCCUUUAUGCCGGAACUUCUUUGCCGGAGAGACAGGGACGAAGACGGAGGGAAUGAUGAAUUUGCUGUUUGAAAGGAUUUAGGUUUCCUAAUGGGGACGGACUCUUGGGUUGCCAGCAUUUAACGGCACCAAAUCCCAAGGGCCUCGUAACCGUUGGUUUGAAAUUCGAAUAGAGGGGCAUAUUUCUGCCACAUCACCUCGUCCGCAAUUAAAUGCGAUAUGACUCUUGGCAGCCUUUUCCAGUCCCACGUGACCAAGAACCGCUAAGUUUCUACUGCUGGUCCAUUACAUUACCCAACACCAGAAACUGGGGGACCGGUGUUUGAGAGAAAUACUCCGACGAGAUCAGACGUGAUGAGCAGAUGUUUGGUGGCAGAAGUCUGCGAGCAGGUGUGUCCUGUAAGAGCCAGGUAGCAGGGGAACAGGGGCAGGAAUAUCCUGCUCAUCCACGAGCACGUCAUCCGCGAGGCCAAUUUCCUGUAAGAAGCAUAAAGUCAUUCUUGCUGUAUUCUUGCUAAGGGUUGAUUCGAGGAGACCCGGUCAACGACAGUUGGCGAGGCAUGCUCUCCAGCCCGAGAAUCUAGGUACGAAGGCCACGCAACCACCCACGACUACGGAAAUGGGGAAUCCACGUUCGAGAGGUGGGAGGAUAACGGGCGUAGACUGCGAAAACUGGGAUUCAGAGGAAGCCUAUAAAAAGGUAGCCAACGAAGGUAAAAGGGUUAGUAAUUUUGAGAUUAGAAGAGAGAUAAAAGAAAUUUUAAAGAAGAGAAAACUACCCAAAAGCCAUAAGAUCUGUGGCAAGCGUUCCCCGAACCUUCAUAUCUGACUUGAGCGUCGGAGGGUUUGCGCCGGGAAAACAACCGGCGUACUCUGACCUGUCUGUGUGCGCAGGAACCUCUGGAGAAGAAGUUUUACGAGGAGAGAUCCUGAUCGUGGUGAAGUUGAUCGAGCAGAAACCCUGGUCGUAGAAUGAGGACAACCAGAAUCUCGCAUCAAUACAAAGAGUGUAGAAAGAAUGUGAAAAAGUUAUGUGAAACGUGAGGUGAUGAGAUAGUUAAGUUCACUGAUGCUCAAUAGUCAAUUUUAUUAAAAAUAAAAAAUAAAAAAUAGUGAGAAUCCCAAAGUCGAAAGCCAAUAGAUUUCAUAAUGGGAUUCAUUCAUUAUUCCAUCACGGAACCGAACACCAAUAGGUUAUCCCACCAGCCACCACCUCAGCUUCCACGCAAGUUUCCCUCAUAUUUGAAUACUUGGCCCACUCCUCAAGUCUUUGUCGACAAAAAAAGAAAAAGAAAAAGUAAACGAUGACACUCCGGUGGAUCACAACUUGCAUAAAGAUUCCUGACAGUUGCUAAUGCUGCCGACAUGAUCUUCCAACUUGGAACUUGUAAGAUCGGUCAAGCUUUCUAGUUUCUACAGUAGCGUUUAAUUAAUGAAUAAUGAUGAUCAGUUUUGAUUAUUUGACGACGUUAGUAGAAUGAGAGUAUUUGAGGUAAUUGAUCAAACAAAAAGAUUGCCCAUUCAUGAUCUAAUUGCCUAAAUAAUAAAAAUGCUUAGCCUCAGCUGACUUGUUCCAAAUCACUAAACAUUUGAGCAGGUAUUUUCAUCUUUUCGUUAUCACAUUCCUCUAAUCAAUUAUCUAGCGUUAAUCAACAAAAAUGAUUAAUAACGUAAAUGGAGGAACUUGGGCUCAAAUCUCUAAAUUAAACUCGUGAUCAUUAAUAUAAGCAAACUACAACAAGUCUAUCUUGAUCAACGUUUUCAACUCAACAAAUAUAGACUACUAGUGUUUAGUUGUUAAUAAAAUUAACAAAAAAAACACAUAAAUGUUGACAGCACAAGAAUAAUAAUAGUGUUUACUUAUUUAUUAAAUUUAAACUAUGUUCAAGAGAGGACCCAACUUUUAUAUAUUUUAUUUUAAUGGCUUUAAGAAAUUACAAAGUUGAUGCCACAAUUUAUAGUUUUUUUUUUUACCUUUAAAAAAUCUUUGGAUUAACCGACAAUCAUCAUCAAUCCUCGCCUAGGGUCAGGGGAGGAUCAAGAUGGUGCCUACAGUGAGCAAACAUGAUGGCAGAUGGUGUCCAAUUGACCCCCUAAACUUUUCUUUUUUCAUUGAUACUGUCAUGAAGUUACAUAAUUUCUUACAUAAUUGUCUCCAAUAAAUACCAAUAGGUAUACGAAUGCAAACAUGAUGCACGCAUCUCUUUAAUUAAUUUAAGGCUUAAAGAGACUUUCAGAGAUGCCUACAAAUUCAAUAUGGCAGCUCUCAUGAGAAAUAAAACUAGCUUCAAAUUGGAUUUCUGAGUACUCAAAUAAAGCUAAAAGCAUACUAAUGAAAUGAAAACUCAAACAAAAAAUCCUCUCACCAAUGCCAUCUGACUCUUAAUACAUAGAAAGAACUCGAUGCCUUAUUCAAGAUGCCGCACAGAAGGUUGGCCUGAAUCGUCUUCAUAAGUUUAGACUCCCUGUAAACAAAGAGCAAAAACACAUUGAAGGUGCAGUUUUCACAUAAUUAAAUUGCACAAAUUAGCCUCUAUGAAGGACACAAAAAUCCUUCAAUUCUCUCUGGAAGCAAUUAAUUUCAUUUUUUAUUUCAUUUUAUUUAUUUAUUUAUUGCCAUGUUUGUCUAACAACUAAUCUUCAACAUAACAAUAGAGCAGAGUAGUUAUAUUUUAAAAAGAUAUACCGAUAUGAUUUAACUAAAAUUUCAAUAUAAAUAAAACGUUUUUAGUCAGCACAACAAAAUCAAAUCAGAACCUCCCAAACUGUAUAGAUUCUAACUUACCAGUCUUUCGCAUCUUUCUCCUUUUCAUUCACUUUGGCGGACUUCUCAUUCUCUUUUUCCCUCUCUUCCUAAUCAGAUUUAAAAUAAAUUUAUAAAAACAUUAAUAAUCACUUUUUUCUUUUUCCUUUUAUAUAUAUAUCUGUCAUUAAAUCAGUAAUUUUUAGAAAAAAACCAACAUUUCAUAGUGAAUGAACACGUACCUUUGUUGUUGAUAUAGGUAUUGAAUGGUUGUAUUGAGAUCGUCCUUCCAAGCCCAACGUUUUUCAUCAUCCCACUGUUUAAGCUGCACUUUGCGUAAAUUGGGUGUGCUUAAUUCUCCUCCUGAGAAAAUGCUCAUAUUGGGGCAAUCUUCCACCACUAAUCUUUCCAGAGAUGGGAAUUUGAAGGCGCAAUUAUUGACAGAGCAGAAACUUGUCAGACUUUCUAAGCUCGAAAGCCGCAAUUCCUUCAAUUCGCUGAAAACAAUUUCAUAGUUUGCUGCAUAAUUGUCUCCCUCUUCAUCGUCAUCUACCACUAUUUCUGUUAUCAUCUUGCAGUGAAAUAUCUUCAUUUGUUUUAGUCGCACCAGACUCUUUGCUGUCGAAGAUGUUAGUAUGUUUAUCAUUCCAUAGCAAAAAUCUACGGCCACAGUUGUUAGAUUCUGAAACGAUGUCGAGGAUGGCACUAGAUUAAUCAAAUUGUCACAUCCAUAUAUCUCCAGUACUUCCAAAUUGUUUGCAUGGGAGGACUCUUGUUUCAAAAUCUGCUUCAGAUCAGGAUGGAAGUUUAUUCCCUUUAUCAUUGCAUUCACCCCAUUUUCAACUGUUUCAAAUAGUUCUUCUCCAUCAUAAUCGUAUCCUUCGAUACAGAGAACUUUGAUGGUGUGAAAUCUCUGAAGGAAAUCGUCAAGUGAUAAAAUAGCAGUUGACCAAUCAAGCCAAACAUUAAGACAUUUAAGUUUGCAAGGCAAGUCUUCUGGAAAUAGACCUAUGUGCUUUUCAUCAACACUCAAAUAUUCCAAAUUGGGAAACACCUAGGUGAUUGCCAAUCAAAAAAAGAAGAAAAAAAAAAAAGCAAGAUGGAGUUAGAUCUUCUUUUUAACAAUUUGACAAAUUAAAGUAAAUGCAAAGCAUUCCGGUGAUGAAUAUUGAUGGCCUACCGUGUAUGUGUGUGUGUGUGUGUGUAGCAUAUGAUCUUUCUAACAAUCAUAGAAAAAACAAGGUGGAGUUGAUCUUCUUUGUGAAAAUUUCACAUAUCAAAGUAAAUGCAAAGCAUUCUAAUGAUGAAUAAUAUUGAUGGCCAGAUAAAUAUAUAUAUAGCAUACGAAAAAGACUUCAAUUAUUCUCAAUUUACAUUUAAACUUUCAAAUUCUCUUAAUCGAUCGGCUUAUUUGGUUUGAAUUGAAAAUCUUACAAAUUUCUUUUUUUUAAAAAUUGAUAUUUUAACUUUUAUUUUCUUUUUAUCAAAAGCAAAAAUGAAUAAAUAACUUGAAUUUAAAAAGUUUAAUAAUAUGGUAAGAAGCUUGUAUUUCAUUAAUAUUCAUCCAACCCAACGGGAUUGGAUAUAUUCACUACUGUACAAGAAAUGAUUUUAUUGUGCAAAAAAUUUAAUAGGAUAAGAUUUCUUCAUUUGAGUUUUGUUCAUCUCUCUAUAUAUAUUUUUAAGAAUAUUAUUUAUGUUAACACGAGAUGACCAUGUUCUUCUUCAACAUCAAAAUUGAUAAUCAUUUGUAUGUAACAAUAUUAAUUGUUAAGGCAUACUAAUCUAAAAAUAGCUCCUAAAAAUUAUCUGGGAAUUAACUGUGGCUUGAAAAACUCUAGAUCUUAUUAGAAUUUUCUUUGUUUGGGUAAUCAAAUGCACUCUCUCUUUCGUGUAUUAAGUAAACAUAUAGACAUAAAAAAAAGUAAAAAAGUAGAGGAAGAAGAAAAACUCAGAUAAUUAAGAGAAAACAAUUGAACUGGAAUUAAAAAAAAAAAAUUGUUUACUAACAUUUUGUUAAACUGAUUUAUGUUUAUGAGGAUAUUAUGAAGUAUAAAUAAACUGAUUUAUACAACUAACAUUUUGUUACUAAAAGACAAAGUGAUGAGGGCGAUGAUGAUGACAAUAAAACUCUAAACUCUGAAAGUAGAAUUACUUUUAAGUACGUAAGAAUUGAACAAUAAUUACAAAAGUCUUGCACGUACCUUCUUGGUGGACUCAUGAAUAGUGCUUUUAAAUUUCACUUGGGGACAUUCCAGUAUUUUUAAUUUUUCCAAUGAUGGAAAUUCAAAAUGCAGAUCUCCUGUGCAGAAGCUUGUAAGCUGCGGAAGAGAACAAAGUUCAAGUGUUGUUAAUUGAGUGAGUUCAAUGACUUGCGUGUUACUAUUGCUGGAUUCAUCUCCUCUCUCGGCAGCAAAAAUCACUUCCAAAUUCUGGCAUCCAGUCACUUCAAUGGACUGAAGUUGUUGAAGGCCUCUGCCAAUGACCAAUGGAAAUACAUUUUUCAAUUUAUCGCACCAUUCCACCCUUAUGUCCUUUACUUUGCAAAAAGACUCUGCCGCGAGUGGACCGCGACAUAUUUUCUCAAGGUUACUCAAAUGUCGCAGAAGUAAUGACUCCAAGACGGGGAAUGCAGUCGUCAGAGCUGUUGCUCUAUCCACUGUGUCAACAACACAUAAAAGGUUGCUAUUUUUUACGACCUCGAGACGCUUCAGCUGUGGAAAACCUUCUCCGUCUGAUCCAUAAAGAACACUCUUCAUGUCCAGCGAUCCGCCUAAACAUAGGUCUUUAAUACCCUUCAAUUGCAUGAUAUGCCCCCCGUUCAAGCAAAUGUUGGCACCACUGGCGACCAUCAGUCGGAAUAUUUCAGAUAUCUCACUCGAUAUGUAAUCCCAUGUCCACUGACUUCCUAUCAAUAUUCUGUACCUUUGCAGCAUUUUGAAGAACGACAAGUCUCUUGGUAGAGUCUUUUCAUCUUGGAUGAGUAUUUCUAAAGAGGUCAACUUAGAUAAAUUAUUCAACUCAUGAAGGCUGGCAUUUCUUCUUUCACCGUCGACUCCUUCAACCUUCCCCCACUCAAUGGGACUCUCACCAAUAUAUAGUUCUUCUAAUCGGGAUAAGCUCGAUAAGACAUCUGGGGGAAUAACUCUCAGUAGGUAACAUCGGCGCAAUCAACAGCCUCAAUUGAGUCAGCUGGCCUAUCUCUCCAACCAGUUCCUUCAUAUCAGAACCUCGAAGCGCAAGGAUGACUAAUUUCUUUAGGUCUCCAAUAAUAGCCAUGUCUCCUAGUUCACAAUAAUCCAGAGACAAUGUUUGAAGGUUUUGUAAGAGACCAAGCGAUGAAGGCAAUGCCAACAAAUGCAUCCUAGUGAAAUCUAAAACUCUAAGCUCUGUCAUCCCGGUAAAAAAGUUAUCUGGGAUUUUCAAAGAAUGAUCAUUGUGAAUACGAAAGUAUUUAAGUUGCGGACACUCGAACCCUUGAGGAAGCUCAUUAAUAUUACUAUUAUUUAAGGAGAUUGCGGUGCAAUCCUUCAGCACAUCCUUAUCUGGCCAGCUGGUCAGCGGGACAACCUCAUUUUCCACCGCAAACACAUGUUGGUCUCUUGAUGCAAUAGAUAUGGCUACAUCACGAACAACAUCAUGCAUUGAAAACCAUUCACUUCUCCAGCCACCAAGCAACAAGCAAGAGUUCUUGAGUUUAUCAACCAAUGUAUGUGCUCUAUCCCGUGCCUCAUCCACCGUGUUGAUGUUUUGAAACAGACCCAAACCCAUGCCAUGAUAAAGCAAGUCUUUAACGUUACGUAUGUAGGAGUAUCCUAUUAGCAAAAACGUUUUCCUGAGUUCCUCACCUCCUAAAUCCUCAUCUUCUAAAUGAUAGUAACUCAGCUCUAAACUUGAAUAGGCGGCCCCCAAUAAAGACUUAUUUUUCAAUUGUCGUAAAGCAUCCUUCCAUACAUAGAGACUCGACUUAUUUUUCAAUGCCUUUGCUACGGGUAAAAUGGCAAUGGGCAAACCAGCACAUUCCUUGACUAUCUCUGUUGCUACAGAUUUCAGUUCACCAUUUUCUAUGCAAUCACCUGUCAUCUUCUCGAAAAGACUCCAAGCUUCUUUUGCAUUCAGAACAUCAACAAAAAUAUUUUUUUGACAAUCCAUCUUAGAAGACAACACAUCGUGACUUCUUGCCGUCAGCAGAACUUUACAUCCGCCCAUAUCAUCUGCCAAUGGAAUUCCAAUUGCCUCCAAACCAAGACUCCCCCAUAUAUCAUCCAAGAUUAUAAGGAUCUUCGUCUCUUUCUUCAAUCUUUCAAGCAGCCUCCCUGCUCUUCCAGUUUCACUCUCUUCAUCUAUUUUCAGGCCCAGCUUCUCUGCAAUUUCUCUUUGUAUUUCUUUUAUUUGCGGUGUUCGGGAUACAUGUGCAGAAAUGACCUUCUCGAAUAGAUUAUAUUCCUUGGCCUGCCUGCCAACUUCUUUCACCAGCGUUGUCUUUCCAAUGCCACCCAUGCCGUACACCCCAAUCAUGUUGAAGUUACGGUUGCUGAGUGCGUCUAGUAUCUCCUUCAAAGUGGAAGUUCUCGAUUCAAAGUGCAUGAAACCCUGGGUAGAGUUAAGCCAUGUCUCCUCUGGAAUGGUACGGAAAGAAACACCGUCGAAUCUUCCUUUUUCAAGAAGUCCAGCAAUAGCAUUCGCUUCACUUUCUGCUUUCAUGCUAAGCUGGUACCGGGUCUUCAAAUUAGGACACAACCCCUUCAACCACCGGUUGUUUGAAUUCUCUUUGUCUGCAAUAAGUGUUUCGACUUCAUUGAUGGCCUUGUCCACAGUAAUCAUCCACUUCUCAACGUGGUGUUGAAUUCCGUCCCCUUUAAUUCUGGAAUCAUCAACCUUAUACCGCACACUCUCUCUAGCAUUCUUGAGCUUAUCAACUUCAUUAUUCAGCUUCUCGAAGUUGGUGUUGUAAGUGCAGCAGUAAGUAAAUGGAUGAAUAAUGGGAUCAACCAAGUACUCUGCAACUUUCGCAACAGCGGAGGUAGCAAUAUCCAUUAUCCCUUUCUUUUUUUAUUUUUCGCUUUCAGAAAACAGGGGAAAGCAAAACUAAUCAAACUAAGCAGAACUAAUCAAUCAGCUGGGAAGAGGGAAAUAAGAAGUUUGGAUAAAUUGCUAAAAUAAGAAGUUGAAUAGAUUUAAGGGAGGAGGAGAGGAAGAGAGUGAAAAAUCUAGAGAUGAAACAAAGGGGGAUCCUUAAGACAAAUUGAAAAGCGAGUACAAUAAAUGAAAGAUUUGCAAAGAAGGUGUAGGAUCGAGGACAAGGAUGAUUCAGAAAAGGGAGACAGAAAAUGAAGAAGAGGUUUCAGAGAACUCUAGAGAUUAGAGAAGAGGGAUGAUUAGGAAAAUGCAGAGGCAGACAGUUGUCAUCUCAAGUCUCAAGGGUAAUCUGAACUUUAUGAUUUUUUUAUUUUUUCAAGAAAUAGAUAUACAAAUAAAAUGAAAAAAAAAAAAAAACCUGUUGUGUGGUCGUGUGGGUUCCUCGAAAUCAAUUCGGCAUUUAAUCGAACGGUUGGAUGUACUCAGCAUCUACACUUCCACGAAGGUUCCUGGAAGUUGCAAGUGCUGCCGGCAUUUUCAAACUCGGAAGGUUUCAAUAAUUCUUCUUCUUUGAAAGAAAGGUUUCAAUAAAGAAAGACUAAUAAAGCUUAAUCAUGAUUAUUUGAUAAACUAGAGGUGAUCACUGACGAUUUCAUUUUGUCACCCGAAGAAAACCGGAAUGUCAAGUGUCAAAUAAGGCUGAUGCUACAAUACCGGCAUGUAUCGGAUACAUGCAUGAAAUAUUACCGUUGGAUUAAUUGGAGUGGAUCCAAUGGCUGAGAUUCAUUUUAGUAUUAAAUAAUAAAAAAAUUUACAAGGAAAGGGAGCCUGUAAAAUCGGUAAAUGAAACAAACAAAAAGUCCUCAGCACUCACUCCUCACCUCGCGAUCACAGCUCACCCUCAUCUCACGUCUCCAUCUCCACUGGCUCCCGCUUCACUCACACGCCAAACGCCUCACCACUCCCUCACCUCCACUCCCUCACAACACGCCUCACCACGGCCAUCAACAGCGCCGCAAGUCGGCAAUGAUUAACGGCGGCGGCUGAAGGAGUUCCUAGGCAACGAUCAACGGCGGCACAAGCACGGGCUGAUCUCCUUCUUCGGCAACGAUCAACGGCGGGGUUGCUGAUCUUCCCUAUCCUUGGUGGACUUCAACUCUGUCCCUGCCUUGUGGGUCGUUGAUGAUGUUGAUUUCAUGGACUACCAGAAUUGCGGAGCCUCCAAAGACUGGUCUUGAGUUUUGGAAGACUUUGUUUCUCGUAAGUACUGUGAUGGGUUUUGUUUUGUUUGUGAGAAAAGUGAGGAAAUUUUGAGAAAAUGAUGUUUUUGGUUUUUAGGGUUUGUGCUGGUUUUGUUGAUGAGUACAUGUUUAUUUGGAUCUGGAUUUCAGAGCCCUGGAAAACGGAUUUGUAAGUCAAUGGCAUAAAACAGCUUUUUCAACGAAUCCUUUGUCAUGCUGCAGGUGAAAAGUAGCUAUAGUUUUUUUAUCAUUCAUAUAAUUUAUAGUAUCUUAACUUAAUACUUGAUGCUUUAUUUGGUUGUUGGGAAAAUGUAGGAAACAUAUUUUAGUUUUUCUAGAAUUAAAAUGGUACAAAAAGUUAACCUUUUUUUGCUUCUGUCUUGGUGAAAUUUUGAUUUUUGUUUACUUCAUCAUCUAAAGUUAAAGUGGAAGUUUGGAUUUCUAAUAUGUGGUUAAUGUGGCAAGUGAUUCUCUGAGUUAUUGGCGCUGUUGUAAGUUAUUGAGGCUUAUCACUGUUGUAUUAGAGGAUUCACGUACACUGAAUAAUUAGUGGCGAUCUAGUAUAUAAACCAAAGUUUAACAUAUCUACAUAUAACUGACUGAAAAGCUUAUGUAUUAUAUUCACUCCAUCAAGUAUGAAGCAUAUAAUCAAUUGAUCUGCAAGCACUAGACAUAAAAAAAUCGAAUGGUAGAAUAGAAUAUACAAGCAUCAGCAUUAGAUGACAGGAAAAGAGCUCAUUAAUAAAUUAUAUGAGUGAUAGUACUACUUGAAUCAAACUGACGUCCCCAGUUAAGAAGAGUUAAAUUAAAUAAUACUUUGAUGAUUUCAUGUGCGUAAAAUUAUAAAUUUAUAACCAUCAAUAUAUCACCAGACUUUGUAAAGUUAAUGUGAAAAUGCAUCACAGUUGUACUUAUUAUCUUUUUUCUUUUUUUCUUUUCCAAUUAGUCUAAAUACCAGUGGCGUGGCCUCGUGGGUCCUCAAAUUAUUCAAAUGGGCAUUUCAUCGAACAGUGGAUAUACUCGGCAUCUGCACUUGGAAGACGCGUUCAAAAGCUCUAAAUCAUGUUAAAGUCGACCAAAAAGACAAAGGAAAAUGCUUCUCAGCGAGAAUGCUGAGAGAAUGCCGAGAGAAACGGCCCCACCCCCCACCACGUGAACUUUUGUCCCUUUUGUUUUUUCUUGCUACUUUUGCUUUUUCCACAUUUUCUACUCUUUCUCCCCCACAUUUGAUUCUAACUGUCGAAAAGCACUAAUUGAGUUGAGAUUUUUCUCUCAUUUCACAAGUAGAGAGAGCGGCAUUAGGGCAGGAGCCAGGAGUAUUUGCUCAUUCACGUGAAAGGAUUGAGUUGGGUUUUUUUUCUCAUUUUAGAAGCAGGAAAACGGCAUUAGCAGCCUAGCAGGAGUAGUUCAUCACCAGCUUGAAGUAAAACACCCAGCUGGUAAAGAGUGAUUUUUUAUUUAUUCUAUUAUUUUUUGUUAUAUGAUAAUGAAAUUUUGAUUUAGAAAAUUUUAUUUAGAAAUCAAAUAAUGAUAAAUUUGAUUUAGAAAUUUUUAAUUUAAAUUUUGUGUUGGAUUUAGAAUUUCUUUUAAUAUAAAUGUUGUGUUUGAUUUAGAAAUCUUUUUAUUUAGAAGUUUUUUAAUUUAAAUGAUGGGUGGGAUUUAGAAUUUUUUAAUUUAAAUUUUGUUUCGAUUUAGAAUUUUUUAAUUUAAAUUUUUAGAAUAUGAUGGAUUAAAUUAUUGGUGGAUCCAAAUUUUGUAAAAAUUUAUAAUAAUUUAUUCUUAAUAUGAAUAUUAAUUAUUUUGUAUACUUAUAUUUUUUAAUUUUUAAAAUCUCAUAUCAUGUUUUAAUUUUUUAUAUAUUACAGCAACCACUCCCGACGUAUGCUUUGCAACCACAUUAUCCUUCUCAUUUGAUGUCGUACGAAGGAUUUGCAAGUAAAAGUUUCCAACAUUUGCUACAUCAACAACGUAAUGAAGACAACAAUGAAUGUGAUUGGUGUUUGACUUAUAUUUUGUUCGAACAAGUCACAUAACCUACUUAAUAAUUUAAAAUGAUUAUAAGAUCAUCUAAUGCCGAGUUUCAUCAUUAACUACCAAAAUACUCCAGAAAUCCAAUACAUUUAACUAAACACAAAUUUAAUCAAAUCGUUAGACACUCAACCUGAAAGUGGAUUCGAAGUAAUUUUAAUGAAAACAAAGAAACAGGGGGACCCUCUUGAUCGCCAACGCCAUCUUACCCUUAUAAAGAGAAAGAAGUCAAGCUCCAUAUAAUAUAAUGCCUCACAAAUUAUACAGAAAAAUGGGCCUCAUUUCAGAUGCUACAUAGAUGGUUUUCAUGAAUCCUCGUUUUGUGUGAUGAUUUUUUUUUUUUUUGACAUUUAAUAGAGUAUACAAAAUAAAAAUAAAAAUAAAAAUUUUAAAUUUACUAGAUGAGCCAAUAAAGUAUAGUAGUGUUCAGAAAUAUUUUUUUUUUCUAGAAUGUAAAUAACCCAUCCAAAGUAAUUUUAUCUUAUUUGACUGAGGUUCUCCCCCCUCCCCCACAAAAAAAAAAGCUGCUUCUUGGUUUUUAAUGCAAACACGAAGAGCUUUCGUUAAUAGUGCUUUUAGAUUGGAUUUCUAAGUUAAAAUAUAAAUCAGUUUUAGAACACUAAAUUGAGGGAGAAUAUUCGAUUUGAUCUUAUUGUAGGCUACUUCAAGAGUGUAAGAAACUGCUCCUGGAGCAUGCUAUUACAUGUUUUGUUUGUGGAAAAUGAUAUUUGUGUAUCAGCAAAACACUAAGAAGACAAAAAAAAGACAGUACUGUUGCAUAAACAUUGCUGUCAAUUUUAUGCUGCAAUGGCACUAUAGCAUAAGCAAUACCCAUAUUUCUGCAUGUCUUCCGAAUAUCUUGCAGCUGUUCAAAUAACAAUGCUCUUUGUUUGCCUACAAACCUCUAUUUUCUGUCAACAUAAUCGAGGUAACAACCCGCAAAUAAUUUUGUAAAUUGAGCCUGGAUGAAAAAUUGAUGAAUGUGUUGGUGAGAAUAAUCAUUACUCAAAAUCUUUCACUGAUGUCCUAAAUGAUUUCUCCUUCUAUAGAUUACAGUGGUCGGUUAUAAUCACAAAUUGAGGAUCUUGCUGGAAGCUGUUGUUCAAAAAAUUGCAGAAUUCAAAGUGAAACCAAACAGAACACUUAUUUCUGUUCGAAUAUAUUGAGGAUCUUGCUGGAAGCUGUUGUUCAAAAAAUUGCAGAAUUCAAAGUGAAACCAAACAGAACACUUAUUUCUGUUCGAAUAGCCGCAAAGUUUGAAUUGGGCACUUUUUUGGACAAUAUGUUUCCAGCAAGAUCCUCAAAUUUGUGAUUAGAACCAAUCAGUGUCGCCUAUGGAAGCAAAAACAACCAUUUAGGAGAUUAGUGAGAGACUUGAGUAAUGAUCUGGUUCCGCACUAACCAGUCACUUCUCAACCUUCUCUUCAAUCUCUUCCCCUUCUUUUUUCGCCUCAGAAACUCUACGCUGAACGCCUCGUAGUUUCGCCCUUGAUCAGCUCCUCGAUAUCGGCCUUGAUAUCAUCAAAGUUGGCAUUAAUUGUAGAAUAAGCAGAUAACAGUCCAAAACUGAAGGAGGCGAAAGGAAAGUGAGAUUAAAAAACAAACAGAAGCGAAGUGUUUUUUGAGACGAGAAAACGGAAACAAGAAAAGGACCAAUGCGAAGAGCUGAUAGAACGGACGAGGACGACUGAAUAAGAAGUGAUUUGAUUAUUUUAUACGGCCAAUUCAUGUAAUGACAGAUCUGGUUUCGAUCUUUGUAAUUUAAAUGUAUUAUCAGUACCAGGUGAAGGACUUUUUGUCGACUCAGUCCAACACAAAUACAAAUUACUAAAGCAACGUGAUACUGGUAUUCAUCUUUGUAAAUUAAGCAUAUCAAUACGAGGUGACUCUCUCAAGACUUUUGCUGUGCUAGUGCCGGUCUCAGUUAGUUGUGUUAUUAUUUAAGAGGUCGAGUCUAGAUAACAUCCUGCUACUUCAAUUAUAAAGAUGGACUUGGAGAAGAAACAAAGCACCUUUUGUUAUAUUUUAUUCACCUCAUAAUCAUUACAUUUAUAGUGCUCUACAGGAAACACGAUAAGCUAAGAAUGAGAUCAAGCCAAGCACAAUUGUUAUCUUUAUCUUGAUCUAGAUAAAUACAAAAGUAAAAACUUGAAUUAAUGAUAAGCUAAGAGAUAAGGUUGACCACUUUCACUUUCUAGAACACUAAUGAAUGCCAAGUGUGCUGCCAUAUCAUCUAACAAAUUUGAAUUCGUAUUACUCAAGUUUGGUAGCUCUGCUACAAUAUUUUCAUCAUGCCCCCUCAAGCGCAAUGUUCUGGGAAGAAUAUGUAACUUGUCUUGCAACCGUUGAAACUUAUCAGCAGGAAGAGCUUUUGUGAAUAUGUCUGCAGGGUGAUAUUCAGUAGGGACAUAUCCACUUUCACUCUGCCUUUGGAAAUUAUAUCUCUCACAAAAUGAAAAUCGAUCUCUAUAUGUUUUGUUCUUGAAUGAUGAACUGGAUUGGUAGCAAGUGAAGCAACUCCAGUGUUAUCACACCAAAUAAUUGGAAUUUUAGUUAAUGGAACUUGCAACUCUUUAAGCACAAAUUGAAGCCAUAAAAUUUCUGCUAUAGUAUUUGCAAGUGCUCAAUACUCUGACUUAGUUGAAGACCUUGCUACAACAUUUUGUUUCGUUGAACUCCAUGAGAUUAAGUUGUUGCCAAGAUAAAUACAGAAACCUCCAGAUGAUUUUCUAUCAUCAAUAUUGUUUGCCCAAUCUGCAUCUGUAUAGUCUGUGAGCAUCAUUCUUCCUUUUGUAGUAUAAUAAAUACCAUAAUCAGUUGUUCCUUGUAAAUAUCUACGAAUUCUUUUACACCCAAGCCAAUGCGACCGUAAAAGAUUUUGCAUGUACUGACUUAAAUGAUGAACAACAUAAGAAAUUUCAGGCCGAGUAAUAGUUACAUAUAAUAAGGCUCCAACUAUGAUACAAUAAAGUGUAGGAUCGGAAAAUUGCUUACCACCUUCAGCUGAAAGUUUUGGUACUAUACUCAUGGAGUAGAUGUUUCCUUGUAGCCAUCCAUACCUGUGUGCUUUAAAAGAUCAUAAAUAUAUUUGUAUUGGCUAAGAUGUAGGCCAUUCUCUGUGCGAUGAGCUUCAAGACCAAGGAAAUAGCUUAAUGGUCCGAGCACUUUUAAAGCAAACUGACAAUUAAGUCAUUCAAUAACUUCCUGCACUAGACUUUCUUUACUUCCUGUUAUUAAAAUAUCGUCCGCAUAAAUAAGGACAAAUAUUAUAUCUCUUCCUUGCUGCAAGAUAAAUAGUGAUGUGUCUGAUUUAGAAUUUGUGAAACCCCAGUCAACCAAUGCUUUCUUGAUUUUUUCGAACCAAGCUCUGGGAGCUUGCUUAAGCCCAUACAAUGCUUUUCUCAAUUUACACACAUGAUUUGGUUUUGCUUUCUCGACAAAACCUUCAGGCUGCAUCAUGUAAACAACUUCUACUAAGUCUCCAUUGAAAAAGGCGUUGUUCACAUCCAGUUGUAUUACACCCCAAUUUUUCAUCACAACAAUACUUAACACCAAUCAAAUUGUUGUAGCUUUAACAACAUGACUAAAAGUCUCGUUGAAAUCGAUUCCUGGGGUUUGAUGAAAUCCUUUUCCAACCAACCGAGCCAUAUAUCGCUCUAUCUGACCAUCAACCUUUUGUUUUAUCCAGAAAACCCAUUUAUUUCCCACAAUCUUCAUGUCAGAAGUAAGUUGAACUAAACACAUUGAGUUAUUUCACGCCAAAGCAUUUAUUUCUUCUGUCAUAGCAUUACACCAAUUUUGAUCUUCCAAAGCUUCACUAACACUGGCAGGUACACUUAUUUUGGUAUUGGAGGUUGUUAGGUAAAGUCUAGGUUUGGGUUUAAAGAUGCCGACCUUGGCACGAGUGAUCAUUGGAUGAGUGGAUUAUGUAUGUGUUGGCUGUUGAAAAUGAGGAGAUGAACUAGGUGGUGAGAGAUUGUGAUAUCGGCUUCUUGAUUAACAUAUUCAGGGAUAGCUAAAGAUUGUGUGGUGUUCUCAGUUGCUUGGAUUUCAGUGCUUGAUUCAAGGUUGGUUUUUCUAGUUGGGCUAUUAGUGUUGGAUUCAAAAUUGGUUUCCUCAUCUUGACUUGAUGCUUGAUCUAUGACUGUUGUGUUAUGAACCAACUCUGGUGGAGAGUCUGUUGCUUGAAUAACUGAGAGAGUCUUAUCAGCUUUAGGACUUUCAAAACCUGCAACCAUUGGAGAAUGAAUGAGAGUCCUAGAAUCAUGAUUUGGAUAACUCUUUGAGAUUUUGAAGGAGGGAUCACUUUUGAAAGGAAAAUCAGAUUCAUUAAAGACAACAUGUCGCAUUACAAAAAUUUUUCUUGACUUGUGGAGACACUUAUACCCUUUAUGAGCUGUAAUAUAGCCUAAAAAUAUACAUUCAUCUGAUUGAAAAUCUAAUUUAUAUUUGUUAUAAUCUCGAAGAUGAGGAAAUACAACACAUCCAAAAACUUUUAGAAAAGAAUAAUCAGGUAUUUUAUUGUAAAGUAUUUGAAAUGGUGAUUUAUUUUCUAAUAUGAAAGUAGGCAUUCUAUUAAUUAAAUAAACAAAUGUUUGAAAAGCAUUUUACCAAAAAGUGAGUGGCAUGCCAGCCUGUGCUAAAAGUGUUAAAUCAGUCUCUACAAUGUGUCGGUGUUUUCGCUUUACUCUACCAUUUUGAUGAUGUGUAUGUGGGCAAGCAAGUCGAUGAAUAAUACCCUGUUCUUUUAAAAAAUUUGUAAACACUUGAAACUCUCCUCCACCAUUAGUUUGUAAACUUUUGAUUUUCUUUCCUAUUUGUUUUUCGGCUUGAACUUUGAAAUAUUUAAAGGCUUCAAAAGCUUGUGAUUUAACUUUAAGUGGAAAUAUCCAUGUAAAACAUGUGCUGUCAUCUACAAUACUCAAAUAAUAUUUGUAGCCAUUUCCAGACAUUAAAGGUGCAGCCCCUAUAAGUCAAGAUGCAAUAGUUCUAAAGGUUCUGAAGCUCUAUUAUUUGAUGCUUUGAUAGUUUGCCUAUGAGUUUUUCCUUGUUGACAUGCAUCACAGAAUUGAAGAACGAAAUUUUUAUUCAACUGACUUGUUUUGUUACAAAAUGGUAGAAUUUGUUUUAGUACAGCAAGAUGAGGAUGUCCCAUCCUUCUGUGCAAAAGAUUUAUGAAAUUGCUAGGCUUGGAAUUGGAAAUAAAUUCUUGUUUAUUUACAGAACUUAUUAUUGAGCUAGAAUUGAAAAAACUAAAUGGAAGAGAAGACUCAUAAGAUUUAUUGGAAAUAAUUUUUUAAUAAGAUAAAAUGGCUUGUCUUGAAAGCACGGGUAGCCAAUAAUAGCCUCUUUCAGUUUUUCGCUGCAGCAGCUUCUUCCCCAGAACUUUGUCCUUAACAGUACAAACAUUGUCAUAGAAAUCAAGCAUUAGCUUAUUAUCAUAAAGUAAUUUUGAAAUGUUAAUUAAGUUCUUGGUGAUUUUGGGCACGUAUAAAAUAUUAUUAAGCAACAAUGGUUUAUGGUUCGGAAUAUAAAUAAGUGCACUGCCAAUGUGAGAUAUUGCUAAAGUUUUCCCAUUACCUACUACCAACUUCUCACCUCCCUUAAAUUCUUACCUAAUCUGCAGAUUGUUUAAAUCAUUUGUGACAUGAUGUGUUGCUCCGCUGUCCAAAUACCAUCCGUUAUCUAUUUCUUCAACAGGGAGUGCCAUACAGGCAGCGAAAGAAACAUUGAUAUCUUGAAUGUCCAUAUUUAUCACAUAUCUGACAAGUUGGCCUAUUUCCACCGCGACUAAAAUUGGUUCUUCCUCUGCCUCUACCAUGUCCAUUGCCUCUAGAACCUCCUGACAUAAAACCUUUUCCUGCAACUUUCCUUUUAUGAAAAUAAGCUCCUACAAAAUUUGCAUUGAAACUGCCUCAAACUCAAGAUUUGCAGCAGCUGAGAGUUGCUCCAUUCAACUUUCAUGAUUGAGCAAAAGAGAGAACACUUCAAGCAGAUAUAAAUCAUCAGUUCUGGCUGUAAUAUUUACAACCACAGGGUUGUAUUCAGUUUCUAAACCUGCAAGAAUAUAAGAAAUUAAAUCAUCUUCAGUAACAUAUUUUCUAGCCAUUGCGAGGCUAUCAGCUAAAUUUUUCAUUUUGUUGACAUCGUCACUCAUGGUCAUAGCAUUCUUUUUCGUGGUUUGGAGUUGCAUCUUAAGCUGCAAAAUUCUAGCCUUUGACAGAGAUGCAAACAAUGUUUCCAAAGCAUUCCAAACCUAAAAAAAGGUUGUAUAUUGCACCACUAUGCUUAAAACUAAUUCAGUCAUAGUGGACAAAAGCCAGCUAAGUAAAAACUGAUCUUGUCUCAGCCAUUGUAUAUAUUCUGGAUUUUCCGCGGUCAUCAUUGUUUGAUCCUCUUCUACUUGCACCAAGAAUUUAGUGGGUACAAGAUUUGCUCCAUUGAUCAAGCUUUCAAGAUUGUUACCACGAAUGGAAGGUAGCACUUGAGACUUCCGUAUCAUAGAAUUAUGCCUAUCCAAUUUGACAGGAGUCGAAAAAUUGAAAGUUUGUGAUGUUUUGUUUACAGUAUUCAUAUUGACUAAUUUUACAGAACUGGAGCUCACCAUGCUCUGAUACCAACUUAAAUUAUAAAGAUAGACUUGGAGAAGAAACAAAGCACAUUUUUUUAUAUUUUAUUCACCUCAUUAUCAUUAUAUUUAUAGUGCUCUACAGGAAACACGAUAAGCUAAGAAUGAGAUCAAGCCAAGCACAAUCGCCAACAUUAUUCUCCAACUGAGGGGCUUUCUCCUGCCUUGCAUUUCGUCUAUUAUUUGUGCCAAUCGCCAUACUUGUCCCUCCAAUUCCAAGGCCCGACUAGGAUCACGUGCUGCAACCUGGUCACGUUCUUGUUCGAUCGCUCCUCUGCUACAACUUCGCAAGAUUCGUCCGUUGUGGAAUUGAUCUCUCCCUUCGUGCGCACAUUCUCUCAAAGUUUGAGUUCCAACUCCAUUGUUAGGCACCCUAUUGAGCUGUCCCCCUAUUGAAGGGAUCUCUUCAUUUCUAUUCCUCUGGUGAUUGGGCUCUAUAGCAACAUCAUCCCUGGUUGCAUUUGCAUCAUAAGCCCUUCUUUGCUCGUUUCUCAGCUCAUGUAAGAUGGUGGUGAGGGUCUCCAUAUGCUUCUCCAUCCACUCCAUUCACUCAUGCAUCACUCUUUCCUGUGCCUCAUUUGCUCUCUCUCUCUUAGAGUGAUCGUCUCACUAGUCUCAUGCUCAUCUCCUGGGCACUAUUCCUUCCUAUAUCCAUGUCCACACGCCUACUUCUCCCUAUGAGUUGCUUUGCUAAUGGUAGCUUUUUGUUCAGCUCCCCACAGACGGCGCCAAAAUAUUAAUGUAGAAAUCUGGUCGUACGUGGACGGCUGACCAGAUUGUCUCGUCAACACUUAAGUUUGCUCUGGGUGAGGCACGAAGCUGCUCGUUCUCUCUCCAAUCAAGCGGGUUUAACGACCUCAACUAACCUUGCUCCUUUUCUUCUGACCUGCACUCACACAAAUGGAUUAGGGGUGCCGGUGAUUUUUCCGGUGGGAACCCUCCGAUGCUUAAGUCAGUAUGCAGGGUUUCGGGAAAAAAACGUUGAACUAUCAAUCUAUCAAAACUAACAAUUCUAAAAUGAAGGAAGUGUUUAAGAAAGCUUUUUGGAAAUGAGUUCUAAAUCCAAAAUGGCAGAGUUUUCCCCCUUUCUCCUUUUUUUUCUUUUUUUCUUUUGUUGUUUGUUUUGGGUUUUUAUAGACAGCCUCCCCAUGUAUCUAGAACAUCCCCACGUCCUCCAUAUUCGGGCCUUUAUGGGUUUAGAGGAUCUGCGAAAAUCGUGCAUCAGUUAUCGUGCCUUUCCUCGCAUGAUCGAAAAAUGGCGAAACCAUCGCCUAGAUGUGGUAUCGUGUCCGAUCUUUAAGGAACAGUUCUCUGGUCGACUUUUAGCCAUACACCAAAGAGGACCUACGUAUUAUUGUGUCUGCUCAUAAUACACCGACCUGAGGAGAUUCUUACCUCGACCAGGUGAAAGCAUGUGUGGUUGGUGCUCUGGUCGUAUAAUCACCCAAACAAAGACGAUUGAGUAUGUUGAUUGAGAUGGAAAAAAGAGUUUCAGAGUUGGGAGAUGUGCAUUGGCCUAAUGGUAACCAAUUAUUUGAUUUUUACAGCGGCAUUCACUGACUUUAUAUUUUAAAAAAAUUAAGUCAGCAGAACUAAAAUAACUGAGGUAGUGUAUUCAAUUAUAUUAAUUUCUUUUUCUUUUUCAUUGAAAUGAAUGCAAAGAGUGGACGAAGAAUUAAAAAAAACUUGUGCGAAAUGUGAGGUGAUGAUAAGAGUGAGAAUCCCAAAAUCGGAUCAUAAGUAGACCUAUAGAUUAUCCCACCAGCCAUAGAUUUCAUGAUGGGAUUCGUUUAUUCCAUCACGGAGCCGAGCACCAAUAGAUUAUCCCACCAGCCACCACCUCAGCUCCCACGCAAGUUUCUCUCACAUUUGAGCAGUUGGUCCACUCCGUAACUCUUUGGCGUUUCAGUCAACAAAAUAUCACAGAAAACUGAUUAAGGCCAAAAGUUAAAACGAAGAGAUCCCCAUCCCCAUGUGAUUCUAAUUAUAAAAUCUUCACCUAAUUUUCAAGAUUGAUACUUGAAAUAAAAUUUGAUUAAAAAUUGCCAAAAAAAAUACUUAAAAUAAUGUCAUUUUAGGCGAAUUUUUUUCUUUAAAUAAAACCAGAACGAUAUCAUUUUGAAUAUAUAUAAUUUUUUAAAAAAAAUCAAUUUUGUGUCUUAUUUUAGUCCUCUAAUCAUUUUUCAAUUUUCAAACAAGUGAUUCUUAUUCAAUCUUUGCAUUUUCCUUUUCUCAAAAGUAAACGGAAAUGAAGUAAAAAAGGUUUAAAAAAAAUAGUAAAUGAUGAGACUCGGGGCAGGUGGCUUGCAACUUGGACGAAGAUUCCUGACAGUUGCUAAUCCCGCCCACAUCUUCCAACUUGCAAUUUGGAAGACCGUUCUAGCUUUCUACAAUAGCUUUUAAUUAAUGACGAUUAGUUUUGAUUAUUUGACGUUCUUCGUACAAUGAGAGUAUUUUGAGGUAAUUGCUCAAACAAAAGAUUACCAUUCAUGAUCUAAAUGUCUAAAUAAUAAAGACACUUGGCCUCAGCUGACUUGUUUCAAAUCAUUAAAUAAUUCUUUACUUACUAGUAUUGUUCUUAAAAUAUAUACAAACUUAGAGCUUGUAUGACUUUUUUCUAAGGUGAAAAUAUUUCUAACUCCAACGCUUUAGAAAAACUGAAGCCUUUCUUUUUCUUUUUUUUUUUCUUUCUUAAAUGACAAUUAUUGAAUAAUUGUGAACGAUAGCAUAUUUAAGCCUAAUAUCUUAAGGUAGGAGUAUAAUGAUUUAGGUUAUGAGUGUAGUAUAUAUACUAAAGUUUAAUAAUUAUGAUCGAUCAAUUAUUGAAAUAUUACCACGGGCAUUAGAUUAUAGGCAAAGAGCUCAUUUAUUACAUUGAUACAUUAUUUGAGUGAUAUAGCACUACUUUAAUCAAGCUUAUGUCCCAAGUUGGGAGCAGCUAAAUGGGCAUUUCAUCGAACAUUUGAUACACUAGGCAUCUGCGCUUAAUCGAAGGUCGCUGGUUGUUGCAAGUGCUGCCGGCAUUUUCAAAAUUGGAAGACCAUUCAAAGCUUUUCAAUGAUUUGUUUUGAUUGUUGUGUAAUAUAUGAUAAUCUUGUGAUGAUGAUGAUUUAUAUAUGUGGUUAAAAGCUAAACUAGUGGAUUUGUAAGUAAGCACUCGGCAAAGUAUUUGAGCAGGUAUUUUAAUCUUUUUGUUGUCACAUUCUUCUAAUCAAUUAGCUUUCACCAACAAAAAUAAUUAAUAACGUAAAUGGAGGAACUUGGGCUCAAAUCUCUAAAUUAAAAUCGUGAUCACUAAUAUAAGUGAACUAUAACAAGUCUAUCUUGAUCAAAGUUUUCAACUCGACAAAUAUAGACUAGUGAUAGUUGUUAAUAAUUUUUUUUAAAAAAAUACAAAUGUUGACUGUACAAGAAUAAUAAUAAUGUAUACUUAUUUAUUGAAUUUAAACUCUAUUCAAGAGAGGACCCCAAUUUUUUAUAUAUCUUAUUUUAAUGGCUCAAAGAAUUACAAAGUUGAUACCACAAUUUAUAGUUUUUUUUUUUUUUUUUACUCUUUGGAUUAACCCACAAUCCUCAAUCCUCACCUAGGGUCGAGGAAGGAUCCACAUGAUGCCUACAGUGAGCAAUUGACCCCGUAAACUUUUAUUUUUCCGUAAUUUUCUACAUAAAUUCUUGAUAUUUUCAUGAAAUUGCAUAACUUCCUACAUAAUUAAUUUAAGGCUUUAAUAUUUUAGACAUUUUAAUAUUUAAUAUUUUAGGUGCACGAACACAAAUAUGAUGCACACAUCUCUUUAAUUAAUUUAAGGCUUAAAGAGAUUUUCAGAUGCCUACAAAUUGAAUACGGCAGCUCUUGGAAACCAUCCAUAAGAAAUAAAAGUAUAUUCAAAUUGGAUUUUUGAGUACUCAAGCAAAGCUAAAAACAUAACAAUGAAAUGAACACAGAAAAAAAAGACCCUCUCGCCAACAUUGUCUGACUCUUAAUAUAUAGAAAAAAGUCGAGGCCUUACUCAAGAUACUGCACAGAAGGUUGGCCUGAAUUGUCUUCAUAAGUUUGGACUCUCUGAAAAACAAAGAGCAAAAGCACAUUGAAGGUGCAGUUUUCACAUACUCAAAUUGCACAAAUUAGCCUCUAUUAAGGACACAGAAAUCCGUCAAUUCUCUCUAUAAGCAAUUAAUUUCAUUUUUUUAAUUUAUUUUUUGCCAUGUCUUAUCUAACAAUUAAUCCUCAACACAACAAUACAGCAGAGUAGAUAUGUUUUAAAAAGAUGUACCAAUAUGAUUUAACAAAAAUUUCAAUAUAAAUAAAACAUAUUUAGUCAGCACUAAAAUCAAAUCAAAACCUCCCAAAACGUAUAGAUUUUAACUUACCACUGUCUUUUGCAUCUUUCUUCUUUUCAUUCUCUUUCUAAUUAGAUAUAAAAUGAAUUUGUAAAAAAUUUAAUAUGUACUUUUUUCUUUUACUUUUUUUAUAUAUACCUGUUAUAUCAGUAAUUUUUAGGAAAAAAAAAAUUAUAUCUCAUAGUAAAUGAAUAUGUACCUUUGUUGUAAGAUAUAGGUAUCGAAUGGUUGUAUUAAGGUCGCGAUCCCAAGCCCACCGUUUUUCAUCAAUGUAGUUCAGCUGCACUUUGUGUAACUUGGGUGUGCUUAAUUCUCCACCAGAGAAAAUUUUCAUAUUGGGGCAAUCUUCCACCACCAAUCUUUCCAGAGAUGGGAAUUUGAAGGCGCAAUUAUUGCCCGAGCAGCUAAAACUUGUCAGACUUUUCUAAAAAAGAAAGCUCCAACUCCUUCAAUUCGCUAAAAACAAGUUCAUCUUUUGCUGCAUAAUUCUCUCCCUCGUCAUCAUCAUUUGCCACUAUUUCUGUUAUCAUAAUGCAGAAACCUAUCUGCAUUCGUCUCAGUCGCACCAGACUCUUUGCUGUCGAGGAUGUUAGUACAUUUAUCAAUCCACUGCAACCCGUUACCGUCAAAGUUGUUAGAUUUUGAAACGAUGUCGAGGAUGGCACUACAUUAAUUAAAUUGUCACAAUAGGAUAUCAUCAGUAUUUCCAAAUUGUUAGUAUUGGCGGACUCUUGUUUCAAACCUGCUUCAGAUCACGACACUGGUUUAUUCCUCUUAUGAUUGCCUUCAUCCCAUUUUCAACCUUUUCAACUGUAUCUCCAUAAACUCCAUCGUCUCCUCCUAUAAGAAGAAUUUUGAUGGUGUGAAAUCUCUGGAGGAAAUCUUCAAGUGAUAAAUUAGUAGUUGACUCAUCAAGCCAGACACCAAGACGUUUAAGUCUGCAAAGAAAGUCUUUUGGAAAUAGACCUAUGUGCUGUUCAUCAACACUAGUUCCAAAUUGGGGAAGGCCUGGGAGAUCACCAAUCACAAAAAAAGCAAGAUGGAGUUAUAUCUUCUUUCUAACAAUUUCACACAUUAAAGUAAAUACAAAGCAUUCUGAUGAUGAACACUGAUGACCAGAUAUGUGUGUGUGUGUGUAGCAUAUGAUCUUCUUUCUAACAAUGAAUUGCUAGCACAAAUGAAAAUAAGGAAAAUUUGCACGAAUUUAAAAAAAAUUAAUAAUAUAGUAAGCUGGUAUUACAUAAUUAAUAUUCAUCCAACCCAACGGAACUGGAUGUAGUUUACUAUUGUACAAGAAUGGAUUAUAUUGCACAUAAAGUUUAAUAGGAUAAAAUUUCUUCAUUUGAGUUUUGUCCAUCUCUCUACAGAUAUUUUUAAGAAUAUUAUUAUGUUAACAUGAGAUGGACAAUUUCUUUUCCAACGUCAACAUUGAUAAUCAUUUUGUAUGUAACGAUGUUGUUAAGGACUACUAAUUUCAAAACGGCACUUAAAAAUAUUUUUGCGUACUGUGGCUUGAAAAACUCUAGAUCUUAUGAGCAUUUUCUUUGUUUGGCUAAUCAAAUGCACUGUCUCUUUCGUGAAUUAACUAAACAUAUACACAUAAAAUAAAAAUAAAAAAAGUAGAGGAAGAAGAAAAUCUCUAAUAAUAAGAGGAAAAAAUUGAACCACAAGAAAAAAAUAAUAAUUGUUUACUAAAUAAUAAUUUUUUCAUUCUUUCUAACUGACAUCCAAACCCAUCUAUGGUCGUAGCCAAUUCAAUAUUCGAUAAUGAGAAGAAUAAUUAAAGAUUGACAAUUAAGUUUAUAAGGAUAUUAUAAAGUAAUAAAUAAACUGAUUUAUAGAACUCACAUUUUGUUACUAAAAGAAAAGUGAUGAGGGCAAUGAAUACUCUAAACUCUAAACUCUCAAAGUAGAAAUACUUUUUUUUUUUUUGGUCUUAUCCACGAGGUAUCCUGGGGAGGGCCCCAACUGUGAGAGGCACCUUUAAGCCCGUACCACAACCCAGACUAGAAGUCCCCGCUCGAACCGGGAGGCACAGGUUCUCCUAACAAAGACGACUUCCCUGCGACUCGAACUGGGGAGCAAACCCAGUCAAGCCACUUAAGGGGACUCCAUUGCCAGUGGAGCCAACACUUUGUUGGUAAAGUAGAAAUACUUUUUAAGUACGUAAGAAUUGAACAAUAAUUACAAAAAUCUUGCACGUACCUUUUCAAAAUGCAGAUCUCCUGUGCAGAAGCUGGUAAGCUGCGGAAGUGAACGAAGCUCAAGUGUCCUCAAUUGAGUGAGUUCAAUCACUUCAGUACCGUUAUUAUUGCUGGAUUCAUCUCCUCUCUCGGCAGCAAAAAUCACUUCCAUAUUUUGGCAACUACUCACUUCAAUGGACUGAAGUUGUUGAAGGGCUCUGACUAUGACCACCGGAAAUACAUUUUUCAAUUUAUCACACUUUCGCACCCUUAUGUUCUUUAAUUUGCAAAAAGACUCUGCUGUGAGUGGACCACGACAUAUUUUCUCUAGGUUACUCAAAUCUUUCAGAAAUAACGACUCCAAGAGGGGGAAUGCCGUCCGAGCUGGUGUACAAUCCAUUGUGUCAACAACACAAGAAACGUUGCCAUUAUCUUCGAUUUGGAGACGCUUCAGUUUUGGAAAGCCUUCUCUGUCUGAUCCAAAGAGAACAUUCUUCAUGUCGAUCAAUCCAUCUAGAGAUAGGUCUUCAAUACCCUUCAAUUGCAUGAUAUGCCCCUCGUUCAAGCAAAUAUUGGCACCAUUGGUGAGCUUCAGUCUGAAUAUUCUACAAGUCCCAUAAGAUCGGCCACCCGACCACCAGUCAUAUCCUAUCGAUAUCCUGUACCUUCGCAGCAUUUUGAAGAACGACAAGUCUCUUGGUAGAGUCUUUGCAUCUUGGAUGAGUAUUUCUAGAGAGGUCAAUUUAGAUAAAUGAUUCAACUCAUGAAGGCUGGCAUUUCUUCUUUCACCGUCGAUUCCUUCAACCUUCACCCACUCAAUGGGACUCUCGCCAAUAUACAAUUCUUCUAUUCGUGAUAAGCUUGAUAUCACAUUUGCUGGAAUAACUUUUAGUUUGGAACAAUUGCUCAGAUCCAACAACCUCAACUGAGUCAGCCGGCCUAUUUCUUCAACCAGUUUCUGCAUAUUAGAACCUCGAAGUGUAAGGAUUUCUAAUUUCUUUAGAUCUCCAAUAAUAGCGAUGUCUCCUAGUUGGCAAUCAUCGAGAGACAAUGUUUGAAGGCUUUGUAAGAGACCAAGCGAUGAAGGCAAUGCCAGCAAAUGCAUCUUCGUGAAAUCUAAAACUCUAAGCCCUAUCAUCCCACUAAAAAGGUUAUCUGGGAUUCUCAAAGAUGGAUCAUUAUCAAUGGUGAGGUAUUUAAGUUGCGGACAUUCAAAUUCUUGAGGAAGCUCACUAAUAUUACACCUACGUAAGGAGAUAGUUCUGCAAACCUUCAGUCUUUCCUUAUCUGGCCAGUUGAUCUGGGGAGCGACCUCAUUUUCCACCACAAACACAUGUUGGUCUCUAGUUGCAAUUGAUAUGGCUACAUCACGAACAACAUCAUGCAUAGAGAACCAUUCACUUGUAUUGCCAUCAAGCAACAAACAAGAUUUUUUAAGGUUUUCAACCAAUGUAUGUGCUCUAUCCCGCGCCUCUUCCAAAGUGUUGAUGUUUUGAAACAGACCCAAACCCAUUCCAGAAAAGAGCACGUCUUCAACGCAAGAGAUGAAGGCGUACCUUAUUAGCAAAAAUGUACUCUUGAGCUCCUCCCCGUUUAAAUGACUGUAACUUAGCUCUAUACUUUUAUAUGCCACCUCCUGUGUUCCACUGAAGUUCCUCAAGGAAGGCCUUCUUAAUUCUAGCAAAGCAUCCUUCCAUUCACACAAUCUCUUAUUUCUCAAUGCCCUUGCUACGGGUACAAUGGCAAUGGGCAAACCAGCACAUUCCUUGACUAUAUCUUUUGCUACCGAUCUCAAUUCAUCAUUUUCUAUGCAAUCACCUGUCGUCUUCGUAAAAAGACUCCAAGCUUCUCCUCCAUUCAAAACAUCAACACGAAAAUUCUGUUGACAAUCCAUCUUACAAGACAACACAUCUACACUUCUUGAUGUCAGCAGAACUUUACGUCCGCUGUUAUCAUCUGCCAAUGGAAUUCCAAUCGCCUCCAAAUCAAGACUCCCCCAAAUAUCAUCCAAGAUUAUAAGGAUCUUCUUCUCUACUUUCAAUCGUUCAUAUAGCCUCCCUGCUCUUACAGUUUCAAUCUCUUCAACUAAUCGCAAGCCCAUCUUCUCUGCAAUUUCUUCUUGUAUCUUUUUUAUUUGCGGUGUUCGGGAUACAUGUGCAGAAAUGACCUUCUCAAAGAGCUUAUUUUCCUUGGCUUUUCUACCAACUUCCUUCACCAGCGUCGUCUUUCCAACCCCACCCAUCCCGUAGACCCCAAUCAUGUUGAAUUUACGGUUGCUGAGUGCGUCUAGUAUCUCCUUCAAAGUGCACUUUCUCGAUUGAAAGUGCACGAAACCCUGGGUAGACUUAAGCCAUGGCUCUUCUGGAAUGGUUCGGAAAGAAACACUGUCGAAUCUCCCUUUUCCAAGGAGUUCAACAAUAGCAUUCACCUCCCUCACUGCUUUCUUGCUAAGCUGGUACCGAGUCUUCAAAUUAGGGCAUAACCCCUUCAAACACCGGUUGUUUGAAUUCUCUUUGUAUCCAAUAAGUUCUCCGACUUCAUUGAUGAGCCUGUGCGCACUAAUCAGCCACUCCGCAACGUUCGGUAGAAUUCCGUCCCCAUUAUUUCUGGAAUCAUCAACCUUAUGCUGCACACUGUCUCUAGCAUUCUUUAGGUUACCAACUUCAUUCUUCAGCUUCUCGAAGUUGGUCUUGUAGCUGCGGCAGAAAGUAAAUGGGUGAAAAAUGGGACCAACCAAGUUCUCUGAAGCUUUUGCAACAAUGGAGAUAACAAUUUCCAUUAUCCUUUUUUUUCCCCCCGCUUUCAGAAAACAGGGAAAAGCAAAACUAAUCAAACUAAGCAGAGCUAAUCAAUCGGCUGGGAAUUUGGAUAAAUUGCUGAAAUAAGAAGUUGUACGAAUGAAAUUGAUGAAAAAAAUAUUUAAGGGAGAAGGAGGGGAAAGGAGUGAAAAAUCUAGAGAUGAAGCGAAGAGGAGACAAAUUGAAAAGCGAGUGCAAUGAAAGAUUUGCAAAGAAGGUAUGGGAGGACAAGGAUGAUUCAGACAAGGGAAACAGAAAAUGAAGAAAGGGAUUUCAGAGAACUCUAAAGAUUAGGGAAGAAUGAUGAUUAGGGAAAUGAAGAGGCAGACAGUUGUGAUCUCGAGACUCAAGGGGUAAACUGAAUCAUGCAAAAAUGCCAAACUAAAUUCAUACAAGGAGAAGACUCGUGCUUCCAAGUCAACUAGAUUCUCCAUAAGUAAAUAGCGUUAAAGUCGCAGGUUAAAUGCUAAAUGGCAUUUUGGCAUUUCGUUGAAUUUUCUUGUUACCAGUAAGUGCUGUGCUGCCGACAUUUUUCAACUUGUAAUUGUAAGACUUUCCAAGCAAUUUUUAUGGUAGUGUUAAUUAAUUGUAAUUGUAUAUCAAAUAUUUUAUUACUGUAAUUUAAAAAUCACAAUUGAUAAACAAUAAUAGUAGAGAGAACAUUAAAUAGUUUGAGAAUGAUUUUUUAUUUAGGGCAUGUUUGCGAUUGCUUUACGAACAAUCAAAAUGCUAAUUCUGUUAGCUAAUAAACACAAGCGCUUUGUCAAGAACAUUACGCGAAGAACCCUUUAUAUACAUAGCAAUCAUGUAAUUACGGAAGGCUUAUCCUAAUUACAUUUUAGUUACAUUCAAUAACAAGGAUCAGGCUACGGUGCAACUGUGGCACCGUGCCACAGUUGCAUCUAGCCGUUGGAUGCACUUAAAUUGGUGGGAUACAUUGGCAUCCAACGGCUAGAUGCAACUGUAGCACGGUGCCACAGUUGCACCUAAGGUUUCCCCCAAUAGGGUCUGCCUACCGUGCAACAGUUACACGGUACCACUGAAUUUUGUCUUUUUCCAGCAAUUACACUACACUACCUUGUAUUUAUAAGAAAACUGAAUAUAUACUAUAAGUUACAAAUUUUUAUAUAUAGGUCCUUUUCUCUGGAUAAAAUUAUAACAUGACUUUUGAAAAAAAUUUUAACUGUUAUUAUUAUUAUUUAUUAAUGUCAUUAUUAUUAUAUUAUUAUUAUUAUUAAAAUUUAUUAUUUUAAUUGUUAUGAUUGCUUUAAUUAGUUAUCAUUAUUAUUAUUAUUUAUUGAUUUUAUUACCGUCACUAUUUUUAAAAUAUAUUAAAUUUAUUACUGAAUUAUUAUUGAAUUAUUAUUUUAUUAAUAUUAAUAAAUUUAUUAAUCUUAUUAUUCUAAUUAUUAUAUUUAUAUUAAUGUUGUCGUCGUCAUCAUCAUUAAACUUUAUAAUUUUUUUUUUGUUUUGACUAUUAAAUAAUAUCACUGUCAUUAUUAUUAUUUUGCCUUAAUUAAGCAUUACAUAUAUUUUAAUUAUUUUUUUUAUUUUUUAUUAUAAUAAAUAAAAAAUAUAAAAAUAAAUUAUACUAUAAUAAUAUGUUAUUAUAUCAUAUUAUAUUUAUUUAAAAAUAAUUAAUAUGAAAAUAAUAAUUUAAUAUAAUUAAUAAUAAAUUUAAAUAAUUUUAGUUUAAUAUUAGUACAAAAUUAAUGCAGUACAAGAUAAUACCAAUUACCAAAUGUUGUAUAAUUUUAUUAUAAUUAUUUAAUAUAUUGCUAAUGUAAUAUAAUAUAAUAUAAUACAUGUGCAUUACAUAAUAAAAUAUAAUAAAAUAUAAUAUAAUAUAGUGUGCCAAACGGAUCUUUAACUUUUUGAGUGAUGAUGGUCUAGAGGGAUGUAGAGAGAGUAAAAAUAAUCACAGUAGAUCUUUUAUAAUGGUUGAUUAGCUAUCAUCACAAAGUUUAGGCUAAUACAAUAAAAAUUAACCAACUACCCUAUAUUUGAAAGAGCAUCUGGAAAUCAAUAAAUUUACUAUUCAAUUAUUUUUAAUCAAGAAUAAAUAAUAAUUAUCAUUACAACAAGAUCCACAAGCUCAAAUAUCUUAAAAAAAUGAUAAUUCUCAAGAAAUAUGAAGCUCAAAUGCUUUUGAAAUAUUCUUAAAAAAAUAAACUAACUUCCUUUUAUGUUAUUCUUUAUUUAUCUUUUUAUAACUUUGUUGGGCUAUAUAUAUAUUGAUAUUUUAUAGGUAAAUUAACAUAUUGUAUGUAUAAAUAAACUAACAUGUCAACUAAUGCUAAAAACAAUAAUGUAAUAAAAGAGUAAAGUUUUGUAAUAUUAAAAUAAUAAAAUUUUACAACCUAAGACUUUUUACACGUUUCUUAUUUUGAAAUUUCACCUUUUUAGUUUAUAAUUUUCUAAAGUAUCAAGGUUAAUAACCAAUAUUCUUAAAACAUAUUCAAUUUAUUUAUUUUACAUUAAAUAUAUAUUAUAUAACAAAAAAUAUUAUUUACAUUUAUCAAAUUUUCAUGUGUUUAAAAAUUUUAUGUGAUAUUACAUUAUUAUAUUUACACCAUCAAUUAUUUUUAUGAUCAAAUUAAGUCAAUGGAUCAAACUUUAAAAAAUUUAAAACAACAGAAAUUAUGUAAGUGAAUAUUUAAAAACUUUUAGCUUUUAUGAUUUUUUAAUAAACAGUAGGGACUUAAGUGUUAAUAACCAAUUGAACACAUCCUGGCCGUUGAACACUUUAACCAUUGAUCCAUUGGCUGAGUUGAAAAAAGACAAAAAAUGAGAUACGGUGCAACUGUUGCACGGUAGGCGGACCCAAUAAUAAAUUGAAAAGAAAAAAAAAAAACCUGUUGCGUGGUCGUGUGGGUCCUCGAAAUCAUUUCGGCAUUUAAUCGAACAGUUGGAUGUACUCGGCAAGACGGCAACUAUACUUCCACGAAGGUUCCUGGAUGUUGCAAGUGCUGCCGGCAUUUUCAAACUCGGAAGGUUUCAAUAAUUUUUUUUUCUUUGAAAUAAAGGUUUCAAUAAUUAGCUUUGAUUAUUGUGUAAUAUACGAUAAUCUAGUGAUGAUGGUCACUUAUAUAUGUGAUUAAAAGCUAAGCUGGUUGAUUUGUAAGUAAGAACACACGGCAAAGUAUUUGAGCAAGCAUUUUUAUCUUCUUAUUACCACAUUCUUCUAACCAAUUUGCUUUCACCAACAAAAAUAAUUAAUAAUUUGUAAAUAGUUGGAUCUUAAGCUCAGAUUUUGACAAUACAUGAAUGAUAAUAUAUACUUAUUUUCCAAGAGUAUACUCUAUUCAAGAGAGGAUCUCAAAUUUUUAUUAGAGAAGAUCAUAUUUAAAGCUCAAGUGCAAGAAUAAUAAUGGUUGCGUUGACUGGAGAACAUCAAAUACAAACAAAGACCAUGCUAAAGGAAAAGCAAAAGCUGGCGAGAUUGAUAAAGAAAGACUAAUAAAGCUUUCCUUUCAGCAUUAAUCAUGAUUAUUGGAUGAACUAGAGGUGAUCACUGUUUUAUAUUUUUAGUGCAAAAUAGAAUACACUGCAAGAGCCGAUGGCUUUCUUUGCUGUCCUCUUAUUGUCACGUAUUUUGUAGCUUUCUCAUUUUGAUUAGUUGUUCGCUCAAUAACCUAAAUGGGUCAGGGUUUUGAUGAAUCGAAAUUGACAUCAUUUCUGUUAAGAGUAGUUCGUUAUAGUUAGUUAUAGCUGCUGACUUAUGCUGACGUGUUAGAUGAGCUGGUAAUUGUUAGUUAUAUUGGUUGUAGUUUGUUAGUAAGCUUUUAGCACACGUAUAAGCUAAGCUCAGCUCGCGUGAAUUGAUUCCAGAAUAUUCAAGAGCUUAGUAUAAAUACUCUUGUAACAAAUACAACAAUUAAUUCUAAGCUCUCCAUUCUUCUUUCAAACUUUCUUUCGUUUUCUCUGUUUUUUUCAGAUGCUAAACACUUUUCUUAUAUUUUAACUUGGUAUAAGAGCUUCAAUCUUCAAUUCUCAUGGCAUUAUCAAGCUCAAACUCAAACACAAACUCAAUUAUUUCAUCAUUUACUUUCACCUCACCGAUCAAACUUGAUCGCUCGAAUUAAACAAUCUGGAAGUCUCAAAUUCUUUCAUUUGUUCAAGCCAAUGGUCUAGAAGAUUUGCUUGAUGGAUAAAAAACCUAUCCAGAUCAAUUUCUUCAAGGUGAAACUGAAAACGCCUCUGCUGAUACUCAGCUAAAUCCAGCAUAUACUACAUGAGAGGGAAAGGGUCAGUUGCUACUGAGCUGGUUGAUGUCAUCUAUCAGUAUUGAGAUUCUGAGUCUUGUAGUAAACUCUGAAACUUCUCUAGAACUUUGGACUAGUUUGGAACAACAGUUUGGAUCUGAAACUUUUGCUAAGAAAAUUCAUCUGAAAAAUGAUGCUUAAUAACCUUAAAAAAGGUUCGAUGACAGUCACUGAAUUUUUUGGCAAGUUAAAAACAAUUACUGAUGAGUCAGCCAUUGCUGGUAAUCCAAUAAGUUCUCUGGACUUUCUUACACACCUGAUUUCUGGAUUAGGUCAGCCUUAUUAUCCUGUUUGUAGUUUAUCUUGAAGCAAAUCUUGUUAAGAUCUCUAUCAAUGAGGCAUAUUCUAUGCUAUUAACUCAUGAAGUUAGUCUAGAGGCAAAUCAGUUAAGUGCAAGCAAGGAAGCUAAGUUGAACUAUACUGCAAAUAUUACUCAAACUGGAUCUAGAUCUAAUAAUAACAAGAAACAAGGUGGUCAAUUCAAUAACAAUUGGACUAGUGGUCAAUUUAACAAUAAUUGGAACAAGAAUGCUGGCUUUAGAGGUGGAUAUGCUGGAGGCAAAGGUGGUUAUGGUAGAAAUUUUUCACAAGGAUAAGGAAGAGGAAACUGGAAUGGUGUGCCAUUUGGAAAUUUUUCACAGGGAGGCAAAUGAAGUAAUUACAAUGGCAAUCCUAGUCAAAAUGAGGGAUUUACUAGUGGAUUUACUAAUGGAAAAGGUGUUAUGGAUCAGGCUACUGCCACUGUAAUUUGCCAGAUUUGCUUUAAACCUAAGCAAAUAUUGAACUAGACUGCAAAUAUUGCUCAAACUGGAUCUAGAUCUAAUAAUAACAAGAAACAAGGUAGUCAAUUCAAUAACAAUUGGACUAGUGGUCAAUUUAACAAUAAUUGGAACAAGAAUGCUGGCUUUAGAGGUGGAUAUGCUGGAGGCAAAGGUGGUUAUGGUAGAAAUUUUUCACAAGGAUAAGGAAGAGGAAACUGGAAUGGUGUGCCAUUUGGAAAUUUUUCACAGAGAGGCAAAUGAAGUAAUUACAAUGGCAAUCCUAGUCAAAAUGAGGGAUUUACUAGUGGAUUUACUAAUGGCAAAGGUGUUAUGGAUCAGGCUACUGCCACUGUAAUUUGCCAGAUUUGCUUUAAACCUAAGCACACUGCAGCUGAGUGCAGAAACUGAUUCAACAAGGAUUAUGUUCCUUUCAACAAUCCAUUUCAGAACUCAUCAAGAAUUGCCCAUCUUACAACUUCAGAAUGAGCAAUAGCUUAUCAAGGAUGGUAUAUCGAUAGUGGUGCCACAUAUCACAUCACUAACAACUUACAAAAUCUACAAAUUGGAAGUGAGUAUUCAGGUAAUCAGCUGCUCCUUGUAGGUAAUAGUCAGGGUUUACAUAUUUCACAUAUUGGCUAUGCAUAUCUUCAAACAUCAUGCAAUACAACUUUUUACUUAAGAGAUACUUUGUGUGUUCCUAAACUUACUAAAAAUCUCAUAAGUGUUUCGAAAUUGCUUGAAGAUAACAUUGAUGUAACUAUUGAGUUUGUUGCCAAUAUGUGUUUCAUAAAAGAUAAGAGGAAGGAACAACAUCUGGCUCAAGGGAUUGCUAGAGGAGGAUUGUAUCUGUUGCUGUCAAAUAAUGACUUUGUUUUGAAUUCUAGUUGUCUCACUUAUGCACCUAGCUCUAUGCUUUCUGUUUUGAAUAAUUCAGCUUGUAAAAUUUUUGAUAUUGCUACAAAUAAAGUUUGUAAUCCACAAUGUCAAAUGAACACAACCAAGAUAGCAAACUUGUUUCAUCAGAAAUUUGGUCAUCCUAAUAAACAUGUGUUGAAAUCCAUUUUAUCUUCUCUUUCUAUUGAGUACUCAUCUAUAUCAGCACCUGAUUUUUGUGAUGCUUGUCAAUAUGGUAAAGUCCUUCAAAUGCCCUUUUACACAACUAGAAUCAUAACUAAAGCUCCUUUAGAGCUUAUCCACACUGAUCUUUGGGGUCCAACACCCUUACCAUCUCUACAUGGCUAUAGAUAUUACAUUAGCUUUGUAGAUGACCAUAGUAGAUAUUGCUGGAUUUUUCCAUUGACCCUUAAAUUAGAAGCAUUAGGCACUUUCAAAUUCUUUAAAACCUUAGUCAAAAAAUAGUUUGGCUACACUCUAAAAUCACUGCAGUCUAAUUGAGGGGGUGAGUAUAGAAGCUUUCAAAGUUUCCUUAAAGAAGAAGGGAUAAGGUUUAGACAUAGUUGUCCUCACGCACACCAUCAAAAUGGUGCGGUUGAAAGAAAACAUUGACACUUGGUUCAAACAGGACUUACCCUUCUGACACAAGCCAAAAUGCCUCUGUCUUUCUGGUGAGAAUCAUUCCAUACAGCUUCCUUUCUUAUAAAUAGAUUACCAACCCCUAUUUUAAAUAAUGUUUCACGCUUUACUAAACUUCAUGGUAGACAACCUGAUUACCAGUUCCUCAAAACGUUUGGUUGUGCAUGUUUUCCCUUCCUCAGACCUUAUAGUAAGCACAAAUUCAAUUUCCACACACAAAAGUGUCUCAUGAUUGGCUACAACCCAUUACACAAAGGUUAUAAAUGUCUUGACUCCACUGGAAAGAUCUAUAUUACUCGAUUGUCAUAUUCAAUGAGUCUGAGUUUCCUUUUUCUGAAUUUUUUCCUUCUGAUAAACCUGUUCAGAAUGUGUCAUCCAUUCAGAAAAGUCACACACCUCUUACCUUUGUUCCUUCCACAAUAGUCAUUCAAGAUGGUAACAGUGCACAACCCUCUAUUAGUUCACUUGCUCCAGAUGUAGGACCUGAUUCUAGCUCCUCUUCCCCAAAUCAGUCCAUGACAUCUUCUCAUAUACCCUCACAAGUACAGCACCUAACAACAAUAUCACCACCUAAUCAACUAUAUCAGUCUGCACCUGCACAACAACUUCUAUCAGUUCAAAAUGAUCAUCCUAUGAUAACAAGAUCUAAAGCUAGAAUAUUCAAGCCUAAAACCUAUCUAGCAGUCACUCAAGACCUUGAACCACAAUCUGUUAAGGCAGCCUUGACAGAUAUUAAGUGGAGAGAGUUAAUGCAAGUAGAGUUUGAUGUCUUACAAAAUAAUAACACUUGGAUUCUAGUUCUCAGGAAACAUGCUAGUAAAAUUAUUGGGAAUAAGCGGGUAUUCAGAGUGAAAUACAACCCUGAUGGCAACAUUUGUAAAUACAAAGUAAGUUUGGUUGCAAAAGGCUUUCACCAAACACAAUGGGUGGAUUUCUUUGAAACCUUUAGACCUGUUGUUAAACCUUGCACUAUCAGAAUUAUUUUAAGUCUUGCUAUUAUGAAUCAUUAGUCAAUCAGGUAGCUUGAUGUUAAUAAUGUCUUCCUCAAUGGCAUCCUCACUGAAGAUGUUUUCAUGCACCAACCUGAGGGUUCAUCCAUCCUCAAUAUCCUUCAUAUGUAUGCAAGUUAACUAAAGCUCUUUAUGGGCUUAAACAUGCUCUAAGAGCCUAGUAUGACAGGCUGAAAUCCUCUUUGCAACACCGGGGCUUUCAUACUUCCAGAUCAGAUACCUCACUGUUUUUCUAGCAUACAACAGGUGAUAUUGUGGUGGUGCUCAUUUAUGUGGAUGACAUAUUGGUUACUGGCUCAGAUAAUAAGCUUGUUGAGGAAAUUAUAAGUCGUUUGGGUUCUGAAUUUGCUUUAAAGGAUUCAGGAGAUUUUAAUUAUUUCCUUGGUCUUGAAGUAACACCAUCAGCUGCAGGGAUACAUCUUUCUCAGACAAAAUAUAUAGGUGAUCUACUCAAGAAAGCUCAGAUAAUUAACAGCAAAGGAUGUCAAACUCCUAUGAAUUCAAGUGACAAGCUAGUUAAAGACAAAGGGGCUGCUUUUGAAAAUCCUUCACUAUAUAGAAGUUUGAUUGGUUCUUUGUAGUAUGUUACAUUAACAAGGCCUGAAAUUGCAUUUACAGUUAAUAAACUUAGUCAAUUCCUUGCUACCCCAACAGUAAUUCACUGGCAAGCAUGUAAACGAGUAUUGAGGUACUUACAGUGCACAGCAGACUAUGGCUUACAAUUUUGCAGCACUGGGAAAUUUUCUCUCACAACAUUUUUAGAUGCUGAUUGGGGAUCAAACUUGGAUGACAGGAAAUCAAUUGGCGGGUAUUGUGUUUAUUUAGGUGAUAAUUUUAUUUCUUGGUCCUCAAAGAAAUAACAAAUAGUCUCUAGAAGCAUAGCAGAAUCAGAGUAUAGAGCAUUGGCGUUAACAGUAUCUGAAGUACUUUGGAUAUCUUAUUUGCUUAAAGAGUUGAAGAUGUCGCUGUUAUAGGUUCUAGUUCUUCAUUGUGACAAUAAGAGUGCAGAAGCCAUGGCUAGUAAUCCUAAGUAUCACUAAAGAACUAAGCACAUUGAGCUGGAUUUGCAUUUUAUUCGUGAUCACAUAGCUCAGAAUGAAAUCCAAAUUAGUCAUGUUUCAAGUUGUGAUCAAGUGACAAAUAUUCUCACCAAACCUUUGGCCUUUGAACAGUUUAAUUAUCUUAGGUCCAAGCUCAAUGUUAUUCCUAGACCUUGAGCUUGAGGGGGGAUGUUAAGAGUAGUUCGUUAUAGCUGGUUAUAGUUGCCGACUUAUGCUGACGUGUCAGAUGAGUUGGCAAUUGGUAGUUAUAUUGGUUGUAGUUUGUUAGUAUUCUGUUAGCACAUGUAUAAGCUAAGCUCAGCUCGCGUGAAUUGAUUCCAGAAUAUUCAAGAGCUUAGUAUAAAUACUCAUGUAACAAAUACAACAAUUAAUUCUAAGCUCUCUAUUCUUCUCUCAAACUUUCUUUCGUUUUCUCUGUUUUUCUCAUAUGCCAAACACCUUUCUUAUACUUUAACUAUUUCAUUCAUGAUCCGAGAUUCUAUCGUGUAUAACGGGUAAGACAAUUUUUUUAUUUCAAAAAUUUUACAUAAAUCUUUGUAGUUUGGUGGCGUCGAAUCCGAUGGAAACGAUAUAAGUGGCUUGAAAAGAUCAAUUGAUCAGUGAUUUGUCAAAAGUUGCUGUGAAGAUCCAGUUGGUAGAAGGCCAGAGGAUGGGACAAAAAGUUAAAGUUUCAAACAUGUGUUCCUUAUGCAAUCUCUCCACUCCUCAACUUCAUAUGGGCAUUUCAUUAAACAGUCCUAUAGUUGGCAUCUAUCUAAACUUGCAUGAACGUUCCUGGAAGUUGCAAGUGCUGCCUUCAUCUUCAAACUUGGAAGACCAUUCAAAGAUUUCAAUAACUAGCUUUGAUUAUUGAGUAAUAUAUGAUAAUCUAGUGAUGGUGAUGAUUUAUAUAUGUGAUUAAAAAGCUAAGAUAGUGGAUUUGUAUGUAAGCACACGACAGAGUAUUUGAGCAAGUAUUUUUAUCUUAUUGUCAUAUUCUUCUAAUCAAAUUUUUCCUGUUUAUCAACAGAUAUAAUUAAAAAUGUGACUGUUACGAUCUUGGACUCAAAUCUUUAAAUUAAAAUCGUGAUCAUUUUAUCAGUAAACUACAGCUCUAUCUUGAUCAAAGUUUUCACCGAAACAAAUAAAGAUUAGUAAUUAGAUGUUAAUAAACAUAAAAAAAUGAUAAUACACGAAUAAUAAGUAUGCUAAGCGAUUAGACUCAAAAAACAUGUAGAGGCACAGGUUUGAUCUCAAGACUCAAUGGGUGUGUUUGGCACACUGUAUUGUAUUAUGCUAUAUUGCAUUAUUUUAAUGUUGGUGUAUUGUAUUAGUACUGUAUUAUAAUAAUGUUGUACAAUGUUUGGUACUACACUGUGCUGUAUUAAUUUUUUUGUGAUUAACUUAAAUUAUAUAUUUAGAAAAUAAUAUUUAUUAGUACCUAGAAAAAUACAAAAUAUAGAAGUCUUAAAUUUUAAAAAUUUAACAUUAUUUUUUAAUAUAAAUAUUAAAAAAAUUUCCAUAAAGAUUGAAGCUUAUAGCCUUAUAAUAGACAACAUAACAUUUAUUUUAAAUUAAUAUUAUUUAAAUUUAUUCAUAUAUAAAUAUUUUUAUUAGUUAUAUUAAAUUUUUAUAUAUUAAUUACUAUAAUAUAAUUAAAUAAUGUAAUAUCAAGUUAUAUUCUUAUUUUUAUAUAUUAUUUAAGUACUUAUUAAUCAAUUUGAUAUAUUAAUUAUUAUAUAAUUAAAUAAUACAUUAUUUAGUAAUAUUUUUAAUAUAAUAAAAAUUAAAAUAUGAAUAAUAAAUUAUUAAUUUAUAUUAAUAAUUAUGAUAUAAAAAUAAAAGAAAAUAAAAUUUUAUAUUAUAUUAAAAAGUUAUAUUAUUUAUUAUUAUUAAAAAAAUAGCAAAAGCAAAAGUAAAAAAAAAAAAAAAAAAGAAGCAGCAAAUGCAAAAGCACAAAAGCAAGACUCCCAGUUGGGUUUAGCUAAUGCGGCAGUUUGCUGCAUUAGCAUACCCCUUAAUCCCUUGUAAAAUUUUGCCAAAUAUGAUAUUGAUAAUAAGCUAAUGUGAACAAUAUUUUAAUACCCCCUUAAUACUAUAACCAAAUAUGUACAAUGGGUAAUCCGAAUAAUGCAAAAAUGCCAAAUUAAAUUCAUAUGAGGAGAAGACUCGUGCUUCCAAGUCAACUAGAUUCACAAUGAUUGAGAUAGAUAAUUAUAAGGGUUAUUAUGGUUUCAUUAUUUUUUUAAAAAAAAAUUAUAAGAUAUAAAAUAACUAUAAGAAGUAUUGGUGUUAUCAUUUUAUUAGUGUAUCUUUAAAAAAACCUUUUAUUUUAUAAUAUUUUUGUUAAUAUUGUGAGUCCAACACUAAUCUAAUAUUAAACCGCUAAAAGUGUCUUCACAUGCAAAACUAUGAUAAAAUUGUAUGCAGUUUAACAAUACAAGGGCGGUGUAGUUAUUAUUGGUUAAGAAAGAGGAAAAAAAAUUGUAAAUCUCAAAUAUCUAGCGUCAUCGUCAUCUUCUUCUUCUUCAUAUUUUUUUCUUUUUUCAGACAGUGGUCCACCAUCUUUCGAAUGGGUACUAAGCCAUGCAUUGGCAUUGACGGUCUCAUCUGAAAGAGGAAUUAGUGGAAUUUUGGUGGCAGCAGUGGCUGUGUAAUUUUUUUUUUUUUAAUGAUUUAUCUCUAGGAAUACGUGAUCAAUUUGAAAGUGGAUUUUACAUGAAAUUUCUUUGAGAUUGCUUUUCAAUUAAUUUGUUUGAUUUGGUUAUGGAAUAAUGGUUUUAUUAUUAUGAGUUUGAAGGAUUUAUGAAAUAGAAAUUAAGAUUGCUAGAAAGCAUAUUGAUCUCCAAGCUUUAAUGGCAGUUUCAAUUUGCUAUCUUCAAGCUUUAACGGUGGUUUCAGUUUGAUACUUUGAUGAGAGCAAAAUUAGCAAUUUAGCACUAAAGGAAGAUAUUUAAUCACAAGUAUAAGAAGUUUAAGAAGUUUUGACAGCGAAGAGAGGUAUUCUUCAACUGGGUUUAAUUUUUUAUUUUGUUUUCUUAUUUUUUAAUUAAAACUUUAAUUAAUUUUUAAAGUAAGGUCAUAUUUAGGGACUCGUCUAUCGUGCAACAGUGGCACCAUGCCACCGCUUUUGUCUUUUCUGUGUAAAAUUUCAUGAAGCCCUUUCACUUAUUCUUAUUUGAAAUUUGCUUCACAAAUAUUAAGUUCAUUUCUCCCAAACCCGUGAAUCCUUCAACGGCCGAUCAACGGAAAAUCGGCUCCUCCGAUGGCUGUGGUUGGUCAGAAAAGAUAGAGGGAACUGUGGAGAACAAAACCCAAGUGGUGGCGUCACCGGAAACCGGAGAAACCGCGGCGAAUUGAAGCGGGGAUUCUGUGAUUUUUCACAGCUUCGAUCGGCAGCUUUCCGAAUGCUUUACGGCGACAAGGAUGGCAUGGAGAUGAUCGGCGUCGCACGAGCUUCGGAUCGGUACCAACCUUGGCCAGUGAAGUAGGCGGAAACGGAAAUAAAAUUCGGGUUGGGUUGACCCGAUUAUUUUUGCGACAAGGAUGGCGUGGAGAUGACUGGCGUCGCACGAUCUUCCGAUCGGUACCAACCUUGGCCGGUGGCAUGGAUGGAAAUGGAAACAAAAUUAGGGUCGGGUUCGCCGGUAUUUGUGAUAAAGAGAGGGGUAUUGUGAUAAAGGUGCAAUAUAGAAGGAAAAUGUAUAAAUAGGAAAUAGUAUAAGGUGCUAAUUAUAAUGUUUAUAUGGAUGCAAUAGAAAUUAAUUUAAUAUCUAUGAGGUAAAGUUUAAAUAAAAAUGAAUGAAAGGGGUUCAAUGAAAUUUUACAACACUGCUGGCACAAAAGACAACCAGUGGUAUGGUACCACGGCGGUACCGUAGCUGGAUCCUUUAGUAUUUUACUAGUUAACUAAUAGUGAUAAAUGAAAAUAUAAUAAAAUGAAAGAUUUUACAAAAUAUAAUAAUAAAGUGAUAAACACUAAUUUUUUUUUUGUAAUCAUUUGAUAUUUCAUAAUUUACAAUGUAGUCCAACGAUAAUAACUCCAGUUAUAAUUAGAUGUAAAUGGUGUUAAAGUUUAAGGCUAAUUGGAUAGCGGGGCUAAGUGACAUUUUGGCAUUUCAUUGAUUUUCUUGUUACCAGUAACUGCUGUGUUGCCGACAUUUUUCAAUUUGUAAUUGGGAGACUUUUCAAGCAAUUUUUAUGGUAGCUUUCAUUAAUUGCAAGUGUUUAUCAAAUAUUUGACUGCGGUAAUUUAAAAUUUUCAGUUUGAAAAUGAUUUUUGAUUUAGGGCGAGUUUUCGAGUGCUUUACGGACAAUCAAAAUGCUAAUCCUAUUAGCCAAUAAACGCAAGCGCUUUGUCAAGAACAUUACCGGAAGAACCCUCUAUAUAAAUAAUAAUCAUGCAAUUACGGAAGGGCGUAUCUUAAUUACAUGUCAGUUACAUUCAAUAAAAAAAAUAUUACUUAAAAUUUUUCUAUUAGCAAUGAGUAUGUUGGAGGCAGGAUAGAAAAAAUCUGAAGACUUUGCAAACUUUUUGUGAAGUGACCCAUGUGAUUUGCUAAUUACCCUGCUGAAACUAUAAAGCCAAAGUUUGCAGAUUUUAUUAUCAAUUUUUUUUUUCAAAAUAGAUAUACAAAUAAAAAGACAAAAGAUGAGACUUAUAGUACCAGUGGCGGGCCCCCUGGGUCCUCAACUUCUUCAAAUGGGCAUUUUAAUAUAUUGACAUAUAAAUAAAUGAAUAUCUUAUGUAAUAUUCACUCCAUCAAGCAUGAAGUAUAUAAUUAAUUGAAUGUACAAGCAUCGGCAUUAGUUGACAGGAAAAGAGCUCGUUAAUAAAUUAUAUGAGUGAUAAUACUACUUGAAUCAAACUCACGUCCAAAGUUGGGACUCGCCUAUUGUGCAACAGUGGCACCAUGCCACCAUGCCACCGCAGUGGCGGGCCACCAUGACUCAGUUAUUUUUGCGACAAAGAUGGCGUGGAGAUGACCGGCAUCGCAUGAUCUUCCGAUCGAUACCAACCUUGGCCGGUGGCAUGGACAGAAAUGAAAAUGAAAUUCGGGUCGGGUUCGCCGGUAUUUGUGAUAAAGAGAGGGGUAUUGUGAUAAAAGGUGCAAUAUAGAAGGAAAAUGUAUAAAUAGAAAAUAGUAUAAGGUGUUAAUUAUAAUGUUUAUAUGGAUGCAAUAGAAAUUAAUUUAAUAUUUAUGAGGUAAAGUUUAAAUAAAAAUGAAUGAAAGGGGUUCAAUGAAAUUUUACAACAAUGUUGGCACAAAAGACAAAAUCAGUGUUACGGUACCGUAGCUGGAUCCCCAAAGUUGAUAAGAGUUAAAUUAAAUAAAGCUUUGAUGAUUUAAUGUGCGUAAAAUUAUAAAUUUAUAAUCAUCAAACGGAUCCACCUAUGUCACAAUAGGUGCACCAUACCACACUUUUUGUCUCUAUUUGGCAGAGCCGUAAGAUGUUUUAUUGUUCAAUCUAACGGCUACAAUUUUUUUUUUUAAAUCAAACAGCUACUGAUCAACGGUGCAGUUGCUUCAUACAAUUAGGGUUCUUGCCUUAAUGAUGUCAUGGAGAUGGGUGAAUCAAUGGCCACCAGGCACCAAAUUCAUGACCAAUCAAUGACCAACAAGCACCAAAGUAAUGCCAAGCACACUAACAACCACCGAUUAAUGGCAAGCUUAGUGUUUAGAAUUUGGAGAAGCACUUGGUACUGUAUCGAGGUAUUAAAUCAUCAAAAACCAAUUUGGUUUGGACUCUUCAAUUUCAACUUGACUCCUACACCAAAGCCGCCCAACAACAACUCAACAACCGAAUAACUCGUCCUAAUAGCAUAACAAUCCAGUCGUCAGUUGCCUGCACAUGAGAGACCAUUUUCUAAUUUAUGAUCGAAAUUGUUGAAUUAAUUUUACAAUUCUCUUGUACCAAUUUUCAUCAUAUAUGUUGCCUCAAGAAGUGAAGAUUGAUGUCGGAAUCACUUUCAGUUUCAAUUACAUGAUGUUUGCGAUCUUCUUAUACCAAUUCGGUUUACAGUUGCCUCAAGUAUCCAUGUCCGUCAAAUCUUAUCUAUAUUAAAGUCCGUCUAAACUGUUAACCAGUGGCUGUUUGAUUUUAAAAAAAUAUUUGCAGCCGUUAGAUUGAACAAUAAAGCAUCCGACGGCUCUGCCAAAUAGAGACAAAAAGUGUGGUAUAGUGCAACCGUUGUAACAUAGGUGGAUCCUCAUCAAUAUAUCUCGAGACUUUGUAAAGUUACUGUGAAAAUCCAUCACAGCUGUAGUUGUUAUCAUUUAUUUGGUCCAAAUAGUCUAAUGCCAGUGGCGUGACCUCGUGGGUCCUCAAAUUAUUCAAAUGGGCAUUUCAUCGAACAGUUGAUAUACUCGGCAUCUGCAAUUGGAAGACACGUUCAAAAACUCUAAAUCAUGUUAAAGUCAACCAGAAAGACGAAACAUAGAAAGCAACAAUCCAACAACUAGGUUAAAAUAUUCGCUUCAACAAAUGGUUGCGUUGACGUGUAUUUUGGGGGAUCAUCAAAUAUAAACAAAGACCAUGUUAAAGACAAGCAAAAGCUGGCGAGAUUGGUACUGAUAUAUUAAAAGAAAGACUAAUAAAGCUUUCCUAGCGGCAUCACUCGUGAUUAUGUGAUAAACUAGCGGUAAUAAAUGAUUAUAUUCUUAGUGGACAACAGAGUACGUUACAAGAGCUGAUAACUGAUCGCUUUCUUAAUUUUUUGUCAAUAUUCAAGCAAAAAUACAAGUCAAUCAAAAUAACGUACCAUAUUAACAUUAAAUGAACAAAGAGGGAUAAGCUGGGCCAAGUCUUUAAAUCAGCUACGUCAUGGAAUAUAACAGGAAGAUUAAAAAAAAUAGAUCAACUAGUAUAUAAUAUAAUGCUUUCACAUUUAAUUAAUUAGGAGGCUAAUGCACUAUAACUCAGCAUUAAUCAAAAUUAUUUCAUAAACUAGUAUAUACUGGAUAUCUCGAUCAGUGCAAAACCGAGUUCUGAGAGAUAAAAUUAACCUGGUGUCUUUGGCAGGUCUUUAAUAUAAUUGCCAAGCUUGCCCCAUACCAUUGCCAACUUUGGCCAUCGGCUAGCUGCUACUUAUGAAGCAACUCAAGCAAACAUAAAGCAGCCGUCGUAAGAUCAAGCACAACAAGUGUGAUCACUGAUCAUGCAUCCGGGACAAUAUUAUAGUUAUUUAAUUCCAAUAAUCAUAAUAAGCUAUUGAAUUAUAGACCAGGAUUUCUAUUUUUAUGAAUACAAGGCACAAACACGAGCAUAUUCACGCAUCUUUAAUAAAUUUAUUGGGACACAAUAUUUCUGCUUAUUGAAGAAAAUCAAGAAAUGCAGAUUCCAUCAUGCAUAUAGUUUAAUGUUAAUUAAAGUUUAAGGCGAUCAGAUUCAUAUUCAUUAAUAUGCUUUUAUACGAAUCGUUCUGUUUGAAUAUAAUAAUGGUUUCAGAAAUGCAUACCUGUUAAUUCUCCGUUUCUUGUCUCCGGGGAAAGUUUGACUUGAAGCAAUGUUAUAAGAGGUUUAAUUGUGGGUCAAUUUCUUUCGAGCAUUUCAACAAACAGGUGAUAUGUAUGCACAUCUCCUACGCUAUCACUCCCAUACUUGCCCUGUAGCUGCUUCCAGUUGUAAAAGGAUGCUGACAUGUCAUCAUACUUGGACAGACCUUUAGAGUUUAGAGGCCAUUCUUCGAAGCGCUUGCUGAUGCAAACACGUGAGGACCCAAAUCAAGAAUUCCGUCCAAAACACUCCUAUGCACGUAUGAUAGGUGUCUAUUAAUUAAAUAUAACUAUUAAUUACAAGAUUAUUUUUUUAAAUAAUAUGUCAUAUAUGUAUUAAUUAUAUAGAAUACAACAAAAUAUUUUUAGAAUCUAUGGGUGAACACAAUGUAAUUAUUAUAGCAAAAGAAAAACUUUAGAGCCUUUGGUGUACUCAUCGGUGAAAUUUGAGCAAAAAGAAAAAUUCAUGUUUGUGAACCUAGAAACCACAAUCAUUUAGAAUAGGGAUAUUAUCAUUUUCCCACCUAAGGUAUUCUGACACAUCAUGUCAGUACCACGGUUUGGUAAAACUAUUAAUUUACCACCAAACGUUUAAAUUGUUAGCAUUUUCCCACCAUUCCGUUAAAACUCAGUUAAUAUGUAAUGGAAAAUUCUUAAAAGGUCAAUUUUACCCCUGGAGUAUAAAAAAUCAUGUAAUUAACCUUUUAUGAAUUUUGUAAUUAAAUCAUUAUAUGUUGUUCUUCAUUCUUAAAGGACAAAAAUUACUAUUUAUGAAUUUUGUAAAAUUGACUGUGUGGUAUUAGGUACUUCAUAAAUUGAUUUAAUUGAUUUAAUUUUUAAAGGGUAAAUUUAUUUAUUUAAUUUUUUGUGUAAAAUUAUUAUCAUCAUAUCAAAGAUUAAAUUGCUUCUUUUGCACAUUCUUUUUUUUUUUCCUUUCAUAAAUUGAUGUUUAGUAGUAGAAUAAAUUGUCUUUAGCUCGUCAAUUUAAUAAAUAAAUUUGACCUUUAAAAAUUAAAUAAAUUAAAUCAAUUUAUAAAGUACCUAGCACCACACGGUCAAUUUUAUAAAAUUUAUAAAUGGUAAUUUUUGUCCUUUAAGAAGGAAGAACAACAAAUGAUGAUUUAAUUACAAAAUUCAUAAAAGGUUAAUUACAUGGUCUUUUACACUUCAGGGGUAAAAUUGACCUUUUAUAAAUUUUCUGUUACAUAUUAACUGAGUUUUAACGGAAUGGUGGGAAAAUGCUAACAGUUUAAACGUUUGGUGGUAAAUUGAUAGUUUUACCAAACCGUGGUACUGACAUGAUGUGUCAGAAUACCUUUGGUGGGAAAAUGAUAAUAUCCCUUUAGAAUAAUACUUGCUGAAAUUAAUUAGGUAAUUUUUAACCUUAAAUUUGAGAUCAUUAAUCAUUGAAUGUUUUGAGUGCAAUAUCAGUGGCAACACGUUUAAUGAUUUGAUUAAAUUUGUGUUUAGUUCUAUGAAUGAUUUCAUUCGGUUUUUAUGAUUUUUUUGGGUUGACCCAACGGAACAACUAACACUUACCCAGUUCCGUAACCGUAUUUGUAACAACGGUAAUUAGAUUUUUUUAUUAUUAUUUUAAUGUGUAUUUUAUAAAAUAUAGUAUUUUAGGCUAAAGUUAUUUAAGGGUGUUUUAAUUUUUUUUUUUUUUUUGUUUCAAAUCACUUAACUUUUUUACCAAUCUAUUAAACACAUUUCUAAAUAAGAAAUAAACCCCUAAUGGGUGAGGGUAUCGAAAGAUUUUGCUUUAUAAAAACUCCUUGUAUUAUUUUCUUUUUUAAAACCCUUUAUAAAAACAUGAUUAUGUAUUGAUUUAUUUUGUUAUUGAGUGGAAGUUGUGCUAUUGUGUUAUCCUGAAAAACUGUGAAUCGUAUAGAUUGAAUGAAUGAAUGCUGUUUUCAAUGAGUCUCAUGCAUGAAACUUUAUAGUUUAUUAAACUAGACAUCUUUAUCUUUCUAUCCAUAUGUUUAUUUUUCAAAAACAUAUUAUAUAUUAAUUGUUACGAUUUUUCAAAAUUGGAGCACGGAUGUUUGAAAAUUCUGAUUUCCAUUAGUAGUUCCCAAUUCUAUAAUUUAUUUUGUAAUUCAAACGAACUUUGAAAAUUUUGGGAAUUUUUAUUGUGGUAUGAAUGUAUGUCUAGUUUGGGUAUUUUUAAAUUCAUUAUUUUUAGCCUUAUAAUAAAUGCAUUAAAAAUCAUAGAGUUGGGCAGCCACAAUCCUAGAAACUGUUUUCCAGAAUUGCGAAAGCUGAUAUUGAAUUCAAUUUGGAUUACAUUUUCGUCAUUAAAUGCCUUACAUAUUUUAAUCCUGAUUUCUUAUUGUUUACUCUUAUUGUCAAAACUUGAAUUAGUAUUUUUAAACAUGUGUAACAAAAGUUAUGAAUUUUUGAAUCAGCAAUCAUUUGUUUAUAUCACCACUGGCAGUUUUGAUGUUUUUGCAGAAUAUUAGGGUGCGUUUGGUAUUGUUUUUCAAUUAGUGUCUUCUAGACUCUUUUUAAAAAAGAAAAAUGAUGUUUUUUAUAUUAUAUUUUUUAAAAUGAAAAUAUGUUUGGUAGCUUGUUUUCAAUACAGUAUAUGAAAAUAAAAACAGUGAAAACGUGGUUGGUUGUUUGUCUGGAAAUUUGGAGACAGUGAAAGAGAGUGGAAGAAUUAUUUUAUUAAUUAAGAUUUUUUGAAUAAUGACAUAAUAUUUUGUGAGUUUAUGCUAUAAUUAUCAAAAUUAGCAAUUCAUCAUAUAUAUAUUGGUAUUGUUCAUGUUCAUUAUUUAAAAAAAAGAUAUAAAAUUAAUAUAAUAUUAUCUUGUAAAUAUACAAAUAUAUACAUCUACCUAUGUAUAUCUAUUUAUACAAAAGAGUGUAAGAUAGCAGAGUUUUAUCAUCUCAUGAUAAUUCUUAAACAUAGCUUGCCAUCAAAAAAAUUAAAAUCAUUAAUUUAUUUUAAAACACAAAAUAAAAGUUAUAUUAAAUUACGUAAAAUCAAGUAAUUUGCAUGUUUCAAGUUGAAAUAAUUUUUUUUAGUAUAUAUCUAUUUAUUUUAGAGAAUCCAAAAUUACUUAAUUUAAUAACAUAUAUUUUAUAUUAAUUUAGUUAUGGUAUGGAUGUAGUUUUCUUUUACCUAAUAAAUGCAAUUUUAAUAAGCCAUUUUAAUUAUCUAGAAUAAUUAAUAAUAAAUAAUACAAAGGAAUAAAAGAAAAAAAAGUGUGUUCGGAAAAAGUAUAGUCCAAUGAGAAGCCUUCAGUAAUCACUUAUAUUAAUAUAUUAUUAGAAAUAUAAACUUAAAUAAAAUAUUAUAAAACAUCACUUAUUUAGCAAGUAAUUUGAUAGCAGGUGUGGGACCAUUAGAAUAAUUGCAUUCCUGCAGUGGGACCCCUGUAAAAUGAACAUUGAAGAACAUCAUAAAGUCGUUUUCUGCUUUUCUUCACAAAAAUUGAAGAAUGAGAAUAUCUCAUUCUCAUAAAAAACUGUAACAGUACAGAAACAAGGACAACCAAACAUAUUUUCUUAAUUUUUGUUUUUGAAAAACGAAAAACACUGGAAGAAAAACGUUACCAAACAUGCCCUUAGUUUUCAAAGAUGUUUUUGAACUCUAAUUAAUUUUAUGAAAUUUUAUAUUGAAUGCUAACAUGUUUACAGUAACUCUUUGUAAUAUUUAUGAUUUUUUCGACAUAUUUAUCAUCUGGUUAGAAAUCAGCUCCUAUAAGAUGGUCGAGUGAGUUUAGAGAAUUGAUAUGCUUAAAUUAAGAGAUUUUGCUUCAAGGACGUUUGGGUUUUCUAUCAAGGUCAAAAUUGAAUAUGAUGUUGAUGAGAAUCUUAUCUUGAUAAUUAUAUGCCAAGAGUAAGCUCGUGUGUUUGGGGUUGUUGUUGGUUGCCUCGGGUUGAGGAAAGUGAAUUCGUUCAUAAUGUUUAUUAUAUGAAUAUAUAUGUAAAUAUGUAUGAAAAGAUAUCAUAUGGAUUGGUAUUUGAUGGUUUUCAAGUAAUUUUACCGUUAUAGUUUAUUAUAAUAAGUUAUAUUUGAUUAAAAGCUUAUUUAAAGUAUUUUCUUAAAUUUGUUUUAAAAAUGACUUUAAAAUCUUACUUUUUCAUAAAUUAUUUUUCUUAAAAAUAUUUGUAAAGUUUUGUCAAUUAAAUUUCAAGCAUUUUAUUGAUUGAUUAUUGAAUGAUUGACAUCGAAAUAUUGAAAAUUAUAUCUAUGGUUUUGGCUCAUUAUUCAUAGUUACUGUUACUGAUGUGACCAAACAGCUAGCUGUAUUGUGUGCACCUAUUGACGAAUAUUGCAGGAUACAGUACUCUAAUUGAACUGUUAGCCGAGUCAUCACUAUUGCAGGUGAUAUAUUGACUGGUUGAGUCACAAGGAUUACAGGUGAUACUAUAUGACAUGAGCAAUUGAAAGAAUGAAAGGUUUUAUUAAUAAAUGAUUUCUUAAACUAUCAUUAUUGAAAAUGAUUAUUACGUUGUGACUUAAUUGAUUAUGAAUUUUGGCAUAUUUAUGUAUUAGAUUAUAAAAUGACUAUUGGUUUCCAAUUUAUAGUACUUCAUAAUGAUUAUUAUUUACUUUAUCAUUAUCAGUAGUCUUACGCAUGAGUUUGAUUAUUGAGUUGAUGGCUCACCCCUCGUUUCCAACAUUUUGCAGAUUGAUUUUAGAGAUGUGGGCUUUUGGACUUAGAGAAGAGAAUUAUUAGCUGAAAACUUUAACAUUUUCUUGAUGAUUAAAUUGUUACCACUUAGUUAUUGUUUGGAGGUGAAUUUUAUGUGGGAGGAUUAUUGUUAUAUUUAUUGUUUUAGGGACUAUGUUUCGAUUAUAGACAAUUUUGAUUUUCUUUUGGGAAUAGUAAUAAGAUUGACUUUAUGUGGUCUCAUUCUAAUUCCUCUUGAGAUUCUUGGUGAUUUGGGGUGUUACAGUAUUUAUUUCUCAUGAUUUGAUUAAACCAAGGUCUCCUGAAACUUCGAUUCCUUUCACUGUUGUAGUAGAGGUUUCAUGUACGUUGAAUAUCUAGUAUAAUUAUUGAUAUUUAUAUUUCGAGUGCUACUUCAAAGAAUUUUACUGCCGCAAUACUCAAUGAUUUUUCAUAACCUAAAAUUGAACAAUUAGAAUGAUUGUAAGUUCAUUUAAUGACGAGUUUCAUCAUUAACUAACGAAAUACCCCAUAAAUCCAAUACAUUAAACUAAACUCAAAUUUAAUCAAACCAUUAGACACUCAAUCUGAAAGCAUAUUCAAAAUAAUAUUAAUUAAAAGAGCUAAAAGUAGAACAAUCAACAAAGAAACAUAUGACCCCUCUCGAUCCCCAAUGCCAUCUGACCCUUGAUAGAAAGAAAGAAGUCAAGCUUCAUAUAAUAUAAUGCCUCAUAAAUUACACAGAAAAUUGGCUUCAGCUCAGAUGCUGCAUAGAAGGUUGGCCAGAAUCCUCUUUGUAUGUGAGAUUUUUUUUUUAACAAUUAGUAGAGCAUACAAAAUAAAAAUAAAAAUUUUAAAUUUACUAGAUGAGCGUAUAAAGUAUUAUAGGCUCAAUUUUUUUUUUGAAUGUAAAUAGUCCUACCCUAAGCAAUUUUAAUUUAUUUGACCGGGGUUGUAAUUCAUGGCUGAUGGAGCGGCGUAGCUAAAGCGAAAUUCAUUGGGUAAGAAACACUAGAUAUCGUUCUAGUACUGGACCAAGCCAACGCGAUUAGCUUAUUCUCUAAUCGAAGCGUGAUUUUAAAUAUCUUUCUAACCAAGAUGACUCCAUGAGAGUUUUAAUAAUGCGUUUAAGCGAGAUUAGAUGACACUCUAAUCCCAACGACUUUACAAGAGAUAUUUUAAUAGACAAUCGUAGAGGGAAUUUUAUUGAAUAAUUGAAUCUGAGUUCUUAAAAUAAUUACAAGACCUCUCUAUUUAUAAUAAAGGAAACAUAUUUCCCUCAGUUAGCUUAAAAAGGGAAACUAAAUCACAAUCGUACUGGAAAUAAAAUAUAAUUUUCCUGAGUUAACUUAAAAAUUUGAAACUAAAUAACAAUUAUAACGAAAAUAAAAGAUACUUCCCUAAGUUAACUUAAAAAUGGAAAACUAAAUCACAAUUAUAACGGAAAUAAAAUAUACUUCCCUAAGUUAACGGAAUCUCAUAUCUUAAUUGACUAAUAAAAAUGGAAAGUCCUAAAAUAAUAAAAUACCAUAAUUAACUCUAAUUAAAAUAAAAAGUCCUAAAAUAAUAAAAUCUUAAAAUUCCUAAAUUAACCUAAAUUAAUGUCCUACAUUAAUGGCUUUUAAUACGGACAAGAAGAGCUUUCGUUAAUAGUGUUUUUAGAUUGGAUUUGUAUGUUAGAAAUAUAAAUCAAUUUUAGAAUACUAAAUUGAGGGAGAAUGUUCGAUUUGACCUUAUUGUACGCUACCUUAUGAGCGGAAGAAACUGUACCCGGAGCACACUAUUACAUGUUUUGCGUGUGGAAAAUGAUAUUUGAAUAGCGGAAAAACACCAAGAAGACAGGAGUGAUAGCACUGUAGCAUAAACAAAGCUGUCAUUUUUUAUGCUACAAUGGCACUAUAGCAUAAGCAGUACCCAUAUUCGGCAUGUCCUUCUAAUAUCUUGCAGCUGUUCAAAUAACAAUGCUCUUUGUGUGCCUACAAACUUCAACUUUUCGGUCAGCAUAAAAGUACAAUUAAAACGAGUUUAUAUUAAAUGUAAACUCUAUUGAAGAGAGGAUCUCAAUUUUUAUAUCUUAUUUUAAUCGCUUAAAGAAUUACAAAUUAAGUUGAUGCAUUAAUAUAUAUAUAUUGAAAUUUUUCAAUCCGGAAUUUUAAAGUGCGGGAACGCUCGGAAAAAUGCAUAAAUAGUGUAGUUUAAGCGCUUCAAGUUAUAAGCCUUUAAAAUCCUGCGGCUUUAAAGUUUCUCCGGACUUUCCUACACUUUAAGAUCUCGAACCAGAAAAAUACUAAUAUAUAUAUUUCUAUAUAUUAGUAGUUUUCUCAUCUGGGAUCUUAAAGUGUGGGAAAAGUCUAGAAAAAUUUUAAAACCGUAGAGUUUUAAAGGGUUAAAACUAAAGACGCUUAAAUUGCACGGUUUAUCUAUUUUCCCAAACGUUCCUACACUUCAAAAUUUCAAAUUAUGUUCCUCAGUAAUAUCAUCAUGACUCUCGAAGUCAUGUACGGUAGCAAUACCAAACCAAAUACGAUGAGUAGUGGGGUCUUGAGCUAAGCCUUGGCUAAACCUUGUAAAUCUUAAUGCCAUAAUCCUUUCAAAUCCUCCUAGCCAUUAUCCUACUGCAAUAAUUCUUGCUAAGAAGAACGCCAAUAUAAUAUUUAAAAAUCUUUAGAUUAGCGGACAAUCUUCAAUCUUCACCUAAGUUCAGGAAGGAACCACAUGGUGCUUACAAUGAGCAAAUUGACCUGGGUAAACUUUUAUUUUUCCAUAAUUUUCUAUGCAAAUUUUUUAUAUUUUCCUGAAAUUACAUAAUUGCCCUCAAUAAAUACAUAGUUAAUAUUAAUUUUCAUAAUUUUUUUUUUUUUUGUUACGUUGUCCCCUGUAAGCCAAAUUUUUUAGAUCUGCCCUUAAAUAGGUUAUUACAUUAUUGUUCCCAAAAGUGAUGGCUUCUCCUAGUUUGAAGCUCCUACCAAGUGAAAAAGGUCUCCAUAAAACAUUGCAAGCUUUAACUAUGAUCUUUUAUAUUGACCUAAUUUUUUUCAUUUUUUUUAAAAGAUGCCAACAAGUGCUUUUGGGUGUAUAUGUCAUAUCCACAACUGUUUCUGCUCCUGAUGGCCCCUAAUAAAUAUCACAAUAGGAUAUGAUCUUCAAGCUUCUUAACUGUUUAUGCAAUCUGGUUAACAUGCAAUCUUUAGUUGAUCUUCUAGGUUGAGACACGUUGUCAUCAUAAGUGAUGAUAGUUAAAAAUGCUAAUUAAUUUAGAAGCCUAAACUAUAAAAUUUGAUUGAGAUGGAAUAAUAGCUUUCAUGUCGGCUUUUUCAUGAAUAAAUACUUGAGGUCCACGAUAUUUUUCUUAUUGGAGAGAUAAAAUUUAGAAUGUACAAGUGGUCCUAUCUUAAAUGGAAGAUUCUUGAUGCUGAUAAAUGAUAAUGGCCAUCGAUUAGAGAGUUCUACUAGUCGAGUAGUGACUCCAGAUAUGUACAAUUUGUUCCAAUUUGACUACAAUACGGCACCUUUUUGUCGAAAUUUGAGCAUUUAUUAGAAGAGAUAUCGAGCCACUCAAUGUUCAGAGCCCAAACAUAUAUAUGCUUGUGAAAACAUUCAUAUGUUUUGAAAAUACCGAAAUCGUUCACAAGAAGAAAAUUAUGAAGUAGAAAUACGGCAGAAAUCGCGUAUGAACAGAGAUUGAGUAUCACAAUGAGAUGGUUUCAGUUUCGUCAUAAACUAUAAAAAAUACACCAAAAUCCAAUGCAUACACCAAUAGGUGCACGAACAGAAAUAUGAUGCAAACAUCUCUUUAAUUAAUUUAGGGCUUAAAGAGACUUUAAGAUGCCUACAAAUUGAAUAUGGCAGCUCUUGGACACCAUCCAUAAGAAAUAAAACUAGCUUCAAAUUGGAUUUUUGAGUACUCAAACAAAGUUAAAAGCAAGAUAAUGAAAUGAACGCAGAAACAGAAGAUCCUCAAGUCAACACCAUCCAACUCUUAAUACGUAUAUGGAAAGAACUCGAAGCCUUAUUCAAGAUGCCGGCAGUAGGUUGGCCUAGACCAUUUUCAUAAGUUUGGACUCUCUGUAAAUAAAGAGAAAAACACAUUGAAGUUGCAGUUUUCACAUUAUUAAAUUGCACAAAUUAGCCUCUAUUUUAACUAGUUAAUGCUAAAGAACACAGAAAUCCUUCAAUUCUCUCUGCAAGCAAUUAAUUUUAUUUGUUAUUUCCUUUUCGCUAUGUCGGACCUAACAACUAAUCCUCAACAUAACAAUACAGGAGAGUAGUUAUAUUUUAAAAAGAUGUACCAAUAUGAUUUAACGAAAAUUUCAACAUAAAUAAAACAUAUUUAGUCAGCAUAAAAAUCAAAUCAAAACAUCCCAAAUUGUAUAGAUUUUACCUUGCCACUGUCUUUCGCAUCUUCCUCCUUUUCGUUCUCCUCGCUGAACGUCUCAUUCUCUUUUUCUUUCUCUGGCUAAUUAGAUUUAAAAUGAAUCUAUCAAAAAUUUGAUGUGUACUUUAUAUAUAUAUCUGUUAUUGAAUCAGUAACUUUCAGAAAAAAUCAACAUCUUACAUGAAUGAAUACGUACCUUGUUUUUAAGAUAUAGGUAUUGAAUGGUUGUAUUAAGGUCGUGAUCCAAAGUCUGACAUCCUUCAUCACCAAACUCUUUAAGUUCUACUUUGCGUAACUUGGGUGUGCUUAAUUCUCCUCCUGAAAAAAUGUUCAUAUUGGGGCAAUCUUCCACCACUAAUCUUUCCAGAGAUGGGAAUUUGAAGUUGCAAUUAUUGCCAGAGAAGAAACUUGUCAGACUUUCUAAAUCCAAGAGCAGCAGUUCUUUCAAUUCGCUGAAAACAAUUUCAUCUUUUGCUGCAUAAUUCUCUCCCUCGUCAUCGUCGUUUGCCACUAUUUCUGUUAUCAUCUUGCAUUCACCUAUCUUGAUUCGUCUCAGUCGCACCAGACUCUUUGCUAUCGAGGAUGUUAAUACGUUUAUCAUUCCAUCGCAACGACAUACCAUCAAACACGUUAGAGUCUGAAACGAUGUCGAGGGAGGCACUAGAUUAAUCAAAUUGUCACAAUGCAAUAUCACCAAUAUUUCCAAAUUGCUCGUGUUGGAGGACUCUUGUUUCGAAAUCUGCUUCAGAUCACUACACUCAUCUAUUCCUUUUAUCAUUGCCGUCAUCCCGUUUUCAACCUCUUCGAAUGAAUCAUCCCAAAUAUAACCGUCUCCUCCUAGAAGGAAAAGAAUUUUGACUGUGUGAAAUCGCAGGAGGAAAUCGUCAAGUGACAAAAUAGGAGUUGACUCAUCAAGCCAGACAUCGAGACAUUUAAGUUUGCAAAGCAAGUCUUCUGGAAAUACGCGUAUGUGCUUUUCGUCAACAAUCAAAUAUUCCAAAUUGGGGAACAUCUGGGUGAUCACAAUCACAAAAAAAGCACGAUGAAUGUUAAAGUAAAAACAAAGCGUUCCAAUGAUGAAUAUUUAUCAUUUUUGAAUACGGUAAUGUGUAUUUUCUUUCAUUCUCUCUCCCUAACGCUUGUCCAGUAGACAGAUUUUCAAAUUAUAAUAGAUUUGCGUGCAAUCUAAAAUUGCAUUUAAACUUCCAAUCAAUCCGUUUAUUUGGUUUGAAUUGAAAAUCUUAAAAAUUUCUUUUUUUUUUUUUUAAAUGGAUCUUUUAACUUUUUUUCCUCAAAAGCAAAAAUGAAUUAAUAACUUGAAUUUAAAAAGUUUAAUAAUAUAGUAAGAAGCUGGUAUUUCAUUAAUAUUCAUCCAACCCAAUGGAAUAUAUUCACUAGUGUACAAGAAAGGAUUUUAUUGGCAUAAAAUUUAAUAGGAUGAGAUUUCUUCAUUUGAGUUUUGUUCAUCUCUCUCUAUAUAUUUUUAUGAAUAUUAUUUAUGUUAACACGAGAUGACCAAUUUCUUCUUCAACAUCAAAAUUGAUAAUCAUUUUGUAUGUAACAAUAUUGUUAAGGCAUGCUAAUUUGAAAAUAGCUCCUAAAAGAUUAUCUGGGAACUAACUGCGGCUUGAAAAACUCUAGAUCUUAUGAGUAUUUUCUUUGUUUGGGUAAUCAAAUGCACUGUCUCUUUCGUGUAUUAAGUAAACAUAUAGACAUAAAAUAAAAAGUAGAGGAAGACGAAAAACUCAGAUAAUUAAGAGAAAACAAUUCAACUAGAAUUAAAAAAAAAAAAGUUGGUUUGCUAACAUUUUGUUAAACUGAUUUAUGUUUACGAGGAUAUUAUGAAGUGUAAAUUAAUAGACUGAUUUAUACAACUAACAUUUUUGUUACUAAAAGACGAAGUGAUGAGGACGAUGGUGACAAUAAAACUCUAAACUCCGAAACUAUAAUUACUUUUAAGCACGUAAGAAUUGAGCUAUAAUUACAAAAGUCUUGCACGUACCUUUUUGGUGGACUCAUGAAUAGUGCUUUUAAAUUUCACAUGGGGACAUCCCCUUAUUGUUAAUUGUUCCAGUGAUGGAAAUUCGAUCUGCAGAUCUCCCGUGCAGAAGCUUGUAAGCUGCGGAAGAGAACGAAGUUCGAGUGUCCUUAAUUGAGAGAGUUCAAUCACUUGCGUGUUACUAUUGCUGGAUUCAUCUCUUGUCUCGGCAGCAAAAAUCACUUCCAAAUUCUGGCAUCCAGUCACUUCAAUGGACUGAAGUUGUUGAAGGCCUCUGCUAAUGACCAAUGGAAAUACAUUUUUCAACUUAUCGCACCUUCCCACACUUAUGCUCUUUAAUUUGCAAAAAGACUCUGCCGAGAGUGGACCACGACAUAUUUUCUCAAGGUUACUCAAAUCUUGCAGAAAUAAUGACUCCAAGAGGGGGAAUGCAGUCGUCGGAGCUGUUGCUCUAUCCACUGUGUCGACAACACAUAAAAGGUUGCUAUUUUCUACGACCUCGAGAUGCUUCAGCUGUGGAAAACCUUCUCCGUCUGAUCUAUAAAGAACACUUUUCAUGUCCAGCGAUCCGCCUAAACGUAGGUCUUCGAUACCCUUCAAUUGCAUGAUAUGCCCCCCGUUCAAGCAAAUGUUGGCACCACUGGCGAGCAUCAGUCGGAAUAUUCUAGAUAUUUCAUCCGAUGGGCCAUCCCACCACCGCUGAUCUCCUAUCAAUAUUCUGUACCUUUGCAGCAUUUUGAAGAACGACAAGUCUCUUGGUAGAGUCUUUUCAUCUUGGAUUAGUAUUUCUAAAGAGGUCAAUUUAGAUAAAUUAUUCAACUCAUGAAGGCUGGCAUUUCUUCUUUCACCGUCGACUCCUUCAACCUUCCCCCACUCAAUGGGACUCUCACCAACAUAUAGUUCUUCUAAUCGGGAUAAGCUCGAUAAGACAUUUGGGGGAAUAACUCGCAGUCGGUAACAUCGGCGCAAAUUCAACAACCUCAAUUGAGUCAGCUGGCCUAUCUCUCCAACCAGUUCCUCCAUAUUAGAACCUCGAAGCGUAAGGAUAACUAAUUUCUUUAGGUCUCCAAUAAUAGCCAUGCCUGCUAGUUCACAAUAAUCCAGAGACAAUGUUUGAAGGUUUUGUAAGAGACCAAGAGAUGAAGGCAAUAAAAACAAAUGCAUCUUAGUGAAAUCUAAAACUCUCCGGUAAAAAAUUUAUCUGGGAUUAUCAAAGAUGGAUCAUUGCCAAUACGAAGGUAUUUAAGUUGCGGACUCUCGAACCCUUGAGGAAGCUCACUAAUAUUACUAUUCUUUAAGGAGAUUGCGGUGCAAACCUCCAGUGUAUCCUUAUCUGGCCAGCUGGUCAGCGGAACAACCUCAUUUUCCACCGCAAACACAUGUUGAUCUCUUGAUGCAAUUGAUAUGGCUACAUCACGAACAACAUCAUGCAUUGAAAACCUUUCACUCUAACAACCAUCAAGCAACAAACAAGAGUUCUUGAGUUUAUCAACCAAUGUAUGUGCUCUAUCCCGUGCCUCUUCCAACGUGUUGAUGUUUUGAAACAAACCCAAACCCAUGCCAUAAUAAAGCACGUCGUUAACGGAACAGAUGAACGUGUACCCUAUUAGCAAAAACGUUUUCCUGAGUUCGUCACCUUCUAGCUGAUAAUAACUCAACUCGAUAGUUGAAUAGGCGGCCUCCGCUUCUGUCUCAGAGAAUCUUCUCAAAAAAGGCCUUUUUAAUUGUCGUAAAGCAUUCCUCCAUUCAUACAGACGCUUAUUUUUCAAUGCAUUCGCUACGGGUACAAUGGCAAUGGGCAAACCAGCACAUUCCUUGGCUACCUCUGUCGCUACAGAUUUCAGUUCACCAUUUUCUGUGCAAUCACCUGUCAUCUUUUUGAAAAGACUCCAAGCUUCUUUUUCCUUCAGAACAUCAACAAAAAAAAUUUGUUGACAACCCAUCUUACAAGACAACACAUCUGGACUUCUUGCUGUCAGCAGAACUUUACAUCCUCCGUUAUCAUCUGCCAAUGGAAUUCCAAUGGCCUCCAAAUCAAGACUCCCCCAAAUAUCAUCCAAGAUUAUCAGGAUCUUCGACUCUUUCUUCAAUCGUUCAAGCAGCCUCCCUGCUCUUACAGUUUCAUGACUCUGUUCAGCCAAUUCCAAGCCUAUCUUCUCUGCGAUUUCUCCUUGUAUUUCUUUUAUUUGCAGUGUUUGGGAAACACAUGAAGAAAUGACCUUCUCAAAGAGAUUAUUUUCCUUGGCCUGCCUGCCAACUUCUUUCACAAGCGUUGUCUUUCCAACGCCACCCAUCCCGUACACCCCAAUCAUGUUGAAGUUACGGUUGCUCAGUGCGUCUAGUAUCUCCUUCAAAGUGGACGUUCUCGAUUCAAAGUGCAUGAAACCCUGGGUAGUAUUAAGCCAUGUCUCCUCUAGAAUUGCACGUAAAGAAACACUGUCGAAGGUCCCUUUUUCACGGAGUCCAACAAUAGCAUGUUGGGAAAAUAUGCUCUUUAAAAGCAUAUGUGUUUAUUUAAUUGUAAUAAACAUUUUUUCUGAUUAAUAAAAUUAAUGAGGUAUUUUAUUCAAAUAUCUUAAUUGCAUUAAUAUUUGUAUUAAAGUCCAUUUAAUCAUAUUAUAUGUAUUUAUGUGAUCACCAUGUGGAUUCACAGAAGACAUAAAUACAAGUUAUCUUAUGAUUAAAUAAAUUUAGUUCGCAGUUGAUAAAUAAAGUUGGACACUUUAUUUAGGUAUAGACUGUAAUAAAUUCAUUGAAUGAUUUGUCUUAAUCAUGUAUGAAUUUAUUGAUGUAGUACGACUACAUUGAACAAGAUCACAUAUGAGAUUUAAUUAACUUUGUAAUAACUGUCAGACUUAUUAAAUCUCAUAGGCGUUGAUUUUACUGUAAUCUUAAUCUUGAGUUAAUUAUGAUUUCAUGAUUGUAAUUGUUAUUUCAUUUGAGUUACCAAUGGGCACGACACAUCCUUGUGGUCAAGAUUACCCGGUAUCUUGGUGGGAGCAAUUAUGAGUAUUGGAGUUAUGGAUUAACAAUAUAGAAUUUAUACAACACAUCUCUUGAUAGGUUUUCGGUACUUGAUCAUAGAAUUCUCUGGCCAGAGUGUGUCAACUAUUUAGUAUGUUGAAAAUGAUCAUUAGAGAAAACCAGUAAGGAUCAAGGAAUAAGAUGUUAUUAAAUUGAUUGGACAGUUGAGAUAUCAAUUUAAUUAACGAUGUGGUACAAAGGAUUGUGCAGUAAAGAAAUCAAUGUGGCUUGGGACGAAUUAUUAUUCGAGCAUACAAUUAUGAAAGUCAGUUCCAAUCUUUUAGUGGAGUAGAUUUGGAAUUAAAUAAUUGGGCUAGUUUUAUUACAGGCCUAAUUAUUGUAGCCACUAUUGUAUGUUCCCAAAUGAUCCCCGGGUUAGCUCAUUUAAUUGACUGCACCACUACUGGACUUAUAAGUAAGAUAACUAGCUAUUUGGGUCAAAAGCUUAAAUAUAUCAUUUAGUGGGAGGCUCCAUUUAAUUAGCUUUUGUGUAAGGGGCCUUAUGUUAUUUUACAAGGUGGGUCCCUUAUUGAAAAAGAAAAUAACGUGGGUUUUGUUUUUUGAUUAUUUGGAGCCUAGGGUUUUCACUAAAGGGUGAUAUAAAAGGCUUAUUUUCUCUAUAAAAAAAAAAUAGAAGCCACUUUAUACAAAUCGGAGAAUAAGAUUUUUCUCUCUAUUGUUGAGAGAAAAAUUUUCUCGUGCUAGUUGCUUUGGUAGUGAUAAAGGCACCCACACGUCAAGUGCAGAUCGAACCUGAGUCAUAACCUGGAAGAUCAUUGGUGACAGUUCGUGAUCUAACAAGCGUGGUGGUGACGGAUCGUGAUCUAAUAGGAGUGGUGGUGGCGGAUCGUGAUCUAGGAGCCUAAAUCACUUUAGCGGAAAAAGCCAACUCGGAUUUUCAAGGUACGAUUUCUAGAAUACAAAUUCUUAUAUAUUAUAUGAGAGCGAUCUUCAAAAGGUUUUAUAAAAAUUUAAAAACCUGAUUUUUCCCCAACAUAGCAUUCGCCUCUCUUUCUGCUUUCUUGCUAAGCUGGUACCGAGCCUUCAAAUUAGGGCACAACCCCUUGAAACACCGGUUGUUUGACUUCUCUUUGUCUUCAAUGAGUUCUCCGACUUCAUUGGUGACCUUGCUCACGCUAAUCAGCCACUCCUCAACGUGCUGUUGAAUUCUGUCACCUUUAAUUCUGGAAUCAUUGACCUUGUGCUGCACAUUCUCUCUAGCAAACUUUAGCUGGUCAACUUCAUUAUUCAGCUUCUCGAAGUUGGCCUUGUAGCUGCAGCAGUAAGUAAAUGGAUGAAUAAUGGGAGCAACAAUGGGAGCAACCAAGUACUCUGCAACUUUUUCCCCAAUGGAGAGAAAAAAUUCCAUUAUGUCUCUUUUUUUUAAAUUUUUUUUACCGGGGAAAGAACAGGGAAAGCAAAACUAAUAAAAACGGACAAAUGGACAAACGGGCAACUGGGGAAGAAAAAAAAAGAACUGAAAAACAAAAGCAGAGUGUUUAGAAGAUCAAAGGCUGAAAAAACAAAAGCAAGUACAAAUGCAAAGAGUGGAUUUAAUCGGCUGGAAAGAUGGAAAUAAGAAGUUGUCUGAGUAAUAUUGAUCAACUGGUUUUAACGCAGGAUGAGGGAAAGGAGCGAUAAUUCUAGAGAUAGAACAAGAGCGGAGUUUGUCUCCACGAAGACGAAUUGAAAGGCGAUUGCAAUGAAAUGUAAAGAAAAGCUUUCGGGGAAUAAAGUUAGUGAGUGGAAGCGGCUAAUUUGUAUCGGAUGCUUGCUUUUGUUAGAGAAUUUUAAUCGCAUGCAAGAUCUUGUAAGUAAAAGUAUCAAAUAAAUAAUAAAUAGAAAAUAAAUGUAAAAUAAAACCAAUCAUACAACAUAAGAAUCUAUAUGAAAAACUAACACCACGGCCGCCAAGAUUGACGAGAGAAAAAUCUACUAUAUAUUAUAAAACAAUCAAAUGUAAAGAAAGGCAUGGGCAAUAAAGUAAAUAACCGUACCUAACGACAUAAAGUUAGUGAGAAAAACAAUUAGCUAUUUGAAGUCACUAAAUUCCUCUCUACAUUCAUUUUUUAAAAAUAAAUUAGUUAUUCAAAAUUUAAAAUUUAAAAUUUAAAAAUCUCAAAAUUACUCUCACUAGUUUCUUUCUCUUUCUAUCUUACAAUUAUAUAUUCUCUCUCUACUUUCACAUUCUACAAACUAGAUACUCAAUUUUAUUCUUUUUUUUAUUCAUUUUUUUUAUUUGUCUUCUUUAGUAUGUCAUAAUUUGUAAUUUCAUACUUUCUAUUAAAAAAAAAGAAACAAAGAAAAAGAAAACCCCACAUUUUGAAUAUGUCUCUUUUAGGUUACAUAGAAUCAAUUAUGAUAAAAGAAUAUAGAGUAGUUUUCCAAUCAGGGAUCCCUGACUUUAAUACACUACAUAACAAAAUACAGUGCAUUGGAGCAUGUGUUUAUUUUGUCUUUUAGUUAAUCCCUGACUUUAUUAAAGUCAGGGAUCCCUGAUUAGAAAACUACUCAAAGAUAUAUAUAUAUAUGACCUAUGGGGGAAUCUAUAGCUUGAUUAAAGAAUGAUAGUUGAGAGAAUAAUUAAUCAAAUUAUUGAUAAAAUCACAGUAGACAAGAAUAUUAUAUUAAAGUGAUGUGAAUGACUGUUUUAAUGGCCAUUGAAAUUUUGAAAUGGUAUCGGAUGCUUCGUGUGAUAAUCCCACCAAUGAAAUUCUUAAAGAUUGCUUUUGUUAGAGAGUUUUACUCCCAUGUAAAAUCUUGUAAGUAAAGGUAUCAAAUGAAUAAUAAAUAAAAAAUAAAUGGAGAAUAAAACUAAAAAAUCAUUGGUAGGACAUAGACCAACAAAUCAAUAGAACAACUGGAAAAAGUAAAAGAAUCUUUUGAAAGGCAGCAUAUAGCUAGAAACAUUACAUGGAAGAUUGUAUCAUGCAAAAUUAAAUUGGUUACAUAACAAAUCAAGUGGAAAUAAAAGCAAUAAAGUUAUUAAUUAUUAAUUAGUGGCACCUAAUAUGAUGUAGCAAGAAUAUAGGAUAGAAUAUAUUAGGAAUUAUAAUAUUUGAGUUACUUUAGUAUUUAGUGUUUUAUUAGGAUUUAUCUUAUUUCAUUAAGCUUAUUUGAGUCGUAUUUGUAAUUCUAGUUUAUUUAAAGUUUUAGAUUAUUUCUCUUAUAUGAGAAAGAUUAAAAUUGAGUUAGCUACUUGUAUAUAAGCUUGUUGUUUACACUUUAUUAUAACACCUUUAAUCUUUCAUAAUAAUAUUUUAGAUUAUUCCCUUUUGAAUUUAUCUUUGUCGUUAAUUCGAUAUUUUUUCUCUUUAAGAGUUAUUCUUUCUUGAUUUUCAAGAACUUAAACUAGAACGAUAUUAAUUAUCGCUUCUGCGCUGUGUCAAGUGGUAUCAGAGUCUUUUUAUGUACCAAGCAGAGCUUUCUUGACCAUCAACCACCCUCCAUAUAUAAAAAUCCUUCAUCAUCCAUUAAUUUCAAUAAGUUUUAAAAAAAAAACUGAAGCCAUCUUCACAACCACCACACGCGGUUGCUGCUGUUGUCAUUCUUCUUCUUUCCCAUCGAUCUCCAUCACCAUCAGAGCACCCAAACGUUGAUGACCAUCUUCCAGCCAUCAACACCACCAAUAUGCCGCCUUAGGCACACAAAAUACACCAAAACAUCCAUUAAACUGUUGUGAUCUUUGCCGCUCGAUUCUUUGGAAUUUGCCACGAUUUGCUCGCCAUCACCAUACCAUUCUGUUCACUGUCAUCAGCCCUUUCUUUCCAGCUAAUUCUCAUUGUCAUCCGUUAUCCAAUUCAUCGAAAACCAAGACAAAUCUAUAAUCGCCAUUUCAAUUCAGUAUUCUGAUCAAUCCACAACGAUUUGAGUUAAACCACCACUGUCAUCACACUCACCAACUUCAAAUCUUUCAUAUCCACCUAUCCUUCUCCAAUUUUCUAAUCAUUAUCGCCAGCAACACAAUCUUUGAACUAAUUAUACAUUUUACCCAUACUUUCUUUUAAUUAUAUUUUUUCCCUUUAAUUUUUCUAUUCUUAUAAAAAAAAACUCCAAAAAAUCACAGUAGACAAGAAUAUUAUAUUAAAGUGAUGCGAAUGGUUGUUUUGAUGGCCAUUGAAAUUUUGAAAUGGUAUCAGAUGCUUGGUUUGAUAAUCUUACCAAUGAACUUUUUAAAUAUUGCUUUUGUUAGAGAAUUUUAAUCCCAUGCAAGAUCUUGUAAGUAAAAGUGUCAAACAAAAAAUAAAUAGAAAAUAAAUGAGAAUAAAACCAAUCACACAACAUAAGAAUUUACAUAAAAAACUAAAACCACUCUAGUAUUUUCUUCACACCCAAAACUCCAAUAAUGUCAAAUCUCUCAAUAGACCUACUGUUUUUUUGACAUUACAAACUAUCUAACUGAUUUUUUUCUUAUACAAACAAGUGAAUCCAACUUCCCCAUAUAUAAUGAUUAUUUUCUAUCAAAGUCCCAAAGGGAAAAUUAAUUAUUCCUUAAGUAUGAAUCCUUCUGAGCAAGAAAAUUACUAAAUAAGAAAAAUAUAAGAAAUAUCCUAAUUUAGGAUUUCAAAAUCCUCAUUGAAAAAGGAGACAUAUUUCCUAAUCUCCACCUUAGUGAGUUUUUCAAUUAGGUAACAAAAAAUGAUCCACCAUAGAUCCACACAACCAUGUCGCCUUCACCUUAUUUACUUUUCCAAAAUCACGCUCACAUAGGUCUUAUAAGAAUCACUCUACCAUAGGUAAAAUCUUGUCAUCUAUCCAGCAACCAUAAUUCUUUACACUGAGAAUCAUCAUACUCCACUUUAUUCAGAGUACAUAUAUUCGACACAUAUUGAUCAUCUUACUAAAAAUAUCCACCCUCAUGUUUGGCUUUCUUGAGAGUUUGACAUAAAAGGUCCACCACACACCUUACAUAAAUGUCGAACCAUACCUUGUGUACAAAUCUUGUAGACCCACUAAUAGUAACAUAUCCUUCAUGGCAUGCCAAAAAGGAUAAACCACUCUCAUAAAGAGAAAAUACACACAACUAGCUGACAUUAUCAGUAUUUCCAUCUAUUGACUUAGAGCUACUUGUUGAACCAACUCCAUUCUAACAAACUUUUUUAAGGUGCCCUGAUUACCUACACACCUCUAGUAGUUUCCACCAGUGGCAACAAGGUUUAUAUCGCCCUUGCUUUCCUUAUGUAACCAGAUUGAAUCAAUAUAUCAUUGAUUUCAAAUUGUCACAAGCCAAAAUUGAUUCUUUCAUUAGAAUUUUCUAUUUUUGCCCUCACAGAUUUUGAAAACCUCAUUGUUGUCAUACUUGCUCCGCGUUGAAACCUUAGUUCUGAUACCAUUUAUUAGGAAAUUCUAAUCCCACGCAGGAUCUUGCAAGCAGAAAUAUCAAACAAAUAAUAGAUAAAGAUUAAAAACGAUAACACAACGCAAGAAUUUACAUGGAAAACUCAUAUUUUGGAGAAAACAUGUGGCCGCCAAAAACGACAAGGAAAAAAAUCUACUAUUAAAAAAUUAUUUCAAUCAUUAGUAUUUUUGUCACACUUACAACUACAAUAAUACCCAAUUUCUCAAUGGACCUACCGUUUCUCUAAUAUUAAAAAUGAUCUAUUUGCAGAGAAAUUGAUUGUUGAAUUAUACAAACAAGUGAACCCAACCUUCUUAUAUAUAAUGAUUAUUUUUUGCAAGAAAAUUACUUCUUUCCUUAUAUAGGUUGUACUCCUCUUUGAAUAAGUUAAAUACUAAAAAGGAAAUCAUUUAUUCCUUAAAUUAGAAUCCUCCUGAAUAAGAAAACCAUUGAAUAAGCAACACUUAGGAAAUAUACUAAUUUAAGAUCUACAAAUCUUCAUUGAGAACUGAGACAUAUUUCCUAAUAGUUUGUAUAUUUUAAUAAUGAAAGUUGCAUGCAUAAUCAUGAAUUGAUAACUGUAUAUAAACCACCAGAUCAAUAGAACAAUUGGAAAAAAGCAAAAGAACCAUUUGAAAAGCAGCAUAUAGCUAGAGAAAUUACAUGGAAGAUUGUAUCAUGCAAAAUGAAAUUGUUUAUGAAAUAAAUCAAAUGGAAAUAAAAUCAAUAAAAUUCUUAAUUAUUAAUUAGGUGCCUGGUUUGUUACAUUGGGCACCUACUAUGAUAUAGGAAGAAUAUAGGAUAGAAUAUAUUAGGAAUUAUAAUAUUUGAGUUAAUUUAGUAUUUAGUAUUUUAUUAGGAUUUAUCUUAUUUUAUUAAUCUUAUUUGAGUCAUAUUUGUAAUUGUGGUUUAUUUAGAAUUUUAGAUUAUUUCUCUUAUAUGAGAAAGAUUAGAAUUUAGUUAGCUACUAGUGUAUAUAGACUUGUUAUUCAUAUUUUAUUAUAACACUUUUAAUCUUUCAUAAUAAUAUUUCAGAUUAUUUCCUUUUGGGUUUAUCUUUUCCGUUAAUUCAAUGUUUUCUCUCUUUGAAAGUUAUUCUUUCAUGAGUUUCAAAAACUAGAACGAUAUCUAAUAUCACUUCUGCACUACGUCAAAUGGUAUCAAAGUCUUUCUUUGUGCCAAGCAGAGCUUUCCUGACCAUCAACCAACUUCUAUACACAAAUUCUUAUUCCAUCAUCCAUUAAUUCCACCAAGUUUGAAAAAAAAAAAAAAAAAAGCCUUCUUCACAGCCACCACACGUGGCUAGCGCUACUAUCAUUCUUCUUCCUUCUUGUUGAUCCCCAUAACCAUCAGAACACCCACACUCCGCCCACCAUACCCCAAUCAUCAACACCAUCAAUACGCUACCAUAGCCACCAAAAACACACCAAAACAGCCGCUAAAUCGUUGUGAUCUCCACCGUCAAUUCUUUGGAAUCUGCCAUGAUUUACUUACCGCCACCAUUAACAAUCUGUUCACUAUCAUCAACCUUUUCUUUUUGCAUAUUCCCACUAUCAUCCACCAUCCCGUUCACCAAAAGCCGAAACAAACCUCCAACCGCCACUUCAAUUCAAUAUUCCGAUCAAUCCCUAAUGAUUUGAGUAAAACCACCACUACCAUCACACUCUCCGACCUCAAAUCUUUCAGAUCCAUCUAUUCUUGUCUAAUUUUCUAAUCUCCGUCACCGGUAUCACAAUCUUUGACUUAAUUAUAAAUUUUACCCAUACUUUCUUUUAAUUAUAUUUUUGCCCUUUAAGUUUUCCAUUCUCAUAAAAGCUUUAAAAAAAUUAAAAGAAAAGGUAUAAUGAGAUAUAAAAGAGAUGAUGAUGAUCUUUUCUAUUAUGAUGGAUUUACUAAUCCUGAGGAUAUUUUCGAUUGGAUCUUUAAAUUUGAAGAUACUCUUGAAGAUAUUUUAAAGGAUAAACAUGUUGAGUACAUGUCCUCUAAAUUAAUGGAACAUGCGUCACAACGGUGGACCAACUUACAAGCAACAUGGAUUCAACAUGGAAGAGAUAAGAUUCAAACUUGGCAUAGCAUGAAAAGAAAAAUAAAAGCUUAUUUUAUUCUUCCUGAGUAUUUUCAAACAAUCCUUCGAAAAUUUGAUAAGUUUCAACAAGGUACAAAUUUUAUUGGAAUCUAUAAAUCUCAACUUCAAAAUUAUCAUUGUCGUGUGAAUCUUUCUAAAGAUGACGAAGAUGCAAUUUCAAGAUUUGUGAAAAGAUUACGUGCUAAUAUUAAGGAAUGAGUUUUGUUACAACUUGAUGCUACUAAUGAAUAUUGGGGUGUCAUUAAAAUUACUUUAGAAGUUGAAUUGCAAAUCAAGAGAGAUAGAAAGCAGGCAUUGAAUAGAUUUGAACAAGUACAAGAGCAUCACGAGGGUCAAAGAUGAAGAGUCUGAUAGAUUUAUUUUACCAAAACCUAAGCCUGAUAGUUCUUUAUCGAAACAAGAUCUUAUAGUGAAAACCUCAUCACCAAAGGAUUCUAUUGUCGAAGAGCAACCUUCUUUCACUCUUGAGGUUAAUAACUUCAAUACAAAAAGAAAUGUUGAGCUUGAUUCUAGAGUUACUAAAGAAGUGUUGAUUGUUCAUGAUUCAACUAAUAUAGUCAUUAGUGACAAAGGGUUUAUCCAAGAUUUUGAAGUUGAAGAUCUUAGCAUGGAAGAGCAAGUUCCACCAAUGUCAUCAUCAGAAGAAAAGAAUGUCACGAAAGCUUCUUUUAAGGAUAUUUCAAAUGAGCCUAAAGUUUCCAAUAAGUAGGUACAAUCUAUUCUUGAUUUGAGUUUUAUAUCUAAUAAUAUCAUUAAAAUUGUGCAAGAAACUCAAGGUGAAAAAACAUCAAUUGUUCUUGAAGAUGAUAAAGUUAUAUAGUUUUACCAAUUAUUCAUGAAGCUAAGCAAAUUGAUCUUUAAGACUUUGAGACAAUUGAUAUGGUUAUGCCUAUACACAUUGAAGACAAGAAAGUUGUACUCAAAGAACACUUAGCUCAAAAGAAGAAAUUGAAUGAAAAGUACAUGAACAAAGCAAGGAGAAAGUUAAAAGUUCCUGCAAGUCUGCAUCUUUUAGAAGAGCCAUACUCAAAAACAAAAAGAAAUUAAAGCUUUGGUACUCUCAAGUUUCAAGAUAAGUUGAUGCAAAUUGCUAUAUAUUUGCAUUACAAACUCAAUUACUCCUUUACUACAAGUUUCGUCCUCUAAAUUGUAUUUUGUUAUCAGCAAAACUUGAGGACGAGUUUUUUUCAAAGAUGAGGAGACCUAUGGACGAAGAAUAUAGGGAUAAAAUAUAUUAGGAAUUAUAAUAUUUAAGUUAGUAUUUAGUAUUUUAAUAGCACUUAUCUUAUUUUAUUAAAUUUAUCUGAGUCAUAUUUGUAAUAAUAGUUUAUUUAUAAUUUAGAUUAUUUCUCUUAUCUGAGAAAGAUUAAUAUUAAGUUAGCUAUUAGUAUAUAUAGGCUUGUUAUUUAUAGUUUAUUGUAACACCUUCAAUUUUUCAUAAUAAUUUUCAGAUUAUUCUUUUUUGAGUUUAUAUUUAUCGGUAAUUCGAUCUUUUCUCUUUUUAAAAAUUAGAGUUUCAAGAACAUACACUAGAACAACAUCUAGUUCGCUUCUGCAAUGCGUCAUAAUAAUCCUUAGACUAAUGACUAGCUACAAUCAAGUUUGUGUGACUUUUCUGAAUUUUUUAUCUUUAUAAAACAACAAUGCUGAUCAUGAAACUAAUUUCUUGACAAGUAUGUGCGUGUGUGUAUAAUGCUUUUACUUGCCGCACACUGAAAGUUGAAAAUCAGUUGCACAAAAAGAGUUAUUGUAUAUUCAAAUGUCAUUGUUAUAAAUUAUGAACUAUACAGAUUAAGUGUAGAGGCCGAAUCGUGAAAAAGCGCCAUGCAUAUUGUAUAAAUUAAAUAAGCUGAAGAAAUUGUUUGAGAAAGAAAUGAAAAUAAAAGGUAAAGCAAGAGACCAAUAGCAGAGACUGUGGUCCUUGAUGUCUCCAAGGCAUUUCUCCGAACAGUUGUAUACUCAGGCUCAGCUCCAAUAUUUGAAUAGCUUUGACUAUUUCUUACUAAAAGAGGACACCAAAGCUUUCAUUACCAGCUUCGUUCAAAUUUUCAAUCAUGAUUAUUUGAUAAUAUAUUAGUGAUAAUUCUUUCUUUUUUUGAAAGGAUUUUAUUCUUAUUUAAUAAAACGAUGAAGGACGACAGUGGUUUUUGAGGUAAUUGCCAAAAUUUUAUGUAGUUGGUUGUCGCAUUCUUUCCAACUUUCACAAUCCAUAUAAAUUUAUUGAUAACCAAAUAAAUAGAUGUAAAAUUGAGAACAUUAAAGUUUAUUUUUAAUGUUUAAUAAAUUUUUUUCUAAAAUUACUUUUAACAAAGUACUCCAUCUUACAACAGAUUAUAGAUUUAAAAAACCGAAAAUAUAUAGUUAUUCGAAAUCUGAUUAUAAGUAUCAGAUUUGUCUGUAAUUUUCUUCUGCAUAUAUCAAUUCAAGAAAUUAAAUAAUUGAGAUUUUGCCCCGGACAUAGAGAGGCAAGCUUGGUCACAUUCUAAAAUUAUCCUCACGGGAUUUGUUCCUAUGACAGCAAAAUCCAAUGUGAGCCCCGAAAUUUAAUGAAUCUGAGGAUUGCCAUUUGAAACUGGACCUGCUUGCCAGAAAGUUAAGAAUUUCUUGUCAAAAACCUGAAUUUUUGCAAUGUUGUGGAGACUCUGCAAACUGAACCAUGUUGCACUAUGAAUAUUAAGCUUGGGCUUGGGCUUUUGGGGUUAUAUUAAAACCAAGGUUUAAAAGCUGAAUCAUGUGCUGCUUGUGCCCUGUGGUUUGAACUUUUCAACAAUAUUGUCACUGAAGCCAAAAGUAAUGAGAUCUUUUCCCCCAGAAAAAGAUACAGAAAAUUUUCUUGAUUCCAUAGGAGGAUGCUCUCUUUCGCUGUAAGUAUUACUGCUUUAUCAUACUCACCAGAACAAAAGAAAAUUAAUUAGGCAGUACACAUGGUUGUGUAAUGACAUAUAAGAUCUGUUCUUUGUUUGGUUGGCCCUGGGAAUUGGGGUUGGAAGAAACAAUAUAGAUAAUUAGAUGUUUGAUGAAAAUUAUUCUGAGAAUUGAUUAAUCUUAAGAAAGUAAAACGAAGUUUCUCUUGUGUUUCAACUACCCUAACAAGCACAAGAAACAUGAAGUUCUCACAAUUUUCUCCAACAGAGAGUAUACAACAUGCAGUGAUUCUUCCUGCAUUGAAUUCAUUUGUAUACUGGACUUAAAGAUCCACAACAAACAUUGUUGCACAAUUGAAUAUGGCAGACAAAUCCAUUGAGCUGCGACAACAACUCGAAAUGAUUAAGUGAAAGAGACACAAGUGCUGCAACAAUCUAAAAGCAGAUUUUGCAAUAAAAAAACUUAAGUAGCAGAACAAUCAAGAUAGAAUAUCAUCUCACUUUCUGACUCUUUAUACAAAGAACACGAGCUGCUGCAUGCAUGCAAUGUCUCACAAAUUACUCAUCUUCCAAAUGCUGCUUUGAAGCUUUGGCCUAAAUCUUCUUCAGAAAUCUCAUUUUCUGAAAACAAAGAGCAGAACAUAUUGGAGGUAAAAUUAGGAAUCUAGGAUAAUUCUACUUGUUGCAGUUUUCUUAUAAAUUGCACAAAUUAGAUUCUGUCAUGAGCAGUAAUAAUGCUCUAGUAAAGAGAGAAUUAUAAUUCCUUCAAAUGCACAAAUUUCAACAUAAAUAAGAUAUAUUUAGUCAGCUUACCGCCGCCUCCUGCAUUGGUCACCUUGGUGGACCUGUCAUUCUCUUCUUUCUCCUUUUCCUAAAAUAUGGUAAUAUGUAUACACUAAUCAGACUUAAAAUGAAUUUAGCAUAAAAUUUGAUACCAAUAAUACAGUAAUGCAGCACAUGAAUGCACACCAGCCUUUUCUGAUAUAGAUGUUGUAUGUUGUAUUAACAUUGCCCUUCGAAGUCCAACACACUUCAAAUGCCUUGUGAGUGCCAUCCUCUUCAAUCAUCCAAGUCCAAGCUUGUCUAUCCCACCUGAACAGCAUCAGUUUGUGUAACUUGGGUGUGCUUAAUUCUCCUCUAGAUAGGUGAAUGUCCACCGCUAAUCUUUCCAAAGAUGGGAAUUUGAAGCAAUAAACGCCAGAGCAGAAGCCUGUCAGACUCUCCAAAUCACUGAGCUCCAACUCCUUCAAAUCCUUGAAAAUAAUUUCAUCUUUUGCUGCAUCAUCAUCGUCUGCCACUAUUUCAGUUAUCAUCUGGCAUUCACCUAUCUCCAUUGUUCUCAGUCGUGCCAGACUCUUUGCUGUUGAGGAUGUUAAAUAUGUUCACCAAUCCUUUAGAACUCCAUACUUUUAGAGUUGUUAGAUUCUGCAAGGAUGUCAAGGAUGGCACUAGACUAAUCAAAUUUUGACACCACCUUACUUGUAGAUGAGCCAAUUUGUCCAUAUUGAAGGACUCUUGUUUUAUAAUGUGCUUCAAAUCACGACACUUGUGUCCUUUUCUUAUGAUUGCAGACAUCCCAUUUUCAAUUUUCUCAUUUGAUAGCCCAAUACAUUCUCCUCCUAUUUUGAGUACUUUCAUGGUGUGCAAUCUCUGGAAGAAAUCAUCAAGUGAUAAAAUAGUAGUAGACUCGGCAAAGGUGAUAUCAAGACAUUUAAGGUUGCAAAGCAAGUCUUUCUGGAAAAUGGCGUUUUAUUGUUAUGUGCUUUACAUUAACUCUCAAUUCUUCUAAGUUGGGGAAUAACUGGUGCUGCCCAAUCAUAAAAAUAAAAAUGAAGGUUAUGUUUCUUCCAAAAAUUUCAUGUAGUAAAUAGAAAGCAUGCCACUUACGAAUUCUUGUCUGUAAGAAACUAAAUGUUGAAGGCAAUGACAAUGAAACUCUAAUCAAUCUCUAUAAUCUCGAAGAAUUGAACAACUAAUUAAAUUAAAGUCUUGUAUGCACCUGUUUUGAAAAGUCAACAGCGAAUUCAGGACAAUUCACUAUUGAUAACUGUUUCAAGGAUGGAAACUCAACAUGUACGUCUCUUGCGCAAAAGCUUGUGAGCUUUUCAAGACCUAUCAUCUUUAGAACUUGUAACUGAGGGAGCAUUACAUUCUUCCAUUUUUCUUCUUCUUCUCUGUAUUCAUGGUCCACGUUUACUAUCUCUUGCAUGAUAGGGCACCAACGUAUCUCAAGGUAUUGGAGUCUGAGCAAAGCUGAUAACUAUAGAAGAUGAAAGCAGACAUCUUAAAUUCCUAAGACUUCUUAUAAUGAAGCGCGUUAAAUUCUGAAUACCACAAGACAUGGCUGCAACUUGAUUUUGCCAAAUCCUUUCAAUAUUUAAUAUUGUAUCCAGCUCCAAGGUCUCCAAGUUUGGCAACGCAACCUGCUCGAUCAGCAAAAUUAACUUCUUGUUAUGAUUAUCAAGUUUUUCCAAAUUAUUCCAUACUAAUUCUCGAAAUGGCCAUACUUCUUGUUAUUUGUGUAAAAGGCCAACCCUUAGAAAUGUUUUUCAAUACAAACACACAGCACGUAUAAUUAUGUGCUUUCGCACAAGCUAGGCAUGCAUAUUGGAUAGCUCAAAAUUCAGGAAGAUCAUACCUUAUUUAACACACUCAAAUUGGGGCCCCCAUAACCUUCGAUCUGCAGACACUUGAAUUGUGAAGAACCCACUUUGACUAAUUCGUUAACAAAAUUCUUGAUAUCUUGAUCUAGCAGUCCAGCUAAACUAAGCUCUUCAAUUCCCCGGAGUUGCACCACAAGCCGAUCCUUUAAGCGUACGUUGGCAUCCAGGUCGAUUCUGAAGCUUCUAUAACUCUUAUUAGACGAUCUAUAAAACCCCCGAGACCACCUAUGUCCAGUUAAUAUUUUGUACCUUUCCGGCUUCUCGAAGAACAAGCCUCCUCUUGGUAGAGUGUUGGCAUCAUUGACUUCUAAUUCUAAAGAGGUCAAGUUAGGCAAAUGCUUCAACUCCUCAAGGCUUGCAUUCUUGACCCCAUCCACCACCCCCACCUCCCAUUUAUAAAAGCUAAGAAUGUAUAAUUCCUCUAAAUGGGAUAAAUUUGAUAAAACAUUUGGUGGAAUAACUUGUGGAUUUUUACAAUGUCUCAAAUCAAGCGACCUUAACUGAGUCAACUGACCCACUUCGACUGGCAACUGAUAAAUAGAAGAACCUUGUAAGCAAAAGAUUUCUAGUUUCUUCAGGUCACCAAUGACAGCCAUGUCUUUCAGUACGCAGCCGUACAAACACAAUGUAUGAAGGUUUGUUAGGAGACCAAUUGAUGAAGGCAGUGACAAUAGUUUCAUGUCAGUCAAGUCUAGAACUCUGACCUGUAACAUCCUCCUGAAAAGAUUGUGUGGAAUUGCAAAAAAUGAUUUUUUCACAGCACGCAUAGAGAAAAGUUUCAGUUGAGGACAUUCCACUACUUCAGGAAGUACAUAAGUCUUGACAUCAAGUAUGACAAUUGAAGUGAAGUGUUUUAUUCGACUCUCAUCUGACCAUUCCCACCCAUUAACCAGUUCAUCUGUCGCCGUAAACACAUAAUGAUCUCUAGAUCCAAUUGAUAUGGCAACAUCACGAACAACAUCAUGCAUGGAAAUGUUUUCAUCAUCAUCCAGCAACAUACAAGAAGCUUUGAGUUUGUUGACCAAGGUGCGUACUCGAGCUCGUGCUUCUUCCAUAUUAUUGAUGCCUUGAAAUAAACCCAAACCUAUACAAUACCAUUGCAAGUCAUCAAUGGAUUCAAUAUAGGUGUAUCCUAUUAGCAAAAAGAUUUGCUUGAGCUCCUCUCCUUGCAAUUAAUUUAUUGUAGCUCAACUCUAUAGCUGAAUAGGCAGUUGGCUGUACAUCUUUAAAGUUCGUUGAGAUAGGCCUUCUUAGUUGUUGUAAAGCAUCCUUCCAUUCAAAUAAACUCUUGUUCCUUAAUGCCCUCGAUACCGUUACAAUGGAAACAGGCAAACCUGCACAUUCCUUUUGCCACCGAUUUGAAUUCACUACCUUCAAUAGUCACCUGCCAUUUUCUUGAAUAGACUCCAUGCUUCUUCUUCUUUUAGAAUGCCUACUGAGAAGUUUUGUUUAGAAUCCAUCUUCCUUAACAAUGUAUCUUCGCUUCUUGCUGUCAACAAUAUUUUGCAUCCCUUGUGAUCAUUUCCAUGAGGAAUUCCUACAGCCAGCAAAUCAAGAUUUUCCCAGAUAUUGUCUAAAAUCAUCAAUAUCGUCUUAUUUUUCUUCAAUUGAUUACAAAGACUUGCCCUUCCCGAUUCGCUCUCCUCAUGAAAUGUUAGACCUAAUUUAUCUGCGAUUUCUCCUUGAAUCUUUCUUAUGUCAUGACUCUGGGACACCUCUGCAAAAACCGCCUGGUCAAAGAGCUUGUCGUUCUCGGCUUUCCAAGCAACAUCUUUCGCCAGCGUCGUCUCUCCGAUGCCGCCCAUUCCCAAGCAUGUUGACAUCAAGAUUUUUUAAUGCACCAAGUAUAUCAUUCAAAGUAGACAUUCUUGAUUCAAAGGCCUCGUAGUCUUUGCUAGACAUAAGCACUAUAUCCUCUGGAAAGGGACGGUAGGAAAUCCUAACAAAUCUCCCAGCUCCCCGAAGUUUGACAAUAGCCUCCAGCUGCCUCGGUGCUUCCGUGCUAUGCUGUAUGCGGAUCUUCAAAUUUGCGCACAACCCCUUGAAACAUUGCUCGUUUGCAGCAGCUUCAUCGCCUACAAAUUUCUCCGCCUCAACAAUGGCAUUGUUCCCGCUAUCAAGCCACUUCUCAACCUUCUUUUCAAUCUCUUCCCCUUUUCUUUUAGCCUCAUCAACCGCGUGCUGUAUACUCUCAGUCCCAUCCUUCAGCUUCCCAACUUCAGCCUUGAGAUUCUCAAUGUUGUUAUUGUAGCUACGCAAGUAGCUAAAUUGGCGUUCUGUCGGAGGAGCCAAGCACUUCACAACCUCUAAACAACAGUAAGAAUGCUUUCCACCAUUUUGAAGGGAACAGAGAUCGGAUGAAAGGGAUUAACAGUAGAAAACACCAGGAGAUUAUUACAACACGUUAAGAAGAUGAAAACAAGAAAAGGGUUUUCAAAAACAAAUGCAAAGAUAAAUACUGAUCAUAGAACAACGGAUGGGAAACAAAAAUAUGAAGAGUUUUAGAAAGGAGAGAGGAGGGUAAGGGUUUCUUGAUUGAAUAGAGUUGGAUGCCAAGUAAUUAAUAUUCUAUUCAGGCCAGGUAAGUGCAAUGACAGAUCUGAUUCCGGUCCUUGUCAUUUAAGUGUAUCAGUACGAGGUGAACUGACUGCUUGUCUUGCCAGUCAAAUAUAGAAGACAAAACACUAAUCUCCAGAUAUACAUCCUUUUUUCAUGUGCGCGUGAACACUUAAUUAAUUGUAAUCUUAAAUCUAUAAUAUUAACAAAGAUUAGUACUAAGUGUUACUAACCCUACUAUAAUCAAUUAGUGAUCAAGCUCUAGCCUCAGGCUGUAGCCCUGUUAUAUGGAGUGGGAAGAUAAAUUUGAAUUCUUUCAGUUAACCCUGUAAACUUAUGCCAUAAUAUGUGUGGCACAUAUUGAGAGAGGAAAUUGUAUAGUAAUCUAAAAGAAAUUGCUGUUUCAUUAUGUAAAAACUUGAUUGACUCCUCAAUUAAUUUGCUAAUAGAAAUAUCUGUUUUACAUAUUAUAUAGAUCAACAAUGCAGUUCGUGCACGGAAUCAUUAUUUAUCGUAAGAAUAAUACUUAAACAACAAAUUAAGUUAAUAGACAACUUAUAAUUGAUUAGGACUUGUCUUUAGAGGCUGGCUUAAUGAUUUUCAAAUAAUAUUAUUUAAUUGGUUAUUUAAAUUUAAAUUUUAAGCGAGCGGCGAGUUAAAAAAUUAAUGCGGAAUGCUAUGCUACCCUCAAUUUUUUUAAAGCUUAUUUUUUAAUAAACUAUAAAGGCGUGCGGUUUAAUAACAUUAAAAACUAAGAUUCCGUUUAUUUUUUAUCUGAAAUCUAAAUAGGUCUGAAUUUUGCUGAAAUAUGAAUAGGUCUGAAUGAAAAUAUCUUAAUGACAUGUUUGUUUCCUCUUUUUUGACAUCUAAAGAAAAAAUUAAAAGUUGGUAGUUUGACAUAAAUAUUUUUUUAAGUGCUGCAUACAUUUGUUCUUCACAAUUUAUAAUUUUCAUAAGUUGAUUAGUUUGGUAGCAUUAAAUAAAAAAUAGUAUUACUGUUGAUCUUAAUUUAAUUUUGUAAUAAAAGAUGGAAUUAUAACAUUAAAUUUUAUUAUAAAGUCAACACUGUUGUUUUAUUUUUGAUUCAUCAUAAUGGACAUAAUUUGAUUUGUUCAAUAUUUCAAUUUAGUUAAUGUUAUCAUGUGAAUAAAAAUUUAAAGCAAUUAAAAAAAAGUCAAGAAUAAUACAAAAAUUUAGGUUUAUAAAUAAUAUUGGAAAUACAUGAAUUGUUAAGGGUAUUUUUGAGAUUUGAAAUUAAAAUUUUCUAUUUAGAUUUCAGACUUUAGAUAAAAGUGGACUUUUUCUAUUUUUUCUAUUCAGAUAAAAUUGUCUGAUAAUAAGUGAUAAGUUAAAAAAAACCUAAAAUAAACAAAUGCCUGAAAAAAAGUUAAAUUCAGACUUCAGACUAAAAAACAAAUAGCACAUUACUCUCAAUUGCUCUCUUAAAUCUCAUGGGAACUAUACUAGAGAAGGACUAUAUAUUUAUACAUUCUAAUCCAAGAGCCUGAAUUUAUUAAAAGUUCGGGAGAACUAAUAAACUUUAUAAUUUAAUAGUUUUCCCAUACUUUAAUAAAGCUCAGGAUAUUACACCAAAACAGCACUAUAUAUAUAUAUCAUUCUCAAGUAUGGGCAUUUUUUUUUUAAGUAGUGUGGUUUAAUAAAAUUAAAAUUUGAUCCUAUUAAAUUCUACAGUUUAAAAGUGUGUUCGUAUGAAAAAAAAAUCAUGUGCCCGCAAUACAUAUAUAUAUAUAUAUAUAUAUACUAACUAUUGCUUAAAAAUUAUUAUCAUUAUUACAAAAAAAUUGAAGAAGCUUUAAGAAAUACUGCAAGGUCUGCCUGAAAAAGGAUAUACUAUGCAUGUCCUUUAGAAAGUGAUCUAGUUUUUUAAUAUAGAAGUAUUUUCUUCAGAAGCAAACGGCGUCGUUUACAAGAAUUCAUCAGAUCCAGAGGGGCAUCGGUUAAAACCCUAUCAAAGCCCCAGACUUUGACACCAAAGAAGCCAUGACGGACCCGGCGGCUCCGCCAUGGCUCCACCUCAUCUCCGCCUUUCUCGCCAUGGAACCCUCCGAUUCUCUCGUUUCCCUUGCCAGGUAUCCGUCGGCGCACGUUACCCAAUUUCAUUGCUAAUAAUAAUAUUAUUAUUAUUAUUAUUGUAUUACUUAAUAAAAUUAGGUCUUAAUUUUCUGAUUUCUGUUAAUUUUAAAAUGCAGAGUAUGCGGCGAUGGAUCAGUUACAGAGAGAGUGCAGAGGUUUAUUUGGAAUUAUUGUAUAAGCAGAGCUGUGAGCAUUGUUAUUUUUCUCAAUUUAAUAAUUUAUUUAUUUAUUUAUUUAUUUAUUUAUUUAUUUAUUUUGUCUUUCAAUGAGUUUAUGAAUUCCAAAGAUUGAAUUUUUAUGCAACUUAUUGUGUGCUUUCUAUUGCAUUUAAUUUAAAUGAUAUUUUUAGACACUGUUUGACAGUAUAUAGAGUUUUAGUCUCAGAAUUGGAAUUGGAUAAAAUAGGGAUUUAGAUUUGUACUUCUAGUGAGGUUUCAUUUUGUUGAUGGAAAUUGGAAUCACUUUUAUGAAAUGGUUCUUUAAGCGCUUUCGUCUUCAUUGUUUAGAGUUUGCUUUCACUUUGGAGAAAACCAAGUAGAUAUUUUCCAAAAAGUACUUUAAUUGCUUUUGUGAAUAUGUUUUAGUGCUUUCUAUAGAAGCAGUCACAAUCUCAUUUGUUGACUUCUUAAUAUAGAGCUUGUUUCAGUUGUAUGUCUAAUGCAGGUAGGCAAAGCUUAUGCGCCUUAUUUGAGGAAUUUUCUAAAGAAACUCAUUGUUGAAGUUGAGUCAAUCCAUGGUGAAGUUUUGGAUGAAAUAUAUGAAUUAUAUGCUGAUAUCAUAACAUCUUUGAAGGUAAAAUUGCUUAUGGAUUUAUCUUAUUUAAUAUUUGUGUUUCUUGUCAUGCAUAUAUAUUGUUUGACAAUAUUUGUUUUUGCUUUUGUAGGACGAUCAGUUUGUUGAAAAAAGCAUGAGGGUCCGUAAAACCAUCACUUUUCUUUUUCCUGACGGUAAUAACUAUUAUCUGUAUGAUGUCGGUAAUUCUAUUUCUGACCAGCCCAUAAGUUUAGUUGAUGAUUUGGUAAUUCUAGGUUGUAUUGAUCUCCCAAGUUGUCCAAAGUCUCGGAAACUAAUGGUUCCACUACAAUGUUCCCUCAACAUGCUUGAAGGAGAUACCGGGUGUGCUUCAAUUUGAUUCUUAUUUUGUAUUUCUUUCCAAAUCAUCAUCUUGUAAAGUUACAUGUGAUCUCUCUAACAUUAUGAAUUAGUUCUUGACUUACAGGUGUUCAAUUUGGCCCUCUAGCCUUCUUUUGUCAGAAUUUAUACUUUCUUUUCCGGAAAUAUUCUCAAAUAAAUCUUGUUUUGAGGUAAGUUAUUGGUUAAAUAACAUUCCCUAUUUGAAAUUACUAACUGUUGCUAAGGUUUCUUGACCCAUUAAUAACUUAAGCUAGUUCCUUUUGUUGAAACACCAAAUUACUAAUUUUUUUUACAAUCAUUUGAUCGUACAACUCUAAAAAGAUGGCAGGGAAUAAAUAAGAAAUGACUGGCUUUUCUACUUCACUAUUUAUUUUGUACCUCAUAAAGAGUUCUUUUCCUUUCUCGCUUGUUGACUUGAUCAUGUCUGUAGGCCUCCUAUAUACUCAAGUUUCGUUUUCUGAUUCUCUCUUGCUUUUUUUCCUUUUUCAAAAUUUUUGUUUUUACAGGUUGGUUCAGGUGUUGGUUUGGUUGGAAUUUGUCUUGCCCAUGUAAAAGCCUCAAAGGUGUGUAUUCAAAUCUCGUGCUUAUAUCUUUAUGGUGUUGGCUUUUAAUGAAUUUGUUGGGGUUUUAUGAAAUUUGAAGGAAUAUGGAGCUUUAUGGAUGGUUCCUUCUAAAAUUGGUUGCUUCCAAAGUUUAUGCUCCUAAAGUAAUGAAUUGGUUUCUGAUGACUACACAGUUAAAGAGCGACUGUGUGGACAGAUACGGGCCACAUAUUUUAACUGUUUCUGGUGCCUAGGAAAAGAAUAAUUUUGAAGAACCAUAGGUUCUUGUUACCUUACAGGCCUUAUAUUUAGUGCUAGGUUUAUGCUUCUUCACUAUGAGCCCUGCAGAACAUGUCCAGCUGGUCAUUGCUAUCUCAUUUUGUAGAAUAGUUUGCAUAAGAGUUAUUGUUGUAUGCAUAUCACAGACUCGUUGCUUGUAGUCAUUUGAUCUAUUGCUAUUGUCAUGGCACAUUUUCUUGACACAGGUGACAUUGACUGAUGGCGACCAUUUAACUCUAGCUAACAUGAGGUCCAAUUUGGAGUUGAACCAGCUAAGCACCGAUACUAGUUUGUUAGAAAGCUAUGAAGAUCCGAAUGUGGUAAGCUUUAGUUGCAAGAAUUUUUUUUCCCUAGCCAUUUUCCUUUCUGCAUAAGUCAUAUAAUUUCUGAGAGAAACAAAAGUUUUCUAAAUUUUCUCUUUAAGUUGAAUCAUCAAGAUGCAAUAGGGCAGGUUUGGUUACUUGUUUCCAGAACAGUUUGUACUUCAUAACUAUCAAAUACAACAAACUCAUGGAAAUUGAACCAAAAUUUGGUUUUAUUGAGGAUAUGAAGUCAUUCUUGGAUUGAUAUGGAAGUCUUAAGUUAAAGCUCAUGUAAUCAAAUAGGAAAAGAUUUUGUAGCAGCCAGUGUUGAAAUCAACUGUAAAUUUCAGGUACAAUGUGUUCAUCUGCCUUGGGAAUCUGCAUCAGAAAGUGGGAUUUCUGCCUUCGUGCCAGAAAUCAUGUGAGUAUUUUAGCCACCUCCUAAUAUAUUUUUCUGACUGGCCUUUGAGCUGUCAUGGUCAUGCAUGUCUGAAAUGGGGCUAUUGAGCUUAUGUCCAUUAUAUUGAUUAUUCUUUGCCACUCAAAAAUUGAAUUAAUGAUCGGAGAUCAUGUUAGUUUUCUUGGGUGUAAUUUGUAUAUGGUUUCACCCUUUUGUUAUUACAUCCAGUGUGAUUUAUCUUUUUUUUUUUCCUUUCUGCAGUUUGGGUGCUGAUAUAUUGUAUGAUCGAUCAUGCUUCCCUGAUCUUGUUAGAAUACUAGCCAUUCUAUUGAAUCGAAGGAAAUCAGAUUCCUCUUCACGGAAAGAGAGUACCAAGGGCUUUACGCUGGAUACUAAAUGUAAUACUAAUGACCUUAAUGAUUUAACUGCUGUAACAAGCAAAGGCCCAGUGGCGUAUAUUGCAACCGUCAUUCGGAACAUCGACACCUUCAAUUAUUUCCUUUCACUGGUAGAGCAGGCUAAUCUCUCGAUCACAGAUCUAACGGAAGCCAAAAUGCC
rnacentral:lncRNA from 1 species